rnacentral:lncRNA from 1 species
UUGAUUUACACUUUCCACUGUCUCUUGCUGUGUAGAGAAAUAGGAGACGGCUCAUGGGACUCGUGGACUGUGCCAUUUCUAGAGCGGGCAAGCUGUCGACUCUUGCCUGUUAUCCAUGAUGAUUUGUAUAUAAUGAAUCCGUGACAAUCUGUUAUGUUCCUUGCCUUUCAGACUGACAUUGCUUGCGAGAAGGUGUAGACAGUUUCUGGUGAGAUACAUCGUCUUCUGGUAUCCUGCAUCUGAAGUUCACUUUCAGUGGAACAAUUUUGAUAUCACAGGUGAAGAACAUGAGCGGACUUAGCGAUGGCUUCGACAUAGUCGGGCUUUCUCAAGUAAUGACGUUGAAUGUCGAUCUUCACGUUCUCCAGAUUCUGUGUAGUAGUCAUAGACAAGUGGGGAAUUUGGUAGAUCUACUAAAACAGUAAUUCAAUUGGACUUGAAAUUGAACAUAUGGAGAAGUUUGUGAUCCUUAAUUUGAUGCAAGAGAAAAUCCGGCAGCUGUCAAUUGAAUAAGUGAGCAAAUUGGGUCGACUGCAUCGAAGAGCCUGGACUUAAACUGGCUUAAACUAUAGGGACAGGACUAAAUUUUUCAUGAUCUAUAGUUUGAAUAGUUUACAUGUUACGAAAGAGAAGACGUUGAUCAUAACUGCACAUUUUAUAAACAACAAUUUUACUUAAAAUAGAAUUUACAAUUUUAAGUUGUUGGGGUAGUGAAAAAGUUCAAAAUAAUAUCCUCAUGGAAAACUUGAAGUAUAUCUAAAGUCUAUGCAAAAGCUUUUGAAAGCUUGAGAAAUGACACUCACAGUAGCUAUUAUUUACCCAAAAACAUGGGGUUUAGAUGCUGCAAUGGUCAGCUCUUUAUAAUUAUUCUGUGCCCUUCUAUGUUGUACUCCAGUAAUUCUUCGGUAACAUAACCAACAUACUAUAUUGAUGGAGUAUAUUGACAACACAGUUAGCUCAAUAAGUGGCAAAUGGAUAAAAGAUAAUGUUGUGUAUUCUUAUUGUCGUCUUUAUCCUGUUACCGAUUACCUAGGGUAUGCAUGGUAACGUUUGGGGACCAAUUUCUUUUCAAAAAUGGUUCUUUUCUAUUUUUAUUCCCUAAAACAAUUUCUGAGUAAAAUAAUGCGUUUGGUAACUAAAUAAAAUUUUUAUUCUUGAAAUAAAAAAAAAAAAAGGAAUAUGUUUGGUAUGAUACAUAAUUUUUUGUAUUUUUUGUUUUUUCUUCUUGCUCACCAGCUGCCAUCAUCGACUAGCCGCCGCCACUGGCCACCUGUUGAUCGCCGUUGACCAACGAUGGCCGGUGGGGGAGCAGUGGUGGGUGACUGCCUGCCAACGGUCGACGGCCGACUAGCAGCGACAAUUUGCGGCGAUCGGCAGGUGGCAAUUGGCGGUGGGUUGCAGUGGUGGGCGGUGGCAAGCGGCAAGCAAGAAGAAGAAAAGAAAGAAAGAAAAGAAAAAAUUGACUUUAUUUCUAGAAAUUGUUCUUGAAAACAAGAAGCUACUUUUUUCAACUUAUUAUUUUUGUUCCAAAUCUAUUCCCUGACUACUUUUCUCUUCUGGGAAAUAGAAAAAUUAAUUGACAUUACUAAAUGGAUUUAUUUUAUUUUUUUGUUCUAAGAAACAAAAAAUAAAUAAAUCGAAAAAAAUAAAAAAGUUACCAUAUAGGUCCCUAGUUUCUCAUGUUCAUAGUUAGAGUUGUCUAUCUACCGUCAUCGCAACUUACUUGCCUCUCUCACCAAGCACCAUGAUUGGUCAAGGUGUUGUUGAAUUUUGUGAUGGAGCAUCUUUAGUGAGAAAAAGUUCUAAAAAGAGUGAAUUACACAGCUUCGUGUCAUGCAUUCUUUCUUUUCAAUAUUGAGGUGAAAACAUAUAGAGAUUCAUUAUAAACAGUUCAUAGAUUUUAUUCCCCUUUUUCCUUUCACAAGUCAUAAUAUUCUUUAUUGUACUACCGACCAACUUUUGAGAUAAUGCACAGAAGUUCUCUUUGUUGUCUGUUGUUUCUUUACAGAUGUUGAUUCAUAAAACUUUUAGUCCACAAAGAAAACAUGAUUCCAUGUUGUAGAAUGACAAUUUGUUAAGCCAUGCCACCAUUGUGUAAAUUUCUGCAACUACUACUUUGAUCCUAGAAGUGAUGCUUGACUGCAGUAGUGGGCCUUUUAACAGCAAUCUCUUCCUAUAACAUUUUGUCGGUGCUAGUAAUGCUGUGGGCCUGGACUAAGAAUCUUGACUACGUUGGCAUAACUCAUCUGAAGCUACUUUUUUAAAGCAUAAUAUAGAGGUAAGAGUAUAUAGAAAGAAGAGGAACAAUAUCUGAACAAUAUCUUGACAAAUGUCUAAAGAGGAAUCAUUGAUUGGAAUGAUUUCCAUGGUGUAAAAGAUUAACUUCCUCAUAGGGGAAUUUCAAGUUUUAAGGAUGAGGCAAUUAACUGUUGAUCACAAGCCUUUUGAUGUUUACUUUAAAUUCGUGUAUUUCAAAGGGUGUGUAGUACAUUGCUGCGCUAAUUCCCCAUCUCCAACUAGCUUGCUAGAUAUUCUGGAGAAUUUUGGAUGGAACUUGGUGCUUAUCUCAUUUUUCCAUCUUUACUAGUCGGAUAUCUCAAUGAUUCAUAACAUGUAUUUUCCUGCACUGCAGACGUGAAAUAACAUACUAUAACAAAUUAAAUCAACUGCAGAGCUUGGUAAGUCUUUCUUGCUACAACCAUACCUGAUGUAAUUGAUAGAUAUGCUGACCUACCUUCUUGAUUGUGGUCCUUUUUGCUAUUAUUGGCAAAGGAAUAUUACUUAACCAGCAAAAAGAGCCACAUUAUUUUUCACUCUUUCAGCAAAAUUGAAAUUUACGUUUUGUUUCAUGAAAGGAAGUGCGGACGAUAAAAGACAAAGGGAGUUGUGAUAGGACGAUAUCAUAUCAUGUCACAUUUAGAAUUUUUUAUGGAAAGUGAAAAAUUAGUAGACCAUAGAAAAGAAGUGUCAGUCUAAGUAAAGACAGUAAAAAGGAAAAGUAAAGUAGGAUGAAAGAAAAGAAUAAAGUUAUCUAUGCUUUCCAUUUGUGUGUGGGUUUUUUUUUUUUUAAUUAAGUGGACAAUAGAGGAGUGAUCAAUAAAAAAUUAAAGGUUUUUAAAAAAAAAAAGUAAUUUAGCCCUAAAUUAAGCAUAAAAAAUAUUGCAGUUCCUUGGUAUUAAUUGUUCUUUUUUUUUUUUUUUUGAGGUUUAUGCCAUUAAAAAUUUGAAAUCUUUAUCCUCUUGGUACGUUUAUCCAAAUUAAUUUUUGUCUCAUAAAAAUGCAUGACACUUUUCUUUUAAACUAUAUAUAUAUAUAUAUUUUGGUAAGGUGUCUUUUAAACUAAUUUUUAUCUCUCAAAAAAUCCCAAAAUUGGUAACUUGACCGAAACUUACCCUCAACAUUAGAUUCUAAACUGUUAAAGGAUGUUAGAUUUGGGUUAGGUUAUCGGUUUGAGGUAAUUGUGUUUUGAGAAAUCAGUUUGAGAGAUGAAAAUAUAGUAUGGGAAAAAUAUGUUAUAAAAAAUCAAUUUGAAAUUUUUGAUGAUUGUAAUCCUAUUUUAAUUGCAUCUUGUAUGGUGAACCAAGACAUGCACAGAAUUGAAACAUUUUCUAAGCAUUAUAUACGGAUGAUUAACCAUGUUGAAUGUAAUACUGAGGAUUACGGAAAUCAUCAUCUUUACCGAGCUUCCUCCCCUACAAUCUUAUGGUAAACAAAUAGCAAGAAGAACCAACACAAUAAAUAGGUAAACAAACAAUAUAUAUGUAUAAGGGGUCUAAUUUGGUCUUGAUCUAUAUUCUAUAUAGCCCACAAGAGGAGUUUUGUUGGAUUCGCUAGACAGGUCAGCUUCAGCCCGGAUCAGUUCGCACGGCCCAUGUCCAAAUUCGUUGAUCCCGCGAGAGAAAAAGAAUAGAAAAAUUGCUCUGGAAGAGAAGCUCCGCUCGAGACGCUUGUGUAUUCUUCCCCCCGCCACCGUUGGACGUCGCCUUCUUCCUUUGGCCGUCGGACGGUGCUUGCCUCCUCCGGCAGUCGUUAAUCAUCAGUCUCAGGCAGACACUGAUCGGAGAGGGAACCAUUUUUGAGGUACGCAGGCACACCUGAGAGAAAACACACGGGCUAGGACGAUCGAGAAAAAGGAAAAGCUCGCACUCCCUCUGCACGUCUUUGGAAUUUCUUCUUCUUCGGUCAUCCUCAUCCACCGGUAAUCGCCAUCGGUUUACCAUCACUGGACAUCAACUAACGUGCGUACUAAAAGAGGACUUGAACUGGCGAGGUUUUUGGGCGUCCACAAGUCACUCUCUCGGUUAUUUCUUCUGAAUCCUUUCCUGCCUCUUCGUUGCCGAUUGUAUUUGAAGCAAUUUGCGUUUGUCUUAAACUUCAUUACCGGUGCUCAUCCUCACCAGCGACGUUUUCCAAAUCCUCCUUGUGCGAACUCGACCGGUAAUCACGACCGAGAACACCUCAUCGGCAAGGUAAUCUCUCUUCCCUACUAUGAAUAAAAGUAACCGAAAUGGCGUGUCCUAGAUUACGAUAGAAUCGGCUCAAAUUCGUAUUCAUAUUGACGAUUGCGUACUUGGACUGAUUUCGUUUGAACCUGAUCUCUAACCCGAUAAACUGAUUUUGUCUGAAUCUGAUCUCUAACCUGAAGUCAUCGCGCUUGCUUUCACUUCUCCACCGAAUGCACAUAACGUGUUUGAUAAAAUGACUCGGAAGUGUAUCAGUGAGUUUCUGCUAAAUCCGAAGACAUACUAGUUUAGUUUGCACAUUAUUGAUUGAUUCGUUGGUCAUUAAGCACGAUUUUGUAGAAUUUUACACAUUGACCAAGACUGACACACCUAUUCUUGUUCUAUUCCCAUGUAUGUUUGUCUCUGAGGUGAUGGGUGGUGGUGAAUGGCGAGUAAAUGGAUUUGAGUCAAUGGCCGGAGUGUCGAUCCAUUGAAGCAUUCGUGUCGGUUUGUUUCUCCAAUCUUAUGUUCUGUCCAUUUCCUUUACUAUUGCGAUUGUGGAGGAUUGAGUUGAUGGUGACGGAGGAUAGCCGUAGUCACUGAAUUGUACUGAUUUAGGUGAAUACCUGUUGAUAAUUUUACUGUCUGAGCUCUUGAACUUCGACAAGAAAUGGAUCUGGGAAUGGUGGACUCGGCGUCAAGGAUGAACAACGAUCGUAAAAAGAGAGGAGAAUAACAAAAAAAAGAAAAUAGGCCCUUUUCAAUGGAAAAUAAGUUUAAUGCGGACUUGGUGUGUAUUUGUCAUGGGGAUGGGUUUAGUGUAGUAAUGUUCAGGAAUGGAUUUAAGAUGCGAUUGGGCUGAAUCUGGUUCUAGCAAAUUUGUAUUGAGAAAAUGUAUUGAAAAUCCUAAAAUUUAUCACAAAAUGCAAUUGAGUUCUAAAACUUUUAAAAAGUGUAAUUAAGUCAUAAAACUUAUCAUAAAGUGCAAUUGAGUCCUAAAUUUUUUUAAAAAAGUGCAAUUAAAUCUAUCUUUUCCUGAACGUAUGAGGAGGGAUGGACCACUCUGAAAAAGAUAGUUUUAGAGGUAAUUAAUAUAUUAUAAAAGUAAAGUCAAGUUUUAAAAUUAUUGUUAAUUAGUGUGAGUGCCGGAUCAAACUUUUACAGCUUGAUAUGGUGAUACAUCUUUGGCCUCGUGUGCCUAAAUAUUUGCCGGUGUUAAUUGCCGGAUUGAUUUGAAAGUUCUGAGACUAUAGAGAAAGAUGACUUCACUACUUCUAUGAAGGUCUAUGAAGCUUUUGAAAUAAUCGCAAGCAUCACCCAUGACUCUUGCUCUUGAUAGAUGCAGAAAAUGUUACUUCCUGCGGUUUUUGCGCAUCUAUGCCACGAAAGAGAGAUGCAUAGAAGUCGAACACAAGUUCCAAUUCAAUGGCAAAGUCAACUAUAUGCUAGUAAACAUCACAUUCUUCAACAAACCUUCAGCGGAGUACAAACCAACAGUCGAUAAUGUGAUGAUAACAACAAUCGGUCCCAAUUGUCAUGUAGGUGCUUUAAAAUUAAGCAAAAAUUAGGAUAUGUCGCUAAUGUGAUGAUAACAUAAAACAAGCGAUUUCAACCAUCCUUGAAUUGAGAGUUUUUAACUUCUCAUUCUCUCACUAAUCAUCAUUUCAAGAAUGGAUAAUACUAUCUUUAGAAAAAAAUAUUUAUAUUGGUAAUGCAUUGUAUAACUACUAUAUAAUUAAGUAAUGAUUCUGAUUGCUUUGCUUAAGUAAUUUACUUCAAAAGUUCCUAAUUCUCGACACUCGGCCAAAGCUGAAUUAGUAAAAAGGGACCUUAGAGCAUCACCUAUAUUUUUUCACCGCACAUUCAUCCGCUCCUCCACAGUAUGAGAAGUUAAGAGAUCCUUCUUCAUCAUUGGCAUUAGGGCACCAUUUUCUCCACUCUCUUGAUAGAGGCUUGAUGAUCAUCGCGGAUACUUAGCCAAGCAGUGGAAGCACUGUAGCCAAGUGGACACGUUCAUAAGUUGAUGGACCCGAGUUGUAACAUCCUCGAUUUUAACCACUAUUUUGGCCUUGACUAGUAGGUCAAAGCCCGAUAUGUCAAGAGCGAGACUUGGCCAUGAGUUGGCCCGAAGCCCGGUCAUGAGUCAAUUGGCCAUUCAAGGAUUGGUAACCCAAGGUUGAGUUAUAGAGUAUUUGACCAUAAGAAUUGGUUGUGAGACGAUCACGUACCAUCAUGGAUUGACGGACGGUCAUGGUUUGAUUCCGCUCAAUCAUUAUGCUGGUCAUGGACGACCAUGAACUAAUCCCAUGAUACCAUGAGUUGAUACGAAUGGAUCGAUUCCACAUGAUUAUAUGACAAUCAAUAAUCGACUAUGGAUUGAAUAAACUCAAUGUGGUUCAAUUUCAAAUUCAUCAUGAGUUGUGGUGUAGAACCUUGGACUAGUCAUAGGACCGGCUAUAGAACUAGUCGAUUGGCCCAAGGAUUGAGCACAAUUUUGGUCAAGUAGAACUGACCCACAAACUGACUAGAGGACCAACCGACCGGGCCAGGACCUAGCUAGUAAACCCAACUGUGACCCAUUUUCUCAAUAAAGGGGAUUUUGAAUUCUGUUUGGCCAAUCAAGCUGAGUUGUGUCUAGCUUUGUUUGGGCAUGGCUUAGGCAUGAACCUCAGGCUAAAUAAGGUUGUCGAUCGUGAUCAAACUCAAUUAAUCCCUACCCAGUGACAAAUCUUUUAAAACUUAGAUAUUUUCCUAAGGUGCAUUCAAUGCCUUUGGCUUGUAGUUAAUUAAUGCACAUUGACUAAGGGUGGACACUUGGCAUGAAAGACUUUUGCAUUUGAAGACAAGUUUGAAACUUGGACUUUGAAUCAUUAAUGAGGAGGACACCUAAGCCUAAUUAGGAGAUCUUGGAGGCCAAGAAAUGGACUACACAACCAUUAGAAGAAGGAGGAAGCAAGUCAAGCCUUCUUGGACAAGAUAAGAGUGGAUUAUAUACAUUUGGCUUCUAGUUAUAUAAUGUCAAGAUGAAAUGUCCAAGCUAACCUAAGAUCUAGUUGGAAACUUGGAAGACAAGGAUGCCCAACAAUUAAUGCUUCUUGACCAAGUGGGCCAACUAAGAUUGCUACCUUUGACUUUUGAAAUUACUGGACCUCCACUAUUUUCCAAUUUUACACAGAUUUUUGUGGUCAAAUUUAAAGAAACUUCCUCAUGAAAGUUGUUCUAAAUAUCUUUAUCUAAAACAUACUUAAAUUUCAUGUUUUUUCUGAGGUGAAAUGAUAGGGACGAAGGCCCAAUCAUUCACCGUCUGGAACCUGUCCCGUGUAGUGAAACGGUGACCAGGUUGCCUUCUCAAAUUUUUAUAAAAUUUUCUCUUUCAAAUCUAACCAUGAUUCCUUCAUGAAAGUUUUAAAGGACAUCUAUUUCCACAACAUAUAAAAAUUUCAAAUAGUUUUGUGAAGAUUUAGAUUUCAGAAUGAGUCUCUCUCUGAUUGUUGAAUCUGCUUGACGAACAAAUAUUUAUGUUGUGUUCAAUGAUAUUUUGCUCUUUGCACAGCACGAAUUUGACUUGACUUCCUUCAUGAAAAAUGUUAUUUAAGGUCUUCUCCACAAUAUAUUAAAAUUUCAUAAUCUUUCAAUUCCGUUUGAUAAGGUAAAGACAUUAAUAUAGGAAAUUAUUCAAAACUGUUUUUCUCAGUCAGGAGGUGUGAGUCAUGCCCAAGCUUGGAUUCAAGUCCUUAAAUGCAAUGUUGAGGUGUCCCAAGCUAUCAAGCUAAAGCCGUAUUCUACCUUGAGACUUGGUGACCAAGUUACCUUGCAUUUAAUGCUUCUUGAUUUAGAGAGGAAGUCUUGACUUUUAAGGCUUCAAGAAUAAGUUAGAAUUGCCUAUAAAUAUGAGGCAUCCCUCCCUCAUUCCCACAACACACCACCUUCCUCCUUCACUCUCUCAACCUCACCCUCACCAUCGCCCUCUCUCUCUCUUUUUCGUGGCCGUGCCCCUCUUGUCCAUUUGCUCGCUCGCACGUUGCUCCGUCACCUAGGCCGUUCCUUGAAGUGUGGUAUGUAGAACUUACUAAUAUUUGGCUAGGACGUUGUGUUAUGCUAUUCUGAGCGUGUGACAAGUCCUUGACUAAAGUUGAUUGAUUGUUUGUUGCUUGAAGUUUGGCCGUAUUUGCUUGGAUUAGUUUAGACCUUGUUCCUUGAUUGAGUUCGAUCCUUCUUUGAUGAGCUUUAGCUUAAGUUGCUUGGAAGAAGCUCGAUUUGUGUGUUUAUUUGAUAUGUUUUGGUUUUUUCUUUGAUACAAACCUACUUUAAAAGUGUUUUAUGAAAGCUUGCUAUUUCUUCACAAAACUAUUUCAAAUCAUUUUCACAAGUGCAUGUUCUAUUUCAUGCCCCAAGCUCCGAAAAAAGGUUUUGUCGGCCUUGACGUACAUGGGAUCACGAUGGAUUAGUCCUCCCUUAGUCUUGGUGCGAUAUCGAGGUAUAUCAUUCUCGAGCCAACUUUGGUACUAGGUCGGUGAACAUAUCACGAUGGGCUAGUCCUCUCAUGGUCUUGGUGUGGUAUUGAGGUGUAUCAUUCUCGAGCCAAGUUUGGUACUAGGUCGGUGAACAUGUCACGAUGGGCAUGUCCUAUCAUGGUCUAAGUGCCAUAUCGAGGUAUAUUGUUCCCGAGCCAAGUUGGUUACUAGACCGGUGCUCAAACGUGUUGGAUCAAGUCGUGAUCCUUGAUUCGUGCUUAGCAUGCUUAACUUCUCGGUUUCGGUAAGUCAUUUCACACACUUAUGCAUGGCACGCCUUCAAGUCCUUGAACUAAAAGAAAAAAUAAGAAUUGGAUUAUGAUGCUUGAUGCAUGGACACACGAUAGACUAAUUUAUGCCGUCGACCGAUAGAUUCGGUGACAAUGCCCCCUCACCAACGAGAUGCCCCCACACCAACGGGAUACCUCGUUAGAAGGACAGGAUGUUGCGAUAAUUCUAGCCGUCACCCUUCGAUUAGGGGACGUUGCCCGAUUAAGUUCGGAUGCUCGGUGGAUUUUGGAGGAGUCAAUGGAUUUUGACUGUUAAUAAAUGAAUAUUGUGUGCAUGAGCUCCUCACAUUAUGAAAUAGAUUUUGGUUAUGCUUACAUAUUAUUGAGUGAGGCGUGAGUUCCUCAUACUAUGAAAUGGAUCUUGUUUAUGCUUGUACAAUAUUGAGUCAGGCGUGAGUUCCUCAUGUUGUGGGUGAAUAUUGGUUUAUGCUUGCAUACCAUUGAUUGAGUAUUUCUCAUGAUUCAUCCAAGACAAAGCUUUUAUUUUGCUAUUGAUCUAUCAUCGACUAAUGUUUUGGAUGAGUUGUAUGCUUGUUGAUAGGCGAGACAUCCUCCUACCUGGAAAUUAGUGGGUUUUACUUGCUGAGUUUAUGACUUACCCCAUUGUUUUUCAUAAUUUUAAGCAUUGAGGCCUCCCACUAGUGUUGGAGUUGUAGUCUUGCUAGAGGAGCUAAGGUUUACUCGGCCUGUAGAGUUAGAAAAUGUAGUGGUUAUAAAUAUAACUGCCCAUGACAAAGGGGCCUGUAAAUGUAACUAAGGUAAUUGUAUGUUUUUAAAUGGGUGUUUUCCUAGCUGCUUGUUGUUGUCCGGGUGUUAUAUAUAUGCUUCCGUAUGUGCUUAAUGAAAAAGAUAAAAAGAAACGGGAUGGCGACUCGCUUGAGAUGUCGAGAAAAUAACCCUUGCUGCUCAUGACCCUGAGGAUGGAGUUGGGGUCGUGACAUAAGUGUUAAGAAUUCACGCUUUGUUAUUUGUCACUGCUUCAAUGUUAGUCUUUCUUGGGGUCUCUGGGUUGUUUAGGUGAUGCUGGGGCAACCAUGCAUUAGCAUUGGUCCCAUUCAGGGCCUAUUGCCUUUCACCUACCAUCAUCGUGUCCAUGCUUGGCCUUAUCCAAAGCGCAACUUUCUGGAGUUCACAUAUCCCCAUGUCGGAGGCUUAUCUAGUGGUGGUUCUCGGAAAUGCAAAUUCCUACACUAUGCACUGCAUUGAGAACAUUGAACAGUAGAAGUCAUUUAAUGCCAAUUGCGCUACUAAUUGUUUCAUGAGAAGUUGGACGAUUUCUUCAUACGUGACCUAGUCAAUGUCAACAUUGUGCACAGUCUUUCUUUCCAUCAUUUUAUUGGUGAAAGUCAAUGAAAGAGCAUGAGCUUUGAUGUUAGCAAGUAAUUCUGUGAUGGAGGACGAAAUACAAGUUAAUAGUAGACUAUAGAAGCACCGAACACCAACUCAGCAAUUCAAGUGAGAUCUGACCCCCAUGAAUCAAUCAACUAAAAAGGAGGUUUCUCUCAUUCUGAACUUUCUUGGAUGACUACUCUCAAAAGCUCUCUAGGGUAUUCACAAGUUGUGUACAUAAUAGACAUCAACAUAGAAUUAUAAUAACUAGUAAGUGCAAAAUCAAGGCCACAUUAGGGUGGGCCCCGACCAAGAUAGGUAGAUUUUAUCAAUUUGAUUCUUUUCUUUUUUUUUUCUUUUUCUUUUUUCCUCUUCUCAAAAGCCAUUUUGCUAUGAAGACUAAAGUUAUGGCAGACAAGAGAGGUUAUUUAAACACUUAUUGUUUGGUUUAGAAAUUGUUUAAUUAGAAUCUUUUAUCCUUUCGCUGAAAGAGAGUUGGAGGUAGAAGCUCCCUUUUUGCAAACAUCAAAAUUGUCAGUGAUAAGUUAGAUAAAUGAGGCAUAAGGCGUAAUUAUCACUUUGAUGUAGGAUGCCAAUGUCACAGGUCGGCGGUUCCUUGGCUAUGAAAUAACUUGAGCAGCGCCUGGUGAGCGGAAUUCGCCAAACCAACCUUCCUUCUAUAGUUGUUCCAGUGAACAAUAUGGUGAAUAGCUCUUUUAUAUGAGAUCGUACCUCGCCCAGCUUUGCUCGGGCGUCUAGCCCAUCGAGUAAGAGAUCAGAUCUCUUUAAGCUUAAUAAUUGGUUUCGGCCUGCUAUGGCCUCAUUAGGAGAGUAGCAUCAGGUCCUGACUAGUAUGUGUAUGGGUGGUGAACCUCGCCUUUAGAGCUCCUAAGUAAUAUAAUUUUUCUAUAUUAAAACUCCUAACACCAAUUGUCCUGAUGCCACUUCCAUGAAUCAGUUGAGUUCAUCUUCUCUACAUCCUCAUUCUUUACUCGAUAAUCCCAAGCUUCACUUUCAAAGGUUCACGGGUGUGGAAGAAUCAUAGACUGUGACACCGGCAUAGCAUUUAACAUCAUAUUCCUUUUUAACAGUUGGACUUUCUUUUUCUCCGUGCUGGAUUGGGAAACAAGUGACAAGGUUUGUCCUCCAUGCAAAACGUGUUAUCUUUACCCAUUCUUCACAACUUUGGUCUUUUCUUAUUCUUUGUUAGGAUAAUUAUUUUAAUGAUAAAGCUACCUAGCUUUAUCUUUGUUAGGUCAACUUUUUUAACAAAGCUUUCUAACGUGCUAGACAAAGACCAGAUUUAUGUGACUCUGAAUGAAAGGCACUGGAUUGAUUAGAUUCCUUAAGGUCUCCUUAUAUACUAGCUACACCCUCUCCACUGUGUUAUCUCCAUCUAAAACAUGUUAGCUAGCCUUUUUUUCUACACUUGGUCAUGCUUUUUCAAUGUCAAGUCAAAUUUUCACAUUAAGCUUUUUGACAUACAGGACAAAGUUUUUAGGACAAUGAGAGGAUUUAUGUGGUUGUAACUAAAGGGCAAUAGAUUGAUUGGAUUUCCAAAUUAGGUCCACUUAUAUACUAGCAAUACCCUAUUUAAUAUGUUAUUGCAUUGGGAUAAAUGGUCUGUAAAUUUCAAUUCAAUGUGUAAGGUGAUAUUUCAAUUUGGGCUAAAUAUAUAAUGUCAUAUCUAAACUUUUAAUUUGUUCAAUAUAAUUCUUGAACUUUUGGCCAUUUAAACUUUUUGAACUACCAUGUCUUGGCUGGAAUAACUAUAUCAAAAAAUCGUUAAAAGGUUUAGGAAUAAAUUGAAUAAAUUGAAAAAUUUAGGAUUGAAUUGGCCGCCAUGUAAUAGGUUUAAGACAUCGAGUAAGCUAGCCCUAGGAUGCCCUGGUUGAGCCAGGAUGCCUUGGUUGAGCCCGGAUGCCUUGGUGAGCUAGCGCCAGAAUGCCUUGGUUGAGCCAGGAUGCCCUAGUUAAGUCUGAAUGCUGAACUUGAAGCUGGAUGCCUUGGUUAAGCCAAGAGGGCUGGUUGAGUCAGGAUGACGGUAAAUGAAUUUGCAUGAGUGCUAGUAUAUGCAUGAGCAUGAUAUAUUGAUGUGUUCAUUGAUAUACUGAAAGUAAGCAUGUAUUGAAGUAUGCGAUGACGGACAUCUGCAUAUAGUCGAGGAUAGCAAUAAGUUUGCUAUUGAUUUGCCAUCAACAUUACAUUACGAGUGUUGUACCUAUUGGAUUUUGAUGAUGAGAUAUUCUCCUAGUAGAGAAUUAGGGAUUUUACUUACUGAGUCCAUGACUCACCCCAUUAUUUUUCAAAACUAGAGGUAUGGAGGAGUUGCAGUCUCAAUAGAGGAGUUAAGAUUUACUCCAACUUUUUUGAGCAUAGAGCAUAUAAUGAUUAUAAAUAUAAUGGCCUAUGACAAAAGAGCUUGUAAGUAUAACUAAUGUAAUUGUGUGUUUGCAAGUGGUUGUUUUCUUGAUUGCUAGUUGUUAUCUGGGUGUUAUAGGUACGCUACUGCAUAUGCUUAAUGAAAAGAUAAAAAGAAAUGGGAUGGCGAUACGCCUGGGAUGUUGCAAAAAUAACCCUUGUUGCUCGAGACCUUGAAGAUGGAGUCAAGGUCAUGACAACUCCUCUAUUGCAGCAUUACAGUCUCGUCGAAGAUCAUGUCUCUGCUGAUUAGAAAAUUGGUGCACCAUAACUAGUAGCCUUUCACUCCAUGUGCAUAACCCAAAAAUAUGCACUUAUUCACUCUCGAUUCAAACUUACCAUCAUUCGUAUAAGAAUUCGUAGGACAUCUAAAUAUAUAUAAUCCAGAGUAAUUAACAGGUUUCUCUAAGCAUACAUCCUUAGGAGUCUUCAACUCGAUAGUAGAUGAUAGAAAUCGAUUAAUCAAGUAACACACCAUGUUUACUAUUUUGGCCCAAAAUUUCUUGCUAAGUCCUGCAUGUGAAAGCAUGCAUCAAACUCACUCAAGCAAAGUUCUAUUAUUCUGUUUUGCCAUGCCAUUCUACUGUGGUGUCCCGGGUACUGUGCCGUGUCUCAUAUUCCUUUCUUUCUCACAUAACUCAGUAAAAUCUUUACCAUAGAACUCUCUACCAUUAUCGGUUCUCACGCGCUUGAUUUGUUUAUCUGACUACUUCUCAAUCAAUGUCUUAAAUUUCUUGAACUGAUUGAACACUUCAUAUUUGUGCUUCAAAAAGUUUACCAAUACAUUCCUCGAAUAAUUGUCAAUAAAUAUCAACAUAUAUUGGGCACCUCCUUUUGAAGGAACCAAAAACGGGCCCAAGACAUCUGAAUGAAUAUAUUUCAACUGGUCGUUUAGUCAAAUGAAUAAACUUAACUCGAUGUUGUUUCUCAAAGAUAUAGUACUCACAUAAGUUCAGCUUCCCUGUCUUUUGGCCCUUCAACAAUCUCCUUUCACUCAGCAUCAUCAUACCCGCCUCACUCAUAUGCCAUAAACGCACAUGUCAUAACUAAGUCAAGUUAGAGCCUGACUCACUUGAUGAAACUGUAGCGGUUUUGAUCAUAGUCUCUCCCAGUAGAUAAUAGAGAGAAUUCACUUUCUUCCCAUUUAUCACUAUCAUGACACCUCAAAAGAAUUUCAAUACUCCACCUUCAGUGGUGUAACUACACUCGAUGUCAUCCAGUGUCCUCAAAGAAAUAAGAUUCUUCUUGAGCUCUAGUACAUGCCUCACGUCUGUCAAUGUGUGCACCACCCAUUGUGCAGCCAAAUCCGAAUUGUCCCUAUCCCCAUAGCCUUGCAGGCUACAUUAUUUUCCAAAAAAACGCUACCACCAUCUAUAGUUUGGUAAGUAGUAAACUAGUUCUUAUGAAGCGUUAUAUAUAAAAACACCUGGAAUCUAGCAUCUGUUCGUCUUCUGACGAAGUAGUAUUCAUACAUAAAAUAACUUAUGCAUCACUAGUGUUCCCCCUGGCAACGUUCGCCACAUUGCUUGUGACAUUCUGCCUAUUAUCUUUAUUCUUCUGCUUUGCACAAUAUUUCCUAAUGUGCCCCUCCUCAUGACACUCAAAGCAUUUCACACAUCCCUUAGAUUUUGUAUGGUGUGAUUUCGAUUUGCUUUUAUCUCUGUUGCUACUAAGCUCUCAAUAUUGUUCUCUACCGCCGAAUCGUCAAUGCUUGCACUACUCCUUGCACCAAACCGUCAUCUUAUAACUUUCUCUAUCACUCCUUAGAGAACAAUGAGGACUUUAUCUCUUCUGAGGUAAUAUUAGUCCACCCCUGCAACAGUGAAUUAGUAAAGUGCUCCCAUGACUCUAAUAAAGAAAUUAACAACAUCAUGUCUUGUUCUUCAUCAUCAAGUAUUCUACUGAUGUUCUUCAAACCCAUCAUGAGUUUAUUGAAUUUAUCUAAGUGGAUUUUGAUAAACGUAUUUUCAGUAUAUCUAAAUUGAAACUUUCUUUUUAACACAUACAAGUGAUUGUUGAAACCUUUCUUCACAUAAAGUGCCUAAAGUUUUGCCUAUAAUACUACAACAUCAUUCUCCUUCAUAACCUCUAUUAAAACCUUAUCCAGCAAGUUCAAUAGAAUUGUGCUCUUUGCUCUUUCCAUUAGCUCUACCAUCUUAGAGGUUUUCAUUAUAAUCGGCAACUCAUCUUCAAUAUCCAAUGCCUUGGUCGAAUCUUAUGUUGUCAAUAAUGCAUGUAUCUUGAUGCUCCAUAAUCCAAAGUUGUUCCUCUUGUUAGACUUCUCAAUUUGAAAUUUCCUAUCAGACAUAAUUGCAAUAACAGAAUUUUCAAAUAAUAAUUAGACAAGCAAAAGCUCCGGAUUACAAUCAAGAAAUCCGAUCCUAAGCUCUUAUACCAAUUGUUGGAACAUAAUAUGUAAAAAUGACAGGAUCUUGCAAUUACAUCAACGUAAAAUCACCAAAGAAAUGAAUGAGAAAUAAUAAAGACACCAAAGAUUUAUGUGGUUCAAUCCGAGCAUCACUACCUACUUUCACGGGGAGAGCCAGUAGCAAAUAAUCAACUAUAAUCGGAGAAUUAGAGUUUAUAAUCACUCACAUGCUUGAGUGUUUCACACACUUAGAUUAAAACCCAAAUCCAAAGUAUUUAUAAAUAAACAACUCACUUAAACAUAAACUCACGACACAAAAUCACAGCACGUUCAAGCUCAAAAUAAAACGCUCUAUGUAUGCUGAAACCGAGAAUGCCGAUGUUCAUCUCUGCCCUGCGUGCAUGCGGCUUCACGUUCAUCUUUAUUUUGCGAUGCUCUUUUGGAUGUGCAACUCCUCAAGUUUAUUUUGUGCGGUGCUUACUUGCAGAAAGGGAAGAAAAAACCUAGGUGUUUUAUGUGUGCCCAAAGUAAAGAAUUAGACCUUGGGCCCCACUACUACAACAAAACCAACGCCUACAAUGAUUCUUCUUUUGUAAAAGGGAGUUUCCUUCUUUUUAUCUCUCCCGGCAAAGACAUCUUUGCCCCUAAAAGAUAAAUAGAUAAAUAAAAUAUAGUGUGCCCCCUUUUGUCUUGUAAUGGCAAAUCACAUCCUCCUUGCUUCCUUUUGUACGUCCAAAAGAAAGUCCGACAAUAUAAAAAAAAAAAAAACUUCUCUAUCCGAUUUGUAAUCCACUUAGAAAUCUUUCUCAACAAAUUCAAUGUAAUAAAUCAAUAUUUAAAUUCAAAUUCGAGACAUUAAUUUAACAUUUAUCUUUAGUCGCAAGUAUCACUAUCUCCUCGGAGGAUGUUUCUUGUAGGGUAAGGUCUCACACACGUUUCUGGGAUGAUUUUAGAUUAAUUUGGCACUAAGAUCCACCAUUCUCUAGUGGUCUGCUGGAUGAGUUCUCAAGGGGGUGAAGUUUCCAUAUAUCAACCUAGUUUUAUUUUAUUUAUUUAUUUUUAUUUUUAUUUUUUGCCUCGUUUCACAGUGUGGUACCUUCUACGUUCUUGUGGACGAUUUGAUCGAGCUAGUAGGGGUCUACUCUGACUACAUCCAGGUUUGUCUCGGUCUUCCUUGUCAUUUCUGAUUCACAUUACCCUUUUGCUAUAACGAUACUCGAUGAUAAGUUUGCUCAAAGUCUUAUCCAGGCUACUUUUUCUGCACCAUCAACAACUAACUCUUUACCGUUGUCUGUCUUCUUUCAUACUUCACUAUUAAACCGCAUAUUCUUGUUUUAUUUGCAAACCUUCAUACAAUAACGGGUUCACUUGGCGCUCAUCGGUUAGAAGUCUGGAACGAAAAAAUGGUGUCUAACUUUGCUAAGAAGAUUUUGAUCGAAACUGUAAUUCAAGCUGCCCCAAUACACCAUAUCUAAGUUUAAGAUUCUUAUCUUGAUUUGAAAAUCUGUCGAGCAGAAAAUUGCCUCAUUCUGGCGGAAACAAAAUAUGUCCAGUUCAGGAAUCCAUUAGGAAGAAAUGGGAUGUAUUAAAAACUAGGAAAGAUAACAGGGGACUUGCUUUCAAAGACCUUGUCACUUUUAACAAGGCAAUGUUGGGUAAAUGGGCUUAGAGAUUGUUACAUUUUCCUUCAUCCCUGUGAAGUUCAAGUUAGAUUUUAGAGUAAAUGGUGCAUCUCAAUUUCAAAUUUUAACAAGAAUACCAAAUAUUGACUUUUGAGUUGACUUUUUAAGGGUGUAAGCGGUCUUUAACACAACAUGCUGAGCCAUCUUGCAAUCCCAAUAUAUGACAUUGCGCCAGCAAUCUUGCCACUGGCACAUCUUUCUUUUGCAGGUGUACAGGCGUGUCUCCACCGGCCCCCUCACUGCCGGCCACUACCAGCCGAUUACAGCCUUCCUUAGCCGGUGACGCAUUGGACUUAACGGCCACCACCGUGCGCUGCUAUAUUACCUUUUCAUUCCUGUCAUCGUAUCAAGCUAGAGUCCAGCAGUCUGGGCGAGCCUUUGCAAUCCUUGUUAUUGUUCAUGAGCGCUAACAAUUUUUUUGCAGUCGUGUGGCUAGCAAGCUUCUUGACGAGAUUCCAAGCAAUGCCACAGUACUGAGGAACCUCUUAACAUGAUUACCUCACCCGCCGUCGUUGGAAAUUUCCCUUGCCGCUGGUCCACCUCUUGGAAACAAAUACGUUAAAAUAGGCAAUGCUUUCGACCGAUUCUAAUUCCAAUAUUUUAUUUUCGGAUUUGAAUUAUUUGAUUCUAAUCGUGAUUUGGUAAAAUUCUUAGGCAUUACCCAAUUAGGAGAGUUUCCAUAUAAAAUCGCAAUAAUCAUUAGUUUGAGCUGCGGUCGGAUAAUUUUUUUGAUUUUUUUAAUCUUGGUGAAUAUUUUAAUGUUUGUUAAACACCUCUUGCAGAUCUUGUCGCCGUUGACGGUUCACGAGACGGAGCUCAUGGUGGAGUACGAAUAGCUCGAGAGAGGAGAUGAAGUUGGGGAGAAAGAGACAAAGCGACACAUGAACUCCAAGUGGCCCCCUUGUCGGCCUAGACAACAGACGAUGGAGAGGCCUAGAUCGCUCUAUUUGUGGGGGCGAUGGCGGUUCAGCCGUGGCGUGGUUGGCAACAGAUGAGCCGGUGGAGAGAGACAGAGAGGGAAGAGAAGGAGGUGGGUGUUAGGUUUUGGUUAGGCUGGGACGGUUUGCCGUGAAGUAUAAUGCAAAUGCAUUUGACAUACAGCAGUCUAAUUGAUACUUAGAAAUACGAACAUCACCCACAUUUUAAUUAUGUUUGCAUGUCCAAUAAAUUCAUACUUAUAACCAAGUGAAUACUUGGUUGGAGGAAGUUUUCUUUAGCAUGGGGAAAGAAACAAAAACCUCACAUAUACUAAACGGAAGCAACUCGAAAACAAAGACCUCACACAUACUAAACGGAAGCAACUCGAAAACAAAGACCUCACACAUACUAAACGGAAGCAACUCCUUGUCUCAUUUUAUCACCCUUGGGCGUUGUCCGGCACUCCUUCCUGCUUGGUCCGAUUAUUGUGUGAUGCUCCUCACUGUUCGGUUCCUUUCGUGCGGCAGAACUUCCCAUACGCUUGGAAUACGCACCGACAUAUCACUGGCAGCGCCCCUGCGAGCAGCACAUAGCGGAACCUCACCGACUCAUGUGGCGUCACGGCAAAGAUUGCCGACGCAUAUGUCACCAUCAUCGAGGCCGUGGCCACCCAUAUCUCAGGGUGGAGUGGGAACUUGUAAGUGAGAUAGACAAUGACAAGUAGAGAAGUGGAGAGCGCGAAAGUGUUGGAGAUCAAGAACACAUAAAAGGCAAUUUGACGAGAUGCGUAGAUUGCCAUGCCGGCCGAGUGGCUAUCUUCAUUGUCUUGCCAUACCCCGCCAGGAGGGUUCACGCCUGCCUGGAAUGUGAUAGUCGCAAUCAGAGUAGCGAUGAUCAGCAGGAUGUUCCGCACAUCACCCGGAAGGUCAUUGUCGGGGUCGUACUGGAAGUAUCGGAACCAGUUUUCUGCUAUGUUUGUUGGCGGGGGACUCCUUUUUCUUCGAUAAUUAUUGUCAUUGCCAUUCUCCAUUUCAGGUGCCAUUUUUUUCUCUCUGAGAGAGAGAGAGAGAGAGAGAGACUUAAGACUGAAGAUGCUGGACUGUGUUUCGGUCGUGAAGAUGCUGGACUGUGUUUCGGUCGUCUUAGUUAUUAUAGGAAUGUAGAAAGAGAGAAAGAGAGAGAGAGAGAGUGAGGAUGCUCGACUGUGUAUUGUUUUGGUCGUUUUAGUUAAUAUAGGAAUGUGAAGAAUCAUAAAAUAAUUGAAGGAUGUGUCUGAACUUUUUCUUGAUGAAUCCAACCGUUCCGCCCAAAUUUCUUCUGGGACAAAAUAUCUUUUAUCGAAAAAUAUUUCUUUAGCUUUUAAUAAGAGGAUACAUAUUUCAUGACAAUUCCAAAAGGAAAUGUCAUAGAUAUACAAUGAAAUUGAAAGCUUUAUUAAAAACAUAAUUACAUAGACACAAAUUGGAAUUUAAUCGAUUACAAAGCUUGGAGAAUACAAUAACUUCAAUAAGGAUAAAGGUAAACAAACAAUGUCAGAAUUUAAUCAUUGACAAUGCUUGAGACUACGAAGAUAAUACAUCAGAAUUUAAUUGAUGACACAAUACUCAUAAUAAAAUACAUGCCAGAAUUUAAGUAACAAUGCGAAUCUAGAAAUUACAACUAAACAAUAUGUCGGAAUUUAAUUGACAAUGUGAGUAUGGAAAUUUAAAGUACAUUGUAUGAAAAUAAAAAUAAAUGAAAGAUAGUAGUUUUGUUUGAUUUGUGCCGGGGCUCUCGUGUCUGGUUGGUGGUAUUUAUAAUGGUUUUUGCCAUAACUUCUCUUGAGAGGUAUCCCAGCGGUUGUACUCAUGUUUCUUCAUAACCAAAAGUUCUAUGCCCAUAUUAUCAUAAUCCCAUAAUCGCCUCAUUGGCAAUGUUGAAACUAACGUUUUGCACUAAUGUGAGAUGAAUCAAACCCAAAGCUUGCUAAUCUAACAAUUCCCACUUUUCUUGCUUCAUAGAAUCUAGUUUCUCUCCAAACAAAGCCUGAUGCAAUUUUUUUUUUUUGAUACAACACAUCCUCGAUUUGCAUUUUCCAAAAACCAAAGUCGUUGCCAUCGAAUCGAUCAAUCUUCACAUUCCGCUCAUCUAUAUUUGUUCCAAUUGAUUCGCCAAAACCAAUAUCUAAUACCAAUUUUUAGGAACGUAAAUAUAUGAAGAGAAAAAUAGAGAAGAAAAACAAACGAGAAUUUUUACGUGGAAAAAACUUCCCAAAAUUAGAAAGGGAAAACCACGGUAUGCACUAGGCAAUCUUUCUACUAUUAGUAUUAGAGUUACAAGUUCAAGAGUUACAAGCUUCAACAUUAUAAUUAUAAAAGAUAUUGUCCUUAUAUAAAACAAGUCUAGGGCAUACACAAUUACGAUAGAAAGUACAUGCAUGCCAUUAGCAGUAGUAAAAGCCCUAUUAUUUGCUUUAACAUGACAAGAUGAGUGACUUCAUGGGAAGUGUCUACCCCCAACAAACUUUUUCUGUGAUUAAACAUUAUUUUCCUCUAUCAGACUCCAUAGCUCUAUCUACUUUUGCUGUUGUUCAAAGUUUAAUACAUGUCCAAGAACCUUUUUUGUGAGUGUACCCACGAUCCAAAAUUUUAUGAGACAUUGACUACGCAUCCAUAAUAUAUAUUAUAGAUUAUUUAUUUUGACCAUUUUUUUUUAAUGUUUGAGUCUUGAGUAGUGGUAGUAUCUCUUUGAUAUAGAAAUCAAGUACGUUCCUAUUUUCAAUUAGAGACAAACCUAUGUCUCCCAAAGCAAAUAUUUUUUUUCAUUCCUAUUUUCUCAUAUUUGACCUUCAUAGAACAUUAGCCUCAAUUAUGUCUGCGAAUUGGCAAUUAGUGUCCUACCAGAAUCCCAUCGACAUUAUGUGAAAGUAGAUCUGAAUUCUUUGUUAACAGCAAAACUGCAUUGGCAAUGGGUUAUUUUUUCUUUUUUUUUUAACUCAACCCUUUUUUAUGUAUGUUGGCCUAGGCUUUGUUCCCACAUUGGUGCUAUGAAUAAUUUUUUAUUAGUUCAUUAGAAAGCGGACUUAUUUUUGUUGAUAGACUCUUUCCACUCUCUGACUUUGUAAGAAAUAGGAAACGGCUCAUGGGACUCAUGGACCAUGUCACUUCUAGAGCAGGUAAUUUCUCAUACGACUAUUGCUUGUUAAUUUUAACGAUUUGCAUCUGAUGUCCGCGACAAUCUGUUAUGUUCCUUGCCUUCCAAACUGCCGUUGCUUGUGCGAAGGUGUUGACAGUUGCUGGUGAGAUAUAUAGUCUUGUGGUACCUGAAGUGUAUCUAUAAGUCUACACAAAUGCUUUUGAAAGCUUAAAAAAUGAAAGUUAUAGUAGCCAUUAUUUACCUAAAAACAUGGGGUUUAGAUGCUGCAAUGGUCAGCUCUUUAUAAUUAUUCUGUGCCCUUCCAUGUUAUACUCCAGUAAUUCUUGGGUAAUAUAACCAGCAUACUAAAUUAAUAUAGUACAUCGACAAAACAUUUAGCUCAAUAAGUGGCGAAUGGAUAAAUGACAAUGCUGUGAUCCAUGUAUUCUUACCGUUGUCUUUGUCCUGUUGCCGUUUACCUAGUUUCUCAUGUUCAUGGUUAGAGUUAUCUGUCUACCAUCAUUGCAACUUACCUGCCUAUCUCAGCAAGCACCGUGAUUGGUCGAGGUGUUGUUGAAUUUCGUGAUGGAGGACCUCUAGUGAGAAAAAGUGCUGCAAUGAGUGAGUUACACAUUUCCGUGUCAUGCCUUCUUUCUUUGCGAUAUUGAGGUGAAAACAUGUGACGAAUCACUUUAUACCGUUCGGAGAUUUUGUUCCCCUUUUUCCUUCCACAAGUCUUAUAGUAUUCUUCUUUAUUAUAUUACCAACCAACUUUUGAGACACGCACAUAAAAUUCUCUUUCUUGUCUGUUCUUUCCCUAAACAUGUGGUUGAAGUAUAAUACUUUGAGUCUGCAGAGAAAAUGUGAUUCUGCUUUGCAGCAUCUGCAGAGAAAAUGUGAUUCCGCUUCGCUGCAAGACUCUUUGCCAAGCCAUGCUAUUGUGGUGUAAAUUUCUGCAACUUCUAGGAAAAUAAAAGUAAAAGAUAUCAUAAAUGCUAUAACUUUCGUAUGGUACUCUUUUUUUUUUAAUCAUUUAAAUGUUAUCACUUAUGUAUGGCACUCUUUUGAGUACCAUAAUUCUUUUCACGAUCACUUGAGUGUUAUAUAAAUUUUUAAUCAAUUGCUUGAUUAUUAUAAUUUUUUUUUUUUUAAACGUUCACUAUAAGCACUAAACUACAUCAAAUUUCUGGUAUUUGAGUGAACAUUUUUAAAAAAUUUUGACACUUAAGUGAUCAACUAAACAUAAUAUUUUUUUAGAAAUAAUGGCAAUUAAGUGAUAAGAAAAAAAAAGUUAUAGCACUUAAGUAAACGCCCUAUAAAAGUUAUUCUUUUUUUUUUUUUUUAGUAAAGGUAAGAAUAUAUUGAUAAGCUAAGGACAAAUGUACACAAACGGCACCAAAACUUACACUCUCAAUGCGAACAAAAGAGUGGAAGGGAGUCGUGCAAAAGCCUCAAGAAGCAAGGACAGAAAGAGCGCAAACAACAGACACAACACGACCACCAGAUUCAGCCACCAGACCUCCAUGGACGCCUGGGAAUCCGUGAGCCAAAACAUCCGCACCGGAGACGACCGAGCAAGAUCAAAUGAUAAAAACCCAAAGGGUUACGUGAAGAUAAUAGGGUCGAGAUUCCAACCCCUCUGAAGACGCCGAUUCCUUGGAUUGUCAAGGACAUCCUUGUAGGUAAUUGCUUUAUCUUUAACCAUCUUUAUCAAAUGGUUCUUCAAAGCGGGAAUAUCAAGAGAUUCCCCUCGGAAAAUCAUAGCAUUUCUUUUCUUCCAAAUUAGAUAGCAAAGAGCUCCAAAGGAAUAGCGAGAAAGACUGUGAGAGAAGUCCUUACCAGCAAGGAAUUUCAUAGCCCAAGCAAGGUUUUCUGCCCAAGUGCCGUUCCUCCACGGCAAAUUGCACCUAGUUGCCCAAAAGUAGAUAAUGGUAUUUGAAAUAUUGCAAUCAAAGUACAAAUGGUUGGUCGAGUCCGGCUGAGUAUUACAAAAAGUGCAAGCCGAGUAAUCAAUCAUUCCAUAUGAGAGGAGAAGUGACUGCGUUGGCAAGCGGUUUUUAGUAAUAAGCCACAAAAGGAAUUGAAACCAAGGGGCUACAUCCUUAUCCCACACAAAAGGAGUCCAAGGUGCUUUGGCUUUAGAAGCUCUGAUGACGUUCCAAGCAGAAGCUACGGAGAAGGCCCCCGAAGAAUCAUGACGCCACACAAAACGAUCGCUAUCAACCGAAAGAGGAGGAAGCGAGAAGCCACAAUUCUCUAACCGGACUUUACAGGAUCUACCAGCAUAAGAAUAUAAAGAAGCCACAGUCGCCUUUGCAGGAACGUCGAGGUCCAACAAAAAAGAUUGAGGAACUUGUAGAUGAAGAGGGCCACAAGGCAACCAGCUAUCGAACCACAAUGAAGUAGACCGGCCGUCACCGACCUCCCAACCGAAGGAUUGUCUACAACAGCCCCGAAGAUGAAGGAUCUUCUUCCAACUCCAGGCACAAACUGAAGGCUGAGGGGCAACCCAGAAGUUAUGUUUCUUUAAAAAGUUGGAGUGUAUCCAACGGCAUCACAGAGAUUCCUUAUUCGUAAGAGGAUCCAAAUAAAUUUCAGCAUUGAGGCUUUGUUACAGUCCUUGAUAGACUGAAUACCUAGGCCCCCUUCCUCCUUAGGCAAACAAACAUCCGCCCAUGAGACUUUUGCACCUCCCUUAUCCAAGGAGGUGCCUUUCCAAAGAAAUCUACGAAGAAUGCUUUCAAUCCCCAAAAUAACCGAAGAGGGCAAAGUGAAGACACUAGCCCAAAAAGACUGAAUAGCGUGAAGCACUGACCUUAUGAGCUGAAGUCUUCCAGCAAAAGAGAGGAACCUGUGGGACCAAGAGCGGGCUCGCGCGGUAAUGCGGUCAAUUAACUUAGUACAGUCAACCUUAGUCAACCUCUUUGAGAUGAUCGGCACUCCAAGAUAUCGAAUUGGAAGUUUACCUUCUUGAAAGCCAAAUGCUAGGAGGAUUCUGUUGCACAAAGCAGGAUCGCCUCCUGAAAGAAAGAUGUCGCUCUUAUUUUUGUUGGGGAGAAGACCACUCCAUGAAGAGAAAAUGUCGAGGCUUCUUUUAAGGAUCAUAGCUAAUUUCCAAUCUGCUUGGCAAAAAAGGAACACAUCGUCUGCAAAAAACAGAUGAGUGAGCUUGGGAGACUUACAUCUCCAAUAACAUUUGAACUCUUUAGCCGAAGACCUUUGAUUCAAAAUUCCCGAGAAGAUUUCCAUGAUCAAUGUAAAUAGAUAAGGUGACAUUGGGUCGCCCUGCCUAAGGCCUCUGCCUCCUGGGAAGAAGCCAUGAAGCUCCCCAUUAAUAGAGAUAGAGAAUCAAGGUGUGCGUACACAAGCCAUAAUCCGGCGAAUAAUCCACAGAGGAAACCGGAAGGCAGUAAAGGUAAGCUCUAGGAAAUCCUAGUCCACAGUGUCAUAGGCCUUGCAAAAAUCCACUUUGACUGCACAUCUUGGGAGGUAUGGGUCUAAGUGGAAGCCUGCAAACAGCUCUUGAGCCAAUAAGAUAUUAUCCCUUAUCCUUCUACCCUUCACAAACGCAUUCUGGGACGGACUAACAAUAUCCUGAAAUACAGGCGCAAUUCUAUUGGCCAAGAUCUAGGUGAUAAGUUUAUAGAUAGUGUUGCAGCAAGCAAUCGGUAUGAAGUCGUUUACUUCACAAGCAUUCGGCACCUUGGGAAUUAAAUUUAGGAUAGUCGCAUUAACUUCUUUAAGAAGACAACCUACUGAGAAGAAAUCUUUCACAGCCUCUGUAACUAAAGAGCCCACAAUAUCCCAGUUACUUUUAAAGAAUUCUGCUGUAAAAUCAUUUGGACCGGGGGCUUUUCCCUUCACAAGCGAGAACAAGGUCUUCUUAACUUCUAAAUCAGAGACAGGCGAAGCUAGGGAACAUACCUGGCUAUUGGAUAGCGGCUUUCGAAUGAGAGAAGUAAGCUCUUGAAGAUCAGGCUUAGCUAAGCCAACUCGAGGAGCAAAUAGAUCCGAAAAGAAAGAUAGAAAAACUUGGGGCACCAAAUCAGGAUCCGAGAUCACCGUACCUGCAGUGUCUUUGACAGAGAGGAUACGGUUAUUGAGAUGUCUACUUUAACACAGUUGUGGAAGAAUCUCGUGUUGUGAUCUCCUUCCUUCAGCCAUCUAAUUCUUGAUUUUUGCUUAUAGAACGAUUCCUUUUGACCACGAAGGUCUAUAAAAGCACAGCGCUGCCCUCUUUCAAGUUCAGCUAGUGGAAUAUUUUCAGGAUCCAACUAAAGGAGAUGCUGAGUAGAACGCAAGGCUUCCCUCGCUUCAAGAGUUCUUAGAGAAAUAUCCGAGAAAGCCUCCAGAUUAAGAUCCUUGAGGCGAGAUUUCAACAAUUUCAGCUUCGAGACUAAUUUAAACAUGGGAACUCCCCAAACUUGACUAUCCCACACCUGCAAAACCGUAGAAUGAAAAUCCGGGUGAUCAACCCAGAAAUCAAAGUACUUAAAUGGCUUCCUCCUUGGACGCGGAUCCACAACCCUGACAACCAUAGGAGUAUGGUCAGAAAUUCCAGGAUUGAGAAAAGACGCCUCCGAGUAUGAAAAGUCCAUUCUCCAUUUAGAGUUGACAAGAACUCUGUCAAUUUUUCGCAUCUUCCUAUUUGCACCCGCCGAAGUUGACCAGGUAAAUCGAAGGCCAGAGUACCUGAGAUCCUCAAGUUCUGUUUGGUCCAGACAAAGCUUGAAUUCAUCAAAACAGGGGAUCCAGGCAUUAGAGGUACCAACGCGAUCAGAAGGGUCCUUGAUUGCAUUGAAAUCUCCCGCUACUAUCCAGGCAUAGUCUUGAAAAAGAUCGUCACAAUGGAUAAAAUUAGACCAAAGAGGCCUCCUCCGCACAAAGGAAUGCUCUCCAUAAAUAGCAGAAACACAGCAGGUAAAAUUAGAAGAUAACCCCUUCACGCACCCAUGGAUGGCUUGGUCAUUUGAAGAGAUCAACUCAAAAUUGACGGUAGCUGGAUCCCAUCCAAUCCAGACUCUACCGCGAGGAGCAAAAUCAUAGUUCGCAAUCCAAUUCCAACCUCUCAAAAUAUUGGAAGAAAUGGAACCAAACAAAGGCACUGGGACUUUAGUUUCAAAACGCCCCAUAAGGCAAAGCUUAUUAGCAACAGCAAACUUCCUAAUCUCCGCCCUUCUGACAGGGUUCAUAAUACCUCUAACAUUCCAAAAGCCAAAAAACAUAGAAGCAAAAGGAUAGAAUUAUUUCCGCUUGGCGUUCCUACGCCUACCUCUAUUUGGUUUCGAGUCCUCCGCAGGCGAAGGUCCCGGCGAGUCAGGCAGCAAAAGGAGAAGCUGAUCUUGGCUUGAACCAACCCCAGUAGGUUUCGAAGGACCACUCAAAGGAGCGGGUCUAGGCGUGUGGCCACCGUCUUCAUUAGAUGAAUUGCUGGUAUCAUCUUCCUAGUCUCCAGACGGCAUUAUGGAAUCCGGUGCCAAGUCAGAAGCCUGAGUGUUUUUUUCAAGUAGUUUAGCAGGGACUUUAGGAGGUUUUUGGCCAGGCACAGCUUCCUUCAGGUUGCGAGACAGCCCCUCCUUCGAGUAUGGUAUCAGAGAAGCAUUCAGAUUCUACGGCUUAUGCUCCUUUUCUUUGUCUUUGACCUGAUUCCCAUGCUGAGUAAGGUCACUUUGGUGCGAUGGAAGAGGUUCCUCCAGAUCCACAACCAGCUGAACGAGAGGAAAGGAACCACCAGAGGAGCUCCUGUUCUGUCCUGCAUCAAUUGGAGAUUCCGGAAGAGGGACCAAAGGCAUACCCGAAGACAUUCCCCUUUAAUCCUCAUACGCCACCGAAGGUGGUCUGGUUUGCUGAGAGAUGCUCCCACUUGCGGCCUUGCUAAGAGGUUCAGACUCCUCUGAAGGACGACCAGCAUCAGCGCGUUUUGUUCCAGGUCUACCAGGCCUACUAGCCGUUUCACAAUUGUGGCCAAAAAUGCCACAUCCAGCACAGGCAGUGGGUCGCCACUCAAACUCCACUCCUAUUUCACACUUCGUACCAUUAUGGGUUGUCUCAAUCAUUUUACAAUCAGGUUGAUCAGCAGUAAUUUCGAUGCAGACCCUAGCAAAGGUAAGGCUGCUCACCUGCUCUGUUCUCUUAUCCAUAUAAAGGGGUUUGCCAAGCGCACUUGCAACCCUCCCGAUGAAGUGGGCGGACCAGCACGAAAAGGGAAUAUUCGAUAGUCUAACCCAAACAAGAACCGUACGGUGGGUCUCCCUUCUCAGCUCAAGACCAGGGGACCAUUGUUGCAGGACAAGUGGUAUUCUAGCAACCGUCAUCCGACCACUUUCAAGCACACUUCGGCGGAAUUCCCUAUCAGGAAUGUGAAACAUAAAAAGACCUUUGCCAUUUGACAUGAAUUCAACAACGUUCGGCCCCCACACUUUCUUCAUAGCCUCCUCAACUACCUUAAAAGGCAUUCGGCGACCAAUGAAGUAGCCCAUUAAACAUUCAAACAUCUUGGGAUCUGCAGCUUCCAGAUCUUGAUCAGUGAUCUCAAUCACAGGUCUAUUGUUAACCAUAUUCGGUGGGGUAUACACCAGAUCGUAGCCCUUGGCCACGGUUCUUGCCACUACAACCCACGAUUUCCCUGAUGGAUUCUUAGACGCAUCCCUGCCUUGAGGCUUAGCUGAGCGGGACCUUCCUUGCUAGACAGGUCGCGCCCCACCAUUUGGGCGAGGAACUCGCGCUUCGUUCGGACUAGACAUGGUGUCCGAACUCGAAUUUCCUCCCAUAAUAGUUAACAACGAAGGUUCCCUAGUCAGAAUGGGAGGCCCACCAUGGGAACUUGUCCCUUUCUCCUCAUUUCGAGACCUCAUCGACUCCGAUUCCAUCUCAACUAAUGAAUCACAGCAGCAAGCAGGCGGGCGGAACCCUAGCCAUAGAUAGCCAUGCGAAACGAGGAGAGGAGACGUACCAGGAGACGAUGCCGGGGGGUUGAAAGAGAGGCAAGAGGCGCCCCUUUCCCCUAAAAUAUUGGCCUAAACGAACGGGCAACACCCCUGGAAUCAGCAGCUCGAAUUGCAGAAGGAACAGUAUCCAGUCGCCCAAGAAGAGAGAAGCGUGAACAGUUAUAAAAGUUAUUCUUUUAUCCCUAACUUCUAGUAUAAUCCCAAAGGUGACGAUUGCAGUCGCGGUCCUUUUAACAGCAAGUCUCUUCCUAGAACAUUGUGCCUGUGCUAGUACUGCUGUGGGCCUAGACUAUGAACCUUGACUACGUUGGCAUAACCCAUUUGAAGCUUCUUCAAUGUGGCUUCAUUUUUUAAGCAAGAUAUCGAGGAAAGAGUAUCUAGAGAGAAGAGGAACAGUAUCUUGGCGAAUGAUUAAGUAGUAAUUAUUGACAGGAAUGAUUUCCAUGCUACAAAAGAUUAAAUUCCUCAUAGAGGAAUGUCGGGUUUUAAGGAUGAUGUAACAAAUCGUCGAUCACAACCCUUUUGAUGUUUGCUUUACAUUUGUGUAAACAAACAUUUGUGUAAACAAUCUCCAAAGGAUCUGUGGCACCUUGCUACGCUAAUUUCCAAUGUCCAACCAAUUUGCGAGAUAUUUUGGAGAGUUUUGGAUGGGACUUAGUAAUUAUGUCAUUUGUCCUUCUUUAAUAGUUAGAAAUCUAAAUGGUUCAUACUAAAUAUUUCUCUACACUUGAACAUCAAAUAACAUAAUGUCACAAAUUAAAUCAACUGUAGAGCUUGCUAAGUUCUUUCUUGUUAUAACCGUACCUAAUAUAAUUGAUAGAUCUAUUGACCUACCUUCUUGAUGUUUUGGUCCUUUUUGUUGUUAUCGGCAAAGGAAUAAAGUGUUCUACUACUUAACCGGCAAAAAGAGUUACUUUAUUUUAUACUCUUUCACUUGAAUUGAAAUUCACAAUUCGUUUGAUGAAAGAAGCACAAAUAGUAAAAGAGAAAGGGGUUGUCAUAGGACAGUAUCAUAUAAUGUCACAUUUAGAAAUUCUUAUGAAAAGUGAAAAAAUUAGUGGGCCCACAGAAAAGAAACCCAGUCUCUCAUGUCUUGAAUAAUGACACUUCAGUGCCAAGUAAAGACAUAAAGAAGGAAAAUAAAACAAUAAUGAAAGAAAAGAAUAAAGUUAUGUGUGCUUUCCAUUUGUGUAUUUUUUUUUUAAUAAAUGGACAAUAGGGGAGGUUUGUUUCCAUGCUUCUUUUACUUGCCAUAGACAGCAACUACCUAUCUGGAAAAUUUCAAACUAUCGCGUCAUUCAAAUAUUUAAGCAACAAAUCAUUCUCCUAAAUUCUUUGAUUCCUACUACUCAAUUCAUUAGGAAUCUAAAAUACUUCUCCAAAGUACUUUCGUUAGCUGUUUUAACUUACCGUACUUGUUUCUAUCUGGAAUUCGUGAUCUUCCGAUUCGUUAAUUUGGUUACUGCAGUAAAAUCAUUUUGAAUCAGUUGUUGGUUAAACGCCACAAAAAUGACAGAGAUUUUUUUUUUUUUGGAGGGGGUGUGGGGUUGGAGAGAGAAGCCCUAUUGUAUUGUUCAUGUUGCCAUGUUAGACGAAAAAAGUUCUGCAUUGGACUUCUUUUUUAUAAGAAACACCACGUUUUAAUAAAAAUUUCAUAUAAAAAACAUAGAAUAUGUUGGGAUUUACUACUAGAAGCACUUGAGUAAUCAUUUUUCCACCUUGAGUAAUUACUUGAAAAAUUUCGGCACAAAAAAGAUAUGAUAUUUAGUUUUAUUUUCCUACCAAUGCUCUUUGAAAUAGAUAUUGAUAAGGAUUGGUAAAGUAUUUAAGCUAGAUCAUGGUAAAAUGUCCUAAUGGUUUAGAAAGCAUGCGUUUUUAAUGGUUCCAUUCUUUUGAGAAUUAUUUUCUGCACUCAAACCAAUUCCAAAAAUAAGAAUUCGCUUGAGAAGUUGCACGCCCAUAGAUAAAUGAGAAAUUAGGGGAUUGGAAUAUUUUUAACAUUGAUACUGACUUGGACUUAACUGUUCUUUUUUUUUUUUUGGGUCUAUGUCAUUAAAAAAUCGAAACCUGUAUUCACAUAAUAAAUUUAUCCAAACUAGUUUUCGUAUCACAUAAAAACCUUCAACACAUUUUACCCAAACUAAUUUUUGUCUUAUGAAAAAUCCCAAAAUUGAUAAUCUGACCAAAGAUUACCCUGACCGUUUGAUCCUAAACUAUUAAUGGAUGAUAUAUUUGACUUAGGAUUCCGCCUUGGGGCAAAUAUGUUAUGAGGAACUAGAUCAAGAUUGUUUGCAAGAUGAAAAUAGAGUUUAGGAUAAAUAUAUUAUGAGGUAUUGAUUUGAGAUUUUGAUGGUAAUAAACCUAUUUUUGUUGCAUCUUGUAUGGCCAACAAGAUAGAACAUAGAAGUAUUUGAAACAUGUUCUACGCCUUAUAUAUGAAAUUUAACCAUGUUGAAUUUAAGGCAGAGGAUUACGAAAUCGAGAUUGCCGAGCUUCCUCCUCUACAAUCUUAUGGUGCAGGAGUUGUAAACCCAUGACAUGGUCCGCAAUUACAUUGUGCAGUGAUUUAUGAUUGUCAUUUGAUCAUGGAGCACCCAAGUUUUUAAAGUCGGUGAUCUAAUGAAAAUUGCAUUUACACGAGAAAAAUGGAUGUAACAUAACGGAUGAAAAAGCAUAUAAUGAUAUGGUGUCGUCAUUGUGGUGUAAUAUUGCCGUACCAUGCUUUUGCGACUUACUCAAUGCUACCAUUUGCAUCCUUUUUAACCUUUGAUCCAUUGGGAAAAAUAAUAUGAAUGAAUUAACUGAUGCAUUUCCUGCAAUCCAAGCUUUACAUCGAGGAUAGGAUUAGAUUGAAGAACUUGAGUGAAGCUAGGAAAGUCAAAUUCAUCGUCUCUGUGUCGACAUCUCAUUUGAGUCAAUAGUUUAAGUAUUUAUUCUUGUAAAAGUACCCAAAAAAAUAAAAAAUAAAAAAUAAAAAAAACAAGGGAAUAGCAAAAAGAACUAAAACGAUAAAUAGGCAACCAAAUAAUAGUCAAAUCAACAAAUAAAAAAGGGAUCUAAUAUGGUCUUGGUCUUGGUUUAUUUCCUAUAGCCCCGAUCAGCUGGCACGGCCCAUGUCCAAAUUCGCUGAUCACAAGAGAAAAAAGAAUAGAAGCCCUGGAAGAGAAGCUCCGUUCGAGAAGCUUCCGCAUUCUUCCCCCACCACCGUUGGAGAUCGCCCACCUCCUCCGGCUGUCGGACGGUGCUCGCCUCCUCCAGCCGUCGUCGAUCCUCUGUCUCGGGAAGACACUGAUCGGAGAGAAAACCAAUUUUUGAGGCACGCACGCCCGCCUGAGAGAAAAACACCCGGGCAAGGACGAUUGAGCAAAGGGGGAAAAGCUUGCACCCCCGUCAGCACGCGUCUUUGGAGUUUCUUUUUCUUCGGUCAUCCUCAUCCACCGGUGAUCAUCACGGUUUACCAUCGCCGGCCAUCAACUCACGUACGGACUGUAAGAGAACUAGAACAGAAGGCAACGGUUGAAAUCACUCUAGAGGUUUUGGAAGCGUCCAGAAGGCACUCUCUUUCAGUGAUUUCUUCUGAAUCCUUUCCUGCCUCUUCGUUGUCAACCGUGUUUUUGGCCGUGAAGACUUGAAGCAAUUCGCGUUUUUCUGAAAACUUCAUUACCGGUGCUCAUCCUCAGCAGCGACGUUUUCUGGAUCCUCCUCGACUAGAUAACCCAAAUGACGUUUAAGGCCCAGACCUCUAAGGUAUAAGUUUGACCCACAUGCGAACCGGGCCCAUCCUGUGUCCCCCUCAGCGAGGGCUGGACGAGGCUGCCCCUCGCCAAAUCCGACUAGGGGCCUUGCCAACGACCAGUGAGGGAAAAGAGAAAAAAAAAUACAAAAUUCGAAAAUAAAUUUAAAAAUUUUAAUAAUAUCCACAUCAGUGCCAGUCGUAUCACGUAGGACUAUUGAUGUUCACACCAGUAAUUUCCAACUAAAAUUAAUCUAAUUGACUCAAUUGGUAUAAAAGUGAAAAUGUUUAAUUUUAAAUUGAUCCAUUUAUAUGUUUAAGACUAAAUUAAUAUCAAUGUUAUGAAUUUUUUUGGUACUUUUCUCGUUAACAGUUUAUAUCAAUGAAUGGUUAGGCUGCUUGAGGGCCACUGCUCCUCUCUUUGCAUUAGCAAGUGAUGCAUAUAUUCCACACACAAACAUGAAAGACAAAGUGAAAUAAUUGUUUUCAGCAUGAGUGGGUGAUUGAAUUUUGAUAGGCUGAUAUAGUGAUGCAUUUUUGGGCUCGUGUACCUAAUUAUUUGAUGAGGUUAUUCGCUGGAUUGACUUUGAAAGUUUUGAGAUUACACAGAAAAAUGAUACUUGCACUUCCAUGAAGGCUUAUCAAGCUUUUGAAAUAAUAGGAUAGGAAGGAUCUUCCACCACUCGUGACUCUUGCUCUUAACAGAUGCUGAAAAUGUUAUGGCACUUUCUAUGCCGAGAAAGAGAGAUGCAUAGAAGCAAGAAGGCCAAGUCCCAAUUCAACGGCAACUUCAACUAUACGCUACCAGACAACUAAACAUCACAUUCUUUCACAAAACUCCAGGGGCGUACAAACCUUCAUCUUGAGCAUGGCUAUCUAGCAGGUGAUCAAUCCAACGAUUGGCGUUGGCAGUUUUUAAAUUGGACAGAUGACAUAAAAGUGCUCGAAAUCGACGGCUAAGAAAGCAAAAAAGAAAAUUUCCUGUGCCCAAGGUACGGGAAUGUAGAACGGGCCCGUAUCUUUAGCUUGCGUAGCGACCAAGGAAUGGUCCCCGUAAUGAAAAAAGCAACUUGCAUCGGAAGCCCAACCAUAAGCCUUUGGAUGUAUCUCUGGGAGACCUACGUGGCACCGACGAAUGAGCCCCGUGGUCCGGGUAAUCAUAAAAUAAUAAAAGAGUGAAGAGAAGCUUCCUCGCAACAGAAAAAAGGGACGUUUCGCGGGUACUGCCGGUGGGUCUAUGCAAUACACUAUAUAUCCCGAAAACAUAGGAUAGCAUCAUCCCGAUCGUUGCGACUUGAAUGAAACAUCCCACAGUCUGUAUCGGCUCUUGACGCUGCCUGAACAUAGUUCCUUCACAAUGCAAGAAUAUUGCCAUGAUGGAGAAGAAGAACGCCCAAGUGUUACAAUAUACAAAGGCUUUGAAACUUGCCCUCUCACCGAGAAUCGCCAUUCCUCGAUCUGGUCCAUCGUUGUUAUAACCUCCGGGCACUGUGAAGGCCGCAGUGAAGGUUACUGUGGCUAUGAGCCCUGCCACUAGUAGUUGCAUAUCCAUAAUGCCUCUUUUUGACAAACCAAAAUUAUCUCGGUUGGCAAUAUUACUUCCUGUGUUUAUAGACACAGAUGGUUGACCCUGAACGAAUUGCUUAUCUAACCUCUUCUUACCAUGUUCAGUAAACCAAACUUGAAAACUCGGGAUUCCAUAAGAUCCUUUCAACAUUUGACGAGCCAUUUUAGCAGAAAUGCUCGCCUAAAAAUGUACAGAAUGAAUGAAUUAGUGAGUGAAAGUUUCCCGAUGAAAUACUUCCAGACUCUCACUUUACACACUCAAAAUCCAUCUAUAACAAACAGAAUUUCCAACGAGUCCAAAAACGUUAUGAGGAAUUCAUUCAAAUUAUCUCUUUUAGAUCAAAUUAAAUGGUAUAUAACACCUGUAAAUUGAGUUUCAUGGAGUAAACAAUUACAGUUUCGAGUAUGCUAUUUCAGUCAUGAUUUAUUCUCCAUUUUUCUUUUCGUUUUCCUUUCCUUUUCUUUCUUUUUCUGCUUUACGUUAUCAUCUAAUUUUAAAGGAUUCCAACCUUGAAUGUUUUGCAUUGUUUUUUACAUAACCAAGACAGACAAUUGCUUGAGAACUAAUUGAAGGCCAGUUUGUUGAACGGAUUUGAAACUUAUUGAAAUAUUUUGUUCUGCUGAUGAUAUAAUAUGAUCAAACAUAAUAUUUACAAACGUAUAUGUGCUUAUCAACCAAACAAUCGAAUUAACUAACAUUGAAAUUACUUUGCAAACUGAUUGGUCUUAAACUAUACAUUGUUAUUUGGAUAUUUUGUCACUGAAUGAUUAUAUUGAAGCAAAAUAUACAAACUUAAAAUUGUUUUUUGUUAUAUGCAUUUAACUGUUGGCUAUUAGUAUGAUAUUUGGUUUUUUCAUGUAAUCGGAUUGGAAAAAGGGCUUUAAUAUGUGGAAAUGAGUUAGAUGGUUUAAAAAUAUAAGCAUUUGUUGGAUAUAUAAAGACUUCUACUUUUAAAUACGACCUUUAGCUACUGGUAAGAUAAUUAUCGCGUCAAAUAAAAUAUUAUAUGACAAUGCAAAUUCCUGACUAUUUUAUAGAUUACAAAUAAAAUUUUGAAUACGACUUUUUAGCUACAAAUUUUUGUGAUUUUUGCAAUACCCACAUAUAUGGCUUAGAAGAAGAAGAAGAAGAAGAAGAUAUGAUCAUACACAUUUAUUUAAUAAUAAACAAAAACAUUAUGUACCAACUCAUAUAUUGAAAGAACCAUAAAGACUUCAAAUAAUGAUUUUACGUUUAUUGGCUAUUAUAUCAAAUAAUAUUUUAAUCACUAAACUAUGUGAAUUGAUGUUGAUAUUUUGUUGUAGGAAAAUGAUAGAGGAAGCGUUUGUUUUUUUUGUCCAGAUAGUAAUAGUUAAUUUACUAACUAAUAUUAAGUGAAGUGGGAAGGAACGAAGUUUUGAGAAAUGUGGCUCAACCACAAUGUUCAAUUCUGCCUAAUUUUCUUAUUUAUUUAUUAUAAGAUAUGAAGUGUGAAAUCACUUCAUUCCGAGCCCCUUGAGCCCUUAUUUCAUAUGCGUGUCUCACUCAAUAAAGAAAUCUAUGCUACUAUUUGCUACGGAAAUUGAAAAUAUAGUCAAUAUGCUUAAACGUUUGAAUAAGCAAAAGAAAAAGGUUGACGCAAAGACUUCAAUUGGGUAGUUUGUUUGCACCUGAAAGAGCAUUACUUGGGCCAUAGUUUCUAAACGAUACUGAAGAAAUUACUCUACGAGUGAACAAAUCUGGCUCUACAGUGUUCAAGCAAACAUACCUCUUUAUGGGCAGAACAAAUGUCAAGAGCAGUGAAAUAUCCUUAUUUUUGGUCAAAUGGUCCACCCUCUUGUCUUCUCCAAGUAUGAAUAUGAUGCCGUAUUCUUCAUGAAGUGCAGCCAAAUGCAAAGCCGUGUUUCUUCGUUGCCUUGUUCGUUGAUAAGAUUCUCUAGGUUUGGCAUCCCUAGUAUGUACUCGACUACAUUGUUUUGUCCACCGAUAAUAGCUGCAUGAAGAGCCGAUUGCCCUUUGGUGUUUAUCAUGUCACAAGCAUCAGGACAGGAUCUAACAAGCUCAUCAAUGACAUUGAUACAGCCAUAAAAUGCUGCAAGGUGAAGAGCUAAUUCCCCUGCUUUGUCUAAUUCAUAUGCCACAGAAGUAUCGUGUUGCAAGAGUAGUCGAACUGCUUCGACUUUGCCCAAGUAAGCAACGUAAUGAAGAGGCGUCCAUCCCAAAUCAUCUUUUUCUUUGAUCGCUUCUGGUCUCUUCUCCAUGAUUUUCUCCCAACCUUUGCAAAUAAAAUGGGAAAAUUUCAUUAUUUGGUCUGUUUAUAGCAUCUUGACAUACAUAUUAAAGUUGCCCUUCAUCCCAUUAAGUUUUCUCCAUUUUGUCUGUACUAGGAAGGACUAUGUCACGGUAACUGUGAAGUUUUUAUAGCGAUCUUGUGUAAACGUGUAGAACCUAAUUGCCUUCAAUUUAGCAUAAUGCAGAAAUUUAUAAAGUUUAUAAAUUGAUAAGUGAAAUAGUUAGAAAUUCGCGGAGUUAUUUGAGAAGAAGCUUCUCAUAUUUUCGGCAACGCAUCUAGGCUAGAAUAAAAGACCAAGCCUUUUUACUCUGGUGCCAAUAAUUUUAUUGAAAAUAUUGUGCCCAACUCAAUUUUAUAAGAGAAUUUAAAUAUUGAAAGAGGACUAGCACCUUCGACAUUUUCAAAAGUAAAAUCAUUUCAUCCCUUUCCUUUCAAGUCCUCAUAAUUUGCCCUCGAGGGUUAAGAAAUUGAGCAUGUAUACCCUGAUCUUGUGGAAAUGUAUUGCAAUGUGCUCAGUCACCAUUUGUAAACUUAAAAUAGAAAGAAAAAAAAAGCGGUAUAAUUCAGAAAAAUGUAAGAGAACUAGAUCUAGAAAAACAUGUAGAAAGAAAUUAGCGGGUGAGAUAGACUAUUAACAAUACUAUUAUCAAAAUAGCGAUUUUUCUGCAUGAAUGUAUAAUUUUAAAUUGAUACUAUUUUUUUGGUCCACACUCUUAAGAGAAGACGAAUCGGUUUAAACUUAUUUUUAAUAGUCAAUGAAUAAAACAAUAAAAAGAAUGCAAUGAGAUAACAACUCCAAUCUUUUCACAACAUAAACCUCGCAUAUAACAUAAUCAAGAGGCAUGUCUUUGGGAAAAAAGUGUAUGACCUUUCACCAAAACCAAUGGAAAAUAAAUAAAUAAGUUUUGAAUUUACUAUUAUAUUUAUUGAAAGCUAGGAUAGAUGGCGGCUCUCACUGCUGACACCAUCACUCUCAGCUAAGAGAAGCCCUUGCACAAGAGAGAACUCCCGUUAAUUUUUCCUUUAACUAGGCUUCGUAUCUUAUGAUACUUACUGGUCAGUGAGAGAAAAAUUCCGACGUGUAGAGCUGUCAAACCCUUAGGGCCCUUAUGAGAGGAUGACGACAAGAAAGCACUCAAUCAACUCAAUGGUACGAGAAAGUCCUCGAUAUGCCGCAAGAUAAAGUGCAGACUCAUCAGCGGCAUUAGUAAUAUCACAUAGUUGAGGAUCUUCUCCAAUUAGCAACUCCACCGCCAAAUCAUGACCUCCUCUUAUUGCAUAGUGUAGGGCGGUAUCCUUAUAUAAAUUCUGCUUCCGAAAUAGCUCUUUGCAUGCGUCAACUUGUCCAUUCUCAGCGACCCAAUGAAGUGAUUUUGACAAAUCAGUGAACAUUCGAAUCGCUCCACAGCUUCCCACUUUAGCGGCAACGCGUAAGGGAGUGUCUCCUUUAUAGUUACCCUGCCAAAGAAGUGAUGGUCCCAAUGGACAUUGAAGAAGAUGUUCAAUGAAAUUUACCUAUUUGUAUUGAGCCGCAAGAUGAAGAAUGUUGUUCUCCUUUGGUGUUGUUUGAUGGAAAAGGUCCUCUCCAUUUUCCAAAAUUAUUGUGAUCAAGGAACCAAAGUCUCCUGAUUUUGCAGCCUCAUACACUUUAGGAUGCAUUCUCGCUCUUUGUUUGUUGUUUACAGGACACUAAAAGUAGUUGCACAGGAACUUAUCAAUAUAAGCAAUUAGUUCAAGCGAAAAGAACUUCUUUGAGCUUUACAAGAGGAAUCAAUGGAAGGGAGAAUGUUGGGGAGGAAAUAUUUUCAUGCUUCUCAAGUGUAAUUGAAAGGAGACUUAUAUGUAUAUCUAUGAAACGUGAAUAUGCCAGGCGUGUUCCUGUGAAGUUUUUAUUCUCUCGAGAGCAACUCUAUAAUAACGAUAUAGGGCGAUCAAGACAAGUACGGGAAAAAAAAAACAUAAUAAUAAUAACCGACGACUAGGUCUCCCCGACAGCUUCCUUUCCCUUUUUGACUUUGGGACAAUGUGCUCUUCCCUGGAUGGGUGAUAACCUUCUUUGUUAAUAUUCAAAUGAAUCUUCGAGGAUGGUGUCAUCGAAAUAGGAAAAUCCCAAUGAAUUCAUAUUUAAAGGCCGGGAUUAUCCAAUUACUCAACUUGAUCAACUAUUGUCAUCCAAAUAAAAAUAGUUUAUGUACAAUGUCACUCCCUCCACACUUCCCAGGAUAAAGAUUGGUCAAAAGUGAACCUAUGAGUUCAAGUGCGAGGAAUAUAUCUAAUCUUAUCAAGAUGACUUGACUAAAGAAGCGAUGUUGGAUAGGAAAUAUCCUUCAAUUUUUCAAUACAACUUUUUUUAGCUUUCAACUAGACUAAAGGAAAGAUAUUGGGAAAGACAUUUUGUGACAUCCCGAUUUUUCUCAAGUUUAUUUUCAGUCAAUUGAGUUGGGCAAUUCAUCCGUGCAUAUAACUCGUUUCUCAGAGUUGGCCACUCACGAGAGAACUAGUUUAUUGAGCGAAGUAAUUAAGGAAUUGUACCGCGUCAGACUUGGGGACUGUCACCCACGGGUCGGAUGCAAGAAAAUUUCCCCAAAAGCUACUCAGUGGACUAGGCGCGCUAAAAUCGCACCAGAGUGAAAUUAACCGUGAAAUUGAAAUUGAAUUCUGAAAUUUGAAAGUCAAAGGGUGUUGCAAAUCUUAUUAGGAACAUUGGAUUAAUUCAUGGACUUUAAUUUAGACUCAAUUAGAAGAGAAUUGAUGGAAAUUGAAAUAAUUAAAUUUGCAAGAAGUUGGACCCCGGCGGAAAAUGAAUUGGACCUAUUGGAAGAUGUUGUGAAGAUUUGAGUUAGUGGAGAGUGACAUCAGCAGGUGAUGUCAUGGUGGAGGCCAAAAUUAAGGAGAGCUUGACAAGUGUCACAAGCCAAUUGGCUCACCAAAAGUGGGGGUGUCCCAUCCACUUCAUCUUCAACCUCUAGCACCUUGGGAAGGGGAAUUCGAAAUUGGGAGAGGGAGAGAAAGGAUCCGGCGAACUUGCAGCUGGUCCGUCCGCCCUUCGUCGCGUCUCCGUCGCCGCCGUCUCGCCUGCCAUCGCACGCCGUCGCCGUUCGCCGCUCGUUCGCGUGUGAGGCCCCGGGUGCGAGCUCGUCGCGUCUCCGUCGCCGCCGUCUCCUCGCUUGAGCUGCUGGUCGCCGUCCGCCAAAGCUCCCGCCACUGCCGUCCGUCCACUCAAAGCCUCCGCCGGUUGCUGCUCAAGCUGUCGCCGGUUCUCCUCCACCGUUCUCCGCUCGUUCGCCGCCGUUCCGCCGCCCCUUCAAGCCGGUUAGUUGCUGGAAAGAAAACCAGCAAGAUCUAGCAUCCUCGGAGCUCCUUUUGGUCCCCUAUAAGUGCUCAUUUGGUCUUGAUCCAUGUAGGUUUUUCGUCGGCGUCGUCGCGCUCUUCGCCGGAGACCUGUCGGAAAGUGAUUCUGGUGAGUUUACCUCACUAAUCCGCGAUUAGUGAGUUAAUGAUGCCUUAAGUAUGUUUAGUUCAAGUUGAUUGAGAUUAGGUGGAUAGAUUGGCUUAAUUAGACAUGGAUUAUAUUAAGGUGAUUAAUUAAGGUAAAAGGGUGUUUAGUUUAAUGGUUAAGUAUGUUUAUUUUUAAAAUAAACCUUGAUGUGACUUAAAAGAGUUUAUUUAUGAUUUAAAUAAAUGCUUCGAAAUUGUUGGAUUAUUUAAUAAUAUAUCUUAUUCCGAAAUUCAUUAAAAUAUUGUUUUAUAAAAAAAAAACUCGAAAAAUUUAUUUUGACCCUAAUUGCUCAGAAUUUCGUGCCGAUCGCUGCUGUGCAUGUAGAAUUUGAAAUUGAUGAUUGGUUGUGGCGAAUUGAGUGUGAUUGCGAUUUAUGAGGAUUCUUUAGAAAACCCUAAGUGUGGGAAUUGAUGGGAGAUUAGCCGUGAUUAAUCACCUAUUAGAGGUCGUGCCUAGUGAGGCCGUGAUUAACCACCGAUUGGAGGUCAUGCCUAGUGAGGCUGGGAUGGACCACCUAUGAGAGGCCUAAUAAGGCCACGAUGAACCACCUAAGAGGGGUCGUGCCUAAUGGGGCCGUGAUUGACCACCUAUUAGAGGUCGUGCCUAAUGAGGCCGUGAUGGACCACCUACGAGAGGUCAUGCCCAGUGAGGCCGGGAUGGACCACCCAUGAGAGGUCGUGCCCAGUGAGGCCGUGAUGGACCACCUAAUUAAAGGUCGUGCCGAGUGGGGCCGUGAUUGCCACUGGUUAUUAAGCCUUCCUAUAGGGUCGAGAUUGGAAGUAGUAAGUGAUUCACUAGAAUGACAUGUAAUCGACCGAGUCGAUUGAUAGCUGAGACGACCCCAUGAUUGAGCUGUGAUGAUGAUGUGAUUGUAUCUUCGUUGUUGAGUUAUUAGAAUUACACGUGGUUGAAUUAUAUAAACUGUGCUAACUUGCAGAUGAGGGCUAAGACGAGGUAAGUCUUCUUGAUGUUGCGGCUAAGCUGCUUUGGGGCGUAUUUACUUUCUAAUAUGGGUUUAGGAGGGGUGAACUUGCUGAGACAAAGUCUCAUCCCGGUUUGGGGAAAAAUAUUACAGGACCGUAGAUGGUGGGACCCCCAGAGAAGAAUGGCCUCCCAGUGCAGAUCAUCGAGCAUGUGCGCAGCGCCCCUGAUCCUGGGAGCCAUUGGGUCUAUGAGCUGAUCAGGGCUACCGUGUGGAUCCAGGAGACUAAAGAUGUUAGGGUGCCCCAUAGGUAUAGGGCUUGGUUCCGUUUUGGGGCCAAUGGUUUUAGGAUUGGUCCGCUUGACAGUUUUGACAUCCCCCUGGCUGUGAUGGAUGCUCUUCUAGGAGAGGGUGUGGCUGACCUUCCCGAUGGUAGGGUGGACAACCCACCAUCUCCGGACCCUACGCCGUCAGACGUGGAGGAUGUGGGAUCGUCGAACAAGUCCAAUUAGUAGUUACAGGACCAUUCUUCUUUUCGGUGGGCUGAUCCUUGUUGUGUAGGCUAACCCUCUUUUGAUGCACAUAGACUCUGACCCAUUUUUUGUGCAUAGGCCCUGGAUCCAGUUGAUGUAUGUAAGCCCUGAUUUGUUGAUGAUAUAUGAAAGUAUGUUGUUUGAUUUUGAGUUGAUGUUCCUGCUGUCCUAUCCCGUAUGCUUUUGUAAGGGGUUUCUUAGUACGUUCCGCUUGCACAUUAAAAAAGUAAAAUCAAGGUCGGCGACACUACCUGGGAAUGUCGCAUUUGCAUGACCAUGGCGGGUAGUUCACGUGUCUCGGGGUUCGGGGCGUGACACAUUUCUCAUAACUUUUCUAAGGAGCCAACUAAAGACAGGAUAUGGACAAAAAAUUUCUUUGAACUUUCUAAAAGAAUUGGAUUAAAAAGAAGAUGUUCGGGAGCAAAUUCAUUUGAAUUUUUUUAAGGGAAUUGAAAAGGAGAUUGUCAUGUUCGGGAGCAAAUUCUUCCUUGCGGCCUAACUAGCAGCUUAGCUUGCUGUUGUCAGUCUGGUUUGCAUUCUAUUCAAAGCAUUUUUCUUCCUCGCCACCUUCAAGGGCAAGGGAUUAAAUGAAAAAGAAGAUCGCCUAGUGCCCGAGGGGAUAAGGUUGGCCCUUCUAUGAGUAAGACAUACCAGUUAUAUAUAUAAAGUACGACCCUCCUGUAGAAAAAAGGGAAUGAUCAAUCAAUGGUUUAGAUAAAAUAUGAAUUUCUGAGGUGGAAGCAUAGUUUCCGCAAAACCAAGUCGGUCUGUUUCUCUAAAUUUGCCGUUCUGCCUCUCGCUAAUAUAAUAAGAAAGUGGGCAAAUCUUGUUAAACAUAGGAUGGACAAGUAAAAAAAAAAAAAAACCAAAACAAUCAACAGCCCUCCUGCAGAUUCCUAAUUUAUUUCAACUUUUAUUGCACCUGGUCUUCCACUUAUGAGGGCUUCUUAUUUUAUUUUAACUUUUUGACUUUUGUCCCAUCUGCUCUUCCACUUUUGAGUUGUCUUAACUUUUCUUUUUGGACUUUUGAGGCACCUAUUCUUCCAUUUUUCAUCAAAAGCAAAAUCAUUACGCUUCCACGAUAUUUCCUAAAGCGGGGUAACUUUAGACUUCUAUGCCUUCCCAGGGAGUACGUAGCAGUGAGAAUUAUCGUCGAAAGUUCUUCAGCCAAGUGAACAUUCUCUAAAACCUAUAGUGAAUAUAAAAAAUUAAACAAAGGUGAGUCACAUCAGGGACAGAUAUGAUGAAAACACAUAAUAAGGAGUAAAAAAUCGCAGCCCAUUAUUGAAUAUAGUUACUAUUAUAUUUACAAAGUACUAGCGUAGAAGGGGGCAUUGCUGCUACCACUAGCAGUCUCGCCCAAGGGAAGUCUCGCGCUAGGGAGAGAACUUCGGUUACUUGGGUUAUCAUUUGUUUAAAGUGGGUUUAGAAUCUUGUGAUACUUACUUGAUAGUGAGAAGGUCACUGCAGCAUGCAGAGCUGUCAGUCCUUUAGGGCCCUUAUGAGAGGAUGGCCAUGAGGAAGCACAUAAAAUCGGCUCAAUGAUAUCCCAAAAUCUUUGAUGUAUUGUGAGAUAAAGUGGGGACUCAUCAGCAACAUUAAUAAUAUCACAUAGGUGAGGAUCUUCUUCAAUAAGCAAUUCCACGACCCCCUUGCAACGUCUUCUUAUUGCAAAGUGCAAUAAGGUAUCUUCAUCUGAAUUCGGUAUCCUAAGUAGCUCUUUUUAUGCAUCAGGUUGAUGUAUUGCUUUCACUCGAUCGAUAAAAACUCGAACCAUUUCAUGGCUUCCCACUUGGGUAGCAACAUGUAAGGGAGUGUCUCCUUUGUUGUUACCUUGCCAAAGAAGGGAUGAUCUCAAUAGAUCUUGAAGAAAAUCUCGGAUGAAAUUUACCUGCCCGAAUUGAGCUGCAACAUGAAGAACGUUGUUUCCAUUUGGCGUUCUUUGGUGGAAAAGGUCCUCUCCAUUUUCCAAAAUUAUUGUCAUAAAGGAAUGAAAUUCUCCUGACUUUACAGCCUCAUACACUUUAGGAUGUAUACCUAAUCUCUCUUUCAUUCUCAAGACACGCGGUAGCUGCAAGUGAACUUAUCAAUAUAAGCAAUGAGUUCAAGUGGGAGGAAUUUCUUUGAGUUUUUCAAGAGGAUUUGUCAUGCCCCGAUCCUCAUGGCACGCGCACAUCCCUUAUCUUUGGUCAGUUUAAAAUUUGCAAUAACCCAGGAUUAUGUAUCGCCGACCCUUUCAUUUAUAUAUGCACAUGCGGAAGCAGUCAUAAAAUCCCCAGACAAUAAAGCAAUGAGAUAUACAAGUAGGACUAGGAAAUUGAACCUGAAAACCAACACCCUUAUGCUCAUAUACAAGCCAUACUAAAUCGAUUGGUUUCUACUCAAAUUGAUUUUAUAACAAUCGUCAUCAGAAUCCUACUCCGGAUCAUCCUCGGGGUUCUCCUCCACGUACUCCUCUUCGGGUUCCUCAACAAGGAUCUCCUCAUCAGAUUCAUGCUCUUUAGGCUCCUCAUCCAGGUCCUGAAAUGGUUAUUCAAUAACCAUUGAGACAACGUCUCCGCAAGUUCUACCUCCUAAGACCCGAUUAGUAAACUAAUACACCUUAGGGCUGCCUAUGCACAACAUGAGUCAGAGGACUUACCUUGGCCUCAGAUUCCACCUGCAUAUUAGUACAGAUUAAAUAGGCACCCAAGCAAUCCCAUCACAGAUCGAAGCAUCGAUCAAAUCGACCUAGUCGAUUUCACGUCAACAAGACCACUCACGGUCAUUUCCACUAUUCCAACCAAUUUACAACAUCAAUUCAAGGCAAUGAUCAAUCGACCUAGUCGAUUACGUCUCAAUCAACCAUUCACCGAUCAUUUCAUUCAAUCAAUCAAUCCACAACAUCAAAUCAAGACAACGAUCAAUUGACCUAGUCGAUUACAUAUCAACAAGACCACUUUCGAUCAUUUCAACUAUUCCAAUUCAAUUCCCAAUAAUGAAUCACGGUCCUUAGGACACAACUUAAUUAUAGGUGGUAAUCACGGCCCCACCAAGCAAUUUUCUUAGAUUUAGUGGCAUCACGGCCCCACUCGGCAACUUUUAAUAUGUAGUGGCAUCGCGGCCCCACUCAGCAAUGUUAUAUGUAGUGGCAUCACGGCCCCACUCGUCAACUUUUAAUAUGUAGUGGCAUCACGGCCCCACUCGGCAAUGUUAUAUGUAGUGGCAUCACGGCCCCACUUGGCAACUUUCAAUAUGUAGCGGCAUUAUCAACUGAUGCUCGGUUAUUCUUCAAUUAAUAACCAAAGAUGAUUCAAUUUAGGAAUAAAUCCUAAAAUCAUUGAUAAAUCAAUUUAGCACAAAAUCAUGCUCAAUUAAAUAAACAGACUGUACAACGACAAUCAGCACGAAAUUUCGAUCGCUGGCCAUCCUAGUUGAAUUUUCGGAAAAUAAAUAAUUAAAUAAUUAAUUUCGAAAAUUAAAUAAAUACAUACAAUAAAUUCAAUUUAGAAUAAUAUAAAGCUCAAUUAAAUAAACAGACUGCACCACGAUCAUCAGCAUAAAAUUUGGGUCACUGGCCAUCUCAUCCUUAAUUUCCGAAAAUAAAUAAUUAAUUAAUUAAUUUCAAGGAUUAAAUAAUUAAUAUUAAAAACUCAAUUUAACUCAAAAUAAAGCCCAAUUAAAUAAAUGGACUUCACCACAGUUAUCGGCAUAAUUUUCUGGUUCCGGAUCAUCUUAGUUGAAUUUUCGGAAAAUAAAUAAUUAUUUAUUUUAAUUUCGAAAAUUAAUAUUUAAAUACUAAAAAAUCUCAAUUAGGCUCGAAUCGCCUAAUUAACACCCAAUAAGGGACGGGAAAAAUCCCAAGAAUCAUCCAAAAAUACUACAAGCAAUUCUCUAUCUAAUUACACUAAUUAUUUCACUAAUAUGCAAUGAAAUUAACUAAUAAUUGCUAAUCCAUUCAAAUCUAACAACUUAAUUACACUUAAUUAACACUAAUCAACCUUUAAGUGUAAUUAGUAAGCUAAGAAGGCAUUAGUGAGUAAAACUCACUCAAAACGACGGGCUCGACGCGAGGAUCGACUUUCCUCAAAGCGGGCCGAGCAUCCAGGCUUGAGAAGGCGGCCAAAAAGGGCUAAAACCCACUGUCAUACCCAUUUUCUACAACCCUCUGAUCACUGUUGGUCACGGCAGAUUCGGGGCUGGUUGAGGCGGCCAAGGGCGGUUGAGGGCGAGGCAAAGCUCUGGCGAGGUCGACGGUGGCCGGAGGUGUUUGGGUGGCGGCCGUAGGUGGCCGAAUGGGACCGACCAGAGGUGAAACAGAGGCUGGACAGAGGCGGUAGCUCGGCUGGGUGAGGCGAACGGCAUUCGAGCGGGCGAGCGCGAAGCGGACGGGGCGGCGGUGCGGCAGCUUCGGUGCGACGGCGUCCAAGCAGCUGGUCGCGGCUCCUUCCGGCAACGCUAGACUUGCUUCUACUUCUGCUAUUUGGUUCUGUUCGAACCAGAGGGAGGAGAGGGGCGAAGCUAUGCACGGGCAGCAGGACGGCGGACGGCGGCGACUCCGGCUCCAGUUGCUUGCUGCAUCGGCGCCAAGAGAAAUCACUGCUUCGGCUUGCUAGUUUGCUAAUCUUAAGCUUCCAUGGAGUUUUGAAGAAAAAGAAGGAGAUGGGGGAGGAGUUCAGUCGACGAAGGAGAGAGAGGAGAAAGAGAAAUUCAAUUUUUCCUCUUCCUCUCACACACUCUCUCUCUUAGGCCAUCACGCAUGGGCCACCAUGACAUCAUGUGAUGUCACCUUCCACCUACCAUUUCUUGACAAAUUUGCCCCUUCUAGAAGCAUUUGGGUAGGCCAAAAUAUGUGGGUAGAGGUGGCAUACGAAUUUUGCUAAGGUUUGUUUCCAAAUUAAAUCUUAAUCCUACUUGAAUCAAAUCAAAUUGAACCCUAUUAAUUUAUUCAACACCUCAUUAUUCCAAUUGGUAUUUUUCCUUACCAAUGUAGCCCACUUGCAUCCCAAUUUCACAAUCCUUGGCUUCAAUUGAACAAAAACGGCUCUAUUUAUCCAAUCGAAAUUAGAACCCGAAAAUCUGGAUGUCACAGGAUUGGUGAAAAGGGAAAAUGUUGGAGAGGAAAUUGAAUUGAGCUUCCUAGGAGUACUAAAAUGGAGACAUUUAUAUGCAUAUGGUGGUUCUUCAAUUGUUUCGAUGAAAUCGAAAUAAAUUUAGCAGGUUUAGAGAAUAGUUUCCAAAAAGUCUAAUUGGUAUGCGUUUUGGACUUCCUGCUUUCCACUUUUUAUCAAAAUCAAAACAUCCUUCUAGAAGAAUCGGAUAUGAUUUAACUUGUUUAUUAAAGUAAUAAUAUCCGUUCACUUUGAGCUGUAAUUUUUUUUUUUUUUUUAUGAAUUGAAUCGGAUCUGAUUUAACUUAUUUAUUAAAGAAAUGAUUUUCGUGGACCCACUUUUAUCCGUAGUUUUCUUCUUCUUUUUUUAUUUUAUUUGUUCAUCGAAAAGUCCUUUGCUCUUUUUAGUCUUCACGGUCCAAGUUCGUCGUGAGCAUGCAUUCUCAUCAUGGUGCACAAGAUGGACCCUACCCAAGCUUGGUCCCACUCGAAGAUUUACAUAUGUAAUUAUUAUGGAGCACGAACUUAGGUAAAAUUCAACCAAUAAAAAACUUAGGUAAAAAUUAGUUGACGACCAAUUUGAGCUCAUCCAAUAAUCACCUCUACUUCUAUAAUCCAUUGGCAAAAGUUGGAGCUCAUAAUGAUAUGUUUUCUAUUGUAAUGUUUGCACAAUAUUCUAUAACAAAUAAAAAUCUAUCAAAAAUUUAUGAUCGUUCAAUGACUAUCUAUCAUUUUUAAUAUGUGGAAGAGAGACACGACAAAAACUUAAAUUUAAAUAAAUAAAAAAGAGACAGCAAGGCCGAAGUUGUUCUACUUUUUUAACAAGGGCAGUGAACCUUGUCGAGGUCUCAGUGAGGGCCAACAACCCUUGCAGGUCUGUCCAUGGGCAAGGGCUCACAGGCCCUCAUCUACGUCACACACAGUGGUCUUCAUUGUGAAAUAAUAUGUAGAACUAAAUUCUUAAGACUAUUUUCUCAUAUUUGACCUUCAUAGAACAUUAGCCUCAAUUAUGUCUGCGAAUUGGCAAUUAGUGUCCUACCAGAAUCCCAUCGACAUUGUGUAUGUAGAUCUGAAUUCUUUGUUAACAGCAAAACUGCAUUGGCAGUGGGUUAUUUUUUCUUUUUUUAACUCAACCCUUUUUUUAUGUAUGUUGGCCUGGGCUUUUCUCCCACAUCGGUGCCAUGAAUAAUUUUUUAUUAGUUCAUUAGAAAGUGGACUUAUUUUUGUUGAUGGACUCUUUACACCGUCUCUGACUUUGAAGAGAAAUAGGAAACGGCUCAUGGGACUCAUGGACUAUGUCACUUCUAGAGCAGGUAAUUUCUCAUAAGACUAUUGCUUGUUAUUUUUAAUGAUUUGCAUCUGAUGUCCGUGACGAUCUGUUAUGUUCCUUGCCUUCCAAACUGCCGUUGCUUGUGCGAAGGUGUUGACAGUUGCUGGUCAGAUAUAUAGUCUUGUGGUACCUGAAGUGUAUCUAUAAGUCUACACAAAUGCUUUUGAAAGCUUAAAAAAUGAAAGUUAUAGUAGCCAUUAUUUACCUAAAAACGUGGGGUUUAGAUGCUGCAAUGGUCAGCUCUUUAUAAUUGUUCUGUGCCCUUCCAUGUUAUACUCCAGUAAUUCUUGGGUAACAUAACCAGCAUACUAAAUUAAUGUAGCACAUCGACAAAACAUUUAGCUCAAUAAGUGGCGAAUGGAUAAAUGACAAUGCUGUAAUCCAUGUAUUCUUACUGUUGUCUUUGUCCUGUUGCCGUUUACCUAGUUUCUCAUGUUCAUGGUUAGAGUUAUCUGUCUACCAUCAUUGCAACUUACUUGCCUGUCUCAGCAAGCACCGUGAUGAGUCGAGGUGUUGUUGAAUUUCGUGAUGGAGGACCUCUAGUGAGAAAAAGUGCUGCAAUGAGCGAGUUACACAUUUCCGUGUCGUGCCUUCUUUCUUUUUGAUAUUGAGGUGAAAACAUGUGACGAAUCACUUUAUACCAUUCGGAGAUUUUAUUCCCCUUUUUCCUUUCACAAGUUUUAUAGUAUUCUUCUUUAUUAUAUUACCGACCAACUUUUGAGACACACACGUAAAAUUCGCUUUCUUGUUUGUUCUUUCCCUAAACAUUUGGUUGAAGUAUAAUACUUUGAGUCUGCAGAGAAAAUGUGAUUCCGCUUUGCAGCAUGACACUUUGCCAAGCCAUGCUACUAUGAAGUAAAUUUCUGCAACUUCUAGGGAAAAAAAAAAAAGAUAUCAUAAGUAAUAUAACCUUUGUACGGCACUCUUUUUUCUUUUUUUAUCAUUUAAAUGUUAUCACUUAUGUAUGGCACUCUUUUGAGUACUAUAAUUAUUUUCACAAUUACUUUAGUGUUAUAUAACUUUUUAAUCAAUUACUUGAUUGUUAUAAUUUUUUUAAAAACGUUCACUAGAAGUGCUAAACUACAUCAAAUUUAUGGUAUUUGAGUGAACAUUUUUAAAAAAAUUGACACUUAAGUGAUCAACUAAACAUAAUAUUUUUUUAGAAAUAAUGGCAAUUAAGUGAUAAGAAAAAAAAGUUAUAGUACUUAAGCAAACAUCCUAUAAAAGUUAUUCUUUUAUCCCUAACUUCUAGUAUAAUCCCAGAGGUGACGAUUGCAGUCGUGGUCCUUUUAACAGCAAGUCUCUUCCUAGAACAUUGUGCCUGUGCUAGUACUGUUGUGGGCCUAGACUAUGAACCUUGACUACGUUGGCAUAACCCAUCUGAAGCUUCUUCAAUGUGGCUUCAUUUUUUAAGCAAGAUAUCGAGGAAAGAGUAUCUAGAGAGAAGAGGAACAGUAUCUUGGCGAAUGAUUAAGAACUUAGUAGUUAUGUCAUUUUUCCAUCUUUAAUAGUUAGAAAUCUCAAUGGUUCAUACUAAAUAUUUCUCUACACUAUGAACAUCAAAUAACAUAAUGUCACAAAUUAAAUCAACUGCAAAACUUGCUAAGUUCUUUCUUGCUACAACGGUAUCUAAUAUAAUUGAUAGAUUUGUUGACCUACCUUCUUGAUGUUUCGGUCCAGCAAAGGAAUAAAGUAUUCUACUACUUAACCGGCAAAGAGAGUUAUGUUACUUUAUACUCUUUCACUUGAAUUGAAAUUCACAAUUCGUUUGUGAAAGAAGCACAAAUAAUAAAAGAGAAAGGGGUUGUGAUAGGACGGUAUCAUAUAAUGUCACAUUUAGAAAUUCUUAUGAAAAGUGAAAAAUUAGUGGGCCCACAGGAAAAAAAAACCCAGUCUCUUCUGUCUUGAAUAAUGACACUUCAAUUCCAAGUAAAGGCAUAAAGAAGGAGAAGAAAACAAUAAUGAAAGAAAAGAAUAAAGUUAUGUGUGCUUUCCAUUUGUGCAUUUUUUUUUUCAAUAAAUGGAUAAUAGGGGAGGUUUGUUUCCAUGAUUCUUUUACUUGCCAGAGACACCAACUACAUAUCUGGAAAAUUUCAAACUAUUGUGUCAUUCAAAUACUCAAGCAACACAUCAUUCUCCCAAUUUUUUUUAUUCUUAUCACUCAAUUCAUUAGGAAUCUUAAAUUACUUCUCCAAUGUACUUUAGUUAACUGUUUUAACUGACCGUGCUUGUUUCUUUGUUCAUGGAAUAGGUGAAGAACUUCAAAUCAUUAGCAGAUAUUCAAGCUGAAAACCUUUUAAAUCUUGAUGACAUAUGAGUUUAAAGUUUUAGAGCACCUUAGCAAUAGUACCUUGGAAUACAGUUUUCAGUGUCUUCAGCCAUCAAUGCCUGCAACUGCAAAGUGACAAUAUUAUAUUAUAUAAACUCCGAUAUGGCUUGCCAAUAAAAUUAAGUUAGCAAUUAAAUAUCUAAAAGACGUUCAUUUAGAGAUUGAUUGCCCUAAAUUAAGGAAUUGGGGCAAAAUUCAAUGUGUUCUUAAAAAACCCUAGCCCUUAUUCGUCGAAUUGGGGCAAAAUCAUCUUAUCAAAUCUCCUUAUCAAAUCUUGCUCUAAGAAGAGCAAAGUUGGCAAACGUUCAAAACUUGUCCACGAUACGAUUUCACUACAAGGCCUUACUUUCAAUCCUCCACGCAUGGCCUCAUCUUCACUGCAAGUCCUCUUCCUUCUCCAAGCAGAAGAACCGAUCCCUUCUUCACCCAUUCUCCAAUUUCGUCGUCCUGAGCUGUAGCGAAGUAGAAUCGAAGCAUCAGACAAACAAGAAUUGAGAAAGAGGGCUCUGUUCUCUAUCGAGAAAACAGAGCUCUAUUUCGUCAUUGCGUUUGCUCUGUUGUCUCCUCACCGUAUGAGUGCACAAACGCAAGAACAUUGAGAUUAUUUCUUAGUGUUAUUAUUUUUCGUUUGCCCUUUUGCUCGUCACUUAUGCAAACACUAAAAUGUCCAAUAGGUAAUUAUUCUUCUCUUUCAAAACAAGACCGAACCAACCUCCCAAUUUCUUUUACUUCUUCAGCUCCACCUCUGUUUUUACGUAGAACCAAACUCUUCUUCCAGUUUUCUGUCCUGAAUUCGUGAUCUUCCGCUUCGUUUAUUUGGCUACUGCAGUAAAAUCAUUUUGAAUCGGUUGUUGGUUAAACGCCACAAAGAUGACGGAGAAAGUUUUUUUUUUUUUUUGGAGGGGGGUGGGGUUGGAGAGAGAAGCCCUGUUGUACUGUUCACGUUGCCAUGUUAGACGAAAAAAGUUCUGCAUUGGACUUCUUUUUUAUAAGAAAAGCCACGUAUUAAUAAAAAUUUCAUAUAAAAAACAUAGAAUAUGUUUGAAUUUACAACUAGAAGCACUUGAGUAAUGUUUUUCCACCGAUAUAACACUUGAGAAAUUACUCACAAAAUUUCGGCACUAAAAAGAUAUGACAUUUAGUGUUAUUUUCCUACCAAUGCUCUUUGAAAUAGAGAUUGGUAAGGAUUGGUAAAGUAUUUAAGCUAGAUCAUGGUAGACUGUCCUAAUGGUUUAGAAAGCAUGCAUUUUGAAUGGUUCCAUUCUUUUGAGAAUUAUUUUCUGCACUCAAACUAUUUCCAAAAUUAAGAAUUCGCUUGAGAAGUUGCACGCGCAUAGAUAAAUGAGAAUCUAGGGGAUUGGAAUAUUUUUAACAUUGACUUCGGCUUAACUGUUCUAUUUUUUAUUUUGGGUCUAUGUCAUUAAAAAUCCGAAACCUGUAUUUAGGGUUCCGGCUUGGGCCAAAUAUGUUAUGAGGAACUAGUUUUCGUAUCACAUAAAAACCUUCAACACAUUUUACCCCAAACUAAUUUUUGUCUUAUGAAAAAUCCCAAAAGUGAUAACCUAACCAAAGAUUACCCUCAACGUUUGAUCCUAAACUAUUACACUGGAUGAUAUAUUUGAGUUAGGUUUCUGGCUUGGGGCAAAUAUGUUACGGGGAACUAGUUCAAGAUUGUUUGCAAGAUGAAAAUAGAGUUUAGGAUAAAUAUAUUAUAAGGUAUCAAUUUGAGAUUUUGAUGGUAAUAAACCUAUUUUUGUUGCAUCUUGUAUUGCAUAUUGUAUGGCCAACAAGAUAGAACAUAGAAGUAUUUGAAACAUGUUCUAAGCCUUAUAUAUGAAAUUUAACCAUGUUGAAUUUAAGGCUGAGGAUUACGAAAUUGAGUUUGCCAAGCUUCCUCCUCUACAAUCUUAUGGUGCAGGAGGUGUAAAUCCAUGACAUGGUCCGCGAUUACAUUGUGCAGUUAUUUAUGAUUGUCAUUUGAUCAUGGAGCACCCAAGUUUGUAAAGUUGGUGAUCUAAUGAAAAUUGUAUUUACACGAGAAAAAUGGAUGUAACAUAACUUAUGAAAGAGGACAUAAUGAUAUGGUGUCGUCAUUGUGGUGUAAUAUUGUUGUACAAUGCUUUUGCGACUUACUCGAUGCUACCAUUUGCAUCCUUUUUAAUCUUUGAUCCAUUGGGAAAAAUAAUAUGAAUGAAUCUAAUAAAUUCAUUUCUUGCAAAACAAAAGCAAACUCCUCUCAACGCUCGGAGCUCUCUCUCUACCGAAGGUGUAGCAAUGGCAACCCUCCCUCUCACAAACCCUAAUCAUCCACCAUAACCUUGAUUCCCACCACUGUCUCAUCCAUUUCCACGAUCCCAUACCCACAAAAAAACCUAAUCACCCAUCACAACCUUGUUUCACAUUACUGUUUCAUCCAAAACCGAGAACCCAGGGCCACUGUCCUCGUCACCAGCAGGGAUUUCGCUGUUGUUCCAAGAUCCACUCACCGAAGAAGGGAAAACUGACGGCACGUAUGGAUCAGGUGUGACUCCCCUUCGAAUCCUCCAUCCCGCGGCCAAUCCCUAGUAGUAAUGGAAGGGGAAGGAGAGGCUGUGGACCGUCUUGCCCAUCUCUGCAAUAAAUUAGGUAAGAUGAUGUAUGAGAAUGAUAUGGCUAUUCUUGAUGAAGAUUUAUCGGCUGAGAAACUUCAAGAAUGCCGAUUCUCUCUAGUUGGGCAACUCUACAAUAACCCUAUUGUCAACUUUCAAGCACUUACAACAGCUAUGAAAAAGGCGUGGAAAAAUGAAAGUGUAGAGGUAAAACCCUUAGAAAAUGGGAAAAUUAGCUUUGCUUUCAAGAAUGAAGGGGAAAAAAACCGAGCAUUAGAGGGAGGUCCUUGGUCGUUUUCAAAUCAUUUAUUAAUAUUAAGAGCAUGGGAACCGGACACUCCUCUACACUAUUAUGAAUUUAAAACAUGUGCAUUUUGGGUCAGAAUUUAUGGGCUCCCACUGGAAUGGAAUUCUGAAAGCAUGAUAAAGAAGAUUGCAAGUUCAAUGGGGAAAGUUCUGGAGGUGAAAACGGAUGCUAGAGGCCUUGCUUUUCAGAAAAUAAGGAAAGCAAAAGUGGAGUUAGAUGUGGAGGCUGAAUUGCGCGUAGGACAACUGAUGCGACAAGGGAAUAAAAAAGUGUGGCUGGACUUCAACUAUGAGAGACUACCAUUUUUCUGCUUCUCUUGUGGCAAGAUAGGCCAUUAUGCAACUAAUUGUAAAGACAUACCUUAUGAGGAGGAGAAAUUCACAACUGAAUUAGGAGGCUGCUUUGGAGGCUGGUUGAAAGCAGAAACCUCUGACCAUAGCUCAUUCUGGAAAGUAUUCUAUGAUGAAGCUUCACCAACACAAAAUGAAGAAGAGGUUGUUCCUGAAACCCCUGUACAACCGGGGCAAACCGAGAUUAGGGAAGCAAACCAACACCUUCCACUUAUUAACAGCCAAAAUCUGCAGCAGGGAAGUAUGGACCAGAUGCUAAUGGAUCAUUACUCUCACACCACAAAUGAGAUAAUGAUGCAAAAUUUAGGGAAAAGAACGCUUCUACUCACUGGUCCGGAGCACAACAACAAUCUUAACAUCCAGACAUCUACUUCAAUCAGCCUCAAAAAGAAAACCAAAAUGCAACCAAAAACCCCCUCUUUCAAGAAACAAAGGAAAACCCAUGUGCAAGCAACACUAACCCCAGCACAGGGUUGGUUAGAUGAAACUCAGCUCCUUGAAACACCCAUACAGAUGACUAAAGAAGUUGAAGCAUGGGCUGUGGUGGCUAGCCCUAAUAAGCCACCAAAUGACCCAUGAAUAUACUGAGCUGGAACUGUCAAGGGUUGGGCACACCUUUGACAUUCGAGAGUUGAGAGCCUUAACGGCUCAAUAUAGGCCCUGUUUGGUUUUUAUUAUGGAAACAAAAAAUAAGGCUGAGUUUGUGCAAAGAAUCAAAAGAAGACUCCAAUUUCAGAGGUGUGUAGUAGUGGAUCCUGUGGGUACGGCGGGAGGAUUGGCCCUUAUGUGGGAUGAUAGGAUUUCAGUAGAUAUUGACACAAUGACUGAAGACUUUGUGAAUUUAAAGUGUGAAGAAGGGAUUUCAGGUAAAACAAUGCGUAUCACCUUUGUUCAUGCUCCAUAUACCUACUCCAGAAGGCUGCAACUUUGGGAGAACUUAUAACAAAUCAGCUCCUCAAAUACUUUGCCAUGGGUUUGCUUGGGGGAUAUUAAUGAAGUGCGGUUCCAUUGGGAAAAAGUAGGGAAGAGGCUGGCUGAAAAUUUCAGAAUGAGUGCUUUUCGGGAUUGCUUGGAUGCAUGCUCUUUCAUGGACAUAGAUAGUAAGGGAUGUGCUUUUACCUGGGCUAAUAACAGAGAUGGGGAAGAAUAUGUGAAAGAAAGACUAGAUAGGGUGUUGUGCACGAUUGAAUGGAGAUUAAUGUACCCUGAAGCUGAGGCUUUUGCCCUACCUACAGUAGGGUCAGAUCAUAGCCCUCUUAUAUUGUCUCUUCAAACAACUCAAGUUAGAAGAAAACGAAACUUUAAAUUUGAGGCGUUUUAGCUUUCGAAUGCUGACUGUAGGGAAGUGGUGUUGGAAUCAUGGCGUAUGCUUAAUCAAAAUCAAACAAAUCUUGCUGGAAAACUUUCUGCUGUUAAGAACGCUCUAUCCAAAUGGAGUAAAGAGACAUUUGUGCAUGGAAAAAAGAGAAUUCAAGUGCUGAAGAAGGAGCUUGAGUGUCUAACAAAUCAUAUUUCAGGUUCUUUCAACAAGGCACAAUUUCAAAAGAUCUAGAAUUGAGUGGCUGAGAUGGGGAGAUCGGAAUACCAAAUACUUUCAUGCAACAACUAUCCAAAGAAGAUAGAGAAACAGGAUUUCUAUGCUACAAACUGAAGAAAAUACAUGGUUGGUUGAGCCAAAUCAGUUAAAAGAACAUACCGUGCAGUUUUUCAGGAAGUUAUACCAGUCAUAUGGUCCCUGGAACUUCGCCCCAGUGGUAGAGUAAAUAUUUGCAGCAGUGACAGAAGAUAUGAAUAGAAGUUUAAUUGCUGAAGUUACUAUAGAAGAAGUUACUAAAGCAGCAUUUGAAUUGGGCGCAACUAAAGCUCCAGGACCAGAUGGUCUUAGUGGUUUGUUUUAUCAGCAUCAUUGGAAAGACAUCAAAGGGGACAUCUUCAAGGAGGUCAAGAACUUUAUGACCAUUGGUUCCCUCUCAACAGCACUCAACAAAACACAUAUCUCCCUCAUUCCAAAGAUUCCAAACCCAGAAAGACUGGACCAAUAUUGUCCCAUCAGUUUAUGCAAUUUCGCAUACAAAAUUAUCUCAAAAGUGCUAGUAAACGGACUCAAACCCAUAAUAUCAAAAAUUAUAGCACCAGAACAAAGCGCAUUUGUGGGCGGGAGACAAAUCCAGGAUAACAUUUUUAUUGUUCAGGAAGUACUUCAUCAGAUUCGAAUCAGGAGCAGGAAAAAGAAAUUCCAGGCUAUUCUUAAACUAGAUAUGAAGAAGGCCUAUGAUCGUGUGGAAUGGGAUUUUUUAUGGGUGGGAUGGAUAAUGAAGUGUGUUACUACGGUCACAUUUAGUGUUCAAUUUAAUGGAGAACCCCUGCAAUUCUUCCAACCCUCAAGAGGACUCAAGCAAGGGGAUCCUUUAUCUCCUUAUCUAUUUAUUAUUGUGGCUAAUGUAUUAUCUUUAUUGAUGAAGCAAGUUGUGGAAGAUGGGAGUGUUAAAGGAAUUAGACUAAACCGAAGUUGUCCUACCUUAUCUCACCUAUUAUUUGCCGAUGAUUCCAUUUUCUUCUUAAAUGGCACUAUUUUAGAAUGUCAAAUCUUGCCAUGAUCCUCAAUCAAUAUUGUUUCGCAGUUGGACAGGAGAUUAAUUUAAAUAAGUCGGGGAUCUUUUUCAGCAAGGGAUGCCCUCAAACAUUAAAAGAUAAUAUGGCAAGAGUAUUGAGAGUCCCUAUUAUUGAAAAAACAGGGAAAUAUUUGGGUAUCCCUUCUAAUUGGGGAGCAUCCAAAAAACAGAUGUUUGCAUGGGUACUUGGGAGAAUUAGUGCCAAACUAGAAAGCUGGAAGGAAAAAUUACUAUCCAUGGCUGGAAAAGAAGUCCUGCUGAAAACGGUAGUACAAGCUCUACCACAGUUUGCAAUGUCGGUGUUUAAAAUCCCGGUCUCUAUAUGUAAGGCUAUUGAACAUAAAAUUGCAGCCUUCUGGUGGAAGAGUAAUGAAAAGAAGGAAGGUAUUCACUGGAGGAAAUGGGAGCUAUUGAAAACUAGAAAAGACAGAGGUGGAAUGGGGUUUAGAGACCUUCUCUCAUUUAAUAAGGCAAUGUUAGGGAAGCAGGUUUGGAGGUUGGGACAGCAGCCCUCUUCUCUUUGGAGUUCACUGUUUAAAGGGCUACAUUAUCCUCAUACAGAUUUUUGGCAUGCAGCAAAGGGUCUUCGACCUUCAUGGGGAUGGAGAAGCUUGAUUUUAGGAAGGGAUUCAAUUGCACUGCAAGUAAUGUGGCAGGUUGGAGAUGGCUCUAGGAUAAAAAUACGGGAAGAUAAAUGGUUGCAACGAGGAAUCAUUGAGGGACCAGUAAACGCAACUGAACCAUCCUUGGUUUCAGAACUCAUCGAUAAAGAACAAGGAAUAUGGAAAGAAACGACAAUAGCAGCACACUUUGAGGACAGCCUAGUUGAAGAAAUCCUAACCAUUCCAAUCAAGCCUCAAACGGAAACAGAUAAAAUGGUAUGGAUUGGAACUUUGGCAGGCAAGUAUACAGUCAAAAGUGGGUAUAAUCACAUCAAGGAGGACACAGAACAAUGUCAGACAAAUCAUGCCACAACGUCAUUUCAGACUCCCCCCGCACUCUGGACAAACAUUUGGAAGCUACACACUCCUUCUAAGGUUAAAAACUUUAUGUGGUGCUUAUGUCAAAAUGCUUUACCGACGAAGGACAAUUUGUUUAGAAGGAACAUAUUACCUGAUCCAAUAUGUCCUCUAUGCAAUCAUGAAAGAGAAAUGGUGGAACAUCUCUUCUUAUUAUGUCCGUGGACAAGACAGGUAUGGAGCGAUCCUGUGAUGAACAUCAAAAUCUCAAGGCAGGGCUUGACAAGAGUGGAAGAUUGGUUUUGCAGACUCAAAGAAAAGGCCACUUACCCUCCAAACUUGCAAUUGGUAGCUGUUGUGUUGUGGUCUAUAUGGAAAGCGCGAAAUCAAGCUAUUUUUCGGGGUAGAGAACCCGAGGGAUCGGCCAUCAUAGAAUCUGCACAAGCAACAUUGAACAGCUAUCAAAAAUGGAAUCCACAGAUGAGUGGCCAUCAAGUAGGAGCAGGUAAUGAAUCUCAAAAUAGAGCAGAUCCAAUAGAGCAAAAUGAGCAGAUUUGGGAGCUAAAACAGAGGCAUGGAGAGUCGGGUCGAGAGCAACGGGCUAUAAAUAAUGAGCGGGGACUCAGAGUAGCGGCUGAGUAGGCAAGUAGAGAAGAUGACUUGAGAACAGACCUGCGAUUUCAACUCAACGGUGCAUGGAGUGGGCGAACUAAACAGCCUCAUGCAGAGGAGGCACCUAGAUGCUAUAGUAGAAACGGAUCUGGUGCAGGGCCCUCUUCGCUAAGAACCUCAACCGCGCAAUACAAUGAGGGAGAUGAGGACAAAACAGAGAGAUCUGCAGACAGGACAUCAAGUGCAGAGCUGCGUCCUUCAAACCGAGGGAAAGGCACCACCGACGAAGACAAAUCGGAGAACCACCUAGUUGAGCCGCGCCUUCGAAUGAGAGGUGAGCGAGGACAGGAGCUCCACGAGAGGGACGCCGAAAAAGGAAGAAGUGCUGAAACCAUAUCCCAGAACACUUGCUGCGAUGUUGAUUGGAAGACCCAUGAAAAUCCCAGAUCUGAAACCCACGAACUCCAAACACCUCAGCCAUGGAUUCCACCACACAAAGGAGUCUUGAAGAUCAAUCUGGAUGGAACGUACGAAUCUGGGAGGUUGGGGAACUCCAUUGCUUGUGUGUGCAGAGAUUCGGGAGGCAGGCUACUUGAAGGAAUCGCUAAAGGGAUCAGAGCUUCCUCUCCACUUAUGGCCGAAACCCUAGCUUUAUGGGAAGCCAUUGACUUUUUUUACCCUAAAAGACACAAAUCCAUUAUCUUUGAGUCAGACAGUUCAACACUUGUCCAAGCCAUGAAUAGUUUGGAUCAGUUCAGUUGGGAAAUUCAACAUAUUAUCAGCAAAUGCAAGGAAAAGCUACGGGCCUUCACACAUUUCCAUAUAGCCCAUUGCUAUAGAGAGGCUAACAUGGUUGCAGAUUAGGUUGCUAAAGCCCAAAAAAAAAAUCACCUACCUUGGAAUUGGGUCUCAUCCACUCCCCAAACUUUAUUAGACUUAUUAUGUAAUGACGCCCUUUUACCGGGCCUCUCUUAUUUACGUCCUUAAUGAAAUUGACGCAUUUCAGACCCAAAAAAAAAAAAAAAAAUUCAUUUCCUGCAAACCAAGCUUUACAUUGAGGAAAGGAUUAGAUUGAAGAACUUGGGUGAAGCUAGGAAAGUCAAAUUCAUCGCCUCUGUGUUGACACCUCAUUUGAGUCGAUAGUUUUAAGUAUUUAUUCUUGUAAAAGUAACCUCCCCCCCCCCCCCCCCAACCAUAAAAAAAGCAAGGGAAUAGCAAAAAGAACUAAAACAAUUAAUAGGCAAACAAAUAAUAAUCAAAUCAUUAAAUAAAAAAGGGAUCUAAUAUGGUCUUGGUCUAUUUUCUAUAGCCCCGAUCAGCUGGCAUGGCCCAGGUCCAAAUUCACGUUGAUCGCAAGAGAAAAAAGAAUGGGAGAAAAAUUGCCCUGGAAGAGAAGCUCCCCGUUCGAGAAGCUUCCGGAUUCUUCCCCCCACCUCCGUUGGACGUCGCCUACCUCCUCCGGCCGUCGGACGGUGCUCACCUCCUCCAGCCGUCGUCGAUCCUCAGUAUCGGGAAGACACUGAUCGAAGAGAAAACCAAUUUUGAGGCACGCACGCUCACCUGAGAGAAAAACACCCGGGCAAGGACGAUCGAGCAAAGGGGGAAAAGCUUGCACCCCCUCAGCACGCUUCUUUAGAGUUUCUUUUUCUUCGGUCAUCCUCAUCCGCCGGUGAUCAUCACGGUUUACCAUCGCCUGGCCUGCCAUCAACUCACGUACGUACUGUAAGAGAACUAGAACAGAAGGCAACGGUUGAAAUCACUCUGGAGGUUUUUGGAAGCGUCCAGAAGACACUCUCUUUCAGUGAUUUCUUCUGAAUCCUUUCCUGCCUCUUCGUUGUCGAUCGUGUUUUUGGCCGUGAAGACUUGAAGCUGUUUUUCUGAAAACUUCAUUACUGUUGCUCAUCCUCACCAGCGACAUUUUCCGGAUCCUCCUCAACUAAAAAUCCCAAAUGACUUUUGGGGCCUAGAUCCCCAAAGUACAAGUUUGACCCAUAUGCGAACCGGAUUCAUAGGCCCAGCCCACACCCCUUUGGCGAGGGCUGGAUGAGGCCGCCCCUCAUCAAAUUAGACUAGGAGCCCUUACCAGCGGCUAGCGAAGGAAAGAGAAAGAAAAGAAGCAAAAGAGAAGGAAAAGAAAAAGAAAAUAUUUAAAAAAAAAAAUUCAAAAAGUAUUUAAAAUUUUAAAAAAUAUUCACAUCAACGCCAAUUUUGUAACAUUAGAUGGUCGACGUUUAUGCCAGCAAUUUUUUUUUUUAUUUAUUAAAAUUGACUAGAUUGACUCAAUUAAUACCAAAGUGAAAAAAUUUAGGAUUAAAUUGGUCAAUUGAUAUGUUUAAGACUCAAUUGACAUCAAUGCUAUAAUAUUUUUUUUUUUUUGGUACUUGUCUCGUUCACAGUUUGUAUUGAUCAAUGGUUAGGCUGUUCAAGGGCCGCUGCUCCUCUCAUUGCAUUAUAUUCCACACACAAACACGAAAGACAGUGAAAUAAUUGUUUUCAGCAUAAGUGGAUGACUGAAUUUUUAUAGGUUGAUAUGGUGAUACAUCAUUGGCGUCAUGUGCCUAAUUAUUUGAUGAUGUUGCUUACUCACUGGAUUGACAUUCAAAGUUCUAAGUUUACCUAGAAAGACGACAUUCUCAUUUCUAUGAAUGCCUUACGAAGCUUUUGAAAUAAUCGGACAGGAAGGAUCUCACAUCACCCAUGACUCUUGCUCUUAAUAGAUGCUGAAAAUGUUACGGCGCUUUCUGUGGUUUUGCGGAACUAUGCCAAGAAAGAGAGAUGCAUAAAAGUUAGAAGACAAAGUCCCAAUUCAGCGGCAACUUCAAGUAAAAAACUAAACAUCACAUUCUUUGACAAAACUCCAGGGGCGUGCAAACCUUCAUCUUGAGUAUGGCAAUGGAGCAGGUGAUCAAUCCAACAAUGGACGUUGACAGGUUUUACAUCGUACAGAUGACAUGAAAGUGCUCGAAUCUAUGGCUGACAAAGCAAGAAAGAAAAUUUCCCUGUGCACAAGGUCACGGGACCGUAAAACCGGCCCAACUCAUUAGCUUGUCUAGCGACCAAUCGAUGAGCCUCCAAAGGAAAUCAGCCCAUUGCAACGCACACUUAACCAAAAGCCUCUGGAAGUACCUCUUGGGAGAGCUACGUAGCGCCCACGAAUGAGCCUCGUGGUCGGGGAGUUCAUAGGCGAAGAAAAAAGCCAAGAACCAUCCACACCACAUAUGAAAAAUCAUUCCUUCCCCGAUAGUCUCGGUGGGUUUGACCGAUAUAGUAGCCGCCCCGAGAGGAUAGGCUAGCGUGAUCCCGCAUGACGCAACAUAAAUUAAACAUCCCACGGACGAGAUGCGUCUCAGCUCUUGACGAUGGCUGUGCGUAGAACCUAGACAAAUAAAGAGUAUUGCCAUCAUGGAUAAAGUGAACGCCACACCGUUACAUAGCAUAAAGCCUUUGAAAGAUCCCCUGCCAGCAUGAAUCGCAACUCCAUCAUUGUUAUAACCUCCGGGCACUGUGAGAAGGCCGUGUUGGAAAUUUCCUAUAAUAUGGGCUUACAUUAAUUAAUUGAUUUUCUAUUUUAAAUAAUCGGGUUAAUGGAUAUUUCAAUAUUUGUUAAACCCUAAAGUGAUCUGAUUGAAUUGGGUAUUGGCAUUCAUUGUUAACGGGCCUAGUUGAGCAGCAAAGUGUAAGCAAUUGUGUUUGACUGAAGCCUGUAAUGGAAAGGGCCCAGUUGACAAGCUAUUGAUUAGGGUUUGCUAGGUCCCCUCUCUAGCCUAUAAAAGGUAGGUUAUACCUAUCAGUUGCUUUAAUCCCAUUGAAAGUUGCUAUAUCAAAAUAAGUCAUAGAGAGGAAGAUCUGGUAUUGCAAUAGAUCCCUGAUUAUCAGAGUGAUCUAGUUUUCUUAAAGUAAAGCAAUGGCUCAAACAGGUACGCUUUAAUUCCGUUGUAUUUAUUGAUCUUGGUGUUUUACAAUCAUGUAUGAAUCCGUUUGUUCUUAAUUGAUUAAAUAAUAUUCUACAUGUGGUAUCAGAGCAGAUCGUAUAUGAUUGUAGAACCCAAAUUUUCUUUUUAUGGAAAAAUUUGAAACCCUCCUUUUUGAGCCGAAUAUGGGCAUUAUUUUUUCGUAUAGAUUUUUUGCUUGAUUAAUCCUAUAACCAUAGGGCUUUUGUUCUACAUGUUGAGAUCUUUCCAACCAUAUAUAAUUUGCAUAAUUUCAUUGAGAAUUGAGAGAGAAUUUUAGAUUUGAAAUUCUAGGGUUUAUACGUGAAAAAGUUCUAGAAUUUGCAAAUUACUUGCAAUUGAUUGAUGUAUGAUGUAAACCGUUGCAUGGGUAUUGUUAUAUAUUUGUUUUAGUAUCUUUUGUUGUAUUGAAUUGAGUUUUUAGGGUUUAAAUUUAGGAAAUUCGAAAUUCGGACAUGGGAGCUUUAGAUCCGAAACUUUGAGGCUUGUAUGUGGUAGAUUCACUUGGUUUUUCUUCAUUUAAUUCAUUGUAGUUAAUUAUAUUGAUGUUUUAUGCAAGUACCAUGGAGAAAUUUCACCAAAAACCAUGUUAAUUUGUGCCUUUGGAGCUUCGGGUUGAAACCGGGUCAUGCGACCCGGUUUUCUGCAAAUUCAUGACCCGGCUGGAGGUUGAAGAAGACCUCUAGCCGAGCUGGGCCAUCGAAUUGGGCUCACGUCCAUUAUAAAAAAAAAAAAAAAAGGUUCUCGGCGUAAGCCCAGAACCAUAAACAAAUUAAAAGGUUCUGGGCUCACGCCCAUGAACCAAAGUAAAGAGGUUCUGGGCGUGAACCCAGAACCAAAAAAUAAAUGGGACCAUAAACAAAUUAAAAGGUUCUGGGCUCACGCCCAUGAACCAAAGUAAAGAGGUUCUGGGCGUGAACCCAGAACCAAAAAAUAAAUGGGUUUGGCCCAUUUUUUGUUUUAAUUCGUGGCCCACCCGCAUGGUUUGUGUGCGGGCCAGGCGCACGUAUGACACGUGGGUCUGGCCCGCGGUCUGAUAAGGGCUGCUUGCGGGUCCUGGGCCCACGGGAGUCCGAAAUAUUUAAAUAAUAUUAUAAUAAUAUUAUAAUAAAAAUUUUAAAAAUUUUAAAAAAUUUUAAAAAAUUAAAAAAAAAGUGGCAAAAAAUUGUUGUUUGAAAAUGUGCAAUAUGAUCUUUGGAAACACAUGUUGUGAAGUGUUUCAUAUUGUUUGAUGAAUUUUGGGCAUAAAUUUUGGAGUUCCCUAUUGAUAAAAGAUUAAUAUACACAAUUACUCACCCAAAGGGAGUUAUUGUGUAUAUUAAUUUGGAAAAAUAACAUGAAAUUUAUACACAUAUUUAAAAGAUGGGGAUGUAUAAUUGAAAAAUAUUUCUCUGCCCAAAGGGUAAAUGUUUUGAAAAUUAUAUGUAAUUCCCCUCUAUGUUGAUAUUAUGGAGAUGUAUGAUUUAAAGGAUUUGUCUGUCCAAAGGGGAUGGAUCCUUAACAAUUAUAUGUAAUUCUCCUGUUGUUGCUUUAUAAAUUUUAUGCUGGGAAAAAUAAUUGUGCAUUAUACACUCUGCCCAAAUGGGAGUUUAUGAUGUACUAAUUAUUUUUGUUGAGUGCCAUAAUUGAUCUUAUUGCAUCAUGUGUGUCAAACAGUUACCUUUCCUGUAAAUAACAACAAUGCCACGGUUGAAAUAUUAACUGGAUCGAACUUCAAGAGAUGGAAGCAAGAUAUAGAGUUUGCUUUGGGCAUCAUUGAUAUGGACUUGGCUCUACGUGAGGAUGAACCUACCAGGCCCAAUGAUCAAAGUACUGCAGAUCAAAAGGCCCAUUAUGCUCGAUGGGAAAAAUCUAAUCGACUGAGCCUCAUUGCUAUGAAGAGGUCUAUUGCUGAGCAUUUGAUUAGUGGUUUGCCUGAAGAUACGAAUGCCAGACAAUUCCUUGAAGCAGUGGGAGAAAGAUAUAGAGUCUCAAAUAAGGCUGAAGCUGGGAACUUGCUGAGUGAGUUAACGAACAUGAGGUAUGAUGCUGCUAUGGGUGAGAGAAUUUAUACUGAAGAUGGUCCACAUUCAGUCCAAACUUAAGGCCCAUGAAAUUGUUCUUUCUGAAAAUUAUAUUGUGCAUCAAGCCUUAAAUGUUUUGCCAGCUGAAUUUAGCCAGAUUAAGACUGCUUAUAAUGCUCAAAAUGAGACAUGGAGUGUUAAUGCCUUGAUUACUAAGUGUGUGACUGAGGAAGAGAAAUUAAAGAAGGAAAAGUAUGAGUCUGCCCACUUAACUACCAAUGCCAAGUUGAGUUCAUAUAGAGGCAAAUGGAAGCCUAAGGGGUCAAAUGCUCAUGGCCCAAAGAAAUGGCAAGACUUUAGGAAAAAUGAGAACUAUGUGAGGAAUGGAGAUAAGGAUUUUAAAUGUUUUCACUGCAAGAAGCAGGGUCACAAGAGAGCCAAUUGCUACAAAUUUCGAGCUUGGCUAAAAACAAGAAAAGAAAGUCACCAAGGUGAGUUGUUGGUUUGUUUUGAAUCAAAUUUGGUUGAUGUUCCUUUGGAUUCUUGGUGGCUUGAUUCUGGUGCUACUGUUCAUGUGACUACUACCUUACAGGGUCUCACAAAUCUAAGGAGUCCAAGUCUAAGGGAGUCAAAGCUUAAAGUUGGAAACAAUACUGGAGUUGAUGUGGAGCGUAUAGGGACAGUUGUUUUGAAUUUAGAUUCUGGUUUUCAGCUUGUCUUAAACAAUGUCUUUUAUGUUCCUAAUUUUAGGAGAAACUUAGUAUCUCUUUCUUCACUUGACAAAGCUAGAUAUUGUUUUCAUUUUGCGAAUAAAAGAGUGGAUUUGAGUUAUGAUUCCAGAAUUAUUGGGAAUUGUGUUUUGUUUGAUGGAUUAUAUCGAUUAUCCUUAUCUCCCGAUAGACCAUAUUGCUCUUUCAAUGUCGAGAAUGUUGUUGCUAAGAGAUCUUUGAUUAAAGAUAGAUCUUCAUUGCUAUGGCAUAAGCGAUUGGGGCAUAUCUCAAAAGAACGGGUAAAACGACUUAUCAUGGCUGAUAUUCUCCCUCCUCUUGACUCAGAUGAUAUUGAGACUUGUAUUGAUUGUGUAAGGGGAAAAUUAACUAAAACAAAGAAGAAAGGUGCUACUUGUAGUCAAAGUCUAUUGGAGAUAAUUCAUACUGAUAUUAGUGGGCCAUAUUCAACCACCUUGUGUGGAAAUAAAUACUUCAUCACGUUCAUUGACGAUUUCUCCCGUUAUUGUUAUAUUUAUCUAAUUAAGGAGAAGACUGAUGCUCUUGACAUAUUUAAAGUGUUUCGUAUUGAAGUUGAGAAACAAUUAGGAAAAAUUAUCAAAAUUGUCAGAUCUAAUCGUGGUGGUGAGUAUUAUGGGCGAUAUACUGAGGUUGGACAACAAAAGGGACCGUUUGCAAAAUAUUUGCAGGACUGUGGUAUUGUUGCUCAAUAUACAAUGCCUGGGAGUCUUGAGCAAAAUGUGUAGCUGAACGGCGAAAUCGCACACUCAUGGAGAUGAAACGAAGUAUGAUGGGCAGUUCUAAUUUGCCUGAAUACUUAUGGGGUGAUGCGAUUAAAACGGCAACUUAUAUAUUGAAUCCUGUACCUAGUAAAUCGGUGCCGAAAACACCUUUUGAAUUGUGGAUGGGAGGAAACCUAGCUUGAAUCAUUUUCGAGUUUGGGGUUGUCCUGCAGAGGUGAAAAUUUAUGAUCCUUCUCAGAAGAAGACCGAGUCCAGGACUACUAGAUGUUAUUUUAUUGGAUAUCCUGAUCAUUCUAAAGGGUAUAGAUUUUAUUGUUCUGCUCGAGGCACUAGAAUCGUUGAAUCUCAAACUACCAAAUUCCUGGAAUUAGAUGUUGCUGAAAAGAAUUCUUCUCAAUCUUUUGAAAUGGAAGAACCAAAUAAAACGGUCUCUAUUCCAUUGCCUAUAUUACAUGAUGAUUCUAUGCGAGAUCCUUGUCGCGACCUCUUUUUUUUGGCGCUCACAAUUAGGUGCGAGCGCCUAAGGAGGCUAAUGGCUCAGCUGAAAUUAAUUAUGCCCGAACUCUCCCAAGUCCACAAAUUCAUGACUUUAAUAGUUUGAGUUUUUAACCUAUGGAGUGGGUCGAUUAGAAACCCAAGUGAAGUAUCGGGAGAAAUACUUGCUCCUGAGCAACUAGAGAAAUUAGGAUCAGAGACUUGAUUACACUAGUUAAUCACUAAUGCCCUUUCGGUACCUAAUCUUGUUUAAACCCUAAGGCUUUUUUGGAUGUUAGAGAGAUUUUCCAUGCAUUUUUGGGAGGAAAAACAUUUUUUUGAGUCAUUUUCUAAUUUUUUGACGCAAAAGGGAUUUUUUGGGAUUUUUUUUUGGAAAAACACAAGUCUUUUUGGCUUUUCUGAAUUUUUUUUGGCUUUUUCAUGAAUUUUUGGCUUUUUUUUGGAUUUUUGGCAUAUUUUUUAUUUUUUUUGGAAAAUAAAAUAUUUUUUUAAUAUUUUUCAAAAUAUUUUUGGAAAAUAAAUUAUUUUUGAUUUUUCUCGAUUUUUUAGAAAAUAAAACAUUUUUCGACAUUUUUUUAAAUAUUUUUCGAUUUUCUGGAAAUUAAAAAAAAAUUUAAUAUUUUUUUGAAAAUAAAACACUUUUUGAUUUUUUUAAAUAAAAUAUUUAUUUGAAUUAUUUUAUAUUAAAAUAACAAAAUAAAACCGACCCGGGUCGGAUCCACGGGUCGGGUCCAACCUGGGUUGGCGACCCAAACGCGGACAAGCCCGCAUUGCGGGCCCGACUCGGAUUUUUCAUCUUUUUUUUUUAAAUUUUAUUAAAACGAUGCUGUGGUCGGGCGUUUGGGGAUGCUCGGCCCGGCCCGACGACCCAGAUCCAUUGACCCGCUCCGCGACCCGGCUCCCUGCGAACCCUACCCGACCCGGAUCCGAAUCGCGACCCGACUCCUGCCGCCCCCCGAAUCUCGCGAAACCUACCCGGUUCCGAGACCCGGAUCCGACUCGGCGACCUGGAAAAUCGCAAACCCUAGGGUUUGCGAAUCCGUGGCGCCGAGGGGGGGACCAAGGUGCUUAGCGGCGGCGGCGACUACAGCGGCGACGACGAAGGCAACAACGGCGAUGGCAACGCUAACGGCGGCGCUCUUUUUUUUUACCUUCUCUCGAACGAGGACGGCGACGGUAACAAUGCCAGAUCGAAGGCAGCAGCGGCGGAGGCGCUCGGCAGCACGGCGGGGUUUUGCACAGCAGCGGCGUCGGGGGGUGUGACGGGGACGGCACGGCUCAAUGAUGGUGACGGAACCCUGCUCUUCGAAGUUCACUCAGAUUUGGACGACGUCGGGGAAAGCGGCGGCGGCGAGGUGUGAGGACGUCGGCACGGCAAGAUCUGGGGCAGUAGCAGCGUCGGGGCGGGGAACAGCAACGACAGAGCAGUGGUUGCAGGUGGUGGAGAGCUUCCGGCUUCCUAAAUCUGGCCCUCCCUCCUCCGGCUGACCUCGUUCAACCCUUAUUUCACAAAUCCAGGUGCUCGGAUCUACCUUCCUUGGGCUCAAUCUUCUCUCACUCAGGCCAGAUCCGAGCCUCCACCAGCCGGAUCUGACCUUCUCGAAGUCGCUUGCGGUCGGCCUUCCCCGAAGUCUCUCGGUGGAAGGUGGGCUGAGUUUGCAACUCGAGUUCUCUCCCGCGCUUGCCCUUCAAUCCUUCCCGAUGUCUCUCAGUGAAGGAUCUCCGAGCUCGCCCGUGCCGUUCUUCGAUGAAGGUGGUGCCCUUUUAUAGGCGAGGGAAUCCAAUCGACGGAGCUUCGACCGCCGGUCCCCUUCGUGCGCCGAGCGGUUCUCCUCGGCUGAACCGGCGUCCCAUCCGAGCUCAUCCAGCGAAGCAUGCUCGGCAUUGAUGGCGCUCGUGAUCUUAUCUCUCCGGCUGACGUCGGCCUACUCCCCUCGGCCGUAGGCCGUCCUUUGCGCUCGUCAUCGUCUUCUGCGCGUGAACUACAGNNNNNNNNNNNNNNNNNNNNNNNNNNNNNNNNNNNNNNNNNNNNNNNNNNNNNNNNNNNNNNNNNNNNNNNNNNNNNNNNNNNNNNNNNNNNNNNNNNNNNNNNNNNNNNNNNNNNNNNNNNNNNNNNNNNNNNNNNNNNNNNNNNNNNNNNNNNNNNNNNNNNNNNNNNNNNNNNNNNNNNNNNNNNNNNNNNNNNNNNNNNNNNNNNNNNNNNNNNNNNNNNNNNNNNNNNNNNNNNNNNNNNNNNNNNNNNNNNNNNNNNNNNNNNNNNNNNNNNNNNNNNNNNNNNNNNNNNNNNNNNNNNNNNNNNNNNNNNNNNNNNNNNNNNNNNNNNNNNNNNNNNNNNNNNNNNNNNNNNNNNNNNNNNNNNNNNNNNNNNNNNNNNNNNNNNNNNNNNNNNNNNNNNNNNNNNNNNNNNNNNNNNNNNNNNNNNNNNNNNNNNNNNNNNNNNNNNNNNNNNNNNNNNNNNNNNNNNNNNNNNNNNNNNNNNNNNNNNNNNNNNNNNNNNNNNNNNNNNNNNNNNNNNNNNNNNNNNNNNNNNNNNNNNNNNNNNNNNNNNNNNNNNNNNNNNNNNNNNNNNNNNNNNNNNNNNNNNNNNNNNNNNNNNNNNNNNNNNNNNNNNNNNNNNNNNNNNNNNNNNNNNNNNNNNNNNNNNNNNNNNNNNNNNNNNNNNNNNNNNNNNNNNNNNNNNNNNNNNNNNNNNNNNNNNNNNNNNNNNNNNNNNNNNNNNNNNNNNNNNNNNNNNNNNNNNNNNNNNNNNNNNNNNNNNNNNNNNNNNNNNNNNNNNNNNNNNNNNNNNNNNNNNNNNNNNNNNNNNNNNNNNNNNNNNNNNNNNNNNNNNNNNNNNNNNNNNNNNNNNNNNNNNNNNNNNNNNNNNNNNNNNNNNNNNNNNNNNNNNNNNNNNNNNNNNNNNNNNNNNNNNNNNNNNNNNNNNNNNNNNNNNNNNNNNNNNNNNNNNNNNNNNNNNNNNNNNNNNNNNNNNNNNNNNNNNNNNNNNNNNNNNNNNNNNNNNNNNNNNNNNNNNNNNNNNNNNNNNNNNNNNNNNNNNNNNNNNNNNNNNNNNNNNNNNNNNNNNNNNNNNNNNNNNNNNNNNNNNNNNNNNNNNNNNNNNNNNNNNNNNNNNNNNNNNNNNNNNNNNNNNNNNNNNNNNNNNNNNNNNNNNNNNNNNNNNNNNNNNNNNNNNNNNNNNNNNNNNNNNNNNNNNNNNNNNNNNNNNNNNNNNNNNNNNNNNNNNNNNNNNNNNNNNNNNNNNNNNNNNNNNNNNNNNNNNNNNNNNNNNNNNNNNNNNNNNNNNNNNNNNNNNNNNNNNNNNNNNNNNNNNNNNNNNNNNNNNNNNNNNNNNNNNNNNNNNNNNNNNNNNNNNNNNNNNNNNNNNNNNNNNNNNNNNNNNNNNNNNNNNNNNNNNNNNNNNNNNNNNNNNNNNNNNNNNNNNNNNNNNNNNNNNNNNNNNNNNNNNNNNNNNNNNNNNNNNNNNNNNNNNNNNNNNNNNNNNNNNNNNNNNNNNNNNNNNNNNNNNNNNNNNNNNNNNNNNNNNNNNNNNNNNNNNNNNNNNNNNNNNNNNNNNNNNNNNNNNNNNNNNNNNNNNNNNNNNNNNNNNNNNNNNNNNNNNNNNNNNNNNNNNNNNNNNNNNNNNNNNNNNNNNNNNNNNNNNNNNNNNNNNNNNNNNNNNNNNNNNNNNNNNNNNNNNNNNNNNNNNNNNNNNNNNNNNNNNNNNNNNNNNNNNNNNNNNNNNNNNNNNNNNNNNNNNNNNNNNNNNNNNNNNNNNNNNNNNNNNNNNNNNNNNNNNNNNNNNNNNNNNNNNNNNNNNNNNNNNNNNNNNNNNNNNNNNNNNNNNNNNNNNNNNNNNNNNNNNNNNNNNNNNNNNNNNNNNNNNNNNNNNNNNNNNNNNNNNNNNNNNNNNNNNNNNNNNNNNNNNNNNNNNNNNNNNNNNNNNNNNNNNNNNNNNNNNNNNNNNNNNNNNNNNNNNNNNNNNNNNNNNNNNNNNNNNNNNNNNNNNNNNNNNNNNNNNNNNNNNNNNNNNNNNCACUUAAAAGGGUUGGAACACCUGGAUAGCCACAGGUGUACAAAGUACUGGGAUACUUGGAUGAACACAAGUAUUUAAUGAUACAACCUGGGACCACUCAGUUGGUCCAAGUGUAAGAAAGCAUACCUAGGUAGGCGCAAGCACACAAAGCAGUGGAAUGCUUGAACAGCAGCUAUUAUUUGGGGACAACUCACGCAAGUUGAGUGUCAUGAAAAGGAAGUACCUAGACAAGGGUGGGUACUUGAUGAUAUGGGGAUACCUAGAUAGCAGUAGGUAUUCCAAGAGAUACUUGGUCAGUCACAAGUAUCAAUACUCUGGGGACAACUCGUACAGGUCGAGUGUCAGAAAAAGGGAGUAUCCAAAUGGUGACCGGUACUCAAAGACAAUAGGGAUACCUAGACAGCAGUAGAUAUUCAAGGAUAAAGGGAUACUUGGUCAGUCACAAGUAUCAAUACUCUGAGGACAACUCGAAUAGGUCGAGUGUUAAGAAAAAGGAGUAUCCGGAGGGUAGCCGAUACUCAAAGACAAUGGGAUGCUAAGACAGUUGCAAGCAUCGAAACUCAAGAGACAAUUCGAAUAGGUCGAGUGUCAAGAAGAGAGUACCCGGACAGUGAUAGGUACUUUAAGACAAAUGGGGAUAGAGAUAUGCUUACUUGGCAAUAUCUCUGAUCUCUAAGAGUAUGUCUGCUAUUUGCAUAGUAUGCACACAUGAUUGUAUAUGUUGUAAAUUCAUGAGUUCAAAUGAGAUUCAUGCAGGAUAAUUUUGUUAAUUUUGCAUCAUAUGAUUUCCACUGGGGAAGAUUUUGAAAGACAACCCUCAUUUAGAAUGUAGAUGUCUUGAGCAUGCCAGAUGAGGGACUUUAAGUCUGGAAAGACUUUCCGCUCACUCUCAUGGAAAAGGCUAUCCUGACCAUUGAUGUAGGAUUCAUAAGGACCACACUAUCUCACUGUCAUCAUGUCAGUAGGGGUCUGAGUAUUCUCGCAAGUGGUACAACUUUACCAAUGUGAGAGGUCUUUGUCGAAAUUGUGAUGAAGACUUGGUCAACGGCUCAUCAAAUGGGACCGUCAAGGUUAAGGCUUAUGAACAAAGUGCCACACGAUCAUCUCCGAGUUUGCAAGUCAAGAAUCCUGCGAAAAGAGAUAGAGUAAUCUUGCUUGUACUUCUUCGAGCGAUGCUUAUGAACAUAUGAAAUCCUACAUUAAUUGAAGUGCCCUUAGUCUGAAGAGACUUUUACAAUGGGAUAUAAUGUAGGCUUGAUUCAUGUGUGAAAAGGUAGAGCUGGUGAUUGCCUUGACAUUUGUCACCAGUCUUUCUUCUCAUUGUCAAAUGGAGGUUCUAUGGACCACAACAGCAACUUUUUCUUGGCUGUAUUUUUGACUGGGGGGCAUUGGCCUUGCUUUUACCGUGCACACUGCUUUUUCCAUGUCCUUAUUUUUAUUCCAGUUCUUCAUUUAUGGGCAUUUACCUUGCUUUUACUAGGUACAUUGAUUUUUUAUGCCCAUGUUUUUUCAUUCUUGUCGUUGGAGGAACUGGCCUAGGCAAGUUCAAUCGAAGCAUCGUUAUUAGACUCUUGAGUCUUCAUCUUCAGUAGGUGCUUUGGGCUAUGCUGCUUAAAUGGUAGUAACUUCUGUUUUGUCUCAAUGUGAGGGUAAAAUUACAAACUCACUUAGGUUGUACAAUGAAUACAAGUGCAUAGAGAAAGAAAUGCUCUUCGUCAAGAAAUGCUCUUCGUCAUUCUAGGGCACUUAAAUUAAUGUGAGUGUUCAUAUGCAAUAAAGACAUCCAAAGAUUGAUGCAAGUGCGAGCAAGAAAAUUUUUAUCUCUCUUCUCACCUUGUGAUGCUGCUUCGCUUCUAAUCUGCCCCGGUGUAGGGGUUGUUCUUGAUGGGUGUAUGAGAGAAGCUUCACCAAUGUAUGGGGCUCAAUGGGGUGAGUGAUGGAAUGCCUCUCACUAUUUUGGUUAUCAUACCAUUCGCAAGAGAACUCUUUACCUUGCAGCCAUGGAAUCUUCUGCACUCAUCUCACAAGUGUAUAGAUGGGGGACUGUGUAUAGGAUAUGGCUUGCCUUUCAUCAUUCUGACACGCCUCAUCCAACAUGCUCAAUUAAUCUUGUAUUCCUCACUUAGCUGUCUAUUUUAAUAAUCCUUAGUGGAAUCAGUGACUUAGACAGGCAAAAUCAUUAUGCAGAAUUCAUCUGGAAAUGACAUGCAACAUUUCAAAUAUGAUGGAGUUUGAACUCUUCAAAACAAGUGAAUGGUUUUGACUCAAAAAAGACCCAAUUGACAACUUUAGGGGCUAACAUAAUGGUAUUUCCAAAUACAUUAGAUUUUGAACAUCAAAAGGGUUAUUCGCAAAUGGGUGUCGAUAGUUGUCCUUAUUGGUUAGGGAUAUGACACAUGAAGGAUCAGCCAGGGUUGGGAAUCUGAUCGAGCCUCUUUGCUUUUGCCCCUGCAGAAGAGAAGAUGUACAAGUAGAUCAAUUAGUCUGGCCAAAAUUAAAUGUGGGUUGAGGCUUGAAGAUUUUCUGUCAUUUGCUUUGGUGAUUACUGAAGACGCCAUUUCAUUUAGGAGAGUUUGUCAUGCCUCUCAUUGAUUAUUAUCCUUGUCAAGUGAUCCUGCAACAAGACAUGCUUCUCGUUGAUUUGUUAUCCUUGCUUUUGACAGUCAGGUGAUCCUGCAACAAACAAGAGGGAAUGUGUUAGUCAUGAACUCUUUCAAGAGUCGAAUAACUGGAAUCGAUACAACUUUACCCUUCAUUGGCUUGUAGAUGAUUGGGUGAACCUGAAGUGAGAAGGGGGACACGAAGUCCUAUGUCCCUUGUUUCAUUAGGUCAAUUAUUCUCUGAAUUAGCUCCUGGAUAUCAUGUCUUUUUACACGAAGCUAGGUAAAUUUGAUGUAGGUCAUUUCCAUGUACUAGCUUGGCCAAUAUUGAUUUGCCUAACCAUCAAAUUUGGCUCUUGAAUCCUAGCGCUUCCUGCCAAUAGGGGAAAUAUGUCAAAAGUGAAUUCAAAGAGGGGGGAGUAUUGGAAACGAUACCAAAUUAUUCUUCCCCAAAGUUUGUAUUUUGCUAACUCCUGAUGAUGUUUGAAUGUCGAUGACAGCCUUUUCGUCUUGGCAUAGUUUGACAUUUCUUUCGAUUGGCCUUCCUCACUUGUGACCAUGUAUGCAUGAUUGUUGGUCGUUGAUUCAUCUUCGACGCUUUCCUUAUGUGGAAUUUCUCCUCCUGUCUUUAACUAUAGCAUCAUGGGGCAAAAGUCAUGUACCUCAAGCUUCUAUGGAAUCUGAGAUCAAAAGUCUCAAGCUUUCUAAUGGCAAUUACUCCUCAGAAGAAUACACGUCUGGAGUGAAGUUUCUAGAUUCCAACAUCAUUUUCCAGGGUGUGGGGCUAUAGGUCGCUUUGACUGUCUAGAUUUUCUCCCUGUUGACAGUAAUCACUUUAAAGGAAGAGAAGCAAAUCCUUCUUUGUGCUUCUUGGCUCGUUGAAGCUGGAAGUCCUGUCAAUGAACUUGGGACAUCCUGCCUUGAGCUAUCAUGCUAUGCAUGCUUCAAGUUUGAUAAUAUGCCUGUGCCUAUUACAUCCCAUCCUUCGUUUCCUGUAGAUGGAAGAGAGAGGAUGUCAUUUUCGACAUUAUGUUCAGGGAAUAGGACUUACCAUUUUGAAACGUGAUGAUCCUUUAUGUUUGCCCCUACUUUCUUGGGAGGGUGUCAUUGAAUUCGAUGAGUUCACAUAAUGUGCUUGCUUCAAAUGCCCCCUGUCACACUAAGUCAAAGGGGACGGGAAUGAUUUUCUGAGACAUGAAGUGAGUGAGUCAAAAAGACAAACAUGAUUAAAUUUAUCAUCUUUUUUUGAAAUAUUUUGGUGAUGAAGUGUUUUUUGUUUUCAAAAUAUGUAUUCGGGGGAGAAAAAGCAUGGUUGGAUAGCACCAUCAGGCUGGUUUGGAGUACCGCCUCAUGCUCUUAAAACAAAAUAUUAUAACUACACAAUAGAGUACUUGGAAUGGAAUAUACAACCGUAGCACACUAGAUAAGAUAAGAAACAUGAAAUUAUAAAAACAAGUAAAACCCAUGAAAACUCCUAUGUAAAGGAGUGCUUUGAUAGUGUUGGUUCUAAAAUCAAGCGCCUUUGAGUUCCUCGCCUCCAGUAGACUCGAAGUAUUCACAUGAGAGGACCACUUCAUUGAAGCUAUGGAAAUGCAACCCAUACAACCAACAACGAUACUUGCGAGGUAAAGCCCGUAUGAAUAGCUUUAUCAGCUUUAUCAUCUCUUCUUCAACCAACUGAGGGUAAGUUUGCAUCAUAAAAGCCUCCCACCUUCUUGCAUAUGCUCGGAAAUCCUCCAUUGGUCUUUUUCUGAAGUGAACUAAGUUCUGACAAGGCACUUCAGUUCCAAUCUGGCGUUGAUACUGAAGCAGGAAUGCAGAAGACAGCUCAUUCCAAUCUCUCAUGAGGUAGAUAUCUACUGUGAUGAACCAUUGUAAUACAGAUCUCGUAAGACUCUCUUGGAAGGCCUGAGUUGUGAAUGACAUCGGGCCAUAGUACCGACUCAUUUCAGCAUGGAGGUACUGCAAGUGGACCACGGGGCAAGUCGUGCCGUUAUACUUGCGAAGAUUAGGUAUCCACAUCUCUCCAUGGGUCAUGAUCCUAUGAGUGCAAGACGAGUUUGAUGUAUCCUGGUUAGGCCACUGGUUUUUCCAUUGCAUAUCUGUUGUAGUGGUGAAUUUUUCUGUUUCAGGGAAGUUGGAUUCUAUCCAGAUUACCCCAUUGCUUUCUUCUUGGUCAAAAUUUCCAAAUGAGGAUAAAAUAUUGAAGCUAUCCUCAUGGUCAGAGGACAAGCUUAGUACUUCGUUAGGAUCAUAGCGGAUAAAGACGUAUGCUUCCUCUUCUGACGGGCCUUCAUCCCUGGAUGAGAGUAGGAAACAGUUAUAUGAUGAAUCGUCAGUUCAUUGUUAAAAUAACGCUGGAAGUCCUUGGGGUCGUAUUCUAUAGCCUUCAAAGCUGUAUUCUUGGGAAUGCUUGAAGCCUUGGUGCGGUGGCUCGUCAGCAGGUGCUGUAUUGAUUUGCUUAGGCUUUCUUUUCUUGACCUUUAGUCCAGACCUUUUGAGUAAGGCCCUUCAUUUUGCCAGCUCGAUUCUAUCAAGGGAAGUGAGAGACAUUAGAGUUUUACUGUCUGAUUCGCUUUCCAGGUUGAUAAGGGUCGGUAUUUUUUUUGACCCUAGCUCUUGGAGUAAGCUUGGGGAGUCGUCCAGUUGUGCCCCGGUCUUGAACAUGCUCUGUGUCUUUGAUCUCGUACAAAGGCUCCUUGCCUUUCCUAGUGGGAAAUUUUCCAAUAACAGGGUGUUGUUCAGCUGCCCAUUUAUCAUGCAAGGCUUUAUUGACAUGUUCUUCUCCUAACUCAGCAACUAACGGUUCCUCGUGCUUUGCGAUCAUCAGCUCUUCAUAAGGCAAGGCUAUGUCAGGGCUGAUGUUAAUAUCAUAUUCUUGGUGAAAAACAUGAAUUAGUUGCCUCUAGGUUUUAAGGAGACUAAUCUUCCUGACAACGUACCAUCGCAAGGUAGGGGCGGUCAAGCUCGAUUGGUUCGAUUGAAUCAUCCUUCAGAUUAGGUAGGCCUGCAAGUAGGUCUCUGGGUGGGAGGUAUCAACGUUCCUUUCACAUUCAGGUGCUUUGAGCUCUUCAGGAAUCUCAAUGCCGGCGUAAAUGGACAGGUCCAUGGGAUUCUGCUCCUGCAGCUAGCUUAACUUUUUCAUGAUCUUUUCAAACUGUCUAUGGUACUGGCUAUUUACUGGCAAAUUUGUAGGUGUCAUGACGGUGUUUGAGGCAACUAUAAAGUUGGGCUCAGCUUGAGUGAAUUUCAUUUGUCUUGAGAGUUGUUGAAGGACAAUGGACAUCUGUCCUACGCUGUCUUCAAUGUUAAUAAGGCGAUUUUGUACAUCAUUCUGAUCAGGCCCUAUUACUUGAGGCCAUUCGCAGGUGAUUGGUGGCCGGCGAUUCAUAAUUACCUGUUUAUUGAGAAAACAAUAAAUGAGCAUGGAAGUAAACAAAGAUUGACCCAUGGCAAUGGUCUAACUGCUUUUUUUAUUUAUCAAAAGAGGANNNNNNNNNNNNNNNNNNNNNNNNNNNNNNNNNNNNNNNNNNNNNNNNNNNNNNNNNNNNNNNNNNNNNNNNNNNNNNNNNNNNNNNNNNNNNNNNNNNNAAAUGAUAGAAUGAAAUACUAGAUAUUAACCAAAACUAAACAUUGGGACGGAAACUUUCACACUAUUAAUAUUAAGGGGCACAUGAUUGCCAAUUUAUAUGCGACAGGGAGCCUUGUUCUUGCGAGAACGCAUGCUUCCUUGAACUGGCUCUGAGGUGUGCAUCCAGUCCAUUCCCAAAUCCCUAUCCAUGAGCUCUGCUUGCUCGUGCUGGCUGCUCUCGCUGAUUGAGUGAGGGACUGAUGGCUUCCAUUUUUUCGGGAUGCGAUGGUUGUGGAUGUAGGACAUGGAGGCGUGGUGGGCUUUUUCUUCUCCCUCAAGCCCUUUAGGUAUCACAAUCCUUUUGCGAUGGUAGCUGCCCCAGGUUUCCUCAGCGGUAGCAAUUUCGAAUGCAUAGUCACGGCUUGUGUUGAAAAGAACUGGAGGGAUCAUCAUCUUGAAAGGCGAUGGGAUCUCCUAAAGGGAUCCAUAUUGUCAUGCUACUUGAUACGGGUAAUAGGGAAUGGCGCCGGUGAGGCCGAGUAACGGAAUUGGGCGGGUGAGUAUGUAAGCAAAGCGGGCCCUCUUUUCAUGGAACCAACCAGCACACCAUUGGAAUGCCUCAGGAGCUGGGUCUCUUAGGAAGCUUACCCAAUUUAAACAGCUUUGAUUGGGAAUAUACGGUCCUAAAACCAUAAAUUUUUGUAAUGGAUUUUCAAAAGCAUUUGUUUCAGACGAUCGCAUGAAGUCUCGAAAUUCACUUAAGUGAGAAAAGAACUAGACUUGUAAAAUUUCAGGAGAGGCUCGCAUGAUUUUCUCCGAGUCGUCUUUAAAACGAUUAAAGGACAAGAAUGUUUUAGUUAAAAUCAUGUUGACAUAAUUCCCCCCUCUUAAGAUCUAAUUAACUAUCCAUGCCAUCUUGGGAGUUAUGGCAUUUCUUUGAUGGGGGAACAUGAUGAGCCCGAAAAAGGCCAGGAGGAAAAUCUCAAUUUUCUGGGUCAUAGGCUGAUUUUGGAAACAGGCAUUCAUAAAUUCUAGUGGGCAAGUAUUAUGAUUGUCUUCAAGAAUUUGCCUCAUGACAUGGAUUUCAGUUCCUAAAAGUCAUGCUAACCCACGCCAUGGGAGGGCGCCUGUCGAUGGCCUGACAAGCUUUUACUCGAGAGGCAUUCCAGUGAUGAUGUUGUAUUCUUCCAGGGUUGGGGUUAGCUCAAACCUACCGAAUAUAAAAGUAAUUGUCUUCGGGCACCGAAAAUGUGCCAUGGCUUGUAAAACUUCAGGACAAACAGUGAUUUGAAUCAACGAUAGGAGAUGACCGACUUUGGCCUUCACGCACUCUUAGGCAAACUGAUCUAAUUGACCCCACUAUCUGAAGAGCUUCGCCUUGGGAGUAGGAAUGAACUGGAUAUCAUCUUUCCCCAUCGCAUAUAAACUAGGCUUUGAAAGGCUUAUCCUAAAUUGCCAUGGGCCAAAUAAAAAGACUGAGUAACAGUAAAGAAAUUACUUUUGCUUUUUAAAGAAAAAUGGCAAGCACAAAGACAUGCGCGUGAGACGUUCAGCUUGAUUUCUAACUGAGAAGUAUUGUUGAAAUUAAAAAGAUAUCCGCCCGUCGCAGUCUCGCGUUAGCAGCAUACCCUCCUAACCUCAGUUAAGAAAUUCGGGGAAAAGAAAGGCAACCUCUACAUCGCAGUCUCGCGUUCGAGGUUGUAUCAUUCUUAACACCAUCCUAAAAAUCAUAUGGCGGCCCAGGUCUGGCGGCCGGGUUGUGUGUGCCAUGUGUAGUGCUAAAACAUUUAAGGAUGCACAGCAGUUUAUAUUCACAAAACAUUUUAUUUUAACAUAAUAAAAAAACUCUAAGCUAUUACCCUGCACAAAAGAAAAAAAAAAGUCAAUAAAUGGUUUAAACAAGAUAAAAUGGCCUAAGUCCUCAAAUGUCCCCAGCGCAGUCGCCAAGCUGUUGCGACCUCUUUUUUUCGGCGCCCGCAAUCGGGUGUGAGCGCCUAAGGAGGCUAAUGGCCUGGCUAAAAUUAAUUAUAACCGAACUCUCCCAAGUCCACCAAUUCAUGACUUUAAUAGUUUGAGUUUUUAACCUAUAAAUCAAUUUUUAAAAUGGAGUUGCCACUAAUCGAUUUGGAGUGGGUCAAUUAGAAACCCAAGCGAAGUAUCGGGAGAAAUACUUGCUCCUGCGCAACCAGAGAAAUUAGGAUCGGGGACUUGAUUACACUACUUAAUCACUAAUGCCCUUCCGGUACCUAAUCUUGUUUAAACCCGAAGGUUUUUUGGAUGUUUGAGAGAUUUUCCAUGCAUUUUUGGGAGGAAAAACAUUUUUUUUUUAGUCAUUUUCUAAUUUUUGGACGCAAAAGGGAUUUUUUGGGAUUUUUUUUGGAAAAACACAAGUCUUUUUGGCUUUUCUGAAUUUUUUUUGGCUUUUUCAUGAAUUUUUGGCUUUUUUUGAUUUUUGGCUUUUUUUGAUUUUUGGCAUAUUUUUUAUUUUUUUUGGAAACUAAAAUAUUCUUUAAUAUUUUUCAAAAUAUUUUUGGAAAAUAAAUUAUUUUUUAUUUUUCUCAAUUUUUAGAAAAUAAAACAUUUUUCGACAUUUUUUAAAUAUUUUUUGAUUUUUUGGAAAUUAAAACAUUUUUUAAUAUUUUUUUUGAAAAUAAAACACUUUUUGAUUUUUUUAAAUAAAAUAUUUAUUUGAAUUAUUUUAUAUUAAAAUAACAAAAUAAAACCGACCCGGGUCGGUGACCCAAAUGCAGACGCAGGCUCGACUCGAAUUUUUCAUCUUUUUUUUUUUAAUUUUAUUAAAACGAUGCCGUGGCUGCGCAUUUGGGGACGCCCGGCUCGGCUCGACGACCCGGAUCCAUUGACCCACUCCGCGACCCGGCUCCCUACGAACCCUACCCGACCCGAAUCUGCAUUGCGACCCGACUCCCGCCGCCCCCCGAAUCUCGCAAAACCCUACCCGGUUCCGAGACCCGGAUCUGACUCGACGACUCGGAAAAUCGCAAACCCUAGGGUUUGCGAAUCCGCGGCGCCGAGGGGGGGACCAAGGUGCUUGGCGGCGACGGCGACUACGGCGGCGACGACAAAGGCGACAACGGUGACGGCAACACUAACGGUGGCGCUCUUUUUUUUAACCUUCUCUCGAACGGGGACAGCGACGGCAACAAUGCCAGAUCGAAGGCAGCAGUGGUGGAGGCGCUCGGCGGCACGGUGGGGUUUUGCAUAGCUGCGGCGUCGGGGGGUGUGACGGGGACGGCACGGCUCAAUGAUGGCGACGGAACUCUGCUCUCUGAAGUUCACUCAGAUUUGGACGACGUCAGGGAAAGCGACGGCAGCGAGGCGUGAGGACGGCGGCACGGCAAGAUUUGGGGCAGUAGCGGCGUUGGGGCGGGGAACAGCAACAACAGAGCAACGGUCGCAGGUGGCGGAGAGCUUCCGGCUUCCCAGAUCUGGCCCUCCCUCCUCCGGCUGACCUCGUUCAGCCCUUAUUUCACAGAUCCAAGUGCUCGCAUCUACCUUCCUCGGGCUCGAUCUUCUCUCACUCAGGCCAAAUCCUAGCCUCCACUGGCCGGAUCUGACCUUCUCGAAGUCGCUUGCGGCCGGCCUUCCCCGAAGUCUCUCGGUGGAAGGUGGGCUGAGCUCACGACUCGAGUUCUCUCCCGCGCUCGCCCUUCAAUCCUUCCCGAUGUCUCUUAGUGAAGGAUCUCUGAGCUCGCCCGUGCCAUUCUUCGACGAAGGUGGUACCCUUUUAUAAGCGAGGGAAUCCGGUCGACGGAGCUUCGACCGCCGAUCCCCUUCGUGCGCCGAGCGGUUCUCCUUGAUUGAACCGGCGUCCCAUCCGAGCUCAUCCAGUGAAGCAUGCUCGGCAUUGAUGGCACUUGCGAUCUUAUCUUCUCCGGCCGACGUCAGCCUACUCCCCUCGGCCGUAGGCGGUCCUUUACGCGCGUCGUCGUCUUCUGCGCGUGAACUACAGAGGCGAAGAAAGAAGGAGCGAGGAAGAAGAAGAGGGAAGAAGAAGAAGGAAGAAGGAGAAAAGGGGGGUGGGGCCAAGUCGCACGAGCCCACGUGAAGAAAAAAAGGGGGGCUGCUACUUUUUUUCGCUUUUUGCUUUUGUUGUUUUUAUUUGUUUUUAUUUGUUGUUUUUGUUAUUUGUUUUGUUUAUUAUACGAAAAAGGAAAAUAAAUGUAAAAAAAACCUAAUUAAAAAAACGAAAUUUAGGUGUCAACAAUCCUAACAGUGAGGAAAUUCAGCAAGUAAUAAAUACUGAAAAUAUGGCGAUAGAUCAUCCCAUAACAAAUGAAAUUCCCCAGAUGAAUGAUGUAGCUCCAGAAAUGCCUGUGCGAAGAUCACAGCGACAAAGAAGACCAACGCUUUUAAAUGAUUAUUAUGUCUAUCUUGGAGAAGCUGAUUUUGACAUUGGAAGUAUAGUUGACCCGACGACCUUCAAAGAAGCUCUUAAUAGUGAUCAGGCAGAUAAAUGGUUAGGAGCGAUGAAUGACGAGAUGAUGUCCAUGUCAACUAAUCAAGUAUGGAAACUUGUUGAUUUACCUGAUGGGCAUAAACCAAUCGGCUGCAAAUGGGUAUUCAAAACCAAGAAAGACAAUAAGGGUAACAUCGAGAGAUUCAAAGCAAGGUUAGUCGCAAAAGGGUACACACAGAGAGAGUAUUGAUUAUAAUGAAGUCUUUUCCCCAGUAUCUACUAUAGACUCUUUUCGGAUAAUCAUGGCUUUGGUGGCUCAUUUUGAUUUAGAGCUUCACCAAAUGGAUGUCAAGACAGCUUUUCUAAGUAGAGAUCUGAAUGAAGAAGUAUAUAUGCAGCAACCUGAAGGGUUCAAAGAAGCCGGAAAUGAGCAUAUGGUGUGCAAACUUCAAAGAUCCAUCUAUGGUCUCAAACAAGCAUCACGUCAGUGGUACUUAAAAUUUCACAAAGUUGUGAGAUCAUUUGGCUUUGAAGAAAAUAAGUUUGAUCAAUGCAUCUACAUGAAAGUAAGUGGGAGUAAAUAUAUUUUCUUAGUACUUUAUGUAGAUGACAUUUUACUUGCUAGCAGUGAUGUUGAUCUAUUGAAUGACACCAAAAAUUUUAUAUCUACAAAGUUUGAUAUGAAAGAUCUUGGGGAAGCCUCUUUUGUUCUAGGCAUUGAGAUUCAUCGUGACAGAUCUAAGAAAGUUCUGGGGUUAUCUCAGAAAGGUUAUAUAUAUCGUGUUUUGAAAAGAUUCGAUAUGCAAACCUGUAAGUCAGGUGAAGCUCCUGUUGUGAAAGGAGAUAAAUUGAGCAUAGAUCAAUGCCCCAAGAAUGAUGUUGAAAAGGAAGUCAUGAAAAAUGUUCCAUAUGCUAGUGCAGUUGGCAGUCUUAUGUAUGCACAAGUAUGUACCAGACCUGAUAUUGCUUUUGCUGUGAAUACUCUUGGAAGAUAUCUGUAGAAUCCAGGUCAAGAACAUUGGGUUGCAGUUAAGAAGGUGAUGAGAUAUCUACAACGGACAAAGGAUUUCAUGCUCGUUUAUAGCAAAGUUGAGGACCUAAAAGUGAUUGGAUAUUCAGAUGCUGAUUUUGCUAGUUGUUCAGAUGAUAGAAAAUCAACUUCUGGAUAUAUUUUUAUGAUGGCUGGAGGUGCUAUUUCUUGGAAGAGCACAAAGCAAACAUUGAUUACGAACUCUACAAUGUAUGCUGAGUUUGUAGCAUGCUACGACGCGUCGGUUCAAGCAGUUUGGCUCAGAAAUUUGAUCUCAGAAUUGCGUGUUGUGGACUUUAUUGCUAGACCUAUGGUGAUCUACCGUGACAACACUGCAGCUGUGUUUUAUUCCAAGUAUGACAAGAUUAGUAAUGCGUCUAAACACAUGGAGAUCAAAUAUUAUACUAUUAAGGACUUAGUAAAAAAUGGAGACGUUGUAAUUGAAAAUAUCAUAACUGAGUCCAUGUUGGCUGAUCCUCUAACAAAAGGCUUACGACCCAUUUUGUUUAAAGAACGUGUAAAGAAUAUGGGUGUUUUAGAAUCUUUUGAUUUCUUUUGUUAGUGGGAGUUAUAUAUUUUGUAUUUCUGGAUAUUAUAGUUAUAUGCAGACUGAUAAUACUUUUAUAAUGUCUAUUAAAGCAUUUAUUUUCAAUGAUUGUUGUUAUUGAUUCUAUUGUUAUCCUUUCUCCUGUUGAUUGAAAAAUGGAAAUAUAAAACAAUAUCUUUAAACAAAUUUUAGUUUAAAGAUGACUAGAUGUCACUGAUUAUGAGAUCUCAUAUUGGAUUGUGACAUAAUUGUACAAUUUCUUGUUGUUUAGAAAUCGCACUGAGGCAAUUUCAUGUUGUUUAGAAAUUGCGAUAAUGUAAUUUCAUGUCGUUGAGAAAUUGCAUUGAGGACCGAUAAAAAAUAGUGUAUAUCUUGAUCACAUGUUGGCACUAUUUCUUACUACACUACUAGGCCCAUGAUCCAUGAAAAUAUAAUACUUAUUAUAUGUGAUUAUGGAAGGUCUUGUGUUGUGGUAUUUUCUUAACACAUUGAUCUCCAUAGUCCUAUAUUGAGGUUAUAUAGGAUUGGAUUGGUAUUGAGAUGCGAUUAUUGGAAUAUUAUUUUAAAAGUUGUGGCCACAUAAAACAAAAUUUUAGUUAUUAACCCGAUAGUGUCGUUUUCAAUAUAAAAUCUUUUUCAAAAUAAAAUAAGUUAAUUAAUGUAGCCCAAGUGAGAGAAUGUUGGAAAUUUCCUAUAAUAUGGGCUUACAUUAAUUAAUUGAUUCUCUAUUUUAAAUAAUCGGUUUAAUGGAUAUUCCAAUAUUUGUUAAACCCUAAAAUGAUCUGAUUGAAUUGGGUAUUGGCGUCUAUUGUUAACGGGCCUAGUUGAGCAGCAAAGUGUAAGCAAUUGUGUUUAACUGAAGCCUGUAAUGGGAAGGGCCCAGUUGACACUCUAUUGAUUAGGGUUUGCUAGAUCCCCUCUCUAGCCUAUAAAAUGGUAGGUUAUACCAAUCAGUUGCUUUAAUCCUAUUGAAAGCUGCUAUAUCGAAAUAGGUCAUAGAGAGGAAAAUCUGGUAUUCCAAUAGAUCCCUGAUUAUCAAAGUGAUCUAGUUUUCUUAAAGUAAAGCAAUGGCUCAAACAGGUACGCUUUAAUUCUGCUGUAUUUAUUGAUCUUGGUGUUUUACAAUCAUGUAUGGAUCUGUUUGUUCUUAAUUGAUUAAAUAAUAUUCUACAGGCCUGUGAAGCUUAAUGUAGCUAUGAGUCCUCCCACCAGUAGUUGAACAUCCAUAAUUCUUUUUUUCGACAAAUUAAAGUUUUCUCGGUUGGCAAUAUUACUUCCUAUGGUUAUAGAGACAGAUGGUUGCCCCUCAACAAAUUGUUUGUCUAACCUCUUCUUACCAUAUUCAAUAAACCAGCCUUGAAAGCCCGGGAUUCCAUGAGAUCCUUCCAAUGGGGACCAAGCAUUGCAACGGUUGUCCCUCUAAAAAAGCACAUAAUAGAAUGUAUCAAUUAACAAGUGAAAGUUUUCCGAUAAAAUACUUCAAGACCCUCACACCCUCAAAAUCCAUUUAUAACACAUAGAACUUCUGGCAAGUGCUAAGAGGUCAUGGAGAAUUCAUUCAAGUAACAUCUUUUAGAUAAAGGUAAAUGGUAAAUAACACCCGUAAAUAGAGUUUCCUAGAGUAAACAAUUACAGUUAUGGGUAUGCUAUCCCAAUCCUAAUGUAUUAUCCAUUUCCUUCCUUUUAUUUUCUUUCUUUUUCCCCAUUUUGGCAUCGCCUAAUUUUAGAGAAUCCCAACAAAAAAUGUUUUGCAAUGUUUUCGAAUUAACUAAGAUUUAGACAAUUACUUUUGAACUAGUUGAAGACCCUCGUGUUGCCCAGAUUUGAACCUUAUACUUACUGAAAAAUUUUGUUUUGAUACAAUAAUAUGAUAAUAAAACAUAAUAUUUUACAAAAGUAUAUGUAUUUAUUUAUCAACUAGAUUACAAAAUUAACUAAUUUGAAACAUCGUAAAGUAAUAAACAAAAGCAUUGUAUAUCGACGCACAUAUUGGAACAACCAUAAUGACUCCUAUAAUGAGUUUAGAUUUAUUGACUAUUAUAUCCAAUAACAUCCAAGACAUUGAUAUUGAUCGACCAAAAAAAAGAUAUUGAUAUUUUGUUGUAGGAAAGAUUAAUGAUAGAGACAGCCCUCUUGUUUUUGUCCAAUUAGUAAUGGUUAGUUUGAAGCAGCUACAAAAAGAAGUCAAUAGAAUAAAUAAUUCUCAUAAUAGAUAGUGCUUUCAAUUUUUUUUUUAGUAGAUAUAUUAUUUAAUGAAAAUUGGGAAGUCAAUAGAAUUAUGAUGAAUUGAAUAUAUUCAUUGGAUAAUUUCAUCUCCCCCAAUACCACAUCAGAAUGCUUCCUUCUUUCACUAAAUCUAGAUCGGUAUCCUCCAUUUUUUUUUGUCAGUCCUACUCUAUUCCUACUCUACACUCACUCUCAGACUUUUGCCCUGCCUCUUGCAGGGCGUGGGAGUCGAAACCCACUCCUAAAACUUACGCGUCCCCACCCCAUCCCCCCGAGAAGGUAGGGAUUUGAACCCAUCACCUCAUCCUUCCAUGUUGGAAGGGUGGCCACUGGGGUGAAUCCCAGUGGUUCGGUAUCCUCCAUUUGAAACAGUUAUAAUGCAAUCAAUGGAAAGAAUUCUUCUUAGGAAUUAGAUUGAAAAAAAUUUAAGAAAGUCGAGACAAUUUUAGGAUUUCUUAUUCUCCGAAGGACCACUUGAGAAAAGACAAUUUGAAGGACAAAACAAAAUUUUGAUGGAAUAAUCUUGACUUUAAUUCCAUUAAUGGAUUGAUUUUUCGAUCAAAAGUAAUAUGUGAGUGAAAUCUUCCUUUUUUUUCCCUCUUUCUCUAUCCCUAUUCCUAUCCCGUAGGUACACCCUUUGAAUUAAUAGAAAACAUUUUCUUCUAUGUCUGUAUGAAUCGAUAUUUAUAGGGUAGAUAUGUUCCAAGUGCACUAGUUCAAGGGCUUUUAAGGUGUAUUGGAAAGCUUAAGGUGGCUUAUUUAAGAGAGCAUGGUUUAGGAUUUUCCGUAGAUAUUUCUAAAUAUUAUCUAACUAGCUUGACUUUUUGUUUAAGGUAGCUUAUUGUUCAAGGUCUUGAUCUAUUUUCUAUAGCCAAGAAAAGGAGUUUUGUUCGAUUCGCCAAACAUGUAAGCUUCAGCCCGAAUCUGUUCGCACAGCCCAUGUCCAAUUUCAGUGAUCACAAGAGAAAAAGGAUAGAAAAAUUGCUUUGGAAGGAAGCUCCGUUCCAUAAGCUUCUGGAUUCUUCCCCCACCACCAUUAGACGUCGCUUACCUUCUCCAACCGUCGAACGGAACUCAUCCCUUCUAGCGGUCGUCGAUCAUCAUGUAACAGUUUUUCUAAUGUGGACUACAUUAAGCAAGAUUGUGAUUUACCAUUUUUACGAAAUUAAUUUAAUAAGGUAAGAUAGUAAGUUUUUUAAUAGUCGAAUAUGGCCUGGCUUAUGUGAGUCAAAUUGAGCUCAGCCAGUGAUGAGAGGAUCCACCAAAACUCUAUAAAUAGCCUAAGGUCCCUCCACUAAACCUCACUUUUGUCAUUAUAAAAUGUAUACACCUGCUACCUCACAUAAGGAAUGUUUGUGAGGGAUAGUCUCACUGAGCCAAGGUAUCAAGAGAGAGUAUCAAGAGUGAUAGAGGAGAAGGUCUUCAGCAUUGAAGAUUCGAAUUGCUACCGUUGCACUCCAAGAAUCAUGAAUUCCAAAUCAGGCAUGCAAAUCUUCAUCUUCUCCUCCAAUACUUUUGAGUUUCUAACAAUGUCGAUCUUGGAAACCAUAUCGACGGCCAACACAUCAAUCUCAAGAAGACACUGAUCGGAGAGAAAACCAUUUUUGAGGCACGCGUGCGCACCUGAUAGAAAACAGACGGGCAAGGACAAUUGAAAAAGAGGGAAAACUUGCAAUCCCUUAGCGCGCUUCUUUUGAAUUUCUUGUUCUUUGUCAUCCUCAUCUGCCGGUAAUCGCCAUCGGUUUACCAUCACCGGGCACCGACUAACGUAUGUACUGGAAAGAGAACUAGAACAGAAGGCACCGGUUGAAAUCAUUCGUCUUUUGAGAUAUCAGAAGUUACUCUGUCAGAGAUUUCUUUUGAAUCCUUUCAUGCCUCUUCGUCUUCAAUUGUGUUUGAAGCCAUUCGCAUUUGUCUGAAACUUCACUAUCGGUGUUCAUUCACCCAAGCACGUUUUCCAGGUCUUCCUCGUGCAAAAUCGACCAGUAAUUGUGACCAAGAAUUCCUCGUCAACAAGGCUAUCUCUCUUCCCUACUAUACUCUGCUUUCGAUGAAUAAAAGUAACCGAAAUGGCAUGUUCUAGAUUAGGAUAGAAUCGGCUUAACUGCAUAUUCAUACUGAUGAUUGCAUCCUUGGACUAAUUUUGUUUGAACCUGAUCUCUAAUCUGAAGUUAUUGCGCUUUGUUUUGCUUCUCUGCCGAAUACGCAUAACGUGUGCAUCAGUGAGUUUCUGCUAAAUCCGAAGACAAACCAGUUUAGUGUGCAUAUUAUUGAUGUGUAUUGGUGGAUCGAUAAGCAUGAUCUAGUAGAAUACAACGCAUUGNNNNNNNNNNNNNNNNNNNNNNNNNNNNNNNNNNNNNNNNNNNNNNNNNNNNNNNNNNNNNNNNNNNNNNNNNNNNNNNNNNNNNNNNNNNNNNNNNNNNAUUCCCGUGUAUGUUUGGUCUCCCGAGGUGAUGGAUGGGGGGUCAAUGGCGAGUAAAUGGAUUCGAGUUAAGGACUGGAGUGUCGAUCCAUUGAAGCAUUCGUUUGGUUUGUUUCUCCAUUCUUAUGUUCUGUCCGUUUCCUUUACUGUUGCGAUUGCGGAGGAUCGAGUUGAUGGUGACAGAGGACGGCUGUAGGCAGGGAGUCCCUAAAUGAUACUGUUUCACGGAUGUUCUUGAUUUUAUGACAUGUGUGGUAACGUGUCAAACAGUGCCAAAUUCUGAUUUUUUGUUCACAGAAUUAGUUUGGGACGUGAAUCGCAUUUGGUAAAAUUUUUGUUCCCGAGAACAAUUUUGGACAAGAUUUGAGAAUAAAAAAAAUUUUGAUUCUCUGUCCGAGAAUCAGAAAAAGAAUCAAAAUGGUGAAACCCUCACUCUUCCCUUUCGUCAUCCCGGUUGCCGUUCACCACCGCCUGCCACCGUCUGCCACCUUCGGCCGCCGCCGUCCGCUAUUGGUCGCAGAUCCGGUGAGGUCGCCAGAGGCUCGCCAGGCUAGGGCGAGGUCUGGCAAGCUCNNNNNNNNNNNNNNNNNNNNNNNNNNNNNNNNNNNNNNNNNNNNNNNNNNNNNNNNNNNNNNNNNNNNNNNNNNNNNNNNNNNNNNNNNNNNNNNNNNNNGGUGAGGCUGGGCGAGCCUCGCCUAGGAGUGUCGCCGGCCCUCGUUUGGCCGGUCGCCAGUCCAGUGACCAGCCACAUGAAGAAGAAGAAUAGGAAAAAAGGGAAAAAAAAAAGAAAAAAAGUAAAAAUUUUAUUUAAAAAUAAAAAGAAACUAAUUUGGAACAUAAUCAAUUAGCACGGAAUCAAACACAAUUCUAUUCCAGAAUAAAAAAUUUUGGACAGUUACCAAACGCGCUUUUUUACUCAGAAUUAGUUCCUAGGAACAAAAUAAAAAAUAAUCAUUUCUAGUCAGAAUCAGCUCCCAAGAAUAGAAUUGUUACCAAAUGUGCUCUUUGUGUCUCGGGUCUUGAACUUGACAAGAAACGAUUGGGCUGAAUCUGGUUCAAGUGAAUUCGGAUUUGAUGAGUUCUUUUAGGGAAUUUGGGCCCAAUUCAAUUUUUUAGGUGAAGAAUCUAGAUAGAUAUAUAGCCCAAAGGACUUUUACGGCCCCGACCUCAAAAGUAUAAGUUUGACCCAUACAAGAACCGGGCCCAAGGGCCCAGCCAGCGUCUCCUUAUAUCCAAAAUAAAAAAUAAUAAUAUUAAUUUAAAAAUAAAAAUUUGAAAAAAUAGAAAAAUAUAGAAAAAAAAAUGGUUAGAAAUAGGGGCCUUGACUAGGCCGUUAAUUUCCAGUGCUAGAUUUGGCUUAGUUUCAUUUAGUUAGCAUAUAUAUAGUUUAAAGAAUUUAAUAACUUUGAUAUAGUUUAGUUUUCGCAUAUUGAUCUUUUGGACAAGGAAUUGGAUUCAACUCUUAUUUAGCUUAUGGGGAUUGCUGUAUGAGGGACUUAAUGAUGAUCCUUUGCUUGAUACUUUAUUGAGUUUACUUCUUUUUACUUUACUUUAUCAUAUCGAUUGUGAUUGUUUAUUUGCUCUUGAUUUUGCACUUAUGGAUGGAUAUCGUUUAGUGGCAUAGGGCACUAAAAUGGUUAAAAGAUUGCAUGAACAUCUUAGGUACCAAACGAAUCUAGCUAAGGUAUUGAAAAAGCAUUAGGUAGACAAUUAGUGUAAUGAAAUCACCAAUUUUAGAAUAUCUAGUUGCGUAGAAAGUGAGAUAUUUUUCCAUAUCUCAUUUGGGCUAGUGGCAGCUCCUUCUUUUAGGUUAAAUUGCACCAAAACAUUGAAAAUUCUAGUGUCGCGUGAGAUAAGGGUUAGGGAGAACUCGAGCUAUUAGGGAACCACUGGUCCACUGUUGGCAUUAUGUCUAAAUCCGUCUUUCUCUAAACGUGUCGGGAGGGUCACAACACUCUGCAAGCCAUCUUUACAUCUCUCUCUCACAUGCAAGAACAUAUAGUACCGUACUUGGUGGAUGAUGCAACUUUAGCAAAUGCAUGGCAACAGAGACGGUUUCUAGUAGUUGGACCCCUAGGCUUCAAGGUUUGUAUUGAAGAAUGGUUAGGUUGUUCGAGGAUUAGCCGCUACUCCUCUUUGUGCAUUGGCGAGGGAUGCAUGUGUUCUGCGUACGAACACGAAAGAAAAAGCGAGAUGAUUGUUUUUGGCAUCAUUAUAUGAUUAAGUUUUCAUAGGUUGAUAUGGUAAUACAUUCUUAGCUUUGUGUACCUAAUUAUUUGAUGUUGUUACUUACUGGAUUGACUUGUAAGUUCUAAGGUUACACAGAAAUAUGACAUUCCCAUUUCUCUGAAAACUCAUGCAACUUUUGAAAUAAUUGAAAGGGAAGGAUCUUGCGUCAGCCAUGACUUUUGCUCUCGACAGAUGCUGAGAAUAUUAUGAUAUUUCCUGCAGCUUUGCACAACCAUGCCAUUAAAAAGCAGUGCAUAGAAGUCAAAGCCAAGUCCCAAUUUAACGGCAACUUAAAAAUAUAUGGUAGUAAAUAUCACAUUUUUCGGCAAGCCUUCAGCUGUAUACUAACCUUUAUCCGAGCCGACUUGUAAAACUUAAAGAACAAAUUUGGCGUUGGUAAAUGCAUUACAAUAGUGCUAUAUUACUAACUUUUAACUGCGCUCACUUGUAAAAAUUAAAUGGUUUGGUAACUUAAUUCAUUUGACAUUUAUGUCUUCAUUACCAUGUCAGGAACUUAUUAACCUAUUACUCGAUCUGCUCAUAAAUUUAAAAGUUGUUAACUUCCUUACGAUGUCGAUAAUAUAUUAAUCUCUAUCUUGUCCACCUGUAAAAUUUAAAAGAAGUUUGUAACUUACAUAUCAACUUGGUGUUAGUAAAUUCAUUACAAUAUACUGGAAAUUUGCUAACCAAUAACUUGAUUUGGCCAAUCUACCACCGUUGAAGAAUGUUCAAGAAAUUCAUAGAAAUUAUAGUAAUUGUAAUCGACAGUAAAGACAAAUAAAACUCAAUAUAUGCCAUGGAAAUCAUUUUUUUUUAAUUGAAAUUCUGCAAAAUCCGAUACCCUUGCAACCAAACAUCUAUCAACAAACAUUAGACAAUACCAAUAUGGUAGUUAAACCGCAAUCGCUCAGCAGCUGCUAACCCUCUUGGCUUUCAUUUGGUCAACUGAGAAGCCGUCGAGUUGUAUAUCCUUCACAUACACGAAAAGCCUCAACUUGUUGGCCUUUGCUGCUCUCCAGACAUCUUUGAUAGGGUUUAAAUCAGACGGCUGACAUAAAAGUGCUCGAACUGACAUGGCCAGAAGAAAAUCUCCUGGGCACAAAGACAUGGGACUGUAGAACCGGUUCAAUUUAUUAGCAGCUUCCCUAGAGUAUUUUAUAUUUAAACAAUAAGUUUCGGACAUAUCUUCCCGGAUAGUGAGGUGGCCGAUUUAAAAUUACUAUAGGGUCAAGUGAAUUACAGAUAAUGUACAUAAUCACGAUACAUCCGCCAAUGAUAAAAGGAGAGAUUCCAAGCUCGAUGGUUCCGGUCAAUACCACAUACGUACCACAAGCAAAAGCUAGCACCAUUGCCCAUAUCGCAAUGAAAAUGCAAAGUCCCACGGGGUAGGUGUAUCUCACCUCGUAGCGAGGGCCCGGGACCCAAGGAUCAAAUUGUAUGAAUAAUGCCACGACUGAGAAACUGAACGCUGUAAUGUUUAAUAGCACAAAGGCUUGGAAAGCUUCCCUGUCAGCAAGAAUCGCCAUCCCUCGGUUGGGUCCAUCGUUGUUAUAUCCUCCGGGCAUGGUGAAGGUUGCAGCAAAGGUCACCGUGGCUAUGAGCGUUGCCAUUAAUUGUUGAAGGUUGAUCAAGUUUUUCGUUGAUGAAUCAGAAUUUUCUCGGUUGGCGAUAUUACUUCCGGUGAUUAUAGAUGCACCUGGUUGACCCUCAACAAAUUGCUUGUCCAACAUCUUCUUUAUUUUUUCAAUAACCCCACCUUGGAAAUCCGACAUUCCGCAAGAUUCUUUUAAUAGAUAAUUAACUUUGGCAGCACUGCAGCCGACCUAAAAAAUUUACAACAUGUAUUAAUUAAAGGGUGAACUCUUCCGGCGAAAUACCUUUACGCACUCAAAUUUCAUUUAUAAACAACAGAACUCCCGGCGAGUCAUAAAAUAUUAUGAGGCAGAGGGUAGGUUAUCUCUUUUAUCUCAAGAAUUGUUUGAAUGGGGGCAGAAAAAAAAAAAACAGAAGGAUUAUAGCUAAUUAUUGUUAAAAUAUUCCGAUAUUUUCAUGUGAAUGUGACAGAAUAGUUGUUUCACAGUCAGAAGGUGCAGAUAAACUUUUUAAAUUGAGAUCCUCUAAAGCUACAUCUAAUCUAACAUUUAAAGUCACCGCUGUAUGGUUGACACCCUAGCACAUAGGGGUCAUUAGACGGCACAUAUUUAUUCUCCAUUUUUCUUUUGUUCUUUUUUUCCUCCCUCUAGCUUAACUUUGGAGGGUCCCAACCCUAAUGUUUUGCAUUGUUUUCAAGAUAAAUAAGAUGACAACUAUUUGUGAACUCUUUGAUGACCCGAUUCUCGCACGCAUUUGAAAUUUCAUGCUCAAUGAAAGUUUUUUAUUUGAUGAGAUAAUAUGAUUAUAAAAUCCAUAUUUACCAACUUCAUACAUUAUAUUGUACACAAAUAAUAUACAUUUAUCAACCAAACAACAUAAUUAAUUACUAUUGAAUAUUACUUUAUUGAAUUCUUUGUUAUUGAGGUCCACUCUUCCCACAUGGAAAGAGAGAGGUGGGGAGUUUGAUUCCCCACCUUCUCAUAUGGAUAAAAGGUAAGAAGAUUCAGUUUUAAGUGUGGGGUUUGACUCUCACACUUUAUAAAGAAAUAGGACAAAAGUCUGAAAAUAAUUCAAGAGUUAAACUAAGAUAGGCAAAUAUAUAUAUAUAUAUAUAUAAUAAAAAAAAAUCAGACAUAUAUUUGUUUUAAACUAUUUAUUUUUAUAGUGUGCAAUUCAUUGUUGGCUAUUAAUUCAAUAUUUGGCUUUUUUUAUGCAAUUAGGUAUUAAAUAGGGCUUUUACAUGUGCGAAUGAGUUAGAUGAUUUUAGACUAUAAGUAUAAAUUAAAUUAUGAGGGCUUCAAUUUUAAAUUUUACAGUAAUAACUACUGGCAAGAUAAUUAUCUUGUAAGACAUGAUUUCUAUAUGAUGAUGCAAAUUCAUCACCAUGUUAUAAAUCAAAACUAAAAAAUUGAAGACAACUUCUUUAGCUACUGCUUUUUGUUAAUCUUGCAAUACUCAUUAAUACAGUUUAACCAAUUUUUUUCAAUAGUGUAAAAUAGUUAUGCUUUACUUUGUCACUAAAUCGUUUGUGUGCUCAUAUCCAAUUUAUAGAUUAAAUGGUUGUUUGAAAGAAAGAAAUUAUAUCCCUCCACAUUUAGUUUAUAAUAAGUGGAUAUAUGAAAGAACCAUAAAUACUUUAAAUCACGAAUAUAUAUUUAUUGGCUAUUGGACCAAAUUACAUUCAAGUUGUAAGCUAUGGGAAUUGAUGUCGAUAUUUUUCUGUAGGAACAUUAAUGAUAGAUUAGGUGGACAAAAAAGCCUUUUAAUUUUUGCCUAAUUGAUGUAAUAAUUAGUCUAUCGAUUAAUGUCAAGUGAAGCGGGAGGGAAUGAUUGUAAGUGGCUUAACCAUAAAAUUCAAUGCUGCCCAAAUUUCUUAUUUAUGGUUCGAUAUGACAUCACUUCACUCCAAGUCCCUUUUCAAAUGCGUCACGCUUACUAGAGCUAUCUAUGCUACUAUCUGCUCAAACAAUCGACUAAACAAAACAAAGUUGACACACUAAAACUCCAAUUGGGCUGUUUGUUUGCACCGACUAUCACUUGAGCCACCGUUUCUUAACAAUACUGAAGAAAUUACUCUACAAGUGAACAAAUCGAGCUCUAUAGGGUUCAAGCAAGAAAGCAUACCUCAUUAUGAACCAAAAAAAUGUCAAGGGCAGUCAUAUGAUCAUUGUUUGUGAUGAAACGGUCUACCCUCUUGUCUCGUGCAAGUAUAUCUAUGAUGGUGUAGUCCUUAUGAAGUGCUGCCAAAUGCAGAGCCGUGUUUCCGUCAGUAUCUUGUUCCUUGAUAAGAUACUCCAAGUUCGGUCUCCGGAGUAUGUCCUUGACUACAUCCGCUUCUCCACCCAUCACAGCUGCGUGAAGAGCUGUUUACCCUUUGAUGUUUAUGAUGUCCCAAGCACUAGGACAAAAUUUAACAAUCUCAUCAAUGACAAGAGAGUAGCCUAAAAACGCUGCAAUGUGAAGAGCUGAUUGUCCCUCUUUGUCUAAGUCAUAUGCCACGGAAAUAUCGUGCUGUAGUAGUUGUUGAACCGCUUUGAAUUUGCCCUUGGAAGCAACAUAAUGAAUAGGAGUCCAACCCAUUUCAUCUCUUUCUCUGAUCAAUUCCGGUCUGCUAUUCAGGAUUUUCUGCCAGCCUUUGCAAAUACAAUAUGAAUAUGUCAUGAUUCAGGCUGUUUUUAGCAUCUUGACAAAGCUAUUAGAAUUGCAUUGUCUCCCAUGAAGUUUUCCCCUUUUUCUCCUUACUAGGAACGAAUAUGUCAUGGUUAUUACGAAGUUUCUCUAGUUAUCUCGUGUUAACGCACGUAGAAUCUGACCACCUUCAAUCUAGUAUAAUACAGAAAUCUGUAAAGGUUUUCUUUUUGAUAAGUGAAAUUGUUAAUAGUUGGUAAAGUUGAUCGACAAGAAGCUUUUCCUUUUUUCAGGAGGGAAUCUGCUCCGUCAGGGCUAGGAUAAAAGACCAGUGUUUUUUUCUCUGAUGCCAAUCAUAUUGCAGACCAAUCGUGCCCAACUUAAUUUCAUAGAAAUUUCAAUAUCGAAUUAGGACUUAGCGCCUUGUGCAUUUUCAAUGAUCGUUGCACUCCCAUUUUUUCAAGUCAUCAUGAUUUGCCUUCAAGAAUUAAAAAAAUUUGCAUGCAUACCUUGAUCUUUCGGAAAUAUAAAGGGUUAACAUCACAAAAAAUCCAAACUAAUUCACAUAUAACAAAUUCACUGUAAAUUAAUUUUUUGACUAUAAAAAAUUCCAAAUUGAUAUACUUGUCACAAAUUUAUUCCAAAUUAAAUUUUUUACCACAAAAAACCCACAUUCUGAUAUAUCUGUAACCAUUUUAUCCCCCGUUAGUUUCUACUAAAUUGAUUUGAUAUCAUAAAAGAAUAUCCAAAGUGGUACACCUAUCCACUAUCACAUGUCAUACAACUAAUUAAUUUGUAAUAGAUGUACUAGUUUGGAGUAAAAAAAUUAGUUUUGGAUAGAUUUUUCACAAAUGUAUUAAUUUUGAGUUUUUUGUAGUAUUAACCUAUAUUAUAUAUAUAUAUAUAUAUAUAUAUAUAUAUAUAUAUAUUGCAUGCCAUGCCAUUUAUUGUAAACUGAAAGACAAUUAAUCAUAAGCACAAAAUGUCGAAACAAAGAAGGACACAAGAAAAGAUAAUUAAAAAAAAGAAGAAGGUAAAACAACCGAACUGGAGAAGAGAGGAGAGGGAAGAGGCAGUGGUGCUAUGGUAGUGAUGGUGGCUGCUGCCGCUGCCACCGAAGGAGUCAAGUAAGAGUACAAGAUCUAGAAAAACACUUAGAAAGAAUUAAGUGCGUGUACAAGUACUUUCUUAAAAUAAAAUGAUUUUCCUGAAUCGAUACGUAAUCCAGAAUGUAGUUGAAUCCUUUGAAAAACUCCUCUCUUUUUUCCUUAGUCCGUAUGCUAAGAGAAGACAAACCAGUUUGAACUUAAUUAAUAGUCAAUGAAUAUCCGACCACAAAAAACAGUUAAUGAAUAAAACAAUAAAGUCAAAUGCAACAAGAAUAACAAGUUAAAAUUUUAUUCAAAUUAUAACCCCCAUAUAUAAUUGCUCAAGAACCAUGUCCUGGGGAAAAUGUAUGGCCUUUCACCACAAUAAAAGUAGCAAUCAAGAAAUAAAUAAAUAGCGUUGGCGGCCAUCACUGCUAACAUCAUCACGUCUCACCUAAAUGAAGCCUUGCACGAGAGAGAGAACUUUAGUUAAAAUUUGUUUCGGUGAAAAAAACCCGUGAUACUUACCAGCCAGUGGGCGAUGGAUGGCAACAUACAAAGCUGUCAAUCCCUUAGGGCCCUUAUGAGAGGAUGGCAACACGGAAGCAUGUAAAAUCAGCUCCAUGAUAUACAAAUGCCCUCUAUCUGUUGCAAGAUAAAGCGGGGACUCAUCAGCAGCAUUAGUAACACCACCCAACUGAGGAUCCUCUUCAAUCAGCAACUUCACCACUGAUUCAUGGCCUCCUCUUACUGCAUAGUGCAGUGCAGUAUCCUUAUGCAAAUUUGGCUUUCUAAGUAGUUCUCUACAUGCAUCAACUUGUCCGUUUUCAACAAUGCUAUGCAGUUUCACCAUUUUAAUAAGGACUCGAACAGAUUUCAAGCUUCCCAUGGUGGCAGCAAUAUGUAGUGGAGUAUCUUCUUUGAAGUUACCCUGCCAAAGAAGAGGCGGUCCUGAUGGACGUUGAAGAAGAUUUUCGAUGAAAUUUACUUGCUCGUACUGAGCUGCAACGUGAAGAAUGUUGUUCCCAUUUGGCGUUGUUUGGUGAAAAAGAUCCUCUCCGUUUUCUGAAAUUGCUGUGAUCAGGGACUGAAACUCAGGAGAUAGAAAGUCUCCUGACUUUGCAGCCCUAUACACAUCAGGAUGCAUACUUAGGCUCUCUUUCAUUCUCGGGAUAAGCGGUAGUUGCAAGUGAACUUAUCAAUAAAAGAAAUGAGUUCAAAUAUAAUGAACUUCUUUGAGCUUUCUAAGAGUCUUGAGCUUUCUAAGAGGAUUGAUGUAAAUGGAGGAUGUUGGAAAGGGAAAUUUAGUUGAGCUUCCCAGGAGUAGUAGAAAGGAGAUAUUUGUGGUUCUUCAAUUGUUCCUAUGAAAUUGAAAUAAAUUGAUCAGGUUUAGAGAAUAGUUUCCAGAAAGUCUAAUUAGUAUGCGUUUUGGACUUCAUAUUUUACACAUAAGCAAAUAAUAAGGAAGUGGGGCAACUCUUGUUUAAAGGAAGGAGGACGAGUACAAAUCAAAAAUAAUAAUGAUAAAUAAAUUAUAUAAGCAUGAAAUUGAAUUAGCGGGCUGCUUUCCACUUUUCAUCAAAAUCAGGACCAUCGAAACAUGCAUGAUUCAAACAUUCUUACUGAAGAAUCGAAUCUGAUUGAUUAUUAAAGCAAAGACAUUCGUGGGCCCACGUUUAGCUGUAGAUUUCCUUUUGCUCCUUUCCUAUUUUUUAACGACAAGUCCUUAACUCUUUUCAGUCUUUAUGGUCUUAGUCCGUCGUGAAUCGUGCGUUCUCAUCGUGCUCCACGUGAUGGAAGAUUUACAUACGUAAACUUUCCCCACUCGAAGAUUUAUAUACGUAAAUUUUUAUGGGGAUCGAACUUAGGUAAAAAUUAGUUGACGCUCAAUUUGAGGAUCACCUCUACUGCUAUGAUCUAUUGGCAAAAGUCAAAGCUCAUAAUCAUAUGUUAUAUAUUGUAAUGUUUUCAUAAUAUACAAUAACGAAUAAAAAUCUAAAAAAAUUCAUGAUAGAUCAAGGACUAUCUAUUAUUUUUACUAUGUGGAAGAGAGAUGUAAAAGGUUAAUUUUUUUUAUAAAAAAAGAGAAGGCAACACCGAAGCUGUUCUGCUUUGUCAGCAAGGGCCAGUGAUCCUUGUUGGUGUGUUGAUGAGGGCCAUCGACCCUUGUUGGAGUGUCCAUGAACGAGGGUUUACAGGAUCUCGUUUUUGCCAAUUCAGUCCUAAACCUUUUAACUUUGCCAAUUUAGUCCUAAACAUUUUCACUUCUUGUCAAUUCAAUCUAUUCGACCAAUUUUGGCCAGAAAAUUCUGACGUGGACGCCAGCGAUGCCAUGUAGGACAGCCGGCGCUGAUGUUGACAAUUUUUAAUAAUAUUUUUUUAUUUUUUAUAUUUUUUUAUAUUUUUCCCUUUUUUUCUUUCUUUUCUUUUUGGCCUUUUUCGGUGGCCAGCCACUAACCACAACUAGCCAGCUAGCCUCACCCACCACUGGCCAGACCCAACCACGCGAGGAGGAGCCCCAGCGAGGGGAGCCCUCACCUAUGUGCGGCCCAGCGAGGGGAGCCCUCGCCCAAGCGCGGCCCGGCAAGGGUCGGCUGGGCGAGACCGACCCUCACCCAGGCUAGGGCGGCCCCACCGGGCGACGGCGAUGCCGGGCAAGGCCGCCCUAGCCUGGGUGAGGGCUGGCCUCACUAGAUCUGGCGAGGGGAGCCCUUGCCAGGCCUAGCCCUCGCCCAAGCGAGUGUCAGCCUCGCCUAGUCCAGAUCUAGCACGAGCUCUGGCUGACGGCCCCUCAAUCAAUGUCGUCAAGCUAAACCUGGUAAGCCCUUGCUUGUGUUAGGUUUUCGCCCUGUUUAGCGCACGUCAGGCUGGAGCCUGCGGCUGUUCGAGUCACGUGAGCUCCGGUCCCGCUGGUUCCCCGUCAAGUUGUUAUGUGUUCUCAUUCGCUUUUCGAAAGUUCUGGUGUGGACUUGGGUCACAAUCAAGCCGAAAUCCUUCCCAUAGCGUAUACCAAGUGUUCGAUGUAAUGCCACAGUGAGAUUUAGUUUUCUUUCGUUGUCUUGGCCAUAAUCGAGUUGUACGGGUUUUGUCCGGGUGAACCAAGUUUUUUCUUCACAUGAUGGUUAGCGUUCCAAGUGUCUGGUGCCGGUCGAACCGAACGACCGACGUCAGACGGUGGCUCCGGUGCCUCAAAGGUCGGUGAAGGGAUCGUCGUAGUGGUGGCACUGGUUUAAGCAGGGGAGCUACAGGGGAGCUACAGGAGAGCAUUUGGUGAGGAGAGGGGGCUGGUCGAGGAAGAAGACAAGCGUGGAGAACAACAGAAAAAGAAAAAAAAUAAUAUAAAAGGAAAAAAAAAAGGCCAAGAAAAAAGCCAAAAAAAAAAGAAAAGACAAAAGGAAAAAAAAUCAAUAAAAUAAUAAAAUAUUAUUAAAAAUUGUCCACAUCAAAGCCGUCGGUCCUAGGUGGCACUGCCAACGUCCACGUCUGCAUUUUCCAGCCAAAGUUGAUCGGAUGGAUUGAAUCGGUAAAAAGUGAAAAUGUUUAGGACUGAAUUGGCAAAAGUGCAAUAGGUUUAUGACUUUUUGGACAAUUUUCCCAUAAAGAAUGAGUUCAAGUGGGAAGAAUUUAUUUCAUAAUAUAACUUUAAAAAAGCCAUAUUGCUCUAAUUCUUGGAAGUUUCCGUUCUCCCACACCCAAAUUAAAAGGUCUCCCUGCAACUUCUUUUUUCUUUUUUCUAAACUUCUAAGGCAUCUUGUCUUCCACUUUUCCCUAAGAAGCAAAACCAUUUCACAUCCAUCAUACUUCUUGGAACGUGGUAACUUUAGACUUCUACGCCUUCCCCAUGUGAGGUAGGUAGCAACGAGAACCAUCUACCAUAGUUCUUUAGCCAAGUAAAUGUCUCAAGAACCUUCAAGGAUGGAGUCAUCGGAUCGUCAUCAAGGCUGAAUCAACUGCUUAUGAAGUUACCAAUAACUAUCACAACCACUGUUGUCGUUACCAUGCACCAGCCCUACCCCCAUUUCUAACAUCCCAUUAUCAUUCCAAAUCUAACAACAUGCCACCGUUGUCACUAGAUUUAACAUUGACAACUGAAUUAUGAUUUUUUCUAGUCGUUACACUAAAAAUUAGGGCUUGGAUUCAAUCCCUAAACAAAUAAUUUCAACAUAGCAUAGUUUGCAUAAUGGGGAGUGCGUACCAUGGAACAUUACGCAUGCGACUUUUUCUUAUUCAGUGGUGCAACUUAAAAUUGAAGUAAUUUUGUGAAAUCAGUGAAGACUCGAACCACUCGCAACUUAAAAGGUAAGCACAGGUCUUCCUGCAGCUUCUUUUUUCUUUUUUCUAAAUUUCUAAGGCAUCUUGUCUUCCACUUUUCCCUAAGAAGCAAAACCAUUUCACAUCCAGGAUACUUUAGACUUCUACGCCUUCCCCAUGUGAGGUAUGUAGCAACGACAAACACCUUCCAUAGUUCUUCAGCUAAGUAAAUGUGCUAAGGAACCUUCAAGGAUGGACUCAUCGGAUCGUCUCAUCAAGGCUGAAUCAACUGCUUAUGAAGUUACCAAUUACUAUCACAACCACUGUUGUCGUUACCAUGCACCAGCCCUAACCCCAUUUCUAACAUCCCAUUAUCAUUCCAAAUCUAACAACAUGCCACCGUUGUCACUAAAUUUAACAUUGACAACUAAAUUAUGAUUUUUUCUAGUCGUUUAUUACACUAAAAAUUAGGGCUUGGGUUCAAUCCCUAAACAAAUAAUAUCAACAUAGCAUAGUUUGCAUAAUGGGGAGUGCGUACCAUGGAACAUUACGCAUGCGACUUUUUCUUAUUGAGUGGUGCAACAUAAAAUUGAAGUAAUUUUGUGAAAUCAGUGAAGACUCGAACCCCUUCGCAACUUAAAAGGAAAGCACAGGUCUCCCUGCAACUUCUUUUUUCUUUUUUCUAAAUUUCUAAGGCAUCUUGUCUUCCACUUUUCCAUAAGAAGACAAAGCAUUUCACAUCCAAGAUACUUCUUGGAACAUGGUAACUUUAGACUUCUACGCCUUCCCCAUGUGAGGUAUGUAGCUAGGUGAACAACCCUCGAUAGUUCUUCAGCCAAGUAAAUGUCUAAGGAACCCUUCAAGGAUAGAGUCAUUGGAUUGUCUCAUCAAGGCUGAAUCAACUGCUUAUGAAGUUACCUAUUACUAUCACAACCACUGUUGCCGUUACCAUGCACCAGCCCUACCCCCAUUUCUAACAUCCCAUUAUCAUUCCAAAUCUAACAGCAUGCCACCGUUGUCACUAGAUUUAACAUUGACAACUAAAUUAUGAUUUUUUUUCUAGUCGUUCAUUACACUAAAAAUUAGGGCUUGGGUUCAAUCCCUAAACAAAUAAUAUCAACAUAGCAUAGUUUGCAUAAUGGGGAGUGCGUACCAUGAAACAUUACGCAUGCGACUUUUUCUUAUUGAGUGGUGCAACUUAAAAUUGAAGUAAUUUUGUGAAAUCAUUGAAGACUCGAACCACUCGCAACUUAAAAGGUAAGCACAGGUCUUCCUGCAGCUUCUUUUUUCUUUUUUCUAAAUUUCUAAGGCAUCUUGCCUUCCACUUUUCCCUAAGAAGCAAAACCAUGUCACAUCCAUCAUACUUCAUGGAACGUGGUAACUUUAGACUUCUACGCCUUCCCCAUGUGAGGUAGGUAGCAACGACAAACACCUUCCAUAGUUCUUCAGCUAAGUAAAUGUCUAAGGAACCUUCAAGGAUGGACUCAUCGGAUCGUCUCAUCAAGGCUGACAGCCGAGAUCGGCCCACCGAUACCAAUUACUAUCACAACCACUAUUGCCAUUAUCAUCCACCAGCCCUACCCCCAUUUCUAACAUCCCAUUAUCAUUCCAAAUCUAACAACAUGCCACCGUUGUCACUAAAUUUAACAUUGACAACUAAAUUAUGAUUUUUUCUAGUCCUUUGUUACACUAAAAAUUAGGGAUUGGGUUCAAUCCCUAAAAAAAUAAUAUCAACAUAGCAUAGUUUGCAUAAUGGGGAGUGCGUACCAUGGAACAUUACGCGUGCGACUUUUUCUUAUUGAGUGGUGCAACUUAAAAUUGAAGUAAUUUUGUGAAAUCAGUGAAGACUCAAACCACUUCGCAACUCAAAAGGAAAGCACAGGUCUCCCUACAGCUUCUUUUUUUCUUUUUUCUAAAUUUCUAAGGCAUCUUUUCUUCCACUUCUCCAUAAGAAGCAAAACCAUUUCACAUUCGGGAUACUUCUUGGAACGUGGUAACUUUAGACUUCUACGCCUUCCCCAUGUGAGGUAUGUAGCUAGGUGAACAACCCUCGAUAGUUCUUCAGCCAAGUAAAUGUCUAAGGAACCUUCAAGGAUAGAGUCAUUGGAUUGUCUCAUCAACGCUGAAUCAAGUGCUUAUGAAGUUACCAAUUACUAUCACAACCACUGUUGCCGUUACCAUGCACCAGCCCUACCCCCAUUUCUAACAUCCCAUUAUCAUUCCAAAUCUAACAACAUGCCACCUUGUCACUAAAUUUAACAUUGACAACUAAAUUAUGAUUUUUUCUAGUCGUUUAUUACACUAAAAAUUAGGGCUUGGGUUCAAUCCCUAAACAAAUAAUAUCAACAUAGCAUAGUUUGCAUAAUGGGGAGUGCGUACCAUGGAACAUUACGCAUGCGACUUUUUCUUAUUGAGUGGUGCAACAUAAAAUUGAAGUAAUUUUGUGAAAUCAGUGAAGACUCGAACCCCUUCGCAACUUAAAAGGAAAGCACAGGUCUCCCUGCAACUUCUUUUUUCUUUUUUCUAAAUUUCUAAGGCAUCUGGUCUUCCACUUUUCCAUAAGAAGACAAAGCAUUUCACAUCCAAGAUACUUCUUGGAACAUGGUAACUUUAGACUUCUACGCCUUCCCCAUGUGAGGUAUGUAGCUAGGUGAACAACCCUCGAUAGUUCUUCAGCCAAGUAAAUGUCUAAGGAACCUUCAAGGAUAGAGUCAUUGGAUUGUCUCAUCAACGCUGAAUCAACUGCUUAUGAAGUUACCAAUUACUAUCACAACCACUAUUGGUCGUUAUCAUGCACCAGCCCUACCCCCAUUUCUAACAUGCCAUUAUCAUUCCAAAUCUAACAACAUGCCACCAUUGUCACUAAAUUAACAUUGACAGCUAAAUUAUGAUUUUUCCUAGUCGUUUAUUACACUAAAACAUUAGGGAAACAAAUAAUAUCAACAUAGCAUAGUUUGCAUAAUGGGGAGUGCGUACCAUGGAACAUUACACGUGCAACUUUUUCUUAUUGAGUGGUGCAACUUAAAAUUGAAGUAAUUUUGUGAAAUCAGUGAAGACUCGAACCACUUCGCAACUCAAAAGGAAAGCACAGGUCUCCCUGCACCUUCUUUUUUCUUUUUUCUAAAUUUCUAAGGUAUCUUGUCUUCCAGUUUUCCCUAAGAAGCAAAACCAUGCCACAUCCAUGAUACUUCUUGGAACUUGGUAACUUUAGACUUCUACGCCGUCCCCAUGUGCGGUAGGUAGCAACGAGAACCAUCUUCCAUAGUUCUUCAGCCAAGUAAAUGUCUAAGGAACCUUCAAGGAUGGACUCAUCGGAUCGUCUCAUUAAGGUUGAAUCAACUGCUUAUGAAGUUACCAAUUACUAUCACAACCACUGUUGUCGUUACCAUGCACCAGCCCUACCCCCAUUUCUAACAUCCCAUUAUCAUUCCAAAUCUAACAACAUGCCACCGUUGUCACUAAAUUUAACAUUGACAACUAAAUUAUGAUUUUUUCUAGUCCUUUGUUAUACUAAAAAUUAGGGAUUGCGUUCAAUCCCUAAACAAAUAAUAUCAACAUAGCAUAGUUUGCAUAAUGGGGAGUGCGUACCAUGGAACAUUACGCGUGCGACUUUUUCUUAUUGAGUGGUGCAACUUAAAAUUGAAGUAAUUUUGUGAAAUCAGUGAAGACUCGAACCACUUCGCAACUUAAAAGGAAAGCACAGGUCUCGCUGCAACUUCUUUUUGUCUUUUUUUCUAAAAUUCUAAGGCAUCUUGUCUUCCACUUUUCCCUCAGAAGCAAAACCAUGUCACAUCCAGGAUACUUCCUGUAAUGUGGUCACUUUAGACUUCUACACCUCCCCAUGUGAGGUCGGUUAGCAAUGAGUACCACCCUCGAGGGUUCUUAAGCCAAGUGAAUGUCUAAGGAGCCUUCAAGGACGGAGUCAUCAUAUCGUCUCAUCAAGGCUGAAUCAACUGCUUAUGAAGUUACCAAUUACUAUCACAACCACUAUUGCCAUUACCAUGCACCAGCCCUACCCCCAUUUCUAACAUCCCACUAUCAUUACAAAUCUAACAACAUGCCACUGUUGUCACUAAAUUUAACAUUAACACCUAAAUUAUGAUUUUUUUUCUAGUCAUUUAUUACACUAAAAAUUAGGGAUUGGGUUCAAUCUCUAAACAAAUAAUAUCAACAUAGUAUAGUUUGCAUAACAGGGAGUGCGUACCAUGGAAUAUUAUGCAUGCAACUUUUUCUUGUUGUGUGGUGCCCCUUAAAAUAGACGAAUCUUGGCUGAAAGUUCUGAGUUAAUUGCCAAUCCAUGACUGUGGGGGCCCACUUAUGGAUUGUGGAGACUGAGAGAUGAUGAAGCCGUGAUUAUGGGGGCACACUCGAAAGGCUGAGGAGAAUUCGGUGGCUUCUUUUCCGUGAAUGACGGCCUCACAAAUUUAAGGAACGUGUCAUAGGAGACAUGACAAUUUUUUGGGAGCGUGAUUACCUCGGUCCUUGGUGAAAAGUCAAAGGAUUUGGGACAGGGGAACAUAUUGUGACUUAUCUUCUCCAAACGGAGCGUACUGAAGGCAAAAGCAAACUAACAAGGCAAAGUGUUGUAGAGGCCCGUUUACUUAACGAAGGAAAAGAGAAGAAUUCUUUCCAACUAGUGAAUGGCAAAAUCUCAGCAAUAAAGGCACAAAAUUCCAAAAAAUAAGGAGAUAUCGCCAAUAUUCAACGUUCACUAUGCCCUCUUGUUGUCACCAUUACGCCUCGAUGGUCACUGCCCCUGCUGCCCCCGACAUCACCGCUCCACCCAAUCAAGCCAAGUCCUCAUCAUUCCCUUUGGUGCCAUCAAUGUGGCCACCAACGCAGCGACGAGUCCAAACCAUACGCUAGACAUUAGGUUUCCAGCCAAACUAAAGAGACCUGCCAGUCCGGCGAACUCCUACAGCCGUUGUUCGCCACCAACAUUGAUUAACCAGCACCGGCGAGCAUCAAUUCUGCCCUGCAAUCGCGCCGUGAAGCCGCAACUAGGAAACAGACGCGGACGAGCAGGCGAACCAAAGUGCGCUCGCUGACGGUUUGCAACCUGAGCAACGGCCAACAAACUUUCUCCGUCGCAUCAAUUUAGCUGGCUUCCAGGCCCCACUCACAGCAAUCACUAGCCUUGCCGAUGCACGCCAGUAUCCCUGUUGUUGUCGUGUCCAGCCUGUUAGAAAAAUAUUAUAUAACAUGAAAAAUAAGGAUUGUUAGGAAUCUAUUAAAAAUAAUGAGAAAAUAAGAUUAAUUAUCUAAGGCCUGUAAACAUUGUCCUUAAGGACAAUAUCCUUAUAAUUUAUUUUCAUCAUAUCAAUUGUGAUUAUUUACUUACCCUUAAUUAUACCCAUGAAUGGACAUUGUUUAGUGGUAUAGGAUACUAAAAUAAUUAAAAUAUCAAAUGAAUCUUAGGUAAUAAACCAAUCAAGUUAGGGUAUCGAGAGGAGACUAGUUGGAUAAUUAGUGUAAUUAAGUUCCCGAUCUUAAAAUCUCCGGUUGCGUAAAAGGUGAAAUAUUUCCCCUAUCUUACUUGGCUCCUAACCUGCCUUAAUAAGCUAACAUUAGCUCCUUUAUGUAGCGUAAGUCAUACUAUAAUAUUGAAAAUUCUAAUGUCACACUAGUUAAGGGUUUGGGAGGACCCGAACUAUUUGAGAACUAUCGGUCCACUUUUGGCAUUAUCUCUAAACUCAUUUUUCCCCAAAAGUGUUGGGAGGUUGCGACAAGGAGAUUUCUCUUGCUGACAUGGAAAAGUACAUAGUCCCCUAAUUUACAACUCCCAACACAGAUAAUGCAGCUUUAAUGAAGAACAUGGCGAUGGGAAUGGCUUCUUGUAGUUGGACCCCAACGGUUCACGGUUUGUAUUGAUGAAUGGUUAGGUUGUUCGAGGAUUGGCCACUGCUCCUCUCUAUGCAUUAGCGAGUGAUGCAUAUAUUCCACAAGCAAAUAUAAAAGAAGAAGCGAAAUGAUUGUUUUUUGCAUGAGUGGGUGAUUGAAUUUUUAUAGGUUGAUAUGGAGAUACUUUUUUGGCGCUGCCAACCUAAUUAUUUAAUGAUGUUACUCACUCGAUUGACUUUGAACGCUUCGAGAUUACAUAGAAAGAUGACAUUCCCCACUUUUAUGAUGGCUAACGAAGCUGUUGACACUGACAGGUUUUAAAUUUUACAAAUGACAUAAAAGUGCUCGAAAUCGACGACUGGCUGACAAAUCAAAGAGAAAAUUUCCUGUGAGCAAAGGUCACUGGUUUGCAGAACCGGCCCAACCGAAAAUGACAGUAAAAAACUUUCGGAUUUAUCCUCCUCUGGGAGAGCUACCUAGCAGCCACGAAUGAGCCUCGGGGUCGGUGAACUCAUAAAUGAAGCACAAAGUGGACAGAAAUCCAUACGCAAUAUAAGGAGCGACUCUUUCCGCGGUACUCCCGGUGGGCCUGAUUAAUACAGUGAACAUCCCGAAAAUAUAGGCGAGCCCCAUCGCGGCUAUCGCAACUUCAAUGCAACCUCCCACAGUCAGGAUGUAUUUCGGCUCUUGAUGAAAGCUGAACGCACAACUUUGACAAUGUAAGAUUAUUGCCAGGACAGAGAGAAGGAAAGCAAUACUAUUGCAUAGGACAAAGGCUUGGAAAUCUGCCCUGCCAGCAAGAAUCGCCAUUCCCCGGUUGGGUCCAUCGUUGUUAUAACCUCCAGGCAUUGCGACGGCCGCAGUGAAGCUCACUGUGGCUAUGAGUGCUGCCACUAGUAGUUGAACGUCCACGAUGCUUUUUUUUUUGAUAAAUCGAAAUUAUCUCGGUUGGCAAUGUUAUUUCCUAUGAUUGUAGACAAAGAUGGUUGACCCUGAACAAAUUGCUUUUCUAACCUCUUCUUGCCAUGUUCAAUGAACCAGGCUUGAAAGCCCGAUAUUCCAUGAGAUCCUUCCAAUAGGUAAGAAACAUUUCUAGCACUGAAGUCGAUCUAAUGAUGUACAAGAUGUGUCAAUUAAUGAGUGAAAGUUUUCUAGCCAAAUACUUCAAGAUCCUCACUUUACAAACUCAAAAUCUAUUUAUAACAAUCGGAACUUGCAACGAGUGGUGAAACGUCAAGAAAAAUUCAUUGGAAAAAUUGUUCUGAAAGUCAAAAAUCUAUUGAACUUUUGUCAAUUCAGUCAUAAACCUUUUAAUUUUGUCAAUUGAGUCAUGAUUUUUUUCACAUUUUGCAAAUUGAAUCCAUUCAGCCAAAUUUUGUUGGAAGUCACUGACAUAGACGUCAAUCAUCCUAUGUGACAUGACCAGCACUAAUAUGAACAUUUUAAUAUUUUAUUUUUAUUUUUUUCUUUUUCCCUUCUCUAUUCAAUCGCUAGUCUCAAUGACCUCUAGUAAAGCUCCCCACCCUGCCCUCCAACCUAGCCACUAGUGAGGCCAAGCCUUGUCGUCAUUGGAAGAGGUCAAGCCUUGCCAAGGGUAAGCAAGACUUGCCAAUGGUGGGCAAGGUCGACCUCACCCACCCCUAGUGAGGCUCACCCUCGCCAGUGGCUAGUAGGGGUAAGCUUUGCUUGAGGCUAACAAGGUCAACCUUACCAACCCUUGCCUCUAACUAGUUGUUGAGGCUUGGUGACUAGAUAAAGGAGGAAGAAAGGGAAAAAAAUAAAAUAAAAAGAAAAAGGAAAAAGAAAAAAAUAAUAAUAAUUUGAAAUAUAUUAAAAUAUCAAUUACAAAUUAUCCAUGUUACCAUCGGCCGUGCCAUGUAGGUUGACUGAUGUCUAUCUUAGCAACUUUCGAUUAAAAUUGACUAGAUGGACUCAAUUAGUAAAAAGUAAAAAAGUUUAAGACUCAUUUAGUAAAAUUAAAAAGAUUUAUAACUGACUUGCCAAAUAUAUGAUAGGUUUAGGACUCUUUGGAUAAUUUUCUCGAAAUCAUUCAAAUCAUAGCUGAUAAACUAAAUGGUAGAUAACACUCGUUAAUAGAGUUUCCGAUAGCAAACAAUACAGUUACAAGUAUGCUAUCCCAGUCUUGAUUUAUUUUCUAACUUUCUUUUCUUUUUUUCUUUUUAUGCUAUCCCCUAGUAACAAAGAUUUAGACAAUCACUUUUGAAGUAGUUGAAGGCCCUUGUGUUGCCCAAAUUUGAGCUUUAUACUUAUUGAAAAUUUUUGUUCUGAUGAUACAAUAUGGUCAUACAACAUAUGAUUAACAAACGAAUAUGCAUUUAUCAACCAAACAACAAAUUUAAUUAAUACUCAAAUUACUUUACUACGUGAUUUGUUUUAAACUAUACCUUGUUAUUUGAAGACUUUGUCAAUGAAUAAUCUUAAUAAAGCAAAAUAUUCAAACUUAAAUUGUUUUUUAACUAUGUGCAUUCAACUUUUGGCUAUUAAUCUGAUAUUUGGUUUUUUGUUUCAUGCAAUCUGUACCUGGAGCUUUUAUUUGGGAUAAUGAGUUAAAUGUUUUAAAAAUAUAAGCAUUAAUUGGAGCUAUAAAGACUUCUGUUUUAAAUACAACUUUUUAGCUACUGGCAAGAUAAUUAUUUUGUCGUAUGAAAUAUUUAUAGGACAAUGCAAAUUCCUGACUAUGUUAUAGUUUAAAAAUAAAAAUUUGAAUACAACAUUUUAGCUACGAAUUUUGUUAUUUUUGCAAUACUCAUAAAUAUGGCUUAAUCAAAUUUUUAAUUAGUCAAAGAAUAUUUGACAUUUACUUUUCACAAAAUCGUUUCUAUCCAUACAUCUACUUUGUAGAUAAGUUAGCAAUUUUGAGAAAAAAAAAAGAGAGAGAGAGAGAUAUGACCAAACACUUUUAGUUAAUAACAAAUAUAUAUACCAACUCACAUCUUGAAAGAACCAUAAAGACUUCUAUAACGAGUUUAGAUUUAUUGACUAUUAUAUCAAAUCACAUAAAAACUACUAAGCUACGUGAAUUGAUGUUGAUUUUGUUGUAGGAACAAUAAUGUUAGAGAGAGCCUUUUUAUUUUUACAACUAAUAAUAGUUAGUUUGCUAAUUAAUAUAAAGUCAGGGAGGCGAGGAAGGUUUGAUAAUGGCUCAUACUCUCCCCCCAUUUUCUGGGGUGAAGUACACUAGAAGUGCCUUAACUUGUGUACGACACAUACUUUAGUGCCACAACUUUUUUGUAGGCUCACUUAAGUGCCACCUUUAAAAAAAAAAAUGAUUACUUAAGUACUAACUCAAAUCUGAGUGGCCGGAAAUCUAACAUGAUCAUAUUUUAUUAAUUUCUCAAUCCUAUGUGGCUUGCCGCAUGCCCAAUCAUUAUGUAAUCUCUAAAUGAUGCCAUUUAAUAAGUUAAAAAAGUGAUCACUUCAGUACUAAUCAUUAUAAAAAAAAAAUCAUUUCAGUGUCAAUCGUUAUUAAAAAGUGAUCACUUUAAUGUCAAAAAAAUCCUAAAUAGAGUUGUAUAAUAAGUUAAGAAGUGAUCACUUCAGUGCCAAUUUUAAUGAAAAAGUGAUCACUUUAGUCAAAAAAUUCCACCUCAAAUAAAAUUUCUAAUUAUAAAUUUUUUUCAUUGGAAGCACUUAGGUGAUCAUUUUUCUUCAAUCUUGACACUUAAAUGAGCCGGCAAAUAAGUUAUGACACUAAAGUAAACGCAGUAUACAAGUUAAGACACUUCUAGUGUAUUUUUUCCCAAUUUUCUUAUUAUUUGUUGUAAUAUAUGAAGGGUAAAAUCACUUUAUUCCGAACCCUUUUUUAAGUGUGUCACGCUUAAUAAAGAAAUCCAUGGUACUAUUUGCUGCAAAAAUUGAAAAUAUCGUCAAUAGGCUUAAACAAUCAAAUAAGCAUGACAAAGUUGACGCAAAAAGACUUCAAUCGGGUCGUAUGCAUGCACCUGAAAUGAGUAUUUCACUGGGGCCAUAGUUUCUAAAAGAUAAAAGAAGAAAUUACUCUGCCAGUGAACAAAUUGGGCUCUGCAGUAUUCAAACAAGCAUACCUCCUCAUGAGCAGAAAAAAUGUCAAGGGCGGUUAAAUGAUCUUUAUUUUUAGCCAAACGGUCCACCCUCUUGUCUCGUGCAAGUAUGUCUAUAAUGUCAUUUUCUUUAUGAAGUGCGGCCAAAUGCAGAGCCGUGUUCCCAUUAGUGUCUUGUUCGUUGAUAAGAUCCUCCCGAUUUGGCAUCCCUAGUAUGUACUUGACUACACUCACUUGUCCACCCAUAACAGCUACAUGUAGAGCCGUUUGUCCUUUGUUGUUUAUAAUGUCACAAGCAUCAGGACAGGAUGUAAUGAGCCCGUCAAUGGCAUUGAUGUGGCCUCGAAAUGCUGCAAUGUGAAGAGCCGAUUGUCCCUCUGUCUAAAUCAUAUAUUGCAAAAUUAUCGUGUUGCAGGAGUAGUUGAACUGCUUCGACUUUGCCAAAAUAAGCGACAUAAUGAAGAGGUCUCCACCCCGUAUCAUCUCCUUCUCUGAUCGCUUCUGGGCCUCUUCUCCAUGAUUUUCUCCCAAACUUUGCAUAUAAAAUAGGAAAAUGUCAUGAUUUAGUCCGUUUAUAGCAUCUUGACAUACAUAUUAAAGUUGCACUCCAUCCCUGCAAGUUUUUCCCAUUUUGUCUGUACUAGAAAGGACUAUGUCAUGGUAAUUCCGAGGAUUUUCUAGCGAUCUUGUGUAAUAUGCAUGCAACCUAACAGCCUUCAAUCUAGGACAAUGUAGAAAUUUGUUAAAUUUAUCAAUUGAUAAGUGAAAUUGUGAGAAAUUCGUGAAGUUGUUUGAGAAGAAGCUUCUCAUACUUUAAGCAAGGCAUCUGCACUCCCAAGGCUAGAAAAAAAAGAACAAGACUCUUUACUUUGAUGCCAAUCAUUAUACGGAUUAUAUAAGAGAAUAUAAAUAUUGAAUGAGGACUAGCACCUUCUACAGUUUCAAAAGUAAAAUCAUUGUAUCCCUUUCCUUUCAAGUCGUCAUUUUUGGCCCCCGAGGGUUAAGAAACUUAGUAUGCCCUGAUCUUUUGUAAUAUAGUGCCAGAUGCCCUGUCAUCACUUGCAAACUGAAAAAAGUGGUAUAAUUUAGGGAAAAAAUAAGAGAGAAACAAUUAUCAAAAUAACGAUUUUUCUAAAUGAACGUACAAUCUAAAAUGGAUACUAUUUUUCUGUCCGCGUUUUAACAGAAGACCAAUCGGUUGAAACUUAUUUUAUAGUCGAUAAAUAAAACAAUAAAGAGAAUACAAUGAGAAUAACAACUCAAAUCUUUCCAAAAACAUAACCCCACCCCCCCCCCCCCCCCCCCCCCGCGUAUAUAACUAAUCAAGAGUUGUGUUCAAUCUUUCACAAAUAUAAACGUAAUAAUAUACAAAUUAGUUUUGAAUUUACUAUUAUAUUUAUUGAAAGCUAGGAUAGACGGCAACCCUCUUGCUAGCACCAGCACUCUCAUCUAAGAGAAGCAUUGCACAAGAGAGAUAACUUUCGUUGAAAAAAAAUUCAUUGGGCUUAGUAUCUUGCGAUACUUACCAGUUAGUGAGAGAGAGAUUCCAGCAUGCAAAGCUGUCAAACCCUUGGGGCCCUUGUGAGAGGAUGACAAUGAAAAAUGGCCUAAAAUCAGCUCGGUGGUACAAGAAAGUCCUCGAUCUGCUGCAAUAUAAAGUGGGGACUCAUUGGCGGCAUUAGUAAAACUGCAGAGUUAAGAAUCUUCUUUAAUCAUCAACUUCACCACCCAAUGAUGGCCUCCUCUUACGGCAUGGUGCAGUGCAGUAUCCUUAUUCAAAUUCUGCUUUCGAAGUAGCUCUUUGCACGCAUUAACUCGUCCGUUAUUAACAACCCAAUGAAGUGAUUUUGCCAAAUCAAUGAAGGCUCGAACCGCUCUAUAGCUUCCCACUUUAGCAGCUAGGUGUAGGGGAGUGUCCCCUUUGUAGUUACCCUGCCAAAGAAGGGACGGUCCUAAUGGACAAUGAAGAAGACCUUCAAUGAAAUUUACCUGCUUGUAUUGAGCCGCAACAUGAAGAAUGUUGUUCUCCUUUGGUGUUGUUUGGUGGAAAAUGUCCUCUUCAUUUCCUGAUAUUAUUGUCUCAAAGGAAUCAGAGUCUCCCGACUUUGCAGCCUCAUACACUUUAGGAUGCAUUCUCACCGUUUCUCUACCUUUCCCCAGACAAAGAGUAGUUGCGAGUGAACUUGCAUAUAUAAGCAAUGAAUUCAAGCCGUAGGAAGUUCUUUCAGAAAAUAGUUUUCGAAAAGCCAAAUUGCUCUAUUUCUUUGAAGUUUCCGUUCUUCCACACGCAAAUUGGAAGGAAAAAGUCAAGCACGACAAAAAAUUCAACGGCCAGUCUCCCUGCAGCUUACAAAUUUUUUUUUUUUUUUGACUUUUGAACUAUCUUGUCUACCGCUCGUCAUCAAAAGCCAAACCAUUGCACAUCCUCGAUGCUUCCUAGAACAUCAUAACUUUAGACUUCCAUGCCUCCCCCGGGGAGUACACGGCAAUGCGAACCAUCUUCAAUAGUUCUGGCGAAUCAACCCUAAACGGCUUAUGAUGUUAUUAGUUGCUAUCACCCUUGCUGCUACUAAGCACCAGCCGCUACCCCCAUUUCUAACAUCCUACCAUCAUCUCACAUCUAGCAAUAACUUGAGACCGUUGUCACUAAAUUUAACGUGGCCAUAAAUAGUCUCUACCUCAUUUACCUACGGUUUGAUACCUAAAUAUUGAUUUUUCCCAAUCAUUUAUUGCAUGAAAAUUAGGGAUUGGGUUCAAUCCCUAAAAAAAAAAAAAUCAAAAGUACAAAGUUUGCAUAAUGGCCCGCGCUCCAUGAAGUAUCACCCAUGGAGCCAUUUAAAAAUGACAUUUUGGCCAAAAGUUCACGGUUAAUUGUCAAUCCAUAUCGCAAUUCGAAACUGAAAUUUCGUACUAAAUUUUGCAGAGGAAACGGAGAGAUGACCGAGCCAUGAUUGUGGGGGCAUGCUCAAAAGAAGGACUAUUGGGUGAAUUCUUUUCCAUAAAUGAUAGACUCACAUAUUUAACAAAGGAAUCAUUGGACACAAAUAUUUUUCUUGAGAAUAUUGGCUAAAUUUGUAGGCAUAUAAUUACCUCAAUCCUUGGCGAAAGUCAAGGAUUUGGGCAUUAUUGCGUCGAUCUUCUUCAGACGAUCGAGCGUACAUGAGAAGGCUUCAGUAUUGACUAAGGCAAAAGCAAAUUAACAAGGCAGUUCUGUACUGUGUAGGGGUCCGAAGAAAGGCAACUGUGUACCGUGGAGGGGCCAUUUAAUCAAUGAAGGAAAGGAAAGGCAAGUAAAGAGGAAAAUUCUUUCCAACUUUUCAAAGACAACAUCUCAGCAAUUAAGGCACAAAAUUCCAAAACAUGAGAAGAUAUUGCCAAUAUUGGACGUUCACUAUGGCCAGUUGUUACUGCGUUAAGCCUUCAUGGUCAUUGCCCCUGCCCCCACGGCAUCACCGCUCCUCCCAACCAAGCCAAGUCGGCAUCAUUCCCUUCGGUGCCAUCGACACCGCCACUGACGCAGCGAAGAGUCCGACCCACGCCAAACAUAGAUUUCCAGCAGAACCGUAGAGACCCGCCAGUCCAGCCAACUCCUGCAGCUGCUGUUCGCCACCAACAUCAGUUAACCAGCACCUCCGGCGAGCAUCAAUUCUUCCCUGCAGCCGCGCCACGAAGCUGCAACUGGGAAGCAGACGCGGACGAGCCAGCGAACCAAAGCGCCCUCGCUGACGGUCUGCAACCUGAGCAACGGCGAACAAACUUUCUCCGUCCCAUCCGUUUAGCUGGAGCUUCCAGGCCCCACUCAUAGCAAUCACUAGCCUUGCCUACGCGUCCCAGUAUCCCUUUUGUUGUCGUGUCCAGCCCGUUGGAAAAAUAUUAUAUGAAAUGAAAAAUAAGGAUAGUUGGAAAUCUAUUAAAGAUAUGAGAAAAUAAGAUCAUUUUCUGGAUCCUGCAAGUACUGUCAUACUCUGAAUACAAAAUUCGGUGCUAUAGGUUCUAAUCGCUAUCCUCCUAAGAAACAACAAACCUUCUUUUUUAUUAUGUAUAGAAUGAUAGAAGAAAUAAGAAUAAUGUUAUACAACCCAGCAAUGAAGAAAAGAUUUGAGAAAAAAAUGAUAUUCUCUUCAUAAUUCGGCAUAUAUUCAAAAAUGUCUUUUGUAGUUAUUUUAUAUUCAAAAUGAAACCAUUAUAAAGCCGUUGUAAAAUGAUAGAGGGUAUAUGAAAAAAUAAACUAAUCGUUACAAAGUCGUUAAAAAGCUGACCGUUAAAAAGGUACUUAUAUAACCAUUAAUAUAAUCAUGAUUUUCACUUCAGUCAUAACUUCUAUAAAAGUCAUUACUUUAAAAUAUUUCAAAAAGUGUUGCAAUGGCCUUUUUGCACGACAUCACCCUAUAGUCCACGCAGCUUCCAGGUUUUCCCAGUGGGCAAUCAGCAAGCUUUGAGCACACCCAAGUGACCUGGCUCUUCCCCAGACCAGUUCAAGCAAACCCCAUCGAGCUCUUGAUGCGUUAAUUGAGUCCAGUAGCCUCAGUCGAGCUUCCUCCGCGCCUAUAAUUUUCCUGCAGUGUCCAAAGCUAUUCCCGGUGAACCAGCGAAUUUCAGCAAGCCCUGACCUUCAGCCUUGCCUUCUUCGACUUGCUGAGCUCCCUGCGGUCAACUCCAGGUGUCUCCACCAAUCUCCGGCGAUUCCUGCUCAGCCCCGCUGCAUCCCCAGCUACAUUUGGACUUGUUGGCUUUGCUUGGAACCUCUUCCUUGAGUCAACCUAGCUUUUUGGACGUCCCUGCAGGAGCUUCACGAGCGUUGAUUACCUUUGUCGACGCUACUACUAUCACUUAGUUGCCAUUUUGAUUCUACGUAAGCUAAGUCUUUGAUGUGGUGGCUCAAUUUUUAGUAUAUAAUGUUAAGUUCGUGACAUUUAGUAAAGCCUUAGGAUAUCUAAUUCCGCUUUAAAUAUUUUCCUGCAUUAGUCAAGGAAUAUUAGGGCGCCGGACCAUUGGGCCUAGAGGUCAGGUACUUAGUAUCGCCCCUUCAUUAUUCGUGACUAUAACAUAUCUUUUUAUGCGUGAUUGGUUGGAAAAAUUUUACAUGCAUCACAAUAAUGUCUUUGAUUUUUAAUGGUAAACUUUGGUAAAACAUAUACUUUGAUGCUUGACAAUCAUCAUGUAUAAAUUGCAUAUCAUAAUCUCUUAUACAUAUUUAGAGCUUAGGGUGCACUCAUAAUUUCAUAUUUGGGGCAAUGCACUUAAUCUUAAAAUGAACAUAAAUUUAGGAUAACGCCUAGUUUUCAUUAUAACAAAAUGUCAUUAUUAUAUGUAGAUUGCAUGUAAGUUUCGAGUUAAUCAGUCCCAUAGCAUGCGUAUCAUAGAAUACAAGGCUUUUAGAAUUAAUCAUAUGGAUAACGUUAACUAUUAAUGGCAUUACUGCAUCAUCCAUUGCAUAUAAUUCCAUAAUCACUAAAUGUUCGUUAGGUCUCGGAUUUUUAAUAUAAGAAUUGCACUCCAUAUGGUCCUCAUAUAGAAUAGAUUCAUGAUCUCCAUAGACCACUCAUUUUUGAUAAUUAACUAAGAAUAGGGCGUACAUUAUUUAAAAUGUUCCAUAUUGCAUAUAUAAUAGAAAUUGCAUGCUCAUUUAAUUUAUAGACUUUAGGGUCAUCUGUCUUGUUGUUAAUUUAUAAAAGAAAAAAGAAUAAAAAAAGUCAAAUUAGAGAGUCUCACGUAGAUUGCAUUAAUUAGGCUAACUUUUUCUAAAAUUCAUAUCGCCCACUAUUCAGUAGAUCAUUUAGGAUUAAUCUGACUAAUGUCCCACAUAGAUAAUUUUCGGAAUUAAUUCCAUCAUUUGUCAUUUAAAACUAAUCAUGCAUAUCACGUAGCUGCAUCAUUCUUGCAUGUCAUUUAGUUAUUUUAUUAGGUCCUUGGCAUAUCGGUAAAUUUCUUUUAACAUAGAACUCUAGGGUUUAUUUGUGUUUUUCUUAAAUCAUUGUGUUGGUUAAAUAAUAAAAAAAAUUUAAAAAAAUUAGAAUAUAUUGCAUAUUAGUUAGUCAUUAACUCAUGCUAAUCAUAGACACCAUUCAUGCAUUAUGUAUGCAUAUAUUCCUAGCUAAUGGUUUGUAGAAACCACGUGGUGAUGGAUAGUUAUAUGCUUUGCUUUGGCUUGGUGAAUCCAGGUUCUUUAAAAUUUUUACAAUCUAUUUACUACUUUGAUUAUUGAGUGUUACUUUCUUGAUUGCACGCUCACGAAAUCACCAUCACCCAUACUAGCACAUUUGAUAAAAUCAACUAAGAUUGCUUGCAAAAAUAUUUUCAAAAUAAUAAGAAAAGGUACCAAAACGGCGUUGAAUUAAUCUAGUGUAAUUAACUCCUUGAAUCCAUUUGAAUAUCUGAUUCGAAGAAGUAAAAUAUACUCUCACAUUUUACUUGUGUGUCUAAUCGACCCAUGGAGAUUAGCGGUGGCUCCAAAAGGUAAGGUAAAUUACAUAUCUAAUUAAAUACCAAGUUAAGAUUGGUGGGGCUUCUUGGAAAGAGCCCAUGCUAAACACAAACAAUUGCCUCAUGAGGAAACCUUCAUUCCCAGUAAUAAUCCAUUAGCCUUCCCCUAGUGGUUCACUAUUGGGAAGGUCGCAAAACCUACUACCACUUAGCAACUUCACUUUGUUGACACCUAAAUUUUGCCUUGGUAUUUUAAAUUAGGACUUAGUUUUUAUUUGCAUCUAUAUUUAUUUUCUCUUUUCACCUUUUUUGGAUAAAAAUAAUGAUAAUAAUAAUAAAUAAAAAAAAACAACAGCCCAGCCCCUUCCUCUUUUCUUCUUUACCCUCGUGCGGGCCCCCAGGGCCCGGCCCGGCCCUUUUCUCCCCCCAGGCCUGGCCCCCUUCUCCUGUUUGUCUUCUUCCUCACAUUGUCUUCUUCCCCGUUCGGAUGAGCAACACACGCUAGAGGCCGAACGCGCGUGAUGCCGAAAUGGAGGAGGAGACGGCGACGUACCACAUAGCAGGCGGAGGGGAUGCGUCUUCAAUGCGAGGUGGCCUAGCUAAAGCCACCUCGACAGAUGGAACGCCAAUUUGGCCGACGAAGGCCGUUUGGUGUGUGAAGGACGAACGACCGAACCUUCGUCAAUCAGCCUUCCCCUCGCCUAUAAAUAGGGCGUUGGGGAAGGCUAAACCACGGCAAAGAGAGGGAUCACCGACAGCAAGCUUCGAGAACCUUCCCCGAGAGAGAUUCGGGGGAGGCCCGAGGGCUAGCCUCUGGAGAUCUCAGAUUUGACCGGAGAGGGUCAGAUUCUGGGGAUAGACGUCGAGCAAGAGUAGCCAAGGCCAGCCGGAGGAGAGACACCAAGUAGGAGCAAUCGAGGUCAGUCGGAGACAGAGAUCCGAGAGAGGCCAACCAAUCCGAAGGAGGGCGAGAUCCAAGCAAAUCGCACCCCUCCGCCAGACCUCUGCCGUGUCGACGCCUUCCCCGAUCCCUGCCGUGCCCUGCGUUGCCGCCGUGUCAGGUAAGAAUGCUGCAGCUGCCCCUUUUCUUCUUCUUUACAUCUUGUUCGGCCUCACUGCGUCCAAGGUUUCCCGGUGCCGCCGUCACCGUAGCUUAGAAGACGCCGAAGCUUGCACCACCCCCUGUUUGUAUCGCUCCAACCACCAAGCCCCCCACCAUCUGCUGUUAUGGCCUCACCGUCGCACUUGCUAGCGUAAGCUACGGCUGCCCCUGUUAGGGUUCGAAGGUGAGGAGUAAAGAUCCCACGACUGGCUUCGUUGACUGGUUUUCCUAAUUUACCAAAAAACCAAAAAUGAUUAAUAUUUUCAAAAAGAGAUCAAAAUUCCAAAAAUGCUUUUUAUGUUCAAAAAAUAGAAAAAGACCCAAAAAAAUGUUUUUCCUUUGCAAAUGUAUGGAAUACCCCUCAAAAUUCUAAAAAGCCUUCGGAUUUAAACAAAUUAGGUACUUGAAGGGCAUUAAUGAUUAACUAGUGUAAUCAAGUUCCUAAUUUGGUUUCUCUGGUUGCGUAGGAGCGAAUAUUCCUCCCAAUAUUUACCAAUAUAUAUAUAUAUAUUCCUCUCAAUAUUUCGCUUAGAUUUCUAAUCGACCCACCCCAAAUUAAUUAAUGGCGACUCCUUAACUUAUAGGUAAAAAAAUAUCAAACCAUUAAGUCGUGAAUUGGUGGGCUUAGGAGAGCCCGAAUUAAGUCUGAUAGACCUAGUCAAACCAUUAGCCUCCGCAAGCGCUUGCCUUGAUCGAGUGCCGAAAAAAGAGGUCGUGACACACUUCGAUCUCUACUAUAACCCUAUUUUUAUUGUUGAAUAUUAAAGUAGAAAAAUUGUGGAAUCAUGACUAGCUGCAUGGAAAAAUUAAAAUGUUAAAGUAUAAUGUCUCAUAGUAUUAUAAUGCAUGUGUGAAUUGUGCUAAAAAUAUUUACAUUGGAGAAUUGAUUUGUUAUUGAAUAGUUAAUAAUCUUAGUUGACCUAUAACUUAUUAACUUAAGUUUUUUUAGUGAAUAUAGGUAUAACUGAAUAUAUUCAUGAGUUCAGACUUUGAUUCUCUCUUAGCGAUCUUUCCAAAUGAAGGUAUCAAUUUUGACUAAAGAUUGAUCCAACUAAAUAUAUUGAUAAACUUAGACUUAUGCUCGUCAUUGCUAAUCUCCCCUAGAUAAAGGCAUCAUAUGGUGAUUUUAGUGCAAAGAGAGUUUACAUCCAAUUGAGGCAUUUUCUUCUUGGAGACAUGAGUUUUUCAAGCUAUGAGAUAAAUCUCGGUGAUUUCUUUUAUCAAUAUUGAGUAAUUACAUGAAACUAAAUAUUGUAUGUUUGAGUGUAAUCUAGAGUUGGAAAAUACUCAAGCAUAGGAGUAAUUAUAACUCUAUAAUUAUGUAAUUGAUUAAUGGAUUAUUUGCUAUUAACUCUCUCUUGGAGUAGAAUUAGACACUUGGAUUGGAUCAUGUGAAUUUCUCAUUUACUUUUUUGUUUCUCAUUCAUUCCACCGGUAAUUUCAUUCUCUCGUAUUAAUUUAAUUGCAAGAUCCAUUAUCUUUAGCAUAAUUUUACAAUAGAUAGCUUAACAUUUUCAUUGUAUACACCAUAUAAAGAUCUCUUAAUUACUUGUUGAAUAACAUUUCUAGUAAAGUAAGAAUAUAGAUUUAUUCGUAGAUUUAAACCACUCGACUAAGUGAUAUUUUCUUCUUGGUUGUGGAAUAUGAAAUGCUUCGAACUCCGGAGGUAUUUUUUAGCACACUAAAAUAAGGUUAAUCGGAUGAGACCAAAGAAAGCUCUUUUUCGCCCAAAAAAACUUUCUUAGUAGAAAUAUAUCAUUCAAAGUGGAUUUUUUUUUUUUUAAACCUUGGGGUACGGAUGUGAGAUCUAGUUAUUCGGAGGCUCAUAAAAUAUCUCGUAGUCGGUGAGAUUUGAAUAUUUAGUUUCUGAUCUGGAAAUCUCUGUUGCCAUAGCUUUAUGCUGCUAUUGACAAUAUCUCCUCUAGUUGAUCAAUUAUGAGACAAGAAAUAGUUGAAAAAAAAACGCUUUCUCCCCACCAUAUUAUAUCUCUUUAUGUGUGCCAAUUGAUUUCAUUGAUCAAUUUAUUAGAGACUUGAUCAAGAUACCAACUCGAAUAUAUAAUGAACAAUUGGCCUAAAAUUUCUUGUAGUUAUGCGGUAAUCAUCAAAAUCUUUAGGUAUUUGAUUAAUCCCCACUAGAUGAAGGUAGUCGUCACAAACAGACAAUUUAGAUUUUAAUAAACAUUCAACACUACAUGAAAAUUAACACGAAUCAUAAAAUCCGUUACGUGAUAACCUUCAUAGGAUGCUUAAUGCACCUGAAAAUUAAAGACCAUAUGUCUGCUUUUUGACCAAGCAAACAAAGCCAAAACAAAACUUUAGUUGGACAAAUGGACCCUCUAUAAAGAAUAGAUAGACUUGCUUUGAGGUGCAAAAAGAAAGUCAAGCCCUGCCAUGUUCUUUAUUUUUAAAGUUGUCAUAUUUUCUAAGGAUAAGUGUUUUGUAAGUCCUAAAAUUUAUCAUAAAAGUGUAAUUGAGUUCUAAAAUUUUCAAAAAGUGCAAUCGAGUCCUCAAACUUAUUAGUAUUUUCCAUUUGCCAAAUUGGACGAAGUUAAUGAAAUGACUAAAUUGCACCAGUUCAAUAAGUUUUAGGACUAAAUUAGACUUUUUAAAAGUUUAGGACUCAAUCGCUUUUUCAUGACAAGUUUAUAACUUGGUCACACUUUUUGAAAAUUUUUACACUUUCAUGAUAAAUUUUAGAACUUUCAGUACACUUAUCCCAAUAUUUUGAUAUGAAGCAACGUUGCGUGGUAGACAAUUAAGGGUACUUUGUAAUCAGUUUUAAUUUUUCAUAUGCAACUAUUAAUGGACAUGAAGAUAUUAAACUUCAUUUAAAUAGUAUAUGCUUUGUCAAGACACUACUCCAGUUACCACUCCCCCGCUUGUUAAAUUUCGUGGAUAGACAUAUGUAAUGUGUUGACCCAAUAGGUCAUGACUUUUAAUUUAGAUAUGUAGGGUGCUAGAUAUGCCUCUGAUCUCACAUUGCCAUAUAUGAGUUGUAGUUGGUAGAUAAAUCUCACAAAUUCUCAAAUUAAUAUGGUAGGCUCUUCCGCCGUGUUGGCAUGAGUGAGCUAGAGCCAAAGCUAGAACUUUAUGUGUUGGCACGGCGAGCUUGUGUGUCAUUUCCUACAGUGGUAUAGGCAAGUUAGUCAAGAUAGAGAUGUUAGCGAUUGUUUUUAAUUUCACAAUCCCAUGCAUGUAAGACGUGUUGUAUUGGUUAGGAGUAUGCAAUAGGAAUAGUCUAAAUUGGGAACCACCCAGACCAGACUGGAUUGGCUGGUUAUGAGCAAUUCCCAGAGAGGGCGGUCCAGUUCCAAUUCUAAGGUGGGAAUUAGACCGACGGGACUGAUUGAUAUAAAAAAAAAUCGAGAAAAAUCAUUUUGCCCAUUUUAGGUUUUGCUUUCCCCUCCUUCCUUUUUGCUUACUGCUUUCCCCUCCCUUUUGAUUAACACAAGCUGAUAAAAACCCACUGAAAAAACCGAAGCUUUAAGCUUGAUUCUUGAAGACAGAAACGGUCGUUGUGGUCGCAGUCCUCCUGAGGCUGGGCGAAGGACCAUCGUGCAAUCAAAAGACACGCCGAACUACACCAGUUUAGGCGUGCGGUACAUGGACGUGGGAGAAGGAAGGAGGAGAAAUCAUAAGUAAAGGGAGCAAAAGGGAGGACCUGGAGGUGCGCGUCGUAGUCGGAAGGAUUGUUGUAGAGCUGGGACUCUAGGGCUUCAAUCUGGAGCUUGUCCUGAGCCUCGGAGUCGAAGUCGGAGUUGGAAUCGGAAUCGGAAUCGGAAUCAGAGGCAGAAGGGGAAGAAUCGGCAAGGACACCCACGGGCUCGUCUGGAGGUGAAGGCAUGGCUGAAUCUCGACCUUCGUCGGCCAUCUCCUUCUGGUCUGCUUCUCCGACCAUCUCCAUCUCCGUCUUUCUUUCUCUUUCUUCUGGAUUGACGAUGGCGGACGCUUUUUGGAUCAGAGAAAACCCCGCUAGUCAGUAGUCACUGCUCUGUUGGCGAAAAACUGAGAAACGUUGCGACGGGAUCUAUAAAAAGCAAGUUUAUUGGCAUCACACCAACUCCUUUGCAAUUAUGCUGCGGUUUAUGAAGUGACAACAAGGCCAUGCAGCCACUGAACAAAAUUCUUUCUGGAUAAUCUACAGAAAAAGACAGAGCUAUCAACAAAACAGUGCACUCCCGUCAGCCUAUCGACAAGACGGGGUCACUAAAAAAGGACCGAUCCAACUGAAACAACCACUUAUCUCCUCAUCCUUCACUGCAAUAAUUAGAACAUCCUCAAGCCGCGAGCACCAACUCAUCCAACACGGCAACAAACAAACAACAAAUUAUCAAUUCCACCGGACCAAAUCGGACCAAUCAGUCGGUCCAAUUACCAUUUUCAGGACUGGUCGGUCUGAUUUCCUGAUCCUAGAAUCUGGGAAUUGGUCCUCCUAGUCCGAUUCCCGGUUCCACCUCGGAACCAGAUUGGCCUGGGAACCAAUCAGUCCGAGUACAGUUAUAUGACUCUAGCUCAAUGAAGUUAGAAUGAUGCAUUUUAAUGCCGUGUGGAGGUAGAUGAGUCGCAGUUAGAAUGGGCAAUAUCAUGUUCCCGGUAAGGUCGCAAUAUUUGUUGUUUUGGCUAGAAAAUAAAGCAUACAUACAUACUGGAAGACAUCCUUGCAGACACCGCCAAUAAACCCAUUUGCAACUUUGUCCUCUCUCACUUCAUUUUACUAAUCAAAAGAAAUUCUUGCAAACACUAACGUGUUGAAAUUAAUCAAUUUGUAACUUUUCUCUUUAUAUAAUCUAGGGCUACCAAAGUGAGAAAACUCGGUUAUCUGAAGAUUCAUAAAAUAAUCUACAAGUCUUAUAUAUUGAUUAAACUUAUACUUUAGCUUUGCAAAUAGCUAGUACUAAAAAUAACUUGCACACAGUUACAAUAUAGGAGGUUAUAGAUACGAAAGUGGGAUUACAUCCUUUGGAAAGUUAAUUUUUUGACCGAAGUUUUUGAAAUAGCUAGUACGAGUACCUAGAGGGGGGUGAAUAGGUAUACAAAAAUUUCUCGAACUUGGGCAAGCAGCACCCCCACUUCGCGCUAGAUUCGUCCUUGUUAUUGAAUAAAAUACUAAAAUAAUAUGAGUUUGCGAAUUACUCAGUAAAUCAAGAGAAAUUUUUUCAAUAAAUUUUAAACAUGACAUUCCCGUCUAUUUAAGUUGACCACUACUCAGGCCAAAAGAAAAAAAAAAAAAAUUGAUCACUACGUGUUAGUAUUAUUAAAUUUUAUUAUGUUUUUUUUUCAAAAAAUAAUAUAUCACAGUAAUUAAUCUGGGUGAACGAAACAGAAUCAUAGUAUCAAAGAAUCACAAUAAUCUCUCCAUAAAUUAACCUCAAAAAGAUAAAAAGAAAGUAAAACCAGCAACUUUUUGGAAUCUUCUUAGUCACUAGAAGCCAAUGUUAUUGUGUAUAUUUUACUGGUUAAUGAUAAGUAACUGGCAUAUAGCAUUAGGUCUUAAUUUUCUUUUAAUUGAAAGGUAACGUUUCAUUCAUUUCCACAAAAAGACAAUGCAUCCAACUGCAAACCAAAAUAAACCCCAAAUAGUUUCAAAGCAAAACAAAUUCCAAAUAAUAAGAUGAAUCAUCAAAACAAAGUUAAGAGCCACACGUUCAAAGAACAAAUAUGUGAUUUUUUCAAAUCAAAAUCGUCGAUCGAUCACUGAAUCCAUCUUCAAUAAUGAGCACACACCGAGAACUCCAUAAAUUGCUAUGGCUUUGUCUUUCGGUGGUGUGCAUCUAGGUUCGACGUCCUGAGCACAUAUCUGAUUGAAAGAAGCCUUCAUAGAACUGCUACAAUGUGACAUCCCGAUUUUCCAAUUCUAUUUUCAAUAAAUUGAGACGGGCAUUUCGUUGGCACGCAUAUAGUUCUUUUCCUUGGGUCGGCCACUCAUGUAAAAACUAGUCUAUCGGGUGAAGUCGUUAAGAAAUUCUAAUGCAUCACACUCGAGAAUUUGGUCAGGAAGCAACCUUUCAACCGAGCUAAUCUGAAAGGGUCAUUACGACACAAAUGAAAGUCGAUUAGAGACCGGAGAUAGGUCAACUCGACAGAGGCGUGUGAUCGAGUGUGGGUGAUUCCACCGGAUCGCAUAAUCUUUGUCGAUCGACACUGGACCGACUUUUCUAUCGAUUGGGUACCCUGUGUUCGUAUUUGAAACCUUGAGAUUACCCCGACGACCGAAAGUCGCCAAUGUUUCAAAGAUGUACAUUGUGGCUUGACAUGAUCAACCACAGGUCAAAUGCAUAAAAAUCUCUAAGGGCUACCCGGUAGGUUAGGCCGCGCUAGUAUCGUGCCAAAGUGAAAUUAACCGUGGAAUUGAGAUCGAAUUCAGAAAUUGGAAGUCGGGGUGUGUCACAAAUCAUUUCAAGAUCAUUGAAUCAUCUUCGGGAAGAUUUUUUUCAUGCAAGCCGAGCUUUUCAGCAAAAUAAUCAAGAAAUAGCUAAUUUGGCUCGAGAAAUUAGUAGGCCACUUUUGGUCGCGCUUUUGGGACUCAAGUUGAUUUUAUAGACAAGUGAAGAUGUGAAUUGAAGUGUGGUGGCAUUGAAUUUAUUUUAUGGACCUCAACUUGAUUCAAUUGGAAGAGAAUUGAUGAGAAUUGAAGAAAUGGGACGUACAAGAAUUGGACCUCGGCGGAAAAAUAAAAUGGACCCAUUAGAGUAUGGUUGUGGGAGAUAGUGGAGUGUGAUGUCAUGCAUGAGGUUAUGGUGGGGCCAAAGAGAGAGAAAGAGAGAGAGAGAAAGAGAAAAAGAAAGAGAAAGAGAAAGAGAGAGAAACCGGUUUUCUCCCUUUCUCCUCCGUCGAGACCUCCCCUCCAUCUUCUUCUUGUUGCUUGAAGAAACGCAGCAAGCUGAAGAGGCUGAAGACCAGCGAACCAGAGCAGCUCCGCCCGUCGCCGAUCGCCGCCGCUGCACGCCGUCGUAGUCCCGCGCCUCACCACGCGCAACCGGCUCCCUCUCCCUCUUCAGCCGUAGUCGAAGCCCUCUCUUCUCCAUCUCCAGUUGCUGCUCGUGUCCCAGCAGAUCUGGGAAGACGCCGAAGCAGCCAGGAGUCUAGUCAGACCGCCAUCGCGCCCCGCUUGCCGCCGUCCGCCUCUCGCGACACCCUGCCAUCCUCGCGCAACAAGCCUGCUCGUCCCUGCUGUUCCGCGAGUUCAGCAGUCAUUCCAGAUCUGGGGAAGCUCAGCCGGAGCCGCCCAGCUCACCUCUGGCCACCGUGAAGCCCCGCCUAGGUCCAGUUCAGCUCCUCUGCCCAUUCCCGACCCCAACCAUCCCCGGAUCUGCUCAUUUUCGGCCCCAACCAACAGUGAACAGAGAGUUGGAAAAUGGGUAUGCAGUGGACGUUUGGCUCGUUUUGGCCGCCUUCCCGAGCUCGGAUGCUCGGCCCGCUUUGAGGAAAGUUGUUCUCCUCGGCGUCCCCGUCGUUUUGGUCCGCUCAGCUCAAUAAUCCGGUGAGUUUAACUCACUAAACCUCGCUUAGAGGGUUAAUGAUGCUUUAGGUGUGUUUAGUUUAUGUUAAGUGUUUUUAGGUGGUUAGUUUAAUUUAUUUAAGUGUAGAUUAUAUUAAUGUGCUUGAUUAACUUAAAUUGUGUUUAAUUUAAAGUUAAGUGGGUGUUUAUAUUAAUAUAAACAUUGAUGUGACAUAAAUGAAUUUACUUUUGAUUUAUUUAAAUGUCUCGAAAUUAUUAUAUAAUUUAAUAAUAUAUUUUAUUCGAAAGUAAUAAAAUAUUAUUAUUUAAUUAUUUUCGGAAUAAAUUAAAUUAUUUGUUAAAUUCCGAAAAUUUUGUCGAGACCUUAAAUUCUCAGAAUUUCGUGCCGGUCGUUGCUGUGUAGUCGGAUUUUGAAAUUGAUGAUUGGAUAUUAUAAAUUGAGUGUGGAGUUCGAAAACUAUGGAUAUUAUUAUUUAAUUAAUUUUCGGAAUAAAUUUAAUUAUCUAUUAAAUUCCGAAAAUUUUCAUUGGGACCUUAUUUGCUCAGAAUUUCGUGCCGAUCGUUGCUGUGCUAGUAGAAUCUCAAAUUGAUGAUUGGUUGUGAUGAAUUGAGUGUGAUUGCGAUUUAUAGGGAUUCUUUAUGAAAUCCUAAGUGUAGAAAUUGAUGGGAGAUUGGCUGUGAUUGACCACCUAUUAGAGGUCGUGCCCGAUGAGGCCGUGAAAUACCACCUAGGAAAGGUCGUGCCCGAUGAGGCCAUGAAAAACCACCUACGAGAGGUCGUGUCCGAUGAGGCCGUGAAAUACCACCUAUGAGAGGUCGUGCCCAGUGAGGCCGUGAUAAACCACCUAUGAGAGGUCGUGCCCAGUGAGGCCGUGAUAAACCACCUAUUAGAGGUCGUGCCUGAUGAGGCCGUGAAUUGCCACCUGUUAAAGGUCACGCCUGAAAUAGCUAGUACGAGUACCUAGAGGGGGGUGAAUAGGUAUACAAAAGUUUCUCGAAGCUUGCACGAUAUCAAUUAGAGUAUUUGCAACAGUUAAAAAUUCAAUCGCAAGACUGAGUAAGGGAAAGAGAGAAUUGAACACUCGGUUUAUAGUGGUUCGGCUUGAUUCAAGCCUACGUCCACUCUUCUGCACUGACAGCCGAUUGGCUGGAUUCCACUAUGAUCAAAGAGUUGUUACAGUGUUGAUCUUCCUUGAUUUCUAGGUGUAGAUGAUCUACCGCACUCACUCAAGGCGUCACCAAGUAUAAACACUCUCUGUAUACAAUUUCGCUCAGUCUCAACUAACAAUCAAGGAUCUUCAGACUCUGGAAUUUUUCUAUCGAUCACACACUUAAAACAACUAGAACGUCUUCCUUUUAUACUCCUUCAUGCCAUCAUAGCCGUUGGCACUUACCAAAGGAAUUCCUCCAAUCUACCCGUUGGACGGAAUCAAUCAAGAAGAUCAUCCGAGCUAUUUAAGGAAUCUGAUGAUAGCCCAUCAAUCCUGUUCGCCCAUACAAUCAGGAUCUCGGUUUCCAAGAAUAGAAUAAUCCAAAAUUAUUUCGUCGACCAUCGGAUCUUCAAUCGAUCUUAGAUAAGAAUUAAAGAAUCCGAAAUGAUUAUCCAACCAAAGAAUCUAUUCCAGAGGAUAGGAUCGAAUCCUCAACCAUAAACCUCGGCUUUGGAUUUCCUUCAACACUGGAUUAGAAAAGACUGUCAGUGAGAUAAAGUCUUGAGUCCUGAGUCUUAAGACUUGAGACUUGNNNNNNNNNNNNNNNNNNNNNNNNNNNNNNNNNNNNNNNNNNNNNNNNNNNNNNNNNNNNNNNNNNNNNNNNNNNNNNNNNNNNNNNNNNNNNNNNNNNNUUGAGUCUUGAGUCAGUGAGAAUAGACUUAAGUCUUGAGUCCUGAGUCUUAAGUCUUGAGUCUUGAGACUUAAGAGAACAAAGUCUUCAGACUUUAAACUGACGGUCUCCGAACAUGCAGACUUUAGACUGAAAGAAACGUUUUGUCAGCUUCAAAAUAUUCUGGAAAGAUUUCUCCAACAAUCUCCCCAUUUUUGAUGGUGACAAAACUUUCUUGAAGAUUUGAACAACUUUGACCUGCAAAACAUUUCUCAAGCAAUAUGGCUAACUCAUAAAGAUUAAUAAAACAACCAGACUCUGCAUCCACAGAAAAUUGGUUAGUCUUUCAUGAGAAACACCAUAUAACAACACUUGAAUAAAUGCAACCAGUCAAGUUCAUAAUCCACAGCCAAUUCAGUCAAAUUCACACCCAAGUUCAAGUUCUCAAAUUCACACCCAAGUUCAAGUUCUCAAGUCAUACUCAAAACUAAACAUAACCACAAAGGUCAAAGUUUAAAAAAUGAAUGAAAGUUCAAAUUGGUUCUCCCCCUUUUUGUCAGCAUUGAAAAGGGUGAGAAAGGAGUCAUGUCUGCUUGGGAAUGCGCACGAUCUGGAAAUCCCCAAUGGACUGGACUACUCCUUCGAGCUUCUUCAGGUCUUCUCGCAGAUGAGCUACCUCUUCUCUCUUGGCAUUUGCUUAAAGUUGCAGAGCGAGGUCUUUGAAUUUAUCUUCCAGAGAGACUGAAGAUGCUUGUCCAGCAUGCUUCAAAGCUUGGAUUUCACAAUCCAGAACAUAUAUCUGGUUACGCAUUUCCAGAAGAAUAUUCAUGAUACUACGAAAAUCUGCAUAAUCAUCCAUCUGUGUACUGGCAUUAACUUUCUCAGAUGGUGUGUAUGCAGACGAUGGCGCUUCUGUAUGGUCUGGCAGAUUUGGAAUCGAUGUAUCACCUUCUUCAUGCAAUUGAGAGACCUGAACUUCUUCUGGUCUUCUGGAGAUUGUCUUAGAUCUUCAGCAGCAUGANNNNNNNNNNNNNNNNNNNNNNNNNNNNNNNNNNNNNNNNNNNNNNNNNNNNNNNNNNNNNNNNNNNNNNNNNNNNNNNNNNNNNNNNNNNNNNNNNNNNNNNNNNNNNNNNNNNNNNNNNNNNNNNNNNNNNNNNNNNNNNNNNNNNNNNNNNNNNNNNNNNNNNNNNNNNNNNNNNNNNNNNNNNNNNNNNNNNNNNNNNNNNNNNNNNNNNNNNNNCUUGUCGAGGGAGACUCUAAGAUGGGAUCUUCAUCAUCUUCAUCCUCAUCUUCUUCCUCCAGGAUAAAAGUUCUUUUCCUCUUUUUCGAUGAAGCACCAAUGGCCUCCUUUCCUUUCCUUUUUGAAACAGACUGGACUGGAGAUUUCACUUUGAAUUUCUCCAUUGCCUUAGAGAGUUCUUGCAGACACAUCUUCAUUAACAUUUUCAACCCUACCACCAUCUUAUCACACGAUCGAACACAAAAAGUAUGUGGCAGUUCAAUAUUCAGAUGUCUGAAGAUCUUGGUCACCAGACCAGGAUAAGGCAAUUUUCCUUUGUCUUUUGACACUGCUCUGUACAUAUGGAAAAGAAUAGUGUGCGGGAGAGAAAACUUCCGUCCUGAGUUGAUCGCAUACAUCAACUUUGCUUCAGAAAGAGACACAGAAGUCUUUGACGUAGACUUCGGUCUGAGACAAUUGAUCACAAUCUUGUGAAGCACAAUGUUGAUGGCAUUCAUCCUCGAAUAGAUAAUUUUCUUAUCUACAUCCCUAUCUUUGACAAGAUCCAGAGUGGCUCGAGCAGGUGAGACUUUGAUUGGGAGAUAGCGUCCCCGUUCAACUCCAAUUAUGUCCGCCAACAUACUCACAUCUACCACAUAGACUUGGUCUCGAACACUGAAUGAAAUUCUAUUCGCAUCCAAAAAGCUAAGAUUUGAAUAGAAAUAAGCGGUCAGUUGAUCAUACCCGUCUGUAGAGUCAGAGCAGAAAGUCUCAAGUUGAAGCAAAUUCAACUUCUCUCUUAACUUCAAGUUGAUGGAAUCCAGGAAGUCAAAAUCGACACUGCUAGGAUUGAUUAUCCCUCUUUUCAACAGCCUGAAAUACACUUUUUCCUGAUCCUUGGAUUUAAACAAAUCCAUCCGAUUUCCUUUCACCUUUGCUGCCACACCCAUUCUAGGUUUAAAUUCAAGGAACAUUUUGUCAUCAUCGUUCCCGUCAAUCAGAUUUUGUCCUGGCAUACGAGGAUCACUUGGAAUGUUCGCAAGAGCCUGCUCUGCUCUUCCUUUCGAAGCAAUUCCCAACUCUUCCAUUUUCCGCAAAAAAAGAUACUCAUUUCCAUAAUUUUUGUCCUUUAGAAAGUCAUCUAUAUAUUUUAAUGAAGAACCGGUGCUUUUCAACGCACGAUAAAGCUUAUAGAUAACAGAAGGUCUUUGGACUCUUACUGGGUCAGCUUCCUCGAUUAUCUCUUCUUCCAGAUUUUGACUUGCACUUUGUGGGGCAGGAGAUGCUGAAUGACGUGGAGGAGAGCGAAUCGGACUUUGUCGCUAACUUGGUAAGUCUUCUUCCUCAGUGAGAUCGAAGUGAGUCGGUCCCUUCUCCAUUCUUUGUGGUCCCCUGUUUGCGAUUCUUGAUGAUUUCCUCGAAGACGACAUCUUUCUUUGUCUAUUGGAGGAUUCCUUCACUUGCUUUUCCCAAAAAAAAAAAAUGACCACUUUCUCAACAAUGAACAAAGAGUAGAAACAGUAUCGAGAGGAGAGUGCUUUUUAGGGUUUUGAAAAUUGGGGGUAGAAUAACCAUAUAUAUAUACCUCGGAUUUGAAAAGGGAAGUUUAAACGGUACAAGGAAAGUGUACGAACAAUUUUUUUAAAAUCAAUAACUGCCAAAAUUAACUUUCUUUAAAAAAGACAAGUUUUCAAAUUUCACACGAAUUAUAUCUGAAUAAUAGAAAGUACCUUUUAGAUAAAAUAAACGAGAAUUCGUACCUUUUAGAUAAAAUAGCUACUUACAGUCUUUAGCCAUGAAUGCUUGAGUCUCAGGAUUUAGAGUCUAAGAGAUCAGAGUCUUAGAGUUGGUGAGUCUCUAGAUUUUAACUUCUCAAGCUUCAAAAUGUUGAGUCUCGAGCGGAUAAAGUCAAACUGAUUCUUCUCCAAAGGCUUUGUGAAUAUGUCCGCUAGUUGACUUUUUGAAUCAACAAAGUGAUGACGAAUCUCAAUAUGCUUUGCUCUUGAAUGAAGGAUUGGAUUUUUGGUGAGAUUGAUAGCGCUGGUGUUGUCACAUCUGAUUUCUGUGCAUGAGUCUUCAAUGCCAAAGUCUUGUAGCUGUUGUUUUAUCCAUAGAAUUUGCGAACAGCAGCUUCCAAGAGCUACAUACUUUGCUUCUGUUGUUGAGAGAGCUACAGUGCUUUGCUUCCUUGAAAACCAAGACACUGUCCUGUUUCCAAGCAGUUGACAAGUUCCAGAAGUGCUCUUUCUAUCGACUCUGCAACCGGCCAGAUCUGCAUCUGAGUAUCCUAGAAGAUUAAAGUCUCCCCUCUUUGGAUACCAAAGACCGAUGCUUGAAGAUGAAGCAACGUAUUUGAUAAUACGUUUCACGGCAAUGAGAUGUGAUUCUCUAGGAUCUGAUUGAAACCUAGCACAGAUACAAACACUAAACAAAAUAUCAGGUCUAGAAGCAGUAAGAUAAAGAAGUGAACCGAUCAUGCUCCUGUACAGCUUUUGAUCUACUUUCUUCCCUUCUUCAUCCUUGUCUAUCUUCUGAGAACAUGACAUUGGUAUGUCGGUCUUUUUGCACUUUUCCAAUCCAAACCUUUUGACAAGAUCAUUCGCAUAUUUUUCUUGAUGGAUGAAAGUUCCUUCCUUCGUUUGUUUUACUUGGAGUCCAAGAAAGAAUGUUAACUCUCCCAUCAUACUCAUUUCAAAUUCAUCCUGCAUAGACUUAGAAAAUUUCUUGCAAAGACUUUCAUUAGAGGAUCCAAAAAUAAUGUCAUCAACAUAUAUUUGAACAAGUAAAAAGUUUUUGUUUUCCUUUUUGAUAAACAAAGUAGUAUCUACUUUACCUUUGACAAAACCAUUCUGUAAUAAAAACUUACUUAGUCUGUCGUACCAAGCUCGAGGUGCUUGCUUUAGACCAUACAGAGCCUUUUUCAGUCUGAAGACUGAGUCUGGCUUCUUUGGGUCUUCAAAUCCAGGCGGUUGUUCCACAUAAACUUCCUCAUGGAUAAAUCCAUUUAGGAAAGCACUUUUGACGUCCAUUUGGAAUAAUCUGAAAUUUUUGUAACAAGCAAACGCAAGUAAUAGACGAAUAGCUUCUAACCUUGCAACUGGUGCGUAAGUCUCGUCAUAGUCUAUUCCUUCUUCUUGCGUAUAUCCUUUGGCCACGAGUCUUGCUUUGUUUCGUACGACUUUUCCUUUUUCGUUCAUCUUGUUCCUGAAUACCCAUUUGGUUCCAAUAACGGAUUUACCUUUUGGUUUAGAUGUCAAUUCCCAGACAUCAUUGAUGUUGAACUGUCUGAGCUCUUCUUGCAUAGCUUCGAUCCAGCUUUCAUCAGAUAAAGCUUCUUCUAUGCUUUUUGGUUCAAUUUCAGAGAUGAGAGCCACAGCACUAGAUUCUUCAUGCCUUUUUGAUCUGGUGCGGAUUCCUUCAUUAAGUUCACCAAUAAUAAGAUCUUUGGGAUGCCUGGAUUUGUGCUUCCAGUUACCAGGUUGAUGAUCUCUUUCUUUAUUUGAUUCUCCAUGAGCGUCUUGAUGAUGGACUUCCAGAAUCUGAGAUGCUUCUUGAGAUGUAGACAUUUGAAGAUCUAGAGCGGAUUCAGUCUCCUCGUACUGAGUCUGGCUGGAUUCAUCUUGCACUGAGUCUUGGAAUUUGACAUUCAUUGAUUCUUCCACAGACUGGCUUUUUUUUUGUUGUAGACUCUGUAGGCUUUGCUUGAUGUAGAAUAUCCAAGGAAGAUGCCUUCAUCUGAUCUUUCUUCAAACUUACCAACUCGAUCAUUUGCAUUUUUCAAAAUAAAGCAUUUGCAACCGAACACAUGAAAGUAUGAAACAAUAGGCUUCUUACCUUUGAACAAUUCAUAGGGGGUUUUAUCAAGAAUAGGUCUUAGAAAGACUCUGUUUAUAAUAUAGCAAGCAGUUGAAACAGCUUCAGCCCAAAAUCGUGAAGAAAUUUUACUUUCAAUUAAAAGUGUUCUAGCCAUUUCUUGAAGAGAUCUAUUCUUUCUUUCCACAACUCCAUUUUGCUCUGGAGUAUACGGAGAGGAAAACAUGUGAUUAACACCAGAUUUAUCACAGAAUCUCGUAAAAUCUUGAUUUUCAAAUUCACUUCCAUGAUCUGUUCUUAUACUCGAAAUAGCACAUCCUUUUUCAUUUUGAACCUUUUUAGCAAACUUUUCAAAGUACGAAAAGGUUUCUGAUUUAUUUGCAAGAAAAUAUACCCAGGUAAAACGAGAAUAAUCAUCUACAAUUACUAGACAAUAUUUCUUACCUCCAAUGCUCUGGGUUCUUGUUGGUCCGAAGAGAUCCAUAUGAAGCAAUUGCAGUACAUGAUUAGUAGAUACAUGAUUUAUUUGCUUAAAUGAAUUUCUUACUUGCUUUCCCAGAAUGCAUGGAGUGCAUAAGUCAGACUUUUGGUAUGGCAAUUUAGGUAGACCUCGAACAAGCUGCUUUGAAGAGAUUUUGGCUAAUUGCUUCUUGUUGAUAUGGCCAAGUUUUCUGUGCCAUAGAACUGCUUCAUCUUGAAUUGAGAUUAAGCAUUGUUCUUCAUUUGGCUUUACAUCAAGGAGGUAGAUGUUUCCAUGCCUUCGACCCAUAAAAGACUGAGUCGAAUCUUUGCUAAUUCCAGAACAUAUGCCUUCUUGAAAGAAGAUCUUGUAACCAGUAUCACACAAUUGGCUAAUGCUGAGUAGAUUGUAGUUGAGUCCUUCCACUAGAGAAACAUUGCUUAUUGUGAGAUUUCCAAUUUUCACAGUUCCGAAUCCCACAAUACUUCCUUUGCUAUUUCCUCCGAAUGAAACUUUUCCACCAUUUACUUUAAUAAGCUUUAUGAAACAAUUUGAGUCUCCUGUCAUGUGUCUUGAGCAUCCGCUGUCAAGAUACCACUUUACCUUCUUUUUGACAGAGACCUGCAUUCAAAAGAGAGUCUCAAGCUUUCUUUGGUACCCAAAUUUUCUUGGGUCCUUUGGUGUUAGUAGGAUGAGCAUUAUUAGGCCAUACUCUCUUAACAGGCUUCCAAACCAUAGGACACUCUUUUUCAAAAUGAUCCUGACUGUUACACUUAGAACACCUUAAAGCAUUUCGACCUACAGGCUUUACAAAAACUCUUUUGAAAAGAUUUUUAUAAGCCUCUCUCGAUGGUCUUUUCUUAAUUCUUUCUUUUACUUUCGGAAAAUCAAUCAAAGGGAUUAUUUCAGCUGUCAUACCUAGACCCGACCUAUUGAAGUAAGGUCUUUGGAUUGAAAGGACUUUUUCAAGUUUUUCGGAUCCUAUUGAAAAUUUCUUUGAAAUAUUUGAUAAAUCAGUUUUUAAGAAAGCAUUUUCUUUUGAAAGAUUUUCUUCACUCUCUUUAAGAGUAGAAACAUUCAAGUCUAAAUUUUUUACCUUUUCUUCUAAAAUGUUUUCCUUUUGUUUUAAAACUAUGUUUUCCUUUUUAAGUUCGGAAAUCUUUUUAAGAGAAGUCUUAAGACUAAAACAUAACUCAUCAAUAUAUUUAGAGACUUUGACAGGAAUUUUAUAAUCACUUACUUCAAAUUCACUGUCCGAGUCUAAUCCAGAGUCUGAGUCUGAUUGCGCCAUUAGACACAGGUUGGCAUAUUCCUCAUCACUCUCUUCACACUCUGUAUCGCUCCAGGUUUCGGCUUUAAGAGCUUUUCGAGAUUUCUCAGCUUUUCCUCUUUUCUUUUUCAGAAGAGGACAGUUGGGUCUGAUGUGUCCCUUCUUUUUACAUUCGAAGCAAACUACAUCUUUGUUUGGUUCCUCAACAUCAACAGACUUGGUCUGUUGUCUCUGAAAACUUUGUUUCUUUGGGAUGAACCUUCUGCCUUUUCUAUUCAGUUUUCUGAAUCUUCUUAUCAUGAGGGCGAGCUCCUCAUCAUCCAUAUCAUCUUCAGAAUCUGCAUCAUCAGAAUCAUCAUUUGAUUUUAGUGCAAUAGAUUUCUUACCUCUUGGAUCUUCGUCUUCAUUAAUUCGUUCCACUUCGUAAGACUGAAGAGUUCCAAUCAGUUCAUCUACAGAUAAUGGCAUGAUUCUUUGCGUCUCUCUUAUUGAAGUCUUUAUAUGAUUCCAAUCCUUGGAGAGUCCACGUAGAAGCUUGUUCACCUUCAUGGGAUCAGAAAUUUUUUGUCCUUGGUUCUCAAGACCAUUGACAAUAUCUGUAAAACGACUAAACAUGUCAGUUAUAGAUUCUCCUUGUUUCAUUUUGAAGGAUUCAUAUUGACCAAGAAGAAUGUUAAUUCUGGUCUCCUUCACUCGAUCUGUCCCUUCAUAAGUGAUAUGUAACCUGUCCCAGACUUCUUUUGCUGUAACACAAGAAGAUAUUCUGUUAUAUUCAAUUGGUGACAAAGCACAAUAUAAAGAAUAAAUUGCUUUAGCAUCGAGUGCUUGUCUCUUGUUUAUUUCUUCUUGAGACAUUCCGCUGGCUUCAACAGUUUCUUUCCCUCUUUCAGAGAUUGAUGCAGCAGUAGGAGUGAUUCCUCUUUCCACAACGUCCCAUUCCAGAGGAUCCUUUGAUCGUAGGAAAGCUUUCAUCUUGUUCUUCCAGAUGUUGUAAUCCUUUCCAUCGAAGUAGGGAGGUCUGGUAUUGCUUUGCCCCUCCAUCAGCCCCGGUGCUAGCAUACUAGCCAUGGAUCUUUUACUCUGAAGUAAAACACUUCAAACAAAGUAAGAACACGAGCUCUGAUACCAAUUGAAAUAGCUAGUACGAGUACCUAGAGGGGGGUGAAUAGGUAUACAAAAAUUUCUCGAAGUUUGCACGAUAUCAAUUAGAGUAAUUGCAAUAGUUAAAAAUUCAAUCGCAAGACUGAGUAAGGGAAAGAGAGAAUUGAACACUCGGUUUAUAGUGGUUCGGCUUGAUUCAAGCCUACGUCCACUCUUCUGCACUGACAGCCGAUUGGCUGGAUUCCACUAUGAUCAAAGAGUUGUUACAGUGUUGAUCUUCCUUGAUUUCUAGGUGUAGAUGAUCUACCGCACUCACUCAAGGCGUCACCAAGUAUAAACACUCUCUGUAUACAAUUUUGCUCAGUCUCAACUAACAAUCAAGGAUCUUCAGACUCUGGAAUUUUUCUAUCGAUCACACACUUAAAACAACUAGAACGUCUUCCUUUUAUACUCCUUCAUGCCAUCAUAGCCGUUGGCACUUACCAAAGGAAUUCCUCCAAUCUACCCGUUGGACGGAAUCAAUCAAGAAGAUCAUCCGAGCUAUUUAAGGAAUCUGAUGAUAGCUCAUCAAUCCUGUUCGCCCAUACAAUCAGGAUCUCGGUUUCCAAGAAUAGAAUAAUCCAAGAUUAUUUCGUCGACCAUCGGAUCUUCAAUCGAUCUUAGAUAAGAAUUAAAGAAUCCGAAAUGAUUAUCCAACCAAAGAAUCUAUUCCAGAGGAUAGGAUCGAAUCCUCAACCAUAAACCUCGGCUUUGGAUUUCCUUCAACACUGGAUUAGAAAGACUGUCAGUGAGAAUAAAGUCUUGAGUCCUGAGUCUUAAGACUUGAGACUUGAGACUUAAGUCUUGAGUCUUGAGUCUUGAGUCUUGAGACUUAAGUCUUGAGUCUUGAGUCUUGGGUCUCGAGAGAACAAAGUCUUCAGACUUUAAACUGACGGUCUCCAAACAUGCAGACUUUAGACUGAAAGAAACGUUUUGUCAGCUUCAAAAUAUUCUGGAAAGAUUUCUCCAACAGCGCCGAGUGGGGCCGUGAUGCCACUGAUUUAAAUUUGCCGAGUAAGGCCGUAGUUGAGAGCAAUGAUUGAUUUGCUAGAAUGACAUGUAAUCGGCCGAGUCGAUUGAUCGCUGAGACGAUCCAAGUGGUUGAAUUGUUUGAUAAUGCGAUUGUGCCAUGGUUGUUUGGUUAUCAUAAUUGCACGUGGUUGGUUUAUAUAAAUUGUGCUAUCCUGCAGAUAAAGGCUGAAGCGAGGUAAGUCCUCUGUGUGAUGUGGCUAGGCCACCCGGGGCGUAUUUUCUUUCUAAUAGGGGUUUAGGGCGUUGAACUUGCUGAGACAUCGUCUCAUCCCGGUUGUGGGAUUAAAAUUUCAGGUCAUCGGUGGACGGAGUGGCCAGAUAGCUUUGGUUGGCCUUGAGGAGUUGCAGAGGUGAAGUCAUAAGGGUUGGAGAGCGUGUCCUGCUAGUUGGUUGUAGGAUAGUUCCCAUGUUGUCGAGCUGGUCUAUUUUGUAGAAAGUCAAGUGUUGUAUUUAAACCCUUUGUGUUUGUAAAUGGGUGUUUGGUAUUGUGAUUGAUUGCCUGCUUUUCUAUCCCAAGUUAAAUGUUGUCAGGAGAUUUGUUUCACUUUCGCAUGCGUAAAGAUAAUGAAUGGGUCGGCGACAUUUCCUGGGAUGUCGCAUUUUUGAUCGACCGUGGUGGGAUGUGCGCGCGCUCGGGGUUCGGGGCGUGACAUACAAUGUCUUGCAACUCUAGACUUGUACACCAAGUAAAUCCGAGAGAAACGAAAUCUUGAAAAAAUAAAUGCAAAAAUCCUCAGAUCUAAACUAAAUUGGAAUAUAAACCUCCCCAAAUUGGGAGAGAGAAGCUUUUAGAUUUAGAUUAGAUUAGAAGAGAAAAGCCCCUCAAAUGAGAAGGAAACAAGAAAAAAAAAAAACCAAAUCAAUCAAAGAAAAAGGGAGCGAAGAGAGAUCUAGCUCAAGCCCUUCCCUCCAUAGAGGUUGAAGAAGAAAGUUGCAUGGAGAUGACUGGGAGAGGAGAAGAGGAGGCCGGCAGCUAGGGCUUGAUACAAUCUCAUAUUAGGCCUUAAUUAAAUGGUGAUAUAAGUAUGUGGUGACCUAUAGGAUAAGCAAUUACUUUUAAUUUGAGUGGUUCAAACUUUAGAAUUUAUUGUCCCAUCUUUACAGUUGGUGUACUCAUUCAAUUAGGCUUGCCGCUGGGUUGAACAGAAUAUUUGAUAAUAAAACUUGCACCUUUCGGAGUAAUUUUUUUGUUAGUUUUUUUUUCUCAUUUUUAUUAAUUGGAAAAUGAUAAGAAAAAUCAGAAAAUAUCAAUUCACUAGGGAAACUACUUCCCAUGUGGCAUUUUCAGUUUCGGAUUUAUAGGAAAAAAGAGUGGUUCGUAGGAGGAAUUGUCAUGGAAGUUUGCAAUCAAUUAACCUGUCCCAUGCUACCGUCAUCAAAAUCUUUUGGAGCCAAUUCACAUUGUUAUUACUAAAUAUUUUUCUGCCAUUCAGCAAAAGAGAUCGUUCAUGUAUCGCGGAGGAAUUUCUUUUUGGGCUUUCGAAGAGGAAUGGCCAAAAUAGUUGAGUGGGAAUAGGGGCACUGCAGAGCAGUUUCUUCGGGAUUUCCUAGUACAUGAAGAAAUUUCCUUGAGUUUUCCAAGAGAACCGGAAAGGAGGUUAUGACACAGACUACUGUACGAACGGUCCCCCCUUGGACGGUUGGUGAUGCUUUCCUGAUUCUUCGCAGCGAUGAACCGGUGCGGUCUCUCCCUACCUCCGGUUUGAGUGCGCGCCUUUCUGGAUUCAACUGCAUUGUCAAUGCAGCAUGAGAUUUCGGUGUAACUUCUCAAUAUUUAUGGAGCCACUAUCCUUGUUGAUUUCGAUGGGGAUGUUUGCAUGGUGGAUUAAGAGCACAUUGAAUUUUCUCCGAGCAAAAGCUAUGAUCAAAGUGAACGCCAAAAUUAACCACAAUAUAUAUAUAUAUAUAUAUAUAUAUAUAUAUCAUAAAUUUGUUGUACGAAUAUCAAUUCAACCUUAGCAAGAAAAAAAAUUUGCCUAAUCAAAAAAAAAAUUCAAUUCAAUAUUAAAGCUUUCAAUUUGAUUAAUCUAGCUUUAAUGUAGUCAUUCCGGCCAAAGGUGAUGUGGAUGAUAGCCAUCCUACGUAACAUAAUCAGCACUAUUGUAGAUAAUUUUUACAACUUUUUUAAUGAUUUUUACGGAUUUUAUUUUUUCUUUCUUGUUUUAUUUUCCCUUUUACUUCUUUUAUUUUCUUUCUCCAUUUUAUCAAACUCUAACCCGGUAACCCUCGCCAGCCACUAGGUGAGGAGUGUGAAGCCCUUGGUUGCCCAUGCCACGUAGGAAAGCGGUAUCCAUGUCAAUAGUUGCCGACCAAAUUGACGGAAUAGAUAUACUAAUAAAUUGCCAAAAGUUUAGAACAUAAUUAGUCAAAUUAAAAUAUUUAAAACUGAAUUGACCGUGUACAAUAGGUUUAUGAUAAUUAUCCCCAAUUAUAACUAUUGGGGGUUCCAAGAAAUCUUUUUGAUCCUUAUUUUUUUGUGGAUGGAAAUGUGAUUGGUAUAAGCAAUCAAAAUGAUAUAGAAUAUAUCCACAUAUCUAUUCCCACGUAUGUGGAUAUAUUCAAACGUAUUUAGGCAAUUAGGAACAGCUCCUUCUGGAUCUCGCACCAGAUACCCAAGUAACUCAUGCACACGGGGCAUGAAUCAUGAUUACUAUUUUGCAGUGAGAGCUGGUGUUUUGCCUGAUCACUUCUCUCCAUUUAUCUCUCGAUCUACAUGCUUCUUUGGCAGACCUUUCAGCAAAGAAAUCAACAUACAUGAUCAAGGAAGGGAUUCUCAUCACAAAGCUAAUGUAUUAAUCAUGAGGCAUACCUUGUGCAUCAGCUUGAAAGCAUCAUGCAUGAUCGUCCUUACAAAUUCAACAUGCUACUUUCACACAUCAAUUAGCCUCUGCUAAAGAAAAAGGAAAAGCAAAAAGCUUUGGGCCCAUUUUCAUCUCCAUGGGUCUUCGAACUACACCUGAGCCUUUCCAGGGACAAGGGGAAAAAAAACCAGGAUUUUAAUUUUAAGGGUUCUUGGUGAGUUGGGCUUUAGUGAUCGUCGUUGGCACAUCUUUUUUUAGGGUCAAAUUCAUCGUUGUCACUUCAAUUGGCAAACUGUCUCCGCAGUCUCUCUUUCGCUUUUGAUAAAUGGCUCGUGCCCUUACCCUUUCAAACCUUUCCGUGGUCUUCUAUAAGGUGGUCUCCCAUAUGAUCUGUUUUUAUCCAGUGGCCGAGGCUCUUUUUUCUUCUUCUUCUUCUUCUUCUUUGAUUUUUUUUUUUUUUUAUGAUCAAAAAACUGCCGGAGAUCACCCUCUGGGGAUCACACAACCCUCCAGUGCUCGGUAGCACCAAUGGAGUCUCGCUGUAAGCCGUUAUUUAGACGUAAAUCCUCGAGAGGUUGGCUCAGUAAAUCACCCCUAUGACCCCCACUUAAGUCACAAGUAUCUAGAGAUUCGAACUUGUUCCCUCAGCGAUGAGGUAGUAAAGCCCAACCAUCAUGGCUACCUACAAAUGAGUCCCUUACAGCUUCUUUUAUAUAUAUGCAGUCGUUUAAUGUCCUCAGAGGCAUAUCCAUAUCUUUUUGUCUGCAGAUGACUUGCUAUUUUGUUUAUAGCCUACUAGUAGGGCCAUUAACAUUGUCUAAAGCAACAUUACUAUGGCCUCGCAAUGAAGUUACCAAUUUCAUAAUAGAUGAGCUGUUUUUCAACAAUUCACAACGAUCCAAUGUCUAUGAUGGUGUUGAAUUACUGGAGCCAACAGGAGAAUAAAAUUAAGGAUAGGAGGUUGGUCGCCUCUAGAAUCACAUUCAAAUAUGUAAAAGAAGAAGGAAGAAGAAAAAAGAGUCUGAUGAAGUCAGUGUGGAGCCCAGUGUGCACACAUGGCAACUAAUGAAUGGACUACUGUAAAUCCUAUAUGAUAAUACUCGAGCACUCAAUAUUUUCUCAAUCGGAGAGUAGAGACUGUCCUCCCACAAUGGAUAAUUAUGGAAAAGUUCCGAGUAAGUUUGCAACAAAUUUUCAUAAAUGGAACACUUGAAUUUCCUAAUGACCACAGUCACGAUCAUGACCAAUGGAAAAUGGAGAACUUUGGAUGGAACUCGGUAGUUCUGUCAAUUUUCCUUCUUUGCUUGUUGAUAUCUCAAUGAUUUGUAGCCAAUAUUUUCCGACAUUGCAAACAUGAAACAACGUGACGUCACAAAUUAAAUCAGCUGCAGAGCUUGCUAAGUUCUUCUUGCUACAACUAUACCGAAUAUAAUUUAUCAAUUUGCUAACCAACCUUCUCGACAUCGUGGUCCUUUUCGCUGUUAUUGGCAAAGGAAAAGGGUAUCCUAUUGCUUAACCCGCAAAGAGAGCCACGUAAAUUCAUACUAUUUCGCUUGGAUUGAAAUUUGCGAUUCGAUGGAUGAAAGGAAAACCAUAAGGUAAAAGAGAAACGGGGUUGUGAUAGCACAGCAUCAUCCCAUGUCUCAUUUAGAAUUUCUGACGUAAAGUGAAAAAUUAGUGGACUUGUGGAAAAGAAACUCAGUCUCUUACAUUUUGAAUAAUCCUCCGAUCCAUGUAAAUGGGGGAAGAAGGAAAAGAAAAAAAAGAAAAGAACAAAGUUAUGUGUGCUCCGCUUGUCGUCUUCUUCUCCUCCUCCUUUUUUUUUACUUUUUUUUUUUUUGUGGAUUGAAUAGAGGAGGUUUGCCAUGGUUCAGUUUCUUUGCUUUGACAUCAACUACCUAUUUGAUAUUUUUCAUAUUGCUGUGUUAUUCAAAUACCAAGCUGCGAGCCAUUCUCCUAAAUUUUUUUGUCCUUAUCACUCAAUUCAUAAGGAAGCAAAUUGCUCUUCCAGAUUGCUUUUGUUAAUGGUUCUAACAGAGGAGGCUUGUUUCUCUGUUCGUGGAAUAGGUGAAGAACUUCAUAACUAUGGCAGGUAUCCACGCUGAAUUGCAUCUAUACCGUUUUGUGGAGUAAGUACUGCAUUCCUUUCCCGUUUGAUCCAUUCCUUUCACCAAUGAUUAGCAGAGAGAAGGAAGCUUGUUAUGUUUGUGAUCUCAUCAGAGAGAAAGUUAAAUAUCCUUUCACAAAAUGCUCUUGGUAAGUUGAUAUAUUUGAUGAAGAGAUAAUCUGUUUAGCUAUUCUAGAGUAGCCCUCUCUGGUAGAAUCGUACAUGACAAAGGCAAGAAGAAAUUGUCUUCUCAAGUCUUUCCCCUAUUUAUUUCCAAAUAUCACAAAUUGCAUUUGUAGCGUGGUUUUAGAUUGAUUUGGCAUUAGGAUGCACCAUUCUCUAGUGGUCUCUUGGUUGAGGUCAGAGGGGGAUUAGAGUUUGCUUAUAUCAUUGCAGUUUGAUUUUUUUGUCAUCUUUUGCAGUCUGGUAUCUUCUGCGUUCUUGUGGACUAUUUGAUCGGGCUACAAGGGGUCUCCUCUGACUAUGUGCAGAUUUUGCUCGGUCUUCGUAGUUAUUUUCUAAUUUACAUUACCAUUUUGCUAUAUCCAGGCGCCUUUUUCUGCAGCAUCAACAACUAGCUUCUCAACAUGUCCACAUGUAGAAAUACUGCACCAAACUAUUGGAGUCUCUUCGUUAAUACUUCACUAUGUAACUGCGGCUUCUUCUUUUGUUCGGGAACCUUCACACCAUCACAGGAGCACUUGGCACCCGCUGGUUAUGUGAAGAUUCUGACUGUGAGCACGAUUCUGUGUUAAGAGAGCAUAUAUUUAGUGAUAUUGCUAGUACGAGUACCUAGAGGGGGGGUGAAUAGGUUUAUAAAAAUUUUCUUGAAGAUUGCACAAUACUUAGACAGAUGAAGGAUUUGCAAUAAUAAAAAAUCAAUCGUAAAACUGAGUAAAGGAAAGAGAGAAUUAAACACGCGGUUUAUAGUGGUUCGGCUUGAUUCAAGCCUACGUCCACUCUUCUGCACUGACAGCCGAUUGGCUGGAUUCCACUAUGAACAAAGAGAUGUUACAGUGUUGAUCUUCCUUGAUUUCUAGAUGUAGAUGAUCUACUACACUCGCUCAAGGUGUCACCAAGUAUAAACACUCUCUGUGUAUACAAUUUGCUCGAACUGUAUCGACUAACAAUCAAGGUUCUUCAGACUCUGGAAUUUUUCUAUCAAUCACACACUUAAAACAACUAGAACGUCUUCUUUUUAUACUCCUUUAUGCCAUCAUAGCCGUUGGCACUUACCAAAGGAAUUCCUCCAAUCUACCCGUUGGACGGAAUCAAUUAAGAAGAUCAUCCGAGCUAUUUAAGGAAUCUGAUGAUAGCCCAUCAAUCCUGUUCGCCCAUACAAUCAGGAUCUUGGUUUCCAAGAAUAGAACAUUCCAAGAAUGUUUCAUCGAUCAUCGGAUCUUCAAUUGAUCUUAGAUAAGAAUCAAAGAAUCUGAAAUGAUUAUCCAACCAAGGGAUCUUUUCCAGAAGAUAGGAUCGAAUCCUCAACCAUAUACUUCGGCUUUGGAUUUCCUUCGUCACUGGAUUAGAAAGACUGUCAGUGAGAAUAGUCUUGAGUCUUGAGUCUUGAGUCUUGAGUCUUGAGAUUACAAAGUCUUGAGACUUUAAACUGUCGAUAUCCAGACUAGACUAAUAGAAAUGUUUUGUAAGCUUCAAAAUAUUUUGGAAAGAUUUCUCCAACAAUCUCCCCCUUUUUGAUGGUGACAAAACUUUCUUGUAGAUUUGAACAACUUUGACCUGCAAAAACAUUUCUCAAGCAAUAUGACUAACUCAUAAAGAUUAAUAAAACAACCAGACUCUGCAUCCACAGCAAAUUGGUUAGUCUUUCAUGAGUAAUACCAUGUAACAAUACUUGAUAUAAAUGCAACCAGUCAAGCAUCAAAAUCCACAGCCAAUUCAGUCAAAUUUAAAUUCACACCCAAGUUCAAGUUCUCAAGUCAUACUCAAAAAUAAACAUAACCACAAAAGUCAAAGUUUGUUUUAAAAUUUGUUGGUUCAAAUUGGUUCUCCCCCUUUUUGUCAUCAUUAAAAAGGGUGAGAAAUGAGUCAUGUCUGCUUGGGAAUGCGCACGAUCUGGAAAUCUCCCAUUGACUGGACUACGCCUUCUAGCCUCUUCAAGUCCUCCCUUAGAUGAGCUACCUCCUCUCCUUUGGCAUUGGCUUGAAGUUGCAGAGCGAGGUCUUUCAUCUUGUCCUCCAGGGUGACUGAAGAUGCUUGUCCAGCAUUCUUCAUGGCUUGAAUUUCACAAUCCAGAGCAUAUAUCUGGCCACGCAUUUCCAGAAGAAUAUCCAUGAUGCGACGAAAAUCUGCAGAAUUGUCCGUCUAUGUACUGGCAUGAGCUUUCUCAGAUGGAGUAAAUGUAGACGAUGGCACUUCUGUAUAGUCUUGCAGAUUUGGUGUCAACGUAUCACCUUCUUCAGGCAAUUGAGAAGCCUGAAAUUCUUCUGGGUCUGCUGGAGAUUGUCUUGGACCUUCAUUAUCGGCAGCAUGAGGUGUGGACCUUUCUUGCUCGCCAACUCCUCCUGUCUCUAGGACAUCCAAAGGGGAAGAGUGAUGAUCAUGCUCUUGAUUUCCCUUCUCUCUAGAUUCAGCAGCAGACUUUUCUUUCUCUUCUUCAGCUUCUUUCUCCUUCUUUCUCUGCUCUUCUUCUUCUUUGUUCUUGGUUUGCUCUUCUUCUUCUCUCUGUUUCUUCUGAAGUUCUGUCGGCUGAGACACAGAACGUCUGGUUCUUGUCAGUGCAUGGAUAGUAGGAUCUUCAUCCUCUUCAUCUUCAUCCUCCAGGAUGAGAGGUCUUUUCUUCUUUUUUUGAUGGGGCACCAAUGGCCUCCUUUCCUUUUCUCUUUGAAGCAGACUGAACUGGAGAUUUCACUCUGAAUUUCUCCAUUGCCUUGGAAAGUUCUUGCAGGCGCAUCUUCGUUAACAUCUUCAAACCUACCACCAUCUUAUCACACGGUUGAACACAAAGUGUUUGUGGCGGUUCAAUAUUCAUGUGUCUGAAGAUCUUGGUCACCAGACCAGGAUAAGGCAAUUAUCCUUUGUCUUUCAACAUUGCUCUGUACAUAUGGAAGAGAAUAGUGUGCGGGAGAGAGAACUUUCGUCCUGAGUUGAUUGCGUACAUCAACUUUGCUUCAAAAAGAGACACGGAAGUCUUUGACGUAGACUUCGGUCUGAGACAGUUGAUUACAAUCUUAUGAAGCACAAUGUUGAUGGCAUUCAUCCUGGAAUAGGUAACUUUCCUCUCUGCGUCCCUAUCUUUGACAAGUUCCAGAGUAGUACGAGUAGGUGAGACUUUGAUUGGUAGAUAACGUCCUCGUUCAACUCCAACUAUGUCCGCCAACAUAUUCACAUCUACCACGUAGACUUGGUCUCGUACACUGAAUGAAAUUCUAUUCACAUCCAGAAAGCUAAGAUUUGAAUAGAAAUAAGCGGUCAGAUGAGCAUACCCGUCCUUAGAGUCAGAGCAAAAAUUCUCAAGUUGAAACAAAUUCAACUUUUCUCUUAAGUUCAUGUUGAUGGCGUCCAGGAAGUCAAAAUCGACACUUCUAGGGUUUAUCACCCCUCUUUUCAACAGCCUGAAAUACACAUUUUCCUGAUCCUUGGAUUUGAACAAAUCCAUCCGAUUUCCUUUCACCUUUGCUGCCACUCCCAUUUUCGGUUGAAAUUCAAGGAACAUUCUGUCAUCAUCGUUCCCUUCAAUUAAAUUUUGUCCUGGCAUACGAGGAUCACUUGGAAUGUUCGCAAGUGCGUCCUCUGCUUUUCCUUUCGGGGCAACUCCCAAUUCCUCCAUUUUUCUCAGAAAAAGAUACUCAUUCCCAUAAUUUUUGUCCUUAAGAAAGUCAUCUAUAUAUUUCAAUGGAGUACCGGUGCUUUUCAACGCACGAUAAAGUUUAUAGAUACAGGAGGGUUUUUGGACUCUUACUGGGUCAGCAUCCUCGAUUAUCUCUUCUUCCAGAUGAUGACUUGCACCUUGUGGGGCAGGAGGCGUUGAAUGACGUGGAUGAGAGCGAAUCAGACCUUGUCGCUGACUUGUUAAGUCUUCUUCCUCAGUGAGAUCGAAGUGAGUCGGUCCCUUCUCCAUUCUUUGUGGUCCCCUGCUUGCGAUUCUUGAUGAUUUCCUCGAAGAAGACAUCUUUCUUUGUCGAUUAGAAGAUUCCUUCACUUGCUUUCCCAAGAAAAAUGACCACUUUCUCGACGACGAACAAGCAGUAGAAACAGUAUCGGGAGGAGAGUGCCUUUUAGGGUUUUGAAGAUUGGGAAAAGAAAAACUGUAUAUAUAUAACUCAGUUUUGAAAAGGGAAGUUCAAUCGGUGCAAGGAAAGUGAACGAACACUUCUUUUCAAAAUCAAUAACUGCCAAAAUUAUUCCUUUUUAAAAAGACAAGUCUUCAAAUUUCACGCGGAUUAUAGAAUAACUGAACGAAAGAUCGUACCUUUUCGAGUUUGGAUAAAAUAACUAAACGAAAAUUCGUACAUUUUAGAUAAAAUACAACUUACAGUCUAUAGCCACGAAUGUCUGAGUCUGAGGAUUUAAAGUCUAAAAGAUUAGAGUCUUAGAGUUGGUGAGUCUCUAGACUUUAACUUCUUCAAGCUUCAAAAUGUUGAGUCUUGAACGGAUAAAGUCGAAUUGAUUUUUCUCCAAAGGCUUUGUGAAUAUAUCCGCUAGUUGAUUCUUUGAAUCAACAAAUUGAAUCGAGAUUUCUCCAUUUUGAAUAUGAUCUCUAAUGAAGUGAUGUCGAAUCUCAAUAUGCUUUGCUCUUGAAUGAAGGAUUGGAUUUUUGGUGAGAUUGAUCGCAUUGGUGUUGUCACAUCUGAUUUCUGUGCAUGAGUCUUCAAUCCCAAAGUCUUGUAGCUAUUGUUUUAUCCAUAGAAUUUGCGAACAGCAGCUUCCAAGAGCUACAUACUAUGCUUCUGUCGUUGAGAGAGCUACAGUGCUUUGCUUCCUCGAAAACCAAGACACUGUCCUGUUUCCAAGCAGUUGACAAGUUCCAGAAGUGCUUUUUCUAUCGACUAUGUAACCGGCCAGAUCUGCAUCUGAGUAUCCUAGAAGAUUAAAGUCUCCCUUCUUGGGAUACCAGAGACCGAUGCUUGAAGAUGAGGCAACGUAUUUGAUAACACGUUUUGCAGCACUGAGAUGGGAUUCUCUAGGAUCUGAUUGAAACCUAGCACAAAUGCAAACACUCAACAAAAUAUCAGGUCUAGAAGCAGUAAGAUAAAGAAGUGAACCGAUCAUGCUCCUGUACAGCUUUUGAUCUAGUUUCUUCCCUUCUUCAUCCUUGUCUAUCUUCUGAGAACAUGACAUUGGUAUGUCGGUCUUUUUGCACUUUUCCAAUCCAAACCUUUUGACAAGAUCAUUCGCAUAUUUUUCUUGAUGAAUAAAAGUUCCUUCCUUCAUUUGUUUCACUUGGAGUCCAAGAAAGAAUGUUAACUCUCCCAUCAUACUCAUUUCAAACUCAUCCUGCAUAGACUUAGAAAAUUUCUUGCAUAGACUUUCAUUAGGUGAUCCAAAAAUAAUAUCGUCCACAUAUAUUUGAACAAGUAAAAAGCUUUUGUUUUCCUUUUUGAUAAACAAAGUAGUAUCUACUUUACCUUUGACAAAACCAUUCUGUAAUAAAAACUUACUUAGUCUGUCGUACCAAGCUCGAGGUGCUUGCUUUAAACCAUACAAUGCCUUUUUCAGUCUGAAGACUGAGUCUGGCUUCUUUGGGUCUUCAAACCCAGGUGGUUGUUCCACAUAAACUUCCUCAUGGAUGAAUCCAUUUAGGAAUGCACUUUUGACGUCCAUUUGGAAUAACCUGAAAUUUUUAUAACAAGCAAACGCAAGUAAUAGACGAAUAGCUUCUAACCUUGCUACUGGAGCGUAAGUCUCAUCAUAGUCUAUUCCUUCUUCUUGCGUAUAUCCUUUGGCCACGAGUCUUGCUUUGUUUCGUACGACUUUUCCUUCUUCAUUCAUCUUGUUCCUAAAUACCCAUUUGGUUCCAAUAACAGUUUUACCUUUUGGUUUAGAUGUCAAUUCCCAGACAUCAUUGAUGUUGAACUGUCUGAGUUCUUCUUGCAUAGCUUCGAUCCAACUUUCAUCAGAUAAAGCUUCUUCUAUGCUUUUUGGUUCAAUUUCAGAAAUGAGAGCCACGGCACUAGAUUCUUCACGCCUUUUUGAUCUGGUGCGGAUUCCUUCAUUGAUUUCGUCAAUAAUGAGAUCUUUGGGAUGACUGGAUUUAUGCUUCCAGUUACUGCUUGAUCUGCCUGGUUGAUGAUCUCUUUCUUUAUUUGAAUCUUCAUGAGUUUCUUGAUGUUGGACUUCCAAAGACUGAGAUGCUUCUUGAGUUGUAAGCGUUGGAAGGUCUGGAGUGGGUUCAGACUCUUCAUACUGAGUCUGGCUGGAUUCAUCUUGCAUUGAAUCUUGGAAUUUGACAUUCAUUGAUUCCUCCACCGACUGGCUUUUCUUAUUAUAGACUCUGUAGGCUUUGCUUGAUGUAGAAUAUCCAAGGAAGAUGCCUUCAUCUGAUCUUUCUUCAAACUUACCAACUCGAUCAUUUGCAUUUUUCAAAAUAAAGCAUUUGCAACCAAACACAUGAAAGUAUGAAAUAAUAGGCUUCUUACCUUUGAACAAUUCAUAGGGGGUUUUUUCUAAAAUAGGUCUUAAAAAGACUCUAUUUAUAAUAUAGCAUGCUGUUGAAACAGCUUCAGCCCAAAAUCGCGAAGAAAUUUUGCUUUCAAUUAAAAGUGUUCUAGCCAUUUCUUGAAGAGAUCUAUUCUUUCUUUCCACAACUCCAUUUUGCUCUGGAGUAUAUGGAGAGGAAAACAUAUGAUUAAAACCAGAUUUAUCACAAAAUUUCGUAAAAUCUUGAUUUUCAAAUUCACUUCCAUGAUCUGUUCUUAUGCUUGAGAUUGCACAUCCUUUUUCAUUUUGAACCUUUUUGGCAAAUUUUUCAAAAUGCGAAAAGGUUUCUGACUUACUUGCAAGGAAAUAUACCCAAGUAAAGCGGGAGUAAUCAUCCACAAUUACCACCGCAAUAUUUCUUACCUCCAAUGCUCUGGGUUCUAGUCGGUCCGAAGAGAUCCAUAUGAAACAACUGUAGUACAUGAUUAGUAGAGACAUGAUUUAUUGGCUUAAAUGAAUUUCUUACCUGCUUUCCCAGAAUGCAUGGAGUGCAUGAAUCAGACUUUUGGUAUGGCAAUUUAGGUAGACCUCAAACAAGCUUCUUUGAUGGGAUUUUGGCUAAUUGCUUCAUGUUGACAUGGCCAAGCUUUCUGUGCCAUAAGACCGCUUCAUCUUGAAUUGAGAUUAGGCAUUGUGCUUCAUUUGGUUUUACAUCAAGGAGGUAGAUAUUUCCAUGCCUUCGACCCAUGAAAGACUGAGUUGAGUCUUUGCUAAUUCCAGAACAUAUGCCUUCUUGAAAGGAGAUCUUGAAACCAGUAUCACACAAUUGGCUAAUGCUUAGCAGAUUGUAGUUGAGUCCUUCCACUAGAGAGACAUUGCUUAUUGUGAGAUUUCCAAUUUUCACAAUUCCAAAUCCCACAAUGCUUCCUUUGUUGUUUCCUCCAAAUGAAACUUUUCCACUAUUCACUUGAACAAGCUUUAUGAAGCAAUUGGAGUCUCCUGUCAUGUGUCUUGAACAUCCGCUGUCAAGAUACCAUUUAACUUUCUUUUUGACAGAGACCUCAAAUUCACUGUCUGAGUCUGAUCCAGAGUCUGAGUCUGAUUGUGCCAUCAGACACAGGUUGGCAUAUUCCUCGUCACUUUCUUUACACUCUGUGUCGCUUCAAGUUUCGGCUUUGAGAGCUUUUCGAGACUUUUCAGCUUUUCCUCUCUUUUUCUUCAGAAGAUGACAAUUGCGUCUGAUGUGUCCCUUUUUCUUACAUUCGAAGCAAACUACAACUUUGUUUGGUUCCUCAUUAUCAACAAACUUGGUUUGCUGUUUCUGAAAACUUUGUUUCUCUGAGUUGAACCUUCUUCCUUUUCUAUUCAGCUUUCUGAACCUUCUAAUCAUAAGAGCAAGCUCUUCAUCGUCCAGAUCUUCUUCAGAAUCUGUAUCAUCAGAAUCAUCAUUAGAUUUUAAUGCAAUGGAUUUCUUGCCUCUUGGAUCUUCGUCUUCAUUAAUUCGUUCCACUUCGUAAGACUGAAGAGUUCCAAUCAGCUCGUCUACAGAUAAUGGCAUAAUUCUUUGCGUCUCUCUUAUUGAAGUCUUUAUAUGAUUCCAAUCCUUGGAGAGUCCACGCAGUAGCUUGUUCACCUUCAUAGGAUCAGAAAUUUUCUGUCCUUGAUUCUCAAGGCCAUUGACAAUAUCUGUAAAACGGCUAAACAUGUCAGUUAUAGAUUCUCCUGGUUUCAUUUUGAAGGAUUCAUAUUGACCAAGGAGAAUGUUAAUUCUGGUCUCCUUCACUCGGUCUGUCCCUUCAUAAGUGAUAUGUAAUCUGUCCCAGACUUCUUUUGCUGUAUCACAAGAAGAUAUUCUGUUAUAUUCAGUUGGUGAUAAAGCACAAUAUAAAGAGUAAAUUGCUUUUGCAUCGAGUGCUUGUCUCUUGUUUAUCUCUUCUUGAGACAUUCCGCUGGUAUCAACAGUUUCUUUCCCUCUUUCGAAUACUGAUGCAACAGUAGGAGUAAUUCCUCUUUCCACCACAUCCCAUUCUAGAGGAUCCUUUGACCGUAGAAAAGCUUUCAUCUUGUUUUUCCAGAUGUUGUAAUCAUUUCCAUCAAAGUAGGGUGGUCUAGUAUUGCUUUGCCCUUCCACCAGCCCUGGUGCUAGCAUACUAGCCAUGGAUCUUUUACUCUGAAGUAAAACACUUCAAAUAAAGUAAGAACACGAGCUCUGAUACCAAUUGAUAUUGCUAGUACGAGUACCUAGAGGGGGUGAAUAGGUUUAUAAAAAUUUUCUUGAAGAUUGCACAAUACUUAGACAGAUGAAGGAUUUGCAAUAAUAAAAAAUCAAUCAUAAAACUGAGUAAAGGAAAGAGAGAAUUUAACACGCGGUUUAUAGUGGUUCGGCUUGAUUCAAGCCUACGUCCACUCUUCUGCACUGACAGCCGAUUGGCUGGAUUCCACUAUGAACAAAGAGAUGUUACAGUGUUGAUCUUCCUUGAUUUCUAGAUGUAGAUGAUCUACUACACUCGCUCAAGGUGUCACCAAGUAUAAACACUCUCUGUGUAUACAAUUUGCUCAAACUGUAUCGACUAACAAUCAAGGUUCUUCAGACUCUGGAAUUUUUCUAUCAAUCACACACUUAAAACAACUAGAACGUCUUCCUUUUAUACUCCUUUAUGCCAUCAUAACCGUUGGCACUUACCAAAGGAAUUCCUUCAAUCUACCCGUUGGACGGAAUCAAUUAAGAAGAUCAUCCGAGCUAUUUAAGGAAUCUGAUGAUAGCCCAUCAAUNNNNNNNNNNNNNNNNNNNNNNNNNNNNNNNNNNNNNNNNNNNNNNNNNNNNNNNNNNNNNNNNNNNNNNNNNNNNNNNNNNNNNNNNNNNNNNNNNNNNGGAUUGAUGGGCUAUCAUCAGAUUCCUUAAAUAGCUCGGAUGAUCUUCUUGAUUGAUUCCGUCCAACGGGUAGAUUGGAGGAAUUCCUUUGGUAAGUGUCAUCGGCUAUGAUGGCAUGAAGGAGUAUAAAAGGAAGACAUUCUAGUUGUUUUAAGUGUGUGAUCGAUAGAAAAAUUCCAGAGUCUGAAGAUCCUUGAUUGUUAGUUGAGACUGAGCGAAAUUGUAUACAGAGAGUGUUUAUACUUGGUGACGCCUUGAGUGAGUGUGGUAGAUCAUCUACACCUAGAAAUCAAGGAAGAUCAACACUGUAACAACUCUUUGAUCAUAGUGGAAUCCAGCCAAUCGGCUGUCAGUGCAGAAGAGUGGACGUAGGCUUGAAUCAAGCCGAACCACUAUAAUCCGAGUGUUCAAUUCUCUCUUUCCCUUACUCAGUCUUGCGAUUGAAUUUUUAACUGUUGCAAAUACUCUAACUGAUAUCGUGCAAGCUUCGAGAAAUUUUUGUAUACCUAUUCACCCCCCUCUAGGUACUCGUACUAGCUAUUUCACUGGUAUCUUCUGCGUUCUUGUGGACUAUUUGAUCGGGCUACAAGGGGUCUCCUCUGACUAUGUGCAGAUUUUGCUCGGUCUUCGUAGUUAUUUUCUAAUUUACAUUACCAUUUUGCUAUAUCCAGGCGCCUUUUUCUGCAACAUCAACAACUAGCUUCUCUACAUGUCCACAUGUAGAAAUACUGCACCAAACUAUUGGAGUCUCUUCGUUAAUACUUCACUAUGUAACUGCGGCUUCUUCUUUUGUUCAGGAACCUUCACACCAUCACAGGAGCACUUGGCACCCGCUGGUUAUGUGAAGAUUCUGACUGUGAGCACGAUUCUGUGUUAAGAGAGCAUAUAUUUAGAUAGGAUGAUUUAUUGUUUAUAUCUUCUUGAGGGUCCUAAUUUCGUACAUUUUACCAUAUUAUCCAAUGAAGAAAUUGUAUAACCAUUCCAAAAUAGGUGUCGCCCACGAUACUCUUCGUAUAAGAUAGGAGCUAUGCAUGUGUUCAUAAUUCCCUGCUUUUAGCUUCAUGUGUUUGAUUUGCCAGUGAUUUUUCUCAAUGCAAUGUUCUUUCAAUUAAGCACGGUGUGAAUUGUUUUUUGUUUCUGAUUGCUAACCAAAAGUUUGUAGAUUUCUCCUAGAAUUAAAACAAUGAACACGUCCAUCACAGAAGAUUUGCUAGUUUGCAGAACCUAGUCCUUAUUAUGGUGAUUUUUUCUUUUUUUUUUGGCACUUUGCACGGUAGGAAUAGAGAACAAGUUGAAACAUUUUCCAAGCCCUAUAUAUGAAUGAUUAACCAUGUUGAAAGUAAUAACAGAGGAUUAGGAAAGCAAUAUCUUUACCGAGCUCUUCCUCUACAAUCUUAUGGUGUAGGAGGUGUAUAUCCACGACAUGGUCUGCAAUUACGUUUGGUACUGAUUAAUGAUUUUCAUUUGAUCACUGCGCAUUCACCUUAGAAAAGUCGAUAAUCUAAGCAAUAUUUCAUUUACAUGAGACAAAUGAACUGAACUGAAUGGACAAGAGAAUAUAUUGUAAAAUGGUAUUGUUGUUGUGGGGUAAAAAUGUCUUAAUAUGCUCUUGCCCAUUAAUCCAAUGGGAAAAAAAGAUGGAUGUGUCUUACCGAUCCAUUUCCUGUAGACUGAGCUUUUACAUCUAGGACUGGAUUGGGCACUUUGGAUGAUGCUGGGAAAGUGAUAUUCAUCAACUUCUUAUUAUAGAUGAAGUCAAAUAUUUGUUUUUAGGAGUUUUUUUUGUCUUUUCUAUCAUAUUUGCUUUUAGGUUAAAAGUGAUAUCUUUAUAUUAGUGAUGACAAGACCCUAGCCGUCAAGACGCUGAAAAAUGAUAUAGAGAGGCAAGAAAAAGAUAGAAGAAAAAAGUGAGUUUUUUUUCUUGAUGAGGGUUUUCAAUCUCUUUGUACCCUGAUCUUAAGAGAAAAUUGUCGUUGUAUUCCAACUUUUUCGAAGUCUAGUGGAUUCGCAGAGUGCCUCUGCGCGGAGACGUAGCCCAGGUUUGAGUGAACUUCGAUAACAAAUUUUCUGGCGUAUUCAUCUGAUUCUAUUCUUUCAUUACUAUAUCAUAUCUAGUGAAUUGUUUGCAAGCGUUAUUUUUGUGGAAUCUGUUGGAGAAAUCUUCUUAAAGUGUUUUGAAGCUGACAAAACGUUUCCAUCAGUCUAGUCUGAAGGUUUGCAAGACUCUGAUAUUUAAAGUCUGAAGACCUCCGGACAGCCAGACUCAAGACUCAAAGUCUAUCGUCAUUGAUAGUCUCUAAUCCGUUGAAGAAAGGUUAUCCAGAACUAGAUGUUUCGUUAAGGAUUCAACCUUAUCAACUUGAGAAGACCUCGUGGCUGGAAAAGACGUAGCGGAAUCCUUUGAUUGAUCGAGAUUGAUUUCGAUGAUUGAAGAUUCGAUGAUUGCCUAAAUAUUCUUGGAAGGUUUUUCUUAUGGAAACCGAGAUCCUGAUUGUAUGGGCGAACAUGAUUUAUGGGUUAUUGACACGUUCCUUUAAUAGCUCAAACAAUCUUCCUAAUUGAUUCCGUCUAACGGGUAGAUUGGAGGAAUUCCUUUGGUAAGUGCUAAUGGGUAUAAUGGCAUAAAGGAGUAUAUAAGGAAGACGUUCUUAGUUGUUCGAGGUGUGCGCGAUAGAAGAAUUCCAAAGUCUGAAGCUUCUUGUUGUUUAGACAAUCACUUUGAGCGAAUACUUGUAUACAAAAGAAAGUCUAUAUUUGUAAGAAACCUUGAGGGGGUGUGGGAGAACAUCUAUACUGUGGAAUCAAGGCAAAGCUGUGCUGUAACUUCUCUUUUGAUCAUAGUGAAAUCCAGCCGGUGGGCUGUUAGUGCGGAAGAGUGGACGUAGGCUUGGAAUAAGCCGAACCACUAUAAAUCCUGUGUUCAAUUUUCUCUUCCUUACUCUCUUUACCUUGAUCGUAUUUCAUUUUGUUAAUCAAUAGAGAAUUUCCUUUCUAUCGAUUGCCAAGAAUCGCUUCCGUAUCUCGAUAAAUUGUUUGUGCACCUAUUCACCCCCCCUCUAGGUGCUUGUACUAGCUAUCUCAGAAUCGACGUGCGAUUUCGUAACACUUCUCUGGAAACCAUCUCCGGAUUUCUCUCACUAGCAUGCAAAGUACCUUACUUGGUGGAUGAUGCAGCUUCACUAAAGAAUGUGGCAACAGGAACGGCUUAAAGUAGCCAUGGGUUCAGGGUUUGUAUCAAAGAAUGUUUAGGAUGUUCGAGGAUCAGCCGCUGCUCCUCUCUGGACAUUAGCAAGCGAUGCAUGUAUUCCAUGCAUGAACACAAAAGAUGAAGCGAAAUGAUUGUUUUUAGCGUGAGUGGGUGAUUAUAUUUUUUUCCUCUGAUUUGGUGAUACAGUCUUGGCCUUGUGUAUCUGAUUAUUUGAUGAUAUUACUCACUAGAUUGACUUGAAAGUUCUAAUAUUACCUAAUCGGAAAUGAAGAAUCUUGCAUCAGCCAUGACUCUUGCUCUUAGUAGAUGUUGAAAAUAUUAUGGUACUUCCUGCAGCUUUGCGCAACUAUGCCAUUAAAGUCGAAGGCAAGUCCCACUUUCAUGGCAACUUCAUCUCCACGCUAGUAAACAUCACAUUCUCUGGCAAAUUAAUUAUCACGUCCAUAACUUACCAACCUCUUACCCAAUCAACUUCUAAAAUUUAGAAGCUGUUAACUUACCAAAAAAUUUGACAUGGGUAAGUUUAUUCAACGUCUGCAACUUAUUAACCUUUAUCCUGUCCACCUGUGAAAUUUGGAAAAAAGUUGGUAAUUUACAGAUCAAUUUGGUUUUUGUAAAUUUUUUACAAUCCGGUCGACUUGCUAACCAGUAACUUGAAUUUGCGAAUUUACAUCAUAAAUUUCUUUAAACGUGGACUGAGGUCAAAGAAUGUCAAGCGAAUUUAUGGAAAUUGAAGUAAUGGCAAUCAAUAGGUAGAAGCAUAUAAAACUCAUUAAUGCUACGAAGAGCAUUUUGUUUAAUUAAAANNNNNNNNNNNNNNNNNNNNNNNNNNNNNNNNNNNNNNNNNNNNNNNNNNNNNNNNNNNNNNNNNNNNNNNNNNNNNNNNNNNNNNNNNNNNNNNNNNNNCCUCGGCAGUUCAACUGCAAUAGCUCAGCACUGAUAAUAUAAUUUAAGUUAACCCGGACGCAGUAGAGAUGUACGUCCUUCCACAUACACGAAAAGUCUCGACUUGUUGACCUCGGUUGCGCUCCAGUCAUCUGGAGCACGACAAAUUCUGCUGGCGCCUCAAUCCAACGGGUCGACGUUGACAGGUUUUGAAUCGGACAGCUGAUGACUGACAAAGCAGAAAGAAGAUUUCCCCGUGCACAAGCUCACGGUACUAUUAAACCAGCCCAGCUAUUAGCAGCUUUCUUAGGGUAUCCCAUGAUAACGGCUUGGCUUUUUUUAGGAGAUCAUCGGGACCUGCCCAGUGUGAACAUGAAGAGAACAGAAACGAAGAAGAAGAGAACAGAGACGAAGGAAUAGAGAAGAAAGAACAGAGAUGAGAGAAAAAUAUGAAGUUUCUGUAUUCAACCAGGAUCGAAGAAAAUUCUCGUCUGAGAGCAUUACAUCUCGUUUUCUCUUCAACUCUAUUUGUAUUACAAGUUAAAACUAAGAACAAACAGACGAACAACAGACUAACAGAAACACCAACAGAAAUUAUUCAGUUACAACUCAAAACUGAAUAUUGAUUCUGCAAUGAACACGUGCUGGUGCGCAGAUCCCAUCAUUGACUUUAUUCCAUUUGUCUUUGUUCACAACAGCAGAACCAAGCUUAUUGUCUUCAAUUCUGACUCAACUCAGCAGGCUGCCUUACUUUAUUUCCUCUGUUUUCAUCAGAACCAAAUUCUCCAAUAGCAGCAGCAUGUGCGUUCAUUAUAUAUCCUAUAACCAGAGCAAUGCCAGACGACCGUCGGGGUCCCAGAAAACACCUGUGAGGUAAUGAAUCCCGAGACAUGCACAUAUAACCCAAGGAACGAUUGCGAGCCCAAUGGUUCUGGUCAACACUACAAACGUACCAGACGCAAAAGCUAGCACCAUCCCCAACAUCGCAAUGUAAAUGCAACCCGCGGCUCUGAUGGUGAAACCUGCCUUUGCACGAACGCUUAACACAGAACUAUCAUAUUGUAAGAACAAUGCCAUGGUGGAGAAAGUGAACGCCAUAGUGUUGGUUAUCACAAAGGUUUUGAAAGCUACCCUGCCAGCAAGAGUCGCCAUUCCUUGGUUGGGUCCGUCAUUGCUAUAACCUCCUGGCAUCGUGAAGGCUGCGGCAAAGGUCGCUGUAGCUAUGAACGCUGCCAUUAGUAGUUCAAGCUCAAUAAUUCUUUUCAAUGACGAAUCGCUUCUUGUGGUUGUAGACGCAGCUGGUUGAUCCUCAAGAAAUUGCUUGUCUAGCCUCUUUUUAAUAUCUUUCACAGCCCACUGUUGAAUAGACGGGAUUCCACUAGGUCCUUUCAAUGCACGAAUAGCUCGAUGUCUUGAGAAAGUCAUCUGAAAAAUAUACAGAAAGAAUCAAUUAACCCGUGGUUUUCCUGGCAAAAUACUUCAAGACCCUCACUUUAUUCGCUCAAAAUCCAUCUGGCCAAGUCCUAAAUUAUUAUUUUUCAAUCAAUUCAUCUCCUUUAGAUGAGGUAGCUGGUAAAUGAAACCAGCAAAUAGAGUUUUUCUGGAGUAAACAAUUACAUCUUGGGCUAUGCCAUAGCUAAAUGAAAUUAUCUAGGAAUUGUUUGAAGCCCUUUUCUCAAAUUGGGCAGAGUGCAGGUUGUCUCUUUUAUCUCAAAACUUAUUUGAAGGGAGGCAGAAAUAAAACAGAAGGAUUUUGGCUGACAUUGUACAAAUCAUUCUGCUUCUCUUAUAUGAAUGGGGCAGAAUAGUUGUUUUUGGAUUGAGGUCCUCUCAAGUUCCGGCUCACUAUACAAGAUAGUGGUUGACAUCUCGGCACAAGGGCCAUUAAACAGGCCGGAUUUAUUCUCCAUUUUUCUUUUAUUUCUUUUUCCCCCUUUACCUUAUCCCCUACAUAAGAAGCUCCCAAUCCUUAGAGUUUUGCAUUGGUUUCAAGAUAAACAGGUCCCACAUUCUGCAUAAUUUUUAAUAAAACAAAAUAUUAGACCUUAAAAUUGCUUUAUACUAUUUUCAUUGUAAGCAAUCUGUUGACUAUCGAUACCAUAUAAAUGUUUUUUUUUAUUAGUUUGUUUGUUUGCACGUGAAAUGAGUAUCAAUUGAGCCGCAGUUUCUUAACGAUAUUGAAGAAAUUACUUUGCGAGUGAACAAAUUGGGCUCUUGUAGUGUGCAAGCAAGCAUACCUUAUCCUGAGCAUAUAUAAUGUCAAGAGCGAUCAAACCAUUUUUAUUUGUGGCAAAGCGGUCCACCCUCUUGUCUAUGGCAAUUAUCCGCGUGCUUUUGUAUUCUCUAAGAUGCACAGACAAAUGCAAAGCCGUGUUUCCAUCAAUGUCUUUUUCGUUGAUAAGAUCCUCCCGGUUUGGCAUCCCUAAUAUGUACUUGACUACCUUUACCUUUCCUCCGAUAACAGCUGCAUGAAGAGCUGUUUGCCUUUUAAAGUUUAUUAUGUCCCAAGCAUCAGGAUAGGAUGUAACAAGCUUGUCAAUGACAUUGAUGUGGCCUUGAAACGCUGCAAUGUGAAGAGCUGAAUCCCCCUCUUUGUCUAACUCAUAUGCAACGGAAGUAUCAUGUUGCAAGAGCAGUUGAACUGCAUCAACUUUGCCAAAGUGAGCGACAUAAUGAAGAGGAGUCCACCCUCUAUUAUUGUCCUUUUCUCUGAUCAGUUCUGGUCUCUUCUCCAAGAUUUUCUUGCAACCUUUGCAAAUACAAUAGGAAUAUGUCAUGAUUUAGAUCGGUUUUAGCAUUUUGACAUUGAUAUCUUAACAUUGCAUUUCAUCCCAUUUAGCUUUCCCCUCCUUUUUCUCUGUACUAGGGAGGAAUAUGUCAUGGUUAUUAUGAAGUUUCUCUAUUGAUCUUGUGUAACACAUGUAGAAUCUAACUACCUUGAAUCUAGCAUAAUGUAGGAAUUCCUGAAGUUUUUCAUUUUGAUAAGUGAAUUUGUCAGAAAUUCGUGAAGUUGACUAAGAAGAAACUUCUUUUCUAUUCAGCAAGGCAUCUGCUCUGUCUAAGGCUAGAAUAAAAGACUAGGGUUUUUUUCACUCUGAUGCCAAUCAUUUUACAGGAAUAUCGUGUCCAGCUAAUUUUAUAAAAAAAUUAAUCUAAACGAGGGCCUAGCACCUUCUACAUUUUCCAAUGGUAAAGUCAUUUUACCCCCCUUUUUCCAAGUCAUCAUUAUUUUUCCCUCGGGGGUUAAAAAAGUUUUGCAUCGAUUUUUUGGAAAUAUAUUGCAAUGUGCCCUAUCAUCAAUUGUAAACUGAAAAGCAAGUAAUCAUAAGGAGAAAAUGACGAAAAAAAAGAGGAAUACCAAAAAAAAAAAAAAAACGAACUGGAUGAGAGAGGAAAGGGAAGACGUUGGGGUAUGAUGGUGAUGGUGGUUGCUACCACUGCCACCACAGGAGACAGGAGGGUUUGAUGAUGGUGGUGCCAGGAGAACAAGAUCCAGAAAAAUGUGAAGAAAGAAAUUAAGUACAAGCGAAAUAUGCACUCCGUGUCACAGUGUUUUUAAUCAUAACGUCCUGUAUGUGGCCGGUCAAAUGUGCUGUCCUUUUUGUUUUUAAUCUUUUCUUUCCCGGCGGGGGUCACUCUCCUUCUACCUCUUUAUCUUUCCAAGCCUCUAGUGUCCCUCUCUAUUCCCUCUUUUCCAUUUUUGGCUUCCGACACGCCAUUGGAGCAAGUAUUGACUCUAGAAGGAGCAUUGAUGGAAGAGAGAUUGGGCCAAAGGUUCCAGAACUUUGAUGAGAAGUCGAGGUAGAGAAGGCGUUGCACUCUAGCUGGCAAAGGAAUUCACGGAAGCAAAGGAAAAAGGGCCACCAAACAACAUUUAUCAUUUGCUAGUUCCUAUAAUCAGAUAACUGAGGAAUCAGCCGCUGAAGCAGCUCGCAAACGCAGAGUUGAACGACCAUGAGGCAGAUCGAACUUGCAGGAGGCUGACUUACCGUCCUCAAACAACACGAUGUCUACAAUUUGAUCACCGGUCGUCCCCUCACUGGAUCUUGGCUCUAGGACUCCUCUCUCAUCCUCUCCGAUUGGCUCUCCAUCGAAAGUCACUUCCUAUUGUUCCCUCUAACUGGCAAGAGCGUCAUCGAGUUCAACCCUGAAUCCGCGGGCAUCCUGGGGUUCACAGCGGCUUGGCUUGGGGGCCAGCCGUGUUGUCCUCAGUGUCGUCGCGCCGACGUCGGUGAGAGAAAAUUGGGAGAGAAAAACAAAACAUGAGACCCGAAAGGCAUGUCUGAAGAAGAAAAAAAAUGGAAAAAAGGAAUAGAGAGGGACACUGUAGGUGGUAAGACGCUAAAGGCCGAAAAGAUACGAAGAAGGAAAGCGGGACCUACGGGGAAAGAAAAAGAGGGACUCCGCAUUUGACCAUAUAAAAAAUUAAACUAAGGAGAGUAAUGCUAAAAGGUGAGUCACAUCGGGGACGAUAUGAUGAAAACACUAUAAUAUUUUUACUAUUAUAUUUACAAAGUACUAGUCUAGAAGGGGGGCAUCGCUGCUACCACCAGCAUUCUCGCCCAAGGGAAGUCUCGCGCUAGGGAGAGAACUUCGGUUACUUCGGUUAUCAUUUGUUCAAGUGGGUUUAGAAUCUUGUGACUGGUAGUUCGAAGUGCACUGCAGCAUGCAGAGCUGUCAGUCCCUCAGGGCCCUUAUGAGAGGCUGGCGACGAGGAAGCACAUAAAAUUAGCUCAUUGAUAUCUGAAAAUCUUUGAUGUAUUGCGAGAUAAAGCGGGGACUCAUCAGCAGCAUUAAUAAUAUCACAUAGGUGAGGAUCUUCUUCAAUAAGUAAUUCCACGAACUCCUUGCAACGUCCUCUUAUUGCAGAGUGCAACAAGGUAUCCUCAUCUGAAUUCGGUAUCCUAAGUAGCUCUUUAUAUGCAUCAGGUUGAUGUAUUUCUUGCCAAAGAAGUAACGAUCUUGAUAGAUCUUGAAGAAAAUCUCGGACGAAAUUUACCUGCCUGAAUUGAGCCGCAAUGUGAAGAACGUUGUUCCCCUUUGGCGUUGUUUGGUGGAAAAGGUCCUCUCCAUUUUCCAAAUUUAUUGUCAUCAGGGAAUGAAAUUCUCCCGACUUUGCAGCCCCAUACACUUCAGGAUGCAUACCCAGUCUCUCUUUCAUUCUCAGGACACGCGAUAGUUGCAAGUGAACUUAUCAAUAUAAGCAAUGAGUUCAAGUAGGAGGAAUUUCUUUGAGUUUUUCAAGAGGAUUGGUGAAAAGGGAAAAUGCUGGAGAGGAAAUUUAGUUGAGCUUCCUAGGAGUACUAAAAUGGAGACAUUUAUAUGCAUAUGGUGGCUCUUCAAUUGUUCCUAUGAAAUCGAAAUAAAUUUAGCAGGUCUAAAGAAUAGUUUCUAAAAAGUCUAAUUGGUGUGCGUUUUGGACUUCCUGAUUUUACAUAAACGAUAAUAAGUGGGGCAACUCUUGUUAGAAUGAAGGAGGACAAUUACAAACCGAAAAUAAUAAUGAUAAAUAAAUUAUAUAAGCAUGAAAUUGAGUUAACGGACUGCUUUUCACUUUUUAUCAAAAUCAGAACAUCCUUCUAGAAGAAUCGGAUAUGAUUUAACUUGUUUAUUAAAGUAAUACUAUUCGUUCACUUUGAGCUGUAAUUUUUUUUUUUUUUUUUAGGACUUGAAUCGGAUCUGAUUUAACUUAUUUAUUAAAGAAAUGAUUUUCGUGGGCCCACUUUUAGCCGUAGUUUUCUUCUUCUUUUUUUAUUUUAUUUGUUCAUCGAAAAGUCCUUUGCUCUUUUUAGUCGGUCCAAGUUCGUCGUAAGCAUGCAUUCUCAUCACGGUGCACAUGAUGGAGCCUACCCAAGCCUGGUCCCACUCGAAGAUUUACAUAUGUAAUUAUUAUGGAGCACGAACUAAGGUAAAAUUCAACCAAUAAAAAACUUAGGUAAAAAUUAGUUGACGACCAAUUUGAGCUCAUCCAAUAAUCACCUCCACUUCUAUGAUCCAUUGGCAAAAGUUGGAGCACAUAAUGAUAUGUUUUCUAUUGUAAUGUUUGCGCAAUAUUCUAUAACAAAUAAAAAUCUAUGAAAAUUUUAUGAUCAUUCAAUGACUAUCUAUCAUUUUUAAUAUGUGGAAGAGGGACAUGACAAAAGCUUAAAUUUAUAUAAAUAAAAAAUAGAAGGCAAGGCCGAAGUUGUUCUACUUUUUUAGCAAGGGCCAGUGAACCUUGUCGAGGUCUUAGUGAGGGCCAACAACCUUUGCAAGUCUGUCUAUGGCCAAGGGCUCGCAGGCCUUCAUCUGCAUCACAAACAGUGGUCUUCAUUGUGAAAUAAUAUGUAGAACUAAAUUCUUAAGACUAUUUUCUAUAUUUGACCUUCAUAGAACAUUAGCCUCAAUUAUGUCUGCGAAUUGGCAAUUAGUGUCCUACCAGAAUCCCAUGGACAUUAUGUGUAUGUAGAUCUGAAUUCUUUGUUAACAGCAAAACUGCAUUGGCAAUGGGUUAUUUUUUCUUUUUUUAACUCAACCCUUUUUAUGUAUGUUGGCCUAGGCUUUGCUCCCACAUUGGUGCCAUGAAUAUUUUUUUAUUAGUUCAUUAGAAAGUGGACUUAUUUUUGUUGAUAGACUCUUUCCACUGUCUCUGACUUUGUAAGAAAUAGGAAACGGCUCAUGGGACUCAUGGACUAUGUCAUUUCUAGAGCAGGUAAUUUCUCAUACGACUAUUGCUUGUUAUUUUUAAUGAUUUGCAUCUGAUGUCCGUGACAAUCUGUUAUGUUCCUUGCCUUCCAAACUGCGGUUGCUUGUGCGGAGGUGUUGACAGUUGCUGGUGAGAUAUAUAGUCUUGUGGUACCUGAAUUGUAUCUAUAAGUCUCCACAAAUGCCUUUGAAAGCUUAAAAAGUGAAAGUUAUAGUAGCCAUUACUUACCUAAAAACAUGGGGUUUAGAUGCUGCAAUGGUCAGCUCUUUAUAAUUAUUCUGUGCCCUUCCAUGUUAUACUCCAGUAAUUCUUGGGUAACAUAACCAGCAUACUAAAUUAAUGUAGUACAUCAACAAAACAUUUAGCUCAAUAAGUGGUGAAUGGAUAAAUGACAAUGCUGUAAUCCAUGUAUUCUUACUAUUGUCUUUGUCCUGUUGCCGUUUACCUAGUUUCUCAUAUUCAUGAUUAGAGUUAUCUGUCUACCAUCAUUGCAACUUACCUGCCUGUCUCAGCAAGCACCGUGAUUGGUCGAGGUGUUGUUGAAUUUCGUGAGGGAGGACCUCUAGUGAGAAAAAGUGCUGCAAUGAGUGAGUUACAAAUUUCCGUGUCAUGCCUUCUUUCUUUUCGAUAUUGAGAUGAAAACAUGCGACGAAUCACUUUAUACCGUUCGGAGAUUUUGUUCCCCUUUUUCCUUUCACAAGUCUUAUAGUAUUCUUCUUUAUUAUAUUACUGACCAACUUUUGAGACACGCACAUAAAAUUCUCUUUCUUGUCUGUUGCUUCCCUAAACAUGUGGUUGAAGUAUAAUACUUUGAGUCUGCAGAGAAAAUGUGAUUCCGCUUUGCAGCAUGACACUUUGCCGAGCCAUGCUACGAUGGUGUAAAUAUCUGCAACUUCUAGGAAUCAAGAAAAGAUAUCAUAAGUGCUAUAACCUUCGUACGGCACUCUUUUUCUCUUUCUUUUUCUUUUAUCAUUUAAAUAUGGCACUCUUUUGAGUACCAUACAAUCACUUGAGUGCUAUAUAACUUUUUAAUCAAUUACUUGAUAGUUAUAAUUUUUUUAAAAACGUUCACUAUAAGCACUAAACUACAUCAAAUUUCUAGUAUUUGAGUGAACGUUUUUAAAAAAUUAUGACACUUAAGUGAUCGAUUAAACAUAAUUUUUUUUAGAAAUAAUGGCAAUUAAGUGAUAGGAAAAAAAAGUUAUAGCACUUAAGCAAACGUCGUAUAAAAAUUAUGAUAUGUAUAGUGUAUUUUAUCCCUAUCUUCUAGUAUAAUCCUAGAGGCGACACUUGAUUGCAGUCAAGGGCCUUUCAAUAGCAAGUCUCUUCCAAGAACAUUGUGCCUUUGCUAGUACUGCUGUGGGCGUAGACUAUGAACCUUGACUACAUUGGCAUAACCCAUCUGAAGCUUCUUCAAUGUGGCUUCAUUUUUUAAGCAAGAUAUCGAGGAAAGAGUAUCAAGAGAGAAGAGGAACAGUAUCUUGGUGAAUGAUUAAGUAGUAAUUAUUGACAGGAAUGAUUUCCAUGCUACAAAAGAUUAAAUUCCUCAUAGAAGAAUGUUGGGUUUUAAGGAUGAUGUAACAAAUCGUCGAUCACAACCCUUUUGAUGUUUGCUUUACAUUUGUGUAAACAAACAUUUGUGUAAACAAUCUCCAAAGGAUCUGUGACACCUUGCUACGCUAAUUUCCAAUCUCCAACCAAUUUGCGAGAUAUUUUGGAGAGUUUGGAUGGGACUUAGUAGUUAUUCAUUUGUCCUUCUUUAAUAGUCAGAAAUCUAAAUGGUUCAUACUAAAUAUUUAUCUACCCUUGAACAUCAAAUAACAUAAUGUCACAAAUUAAAUCAACUGUAGAGCUUGCUAAGUUCUUUCUUGCUAUAACCGUACCUAAUAUAAUUGAUAGAUCUAUUGAUGUUUUGGUCCUUUUUGUUGUUAUCGGCAAAGGAAUAAAGUGUUCUACUACUUAACCGGCAAAGAGAGUUGCUUUAUUUUAUACUCUUUCACUUGAAUUGAAAUUCACAAUUCGUUUGAUGAAAGAAGCACAAAUAGUAAAAGAGAAAGGGGGCUGUCAUAGGACAGUAUCAUAUAAUGUCAUAUUUAGAAAUUCUUAUGAAAAGUGAAAAAAUUAGUGGGCCCACAGAAAAGAAACCCAGUCUCUCCUGUCUUGAAUAAUGACACUUCAGUGCCAAGUAAAGGCAUAAAGAAGGAAAAGAAAACAAUAAUGAAAGAAAAGAAUAAAGUUAUGUGUGCUUUCCAUUUGUGUAUUUUUUUUUUUAAUAAAUGGACAAUAGGGGAGGUUUGUUUCCAUGCUUCUUUUACUUGCCAUAGACACCAACUACCUAUCUGGAAAAUUUCAAACUAUCGUGUCAUUCAAAUAUUUAAGCAACAAAUCAUUCUCCUAAAUUCUUUGAUUCUUAUUACUCAAUUCAUUAGGAAUCUAAAAUACUUCUCCAAAGUACUUUAGUUAGCUGUUUUAACUGACCGUACUUGUUUCUAUCCUGAAUUCGUAAUCUUCCGAUUCGUUAAUUUGGUUACUGCAGUAAAAUCAUUUUGAAUAAGUUGUUGGUUAAAUGCCACAAAGAUGAAGGAGAAUUUUUAUUUUUUAUUUUUUGGAGGGGGUGUGGGGUUGGAGGGAGAAGCCCUGUUGUAUUGUUCACGUUGCCAUGUUAGACGAAAAAAGUUCUGCAUUGGACUCAUUUUUAUAAGAAAAGCCACGUAUUAAUAAAAAUUUCAUAUACAAAACAUAGAAUAUGUUGGAAUUUACAACUAGAAGCACUUGAGUAAUCGUUUUUCCACCGAUAUAACACUUGAGUAAUUACUCGAAAAAUUUCGGCACUAAAAAGAUAUGAUUUUUAGUGUUAUUUUCCUACCAAUGCUCUUUAAAAUAGAGAUUGAUAAGGAUUGGUAAAGUAUUAAAGCUAGAUCAUGGUAGAAUGUCCUAAUGGUUUAGAAAGCAUGCAUUUUUAAUGGUUCCAUUCUUUUGAGAAUUAUUUUCUGCACUCAAACCAAUUCCAAAAAUAAGAAUUCACUUGAGAAGUUGCACGCCCAUAGAUAAAUGAGAAAUUAGGGGAUUGGAAUAUUUUUAACAUUGACAUUGACUUGGACUUAACUGUUCUAUUUUUUAUUUUGGGUCUAUGUCAUUAAAAAUUCGAAACCUAUAUUCACAUAAUAAAUUUAUCCAAACUAGUUUUCGUAUCACAUAAAAACCUUCAACACAUUUUACCCCAAACUAAUUUUUGUCUUAUGAAAAAUCCCAAAACAAAGAUUACCCUCAACGUUUGAUCCUAAACUAUUAAUGGAUGCUAUAUUUGAGUUAGGAUUCCGGCUUGGGGCAAAUAUGUUAUGAGGAACUAGUUCAAGAUUGUUUGCGAGAUGAAAAUAGAGUUUAGGAUAAAUAUAUUAUGAAUUAUCAAUUUGAGAUUUUAAUGGUAAUAAACCUAUUUUUGUUGCAUCUUGUAUGGCCAACAAGAUAGAACAUAGAAGUAUUUGAAACAUGUUCUAAGCCUUAUAGAUGAAAUUUAACCAUGUUGAAUUUAAGGCUGAGGAUUACGAAAUCGAGUUUGCUGAGCUUCCUCCUCUACAAUCUUAUGGUGCAGGAGUUGUAAAUCCAUGACAUGGUCUGCGAUUACAUUGUGCAGUGAUUUAUGAUUGUCGUUUGAUCAUGGAGCACCCAAGUUUGUAAAGUCGGUGAUCUAAUGAAAAUUGCAUUUACACAAGAAAAAUGUAUGUAACAUAACGGAUGAAAGAGCAUAUAAUGAUAUGGUGUCGUCAUUGUAGUGUAGUAUUGUCAUACCAUGCUUUUGCGACUUACUCGAUGCUACCAUUUGCAUCCUUUUUAACCUUUGAUCCAUUGGGAAAAAUAAUAUGAAUGAAUCUAACUGAUGCAUUUCCUGCAAACCAAACUUUACAUCGAGGAUAGGAUUAGAUUGAAGAACUUGGGUGAAGCUAGGAAAGUCAAAUUCAUCGUCUCUGUGUUGACACCUCAUUUGAGUCGAUAGUUUAAGUAUUUAUUCUUGUAAAAGUACCCCCAAAGAAAAAAAGCAAGGGAAUAGCAAAAAGAACUAAAACGAUAAAUAGGCAAACAAAUAAUUAUCAAAUCAACAAAUAAGAAAGGGAUCUAAUAUGGUCUUGGUCUAUUUUCUAUAGCCCCGAUCAGCUGGCACGGCCCAUGUCCAAAUUCGUUGAUCACGAGAGAAAAAAGAAUAGGAGAAAAAUUGCCCCUGGAAGAGAAGCUCCGUUGGAGAAGCUUCCGGAUUCUUCCCCCACCACCGUUGGACGUCGCCGACCUCCUCCGGCCAUCGGACGGUGCUCGCCUCCUCCAGCCGUCGUCGAUCCUCAGUCUCAGGAAGACACUGAUCGGAGAGAAAACCAUAUUUGAGGCACGCAUGCACGCCUGAGAGCAAAACACCCGGGCAAGGACGAUCGAGCAAAGGGGGAAAAGCUUGCGCCCCCUCGGCACGGGUCUUUGGAGUUUCUUUUUCUUCGGUCAUCUUCAUCCACCGGUGAUCAUCACGGUUUACCAUCGCCGGCCAUCAACUCACGUACAAACUUCAUUAGAUCGUCCUUUGGUAAGAGAACUAGAACAGAAGGCGAAGGUUGAAAUCACUCUAGAGGUUUUGGAAGCGUCCAGAAGACACUCUCUUCCAGUGAUUUCUUCUGAAUCCUUUCCUGCCUCUUCGUUGUCAACCGUGUUUUUGGCCGUGAAGACUUGAAGCAAUUCGCGUUUUUCUGAAAACUUCAUUACCGUUGCUCAUCUUCAGCAGCGACGUUUUCUGGAUCCUCCUCGACUGAAUAACCCAAAUGACGUUUAAGGCCCAGACCCCUAAAGUAUAAGUUUGACCCACAUGCGAACCGGGCCCAUCCCGUGUCCCCUUCAGCGAGGCCUGGACGAGGCUGCCCCUCGCCAAAUCCGACUAGGGGCCUUGCCAAGGACCAGCGAGGGAAAAGAGACAAAAAAAUAAAACAAAAUUCGAAAAUAAAUUUAAAAAUUUUAGCAAUGUCAAUAUCAGUGCUAGUCGUAUCAUGUAGGACAGUUAAUGUUUACACCGGUAAUUUCCAACUAAAAUUGAUCCGAUUGACUCAAUUGGUAUAAAGUGAAAAUGUUUAAUUUUAAAUUGAUCCAUUCCUAUGUUUAAGACUAAAUUAAUAUCAAUAUUAUGACUUUUUUUGGUACUUUUCUCGUUUACAGUUUGUAUCAAUGAAUGGUUAGGCUGCUCGAGGGCCACUGCUCCUCUCUUUGCAUUAGCAAGUGAUGAAUAUAUUCCACACACAAACACGAAAGACAAAGUGAAAUAAUUGUUUUUAGCAUGAGUGGGUGAUUGAAUUUUUAUAGGUUGAUAUAGGCAUUUUUGGGCUCGUGUGCCUAAUUAUUGGGUGAUGUUAUUCGCUGGAUUGACUUUGAAAGUGUUGACACCUAAAUUUUUGGGGUUAAUUUUUGCUAAAUAAUGUAUAAAAAAAAGAAGAAAAAAAUCAAAUCACAUGGCAUAUAGUUUAGGCAAGUUUUAUAUUCCAUUAAGAUUUAAGGUAAUAUACACUCGGAUGUGUUUUUGCGCAAAAGGGGAAUUUUUUGGAUAGAAUAUGUGAAAAAUACAAAAGAAAAUAUCACAUGUGGUGCAAUGAUAUAUUCAGAGAAUUGUGCACGAGUGAAAUUGGAAAUAAAAUACGCUUCAAAGAUCUAAAAUUUUCCCCUAUAAAAGGCGUUGCGCACGUACGAACAAGGGGAGGUGGAAUUUCGAAAUUUUUGAGAGCAAUUACAUGAGGAGUUCUUGGGGUUUGGUGAGCAGGGAUUCGAAAGAAAAAUCAAUAAAAGAAUUGUUUUCUUCCGUUUGUCUUCGGUUUGUCUUGAAAAGAAAAAAGUCAAAAAAAGAAAAGUCAUGACUGCGGAAGGGAAACAGUAGAGAGAAAGUACAGCAGAAGAGAGAGAGAGCAGAGAAUAGACGUGAGAGAUUGAGAAAAAAGAAAAGAAGUGACGUGAAAAAAAAAAAAAAAAAAAAGCCCCCCCCCCACGCGACUGUUCAUCUUCCUCGCGGGGGGGUGGAUCUUCGCCGGCGCCAUCAUCGUCCGCUCCCUCCGGCGUCCGACCGCGCCAUCCCCGCUCGCCCGUGCCGGCAUCCGCCCCGACGCUCCACCGCCUCCGAGCAGCAACGCCGCCCCGCCUUAGCCGGUGAUCCGCAGCUAGCCCCCGACGCCGGAGCCAUUCGGCGAUCCGUCUCCACCACGGUCGCACACCUCCGCACGCAGUACCGCCGCGCCACGAUCCGAUGUUGCAGCAACUCAGACGCCCGCGACGCUCGCUCCCGGUGCCGUGACACCGCCGCGCCGAUCCCCGAAACGUUGUGCUACCAUCGCGCCGCUCCCGGUGCCCUCGCCGGAACCCUAGUCGGACAUCUCCCCUCGCCAGACCGGCCACCAGCUUUAUUUUCCUUUUUCUUUUCAGAAAAAAAAGAAAAGAAAAAAAGAAAAAAGCAAAAGAAAUUUAGGUAUUUUCUUUAUCUUAUUUUUGUUUUAUUAUUUUUAUUUUAUUUUAUCUUUUUGGUGUAUUAUCCUCUUAUGUGAAAUUGAUAAUUCCAUGAUGUAAGAUUGCCUUGAAAUUAGUGAUUGUCAGUCCGAUUUUCGCGCCCGAAAUCCGACUCGCAAUCACUUAAAAAAUUGCCAAUCCGAUCUCCCGCUCGAGAUCCGAUUCGUGAUUUAUGUGAAAUUGGCCAACCCGAUCUCAUGCUCGAGAUAUGGUUCGUCAAUUUGGGUAUCAAUAUGGCUUGAUUUGUUGUGAUGUUGCUUAAAUUAAUUUUCUUAAAAAAAAUAAAAAAAUGUAGCUUUAGGGUUUGCAUGUUCAUAAUAGGUAUUUUAUUUCGAAUUUUCAAGAAAAAUAAGAAAAUCAAAUCAAUUAAUUUAGGUUGUUAGUUUUCUUUAAAACUUGGAUUGCAUGUUAAUUAUUAAUUUCGAAAUUUUAAAAAAAAAGGAAAAAAGGAAAAACAUAAAAAAUCAUCAUGCAUAAUUCAUGUAGAAUUAGGGUACAUUUUGCACGUCAUUGCAUAUUAGGAUAGAAAUUUCACUUAAGUUAAUUUAGAUAAUUUCUUAAUUUACUAUAGGUUUAGGUAUUUUAUUAAAUGGAUUGCAUUUUAGGAUUAUCUAGGUUAAGAUAAUAUUUUAGUUUAAAUUAGGAUGUGGCUCAACCUAAUUCCUAAUAUAAAUUAAAUAGGAUCUGAAUCUAAUUAGGUAAUUUUCAUAUUUCACCUAAUUUCGAAUUUCAUAAAAAAAUAAAAAAUGCCAUAGGUUGAUUUGUCUUUAUUUUUUAGGAUAAAAAAUGUAUUCUUUUAGGAAAAAGAAAAAUUGUCAUAUGCACGUCAUUAGGGUUAGAAUUCAUUGAGAUGCAUGUCAUUUAGUAUUUUUGCUAGGCCCAUUCAAAUUACAUGUUAUUAGAAUUAGGUCAUUUAGUUAAUAUUGCAUUGCAUAUUGCAUGAUUUUCAUUAAAAAGUGAAAAAAAAAUAAAAAUUGUGUGUUAAUUAGAAACUAUAUCUAGGGUUGUUGAUGUGGAUUUUAAUUUAACAUUGCAGAUGCUUUCGUUGCUUUGAGGUAAGUCCUGCAAUUUAUUCAUUUGCUUUCUUGAGUGUUAAAUUGGUGGUUUGCGCACCUGCAUGGUCACCUCACAUGUUAGAAUUUAAAAUCAAUUCAAGCUGCCUGCAAAAACAUUUUCAAAAUAAAAAGAAAGGUACCGAAAGGGCGUUAGAGAAUUCUAGCGUAACCAAGUCCACGAACUCAUAAAUCUCUGGUUCGUAGGAGUAAAGUAAAUCUCCCGUUACUUUACUAGGGUUGCUAAUCGACCCACCAAAAAUAGAUUAGUGGCGACUCCUAAUUUAAAAUCAUUGCAUGUUAAGAACUUGAACCUAAGUCGUGAAUUGGUAUGGGCUUGAGAGAACCCGAGCUAAGUCUAGGCUUAGUAAUUCAUUAGCCAAACCCUAGGCGGUUCACACCCGAAAAAUUGGUCGCGACAGAAAGUUUUGAGAUUACACAGAAAAAUGAUACUUGCACUUCCAUGAAGGCUUAUCAAGCUUUUGAAAUAAUAGGAUAGGAAGGAUCUUCCACCACCCGUGACUCUUGCUCUUAACAGAUGCUGAAAAUGUUAUGGCACUUUCUGUGGUUUUGCGCUACUAUGCCGAGAAAGAGAGAUGCAUAGAAGUAAGAAGGCAAAGUCCCAAUUCAACGGCAACUUCAACUAUACGCUACCAGACAACUAAAUAUCACAUUCUUUCACAAAACUCCAGGGGCGUACAAACCUUCAUCUUGAGCAUGGCUAUCUAGCAGGCGAUCAAUCCAACGAUUGGCGUUGACAGUUUUUAAAUUGGACAGAUGACAUAAAAGUGCUCGAAAUCGACGGCUAAGAAAGCAAAAAAGAAAAUUUCCUGUGCCCAAGGUACGGGAAUGUAGAACGGGCCCAUAUCUUUAGCUUGCGGAGCGACCAAUGAAUGGUCCUUGUAAUGAACAAAGCAACUUGCAUUGGAAGCCCAACCAUAAGCCUUUGGAUGUAUCUUUUGGGAACCUACGUAGCACCGACGAAUGAGCCCCGUGGUCCGGGUAAUCAUAAGCUAAUAAAAGAAAGAAGAGAAGAUUCCUCGCAAGAGAAAAAACGGACGUUUCGCGGGUACUGCCGGUGGGUCUAUGCAAUACACUAUAUAUCCCGAAAACAUAGGAUAGCAUCAUCCCGAUUGUUGCGACUUGAAUGAAACAUCCCACAGUCUGUAUCAGCUCUUGACGCUGCCUGAACAUAGUUCCUUCACAAUGCAAGAAUAUUGCCAUGAUGGAGAAGAAAAACGCCCAAGUGUUACAAUAUACAAAGGCUUUGAAACUUGCCCUCUCACCGAGAAUCGCCAUUCCUCGAUCUGGUCCAUCAUUGUUAUAACCUCCGGGCACUGUGAAGGCCGCAGUGAAGGUUACUGUUGUCACGCCCCGAACCUCGAGCGCGCGCACAUCCCACUGCGGUCGAUCAAAUAUGCGACAUCCCAGGAUACGUCGCCGACCCAUUCAUUUUGUUACGCAUGCGGAAGCGAAUCAAAUCCCCUGACAACAUUUAACUUGGGAUAGAAAAGCAGGCAAUCAAUUACAAUACCAAACACUCAUUCACAAACACAUGGGUUUAAAUAUAACUCUGGACUGUCUACAAAAUAGACCAGCUCAACGAAUGGGGAACUAUCCUAAAGCCAACUAGCAGGACACGUUCACCGAUACUUCAGUCACCACCUUUCCAGACUUAGGGCUUCGAGUCCACCACGACCGCCAUCUAGGGACCUGAAAUUUUAAUCCCACAACCGGGAUGAGACGAUGUCUCAGCAAGUUCAACCCCCUAAACCCCUAUUAGAAAGAAAAUACACCCCGGGUGGCCUAGCCACAUCACACAGAGGACUUACCUCGCCUCAGUUCCUUCCUGCAGGUUAGCACAAUUUCAAAUCACUCAAUCACAGAUAGUAAUAAGAACUUAAACAACCGGAACGCAUUCUUUUUCAUAUAACCAACAACCCCGGGAGUCCCGAUUAUGAGACUAAAUCGUUAUGACACGUCCCAUUCCAUGCCACACAAUUCCGUCCCAUAAUCCGACACAUCAACAACACUCAACAUGCAUCCCAAUUGUUAAUCACUGCCACACAAGGGCAUAGCCUACUCGCAGUUCGGCUAUCUACUGACACUAAUGCCAGGCAUCGCCUCCCCCCAUGGAGCGCGGCUUCGUCAGUAUGUCGACGGCAUUCCCGAAGGAGCAUCGUCUCCCCCCUUGGAGCACGGCUUCGUCACUACGUCGACGGCAUUCCCGAAGGAGCAUGGGCCCAGAAUCUACUGCGACCCGCAUCCACCGCGUGGGCAUCCCAUAUAGGGGCAAGUCCGGCUCAACAGCCCAGGACGCUUCCUCAUAGUUAUCACACAACCAAAGCAUACUCGGCCCCAGGACACUUUGUAAUUCAAUCAAUGCUUCCACUUAAAAUAGUGAUCCCGGCCAUUUUUCUCCAUAUUAAAAAUAUUCCAGAAAUUACUCACGUGUGUGGGGACACGCUAAUUUCGAAUCAAAAAGCCAAUAUCUCACUUUUUCAAACCCCACUAUUUAAUAUAAUCAUUAAAAUCCAAUUUUUGCAUCAAAACCCGACAUUUGGGUUUUUAUGAACAAAAUCCUUAUUUAUCACAAUCAACAGUCGAUUUGCCACAAUCAAUCAUCAAAUUCAAAUUCUAAAUACACAACAGCGAUCGGCACGAAAUUCUGAGAGUAUAAGGUCCCGACGAAAUUUUCGAAUUUUAAUAAAUAAUUAAAUUAAUUCCGAAAAUUAAUUAAAUAAUAAUAUUCACAUUUUUCGCAAUCCACAUUCAAUUUAUAUUAUCCGACCAAAAUCCGAACACACAGCAGCGAUCGGCACGAAAUUCUGAGAGUAUAAGGUCCCGACGAAAUUUUCGGAAUUUAAUAAAUAAUUAAAUUUAUUCCGAAAAUAAUUAAAUAAUCAUAUUUUAAUAAUUUCGAAUAAUGAUAUAUUAUUAAAUUAUUAAAUAAUUUCGAAAUGUUUAAAUAAAUCAAAAGUAAAUUCCUUUAUGUCACAUCAAUGUUUAUUUUAAAAAUAAACCUACUUAACCCUUAAACUAAACAUGUUUAACUUUAAUUAAACAAAUUAAUCUAAUCCAUAAUUAAAUAAACUAAUCUACCAACCUAAUCUUACUUAACUUAGACUAAGCACACUUAGGGCAUCAUUAACCCUCUAAUCAAGAUUUAGUGAGUUAAACUCACCGGAUUAGCGAGCCGAGCGGAUCAAAACGACGAGGACGCCGAGGAGAACAACUUUCCUCAAGCACGGCUCGGAUUCGGGGCGCGGAAACGGCCCAAAACGGGCCUUGAACAGGGCUGGAAACCCAUUUUUCCAGCCACUGUUCGUGGCCAAACGAAGCUGCUCCGGCGGCUAGGGCGGCGAGGAGAGGCCGCCGGAGGGCGAGGGGGACGUCGGGGGAGGUCCGGCGGUGCUGGGCGGUGGCCGGAGCUGGCUGGACAGGGCGGAACGGGCUGGGUCGCGCGGCUGGGAGAACGCCAGGCGCGAGGGACGACGACUGGCGGAGCUCGCGGCGAGCUGCGGGCGCGCGGGCGGCGCGGGGCGGUGGCGACGAGCGGACGGGCAGGCGGUGAAAGGCUGCUUCGGCUUCUCCUCUGCAAAUUUUUCUGGUCUUCACGCACCAUCCAUGGAGGAGAGAGGCAUCGGGGGAGAGAGGAAGAAGAGAGGGAGGAGAGAGAAGGAGGGGGGCUUUUUCUUUUCUUUUUCUCUUUCUUUUAUCCCUCACACAUGGCCCACCAUGACCUCACAUGAGGUCAUCUUCCACUAUCUCCCACAACCUUUCUCCAAUGGGUUCAUUUUACUUUUCCGCCGGGGCAUGAAACUUUGUACAACAAAUUCUUCAAUUCCACUUGAUUUUCUUCCAAUUGAAUCAAAUUGAAGUCCAUAAAAUUAAUCCAAUGUCACCACACUUCAAUUCACAUCUUCACUUGUCUGUAGAACCAACUUAAGUCCCAAAAGUACGACCGAAAGCGGGCCUACUAAUUUCUCGAGCCAAAUUAGCCAUUUUCUGAUUUAAUUGCUGAAAAACUCUGAUUGCAUGAAAAAUCUUCCGAAGAUGAUUCAAUGAUCCUUAAUGAUUUGUGACACACCCAGACUUCCAAUUUCUGAAUUCGAUCUAAAUUCCACGGUUAAUUUCACUUUGGCACGAUACUAGCGCGGCCCAACCUACCGGGUAGCCUUUAGAAAUUUUCACGCAUUUGACCUGUGGCUGAUCAUCUCAAGCCACAAUGUACAUCUUUGAGACAUUGGCGACUUUCGGUUGUCGGGGAAAUCUCAAGGUUUCAAAUACGAACACAGGGUACCCAAUCGAUAGAAAAGUCGGUCCAGUGUCGAUCGACAAGGAUUAUGUGCUUCGGUGGAAUCACCCACACUCGAUCACAUGCCUCUGUCGAGUCGACCUAUCUCCGGUCUCUAAUCGACUUUUAUUUGUGCCGUAAUGACCAUUGCAGAUUAGCUCGGUCGAAAGGUCGCUUCCUGGCCAAAUUCUCGAGUCUAAUGCAUUAGAAACUCUUAACAGCUUCACCCGAUAGACUGGUUUUCACAUGAGUGGUCGACUCAAGGAAAAGAACUAUAUACGUGCCAACGAAAUGCCCGUCUCAAUUUAUUGAAAAUAGAACCGGAAAAUCGGGAUGUCACAACCCUUCCCCUCUUAUAAAAAUUUCGUCCUCGAAAUUUAAACCUUUACCGAUUCUUAACAAAAAGAUUAUCUCGGUUGGCAAUAUUAUUUCCUGUGUUUAUAGACACAGAUGGUUGACCCUGAACGAAUUGUUUAUCUAACCUCUUCUUACCUUGUUCAGUAAACCAAACUUGAAAACUCGGGAUUCCAUAAGAUCCUUUCAACAUUUGACGAGCCAUUUUAGCAGAAAUGCUCACCUAAAAAUGUACAGAAUGAAUGAAUUAGUGAGUGAAAGUUUCCCGAUGAAAUACUUCCAGACUCUCACUUUACACACUCAAAAUCCAUCUAUAACAAACAGAAUUUCCAACGAGUCCAAAAACGUUAUGAGGAAUUCAUUCAAACCAUCUCUUUUAGAUCAAAUUAAAUGGUAUAUAACACCUGUAAAUAGAGUUUCAUGGAGUAAACAAUUACAGUUUCGAGUAUGCUAUUUCAGUCAUGAUUUAUUCUCCAUUUUUCUUUUCAUUUUCCUUUCCUUUUCUUUCUUUUUCUGCUUUACGUUAUCAUCUAAUUUUAAAGGAUUCCAACCUUGAAUGUUUUGCAUUGUUUUUGACAUAACCAAGACAGACAAUUGCUUGAGAACUAAUUGAUCAAACAUAAUAUUUACAAACGUAUAUGUGCUUAUCAACCAAACAAUCGAAUUAACUAAUAUUGAAAUUACUUUGCAAACUGAUUUGUCUUAAACUAUACAUUGUUAUUUGGAUAUUUUGUCACUGAAUGAUUAUAUUGAAGCAAAAUAUACAAACUUAAAAUUGUUUUUUGUUAUAUGCAUUUAAACGUUGGCCAUUAGUAUGAUAUUUGGUUUUUUCAUGUAAUCGGAUUGGAAAAAGGGCUUUAAUAUGUGGAAAUGAUUUAGAUGGUUUAAAAAUAUAAGCAUUUGUUGGAUAUAUAAAGACUUUAAUUUUUCCUUUAACUAGGCUUCGUAUCUUAUGAUACUUACUGGUCAGUGAGAGAGAAAUUCCGACGUGUAGAGCUGUCAAACCCUUAGGACCCUUAUGAGAGGAUGAUGACAAGAAAGUACUCAAAAUCAACUCAAUGGUAAGAGAAAGUCCUCGAUCUGCCGCAAGAUAAAGCGGAGACUCAUCAGCAGCAUUAGUAAUAUCACAUAGUUGAGGAUCUUCUCCAAUUAGCAACUCCACCGCCAAAUCAUGACCUCCUCUUAUUGCAUAGUGCAGGGCGGUAUCCUUAUGUAAAUUCUGCUUCCGAAGUAGCUCUUUGCAUGCGUCAACUUAUCCGUUCUCAGCGACCCAAUGAAGUGAUUUUGACAAAUCAGUGAACAUUCGAAUCGCUCCAUAGCUUCCCACUUUAGCGGCAACGUGUAAGGGAGUGUCUCCUUUAUAGUUACCCUGCCAAAGAAGCGAUGGUCCCAAUGGACAUUGAAGAAGAUGUUCAAUGAAAUUUACCUGUUUGUAUUGAGCCGCAAGAUGAAGAAUGUUGUUCCCCUUUGGUGUUGUUUGAUGGAAAAGGUCCUCUCCAUUUCCCAAAAUUAUUGUGAUCAAGGAACCAAAGUCUCCUGAUUUUGCAGUCUCAUACACUUUAGGAUGCAUUCUCGCUCUUUGUUUGUUGUUUACAGGACACUAAAAGUAGUUGCACAGGAACUUAUCAAUAUAAGCAAUUAGUUCAAGCGAAAAGAACUUCUUUGAGCUUUACAAGAGGAAUCAAUGGAAGGGAGAAUGUUGGGGAGGAAAUAUUUUCAUGCUUCCCAAGAGUAAUUGAAAGGAGACUUAUAUGUAUAUCUAUGAAAUGUGAAUAUGCCAGGCGUGUUCCUGUGAAGUUUUUAUUCUCUCGAGAGCAACUUUAUAAUAACGAUAUGGGGGGAUCAAGACAAGUACGGGAAAAAAAAAAAAACAUAAUAAUAAUAACCGACGCUAGGUCUCCCCGGCAGCUUCUUUGUCCUUUUUGACUUUGGGACAAUGUGCUCUUCCCUGGAUGGGUGAUAACCUUCUUUGUUAAUAUUCAAAUGAAUCUUCAAGGAUGGUGUCGUCGAAAUAGGAAAAUCCCAAUGAAUCCAUAUUUAAAGGUCGGGAUUAUCCAAUUACUCAACUUGAUCAACUAUUGUCAUCCAAAUAAAAAUAGUUUAUGUACAAUGUCACUCCCUCCACAGUUCCCACGACAAAGAUUGGUCAAAAGUGAACCUAUGAGUUCAAGUGUGAGGAAUAUAUUUAAUCUUAUCAAGAUGACUUGACUAAAGAAGCGACGUUGGAUAGGAAAUAUCCUUCAAUUUUUCAAUAGAACUUUUUUUAGCUUUCAACUAGACUAAAGGAAAGAUAUUGGGAAAGACAUUUCUCAUUACUUUUCUAAGGAGCCAACUAAAGACAGGAUAUGGACAAGAAAUUUCUUUGAACUUUCUAAAAGAAUUGGAUUAAAAAGAAGAUGUUCGGGAGCAAAUUCAUUUGAAUUUUUUAAGGGAAUUGCAAAGGAGAUUGUCAUGUGCAUAUGAAUGAUCUAUCAAUGGUUUAGAUAAAAUAGGAAUUUCUGAGGUGGAAGAAUAGUUUCCGCAAAACCAAGUCGGUCUGUUUCUCUAAAUUUGCCGUUCUGCCUCCCGCUAAUAUAAUAAGAAAGUGGGCAAAUCUUGUUAAACAUAAGAUGGACAAGUAAAAAAAAAAAAACCAAAACAAUCAACAGCCCUCCUGCAGAUUCCUAAUUUAUUUCGACUUUUAUUCGACCUGGUCUUCCACUUAUGAGGGCUUCUUAUUUUAUUUUAACUUUUUGACUUUUGUCCCAUCUGCUCUUCCACUUUUGAGUUGUCUUAACUUUUUCUUUUUGGACUUUUGAGGCACCUGUUCUUCCACUUUUCAUCGAAAGCAAAACCAUUACGCUCCCACGAUACUUCCUAAAGCGGGGUAACUUUAGACUUCUAUGCCUUCCCAGGGAGUACGUAGCAGUGAGAAUAAUCGUCGAAAGUUCUUCAGCCAAGUGAACAUUCUCUAAAACCUAUAGUGAAUAUAAAAAAUUAAACAAAGGUGAGUCACAUCAGGGACGAUAUGAUGAAAACACUAUAAUAAGGAGUAAAAAAUCGCAGCCCAUUAGUGAAUAUAUUUACUAUUAUAUUUACAAAGUACUAGUGUAGAAGGGGGCAUCGCUGCUACCACCAGCAGUCUCGCCCAAGGGAAGUCUCGCGCUAGGGAGAGAACUUCGGUUACUUGGGUUAUCAUUUGUUUAAAGUGGGUUUAGAAUCUUGUGAUACUUACUUGAUAGUGGGAAGAGCCCUGCAGCAUGCAGAGCUAUCAGUCCUUUAGGGCCCUUACGAGAGGAUGGCGACGAGGAAGCACAUAAAAUCGGCUCAAUGAUAUCCUGAAAUCUUCGAUGUAUUGCGAGAUAAAGCGGGGAUUCAUCAGCAGCAUUAAUAAUAUCACAUAGGUGGGGAUCUUCUUCAAUAAGCAACUCCACGACCCCCUUGCAAUGUCCUCUUAUUGCAGAGUGCAACAAGGUAUCCUCAUCUGAAUUUGGUAUCCUAAGUAGCUCUUUGUAUGUGUCAGGUUGAUGUAUUGUUUUCGCCAUAUUGAUGAAAACUCGAACCAUUUCAUGGCUUCCCACUUGAGUAGCAACGUGUAAGGGAGUGUCUCCUUUAUAGUUACCUUGCCAAAGAAGGGAUGAUCUUGAUAGAUCUUGAAGAAAAUCUCGGAUGAAAUUUACCUGCCCAAAUUGAGCUGCAAUGUGAAGAACAUUGUUUCCCUUUGGCAUUGUUUGGUGGAAAAGGUCCUCUCCAUUUUCCAAAUUUAUUGUCAUCAGGGAAUGAAAUUCUCCCGACUUUGCAGCCCCAUACACUUCAGGAUGCAUACCCAGUCUCUCUUUCAUUCUCAAGACACGCGGUAGUUGCAAGUGAACUUAUCAAUAUAAGCAAUGAGUUCAAGUGGGAGGAAUUUCUUUGAGUUUUUCAAGAGGAUUGGUGAAAAGGGAAAAUGCUGGAGAGGAAAUUGAAUUGAGCUUCCUAGGAGUACUAAAAUGGAGACAUUUAUAUGCAUAUGGUGGUUCUUCAAUUGUUUCCAUGAAAUCGAAAUAAAUUUAGUAGGUUUAGAGAAUAGUUUCCAAAAAGUCUGAUUGGUAUGCGUUUUGGACUUCCUGCUUUCCACUUUUUUAUCAAAAUCAGAACAUCCUUCUAGAAGAAGAAUCGGAUAUGAUUUAACUUUUUUAUUAAAGUAAUAAUAUCCGUUCACUUUGAGCUGUAAUUUUUUUUUUUAAUUGAAUCGGAUCUGAUUUAACUUAUUUAUUAAAGAAAUGAUUUUCGUGGGCCCACUUUUAGACGUAGUCUUCUUUUUUUUUUUUUUUUUUGUUCAUCGAAAAGUCCUUUGCUCUUUUUAGUCUUCACGGUCCAAGUUCGUCGUGAGCAUGCAUUCUCAUCAUGGUGCACAUGGUGGACCCUACCCAAGCUUGGUCCCACUCGAAGAUUUACAUAUGUAAUUAUUAUGGAGCACGAACUUAGGUAAAAUUCAACCAAUAAAAACUUAGGUAAAAAUCAGUUGACGACCAAUUUGAGCUCAUCCAAUAAUCACCUCUACUUCUAUAAUCCAUUGACAAAAGUUGGAGCUCAUAAUGAUAUGUUUUCUAUUGUAAUGUUUGCACAAUAUUCUAUAACAAAUAAAAAUAUAUCAAAAAUUUAUGAUCGUUCAAUGACUAUCUAUCAUUUUUAAUAUGUGGAAGAGAGACACGACAAAAGCUUAAAUUUAAAUAAAUAAAAAAGAGAAGGCAAGGCCGAAGUUGUUCUACUUUUUUAGCAAGGGCCAAUGAACUUUGUCGAGAUCUCAGUGAGGGCCAACAACCCUUGCAGGUCUGUCCAUGGGCAAGGGCUCGCAAGCCCUCAUCUGCGUCACACAUAGUGGUCUUCAUUGUGAAAUAAUAUGUAGAACUAAAUUCUUAAGACUAUUUUCUCAUAUUUGACCUUCAUAGAACAUUAGCCUCAAUUAUGUCUGCAAAUUGGCAAUUAGUGUCCUACCAGAAACCCAUCAACAUUAUGUGUAUGUAGAUCUGAAUUCUUUGUUAACAGCAAAACUGCAUUGGCAAUGGGUUAUUUUUUCCUUUUUUAACUCAACCCUUUUUUAUGUAUGUUGGCCUAGGCUCUGCUCCCACAUUGGUGCCAUGAAUAAUUUUUUAUUAGUUCAUUAGAAAGUGGACUUAUUUUUGUUGAUGGACUCUUUACACCGUCUCUGACUUUGAAGAGAAAUAGGAAACGGCUCAUGGGACUCAUGGACCAUGUCACUUCUAGAGCAGGUAAUUUCUCAUACGACUAUUGCUUGUUAUUUUUAAUGAUUUGCAUCUGAUGUCCGUGACAAUCUGUUAUGUUCCUUGCCUUCCAAACUGCCGUUGCUUGUGCGAAGGUGUUGACAGUUGCUGGUGAGAUAUAUAGUCUUGUGGUACCUGAAGUGUAUCUAUAAGUCUACACAAAUGCUUUUGAAAGCUUAAAAAAUGAAAGUUAUAGUAGCCAUUAUUUACCUAAAAACAUGGGGUUUAGAUGCUGCAAUGGUCAGCUCUUUAUGCUGUAAUCCAUGUAUUCUUACCGUUGUCUUUGUCCUAUUGCCAUUUACCUAGUUUCUCAUGUUCAUGGUUAGAGUUAUCUGUCUACCAUUAUUGCAACUUACCUGCCUGUCUCAGCAAGCACCGUGAUUGGUCGAGGUGUUGUUGAAUUUUGUGAUGGAGGACCUCUAGUGAGAAAAAGUGCUGCAAUGAGUGAGUUAAACAUUUCCGUGUCAUGCCUUCUAUCUUUUCAAUAUUGAGGUGAAAACAUGUGACGAAUCACUUUAUACCGUUCCGAGAUUUUGUUCCUCUUUUUCCUUUCACAAGUCUUAUAGUAUUCUUCUUUAUUAUAUUACCGACCAACUUUUGAGACACACAAAUAAAAUUCUCUUUCUUGUCUAUUCUUUCCCUAAACAUGUGGUUGAAGUAUAAUACUUUGAGUCUGCAGAGAAAAUGUGAUUCUGCUUUGCAGCAUGACACUUUGCCAAGCCAUGCUACUAUGAAGUAAAUUUCUGCAACUUCUAGGGGAAAAAAAAAAAGAUAUCAUAAGUGAUAUAACCUUUGUACGGCACUCUUUUUUUUUUUUUUAUCAUUUAAAUGUUAUCACUUAUGUAUGGCACUCUUUUGAGUACUAUAAUUCUUUUCACAAUUACUUUAGUGUUAUAUAACUUUUUAAUCGAUUACUUGAUUGUUAUAAUUUUUUUAAAAACGUUCACUAUAAGCGCUAAACUACAUCAAAUUUCUGGUAUUUGAGUGAACAUUUUUAAAAAAAUUUGACACUUAAGUGAUCAACUAAACAUAAUAUUUUUUAGAAAUAAUGGCAAUUAAGUGAUAAGAAAAAAAGUUAUAGUACUUAAGCAAACAUCCUAUAAAAGUUAUUACUUUAUCCCUAACUUCUAGUAUAAUCCCAGAGCUGACGAUUGCAGUCGUGGUCCUUUUAACAGCAAGUCUCUUCCUAGAACAUUGUGCUUGUGCUAGUACUGCUGUGGGCCUAGACUAUGAACCUUGACUACGUUGGCAUAACCCAUCUGAAGCUUCUUCAAUGUGGCUUCAUUUUUUAAGCAAGAUAUCGAGGAAAGAGUAUCUAGAGAGAAGAGGAACAGUAUCUUGGCGAAUGAUUAAGUAGUAAUUAUUGAUAGGAAUGAUUUCCAUGCUAGAAAAGAUUAAAUUCCUCAUAGAGGAAUGUCGGGUUUUAAGGAUGAUGCAACAAAUCAUCGAUCACAACCCUUUUGAUGUUUGCUUUACAUUUGUGUAAACAAUCUCCAAAGGAUCUGUGGCACCUUAUUGCCCUAAUUUUGCAAUCUCCAACCAAUUUGCGAGAUAUUUUGGAGAGUUUUGGAUGGAACUUAGUAGUUAUGUCAUUUUUCCAUCUUUAAUAGUCAAAAAUCUCAAUGGUUCAUACUAAAUAUUUCUCUACACUGUGAACAUCAAAUAACAUAAUGUCACAAAUUAAAUCAACUGCAAAGCUUGCUAAGUUCUUUCUUGCUACAACAGUAUCUAAAAUAAUUGAUAGAUUUGUUGACCUACCUUCUUGAUGUUUCAGUCCAGCAAACGAAUAAAGUACUCUACUACUUAACCGACAAAGAGAGUUACGUUACUUUAUACUCUUUCACUUGAAUUGAAAUUGACAAUUCGUUUGUGAAAGAAGCACAAAUAAUAAAAGAGAAAGGGGGUUGUGAUAGGACGGUAUCAUAUAAUGUCACAUUUAGAAAUUCUUAUGAAAAGUGAAAAAUUAGUGGGCCCACAGGAAAAAAAAAACCCAGUCUCUUCUGUCUUGAAUAAUGACACUUCAGUUCCAAGUAAAGGCAUAAAGAAGGAGAAGAAAACAAUAAUGAAAGAAAAGAAUAAAGUUAUGUGUGCUUUCCAUUUGUGCAUUUUUUUUUAAUAAAUGGAUAAUAGGGGAGGUUUGUUUCCAUGAUUCUUUUACUUGCCAGAGACACCAACUACAUAUCUGGAAAAUUUCAAACUAUUGUGUCAUUCAAAUACUCAAGCAACACAUCAUUCUCCCAAAUUUUUUUAUUCUUAUCACUCAAUUCAUUAGGAAUCUUAAAUUACUUCUCCAAUGUACUUUAGUUAACUGUUUUAACUGACCGUGCUUGUUUCUUUGUUCAUGGAAUAGGUGAAGAACUUCAAAUCAUUAGCAGAUAUUCAAGCUGAAAACCUUUUAAAUCUUGAUGACAUAUGAGUUUAAAGUUUUAGAGGACCUUAGCAAUAGUACCUUGGAAUACAGUUUUCAGUGUCUUCAGCCAUCAAUGCCUGCAAAUGCAAAGUGACAAUAUUAUAUUAUAUAAACUCCGAUAUGGCUUGCCAAUAAAAUUAAGUUAGCAAUUAAAUAUCUAAAAGACGUUCAUUUAGAGAUUGAUUGCCCCAAAUUAAGGAAUUGGGGCAAAAUUCAAUGUGUUCUUAAAAAACCCUAGCCCUUAUUCGUCGAAUUGGGGCAAAAUCAUCUUAUCAAAUCUCCUUAUCAAAUCUUGCUCUAAGAAGAGCAAAGUUGGCAAACGUUCAAAACUUGUCCAUGAUACGAUUUCACUACAAGGCCUUACUUUCAAUCCUCCACUCAUGGCCUCAUCUUCACUGCAAGUCCUCCUCUUCCUUCUCCAAGCAGAAGAACCGAUCCUUCUUCACCCAUUCUCCAAUUUCGUCGUCCCGAGCUGUAGCGAGGUAGAAUCGAAGCAUCAGACAAACAAGAGGUGAGAAAGAGGGCUCUGUUCUCUAUCGAGAAAACAGAGCUCUAUUUCGUCAUUGCGUUUGCUCUGUUGUCUCCUCACCGUAUGAGUGCACAAACGCAAGAACAUUGAGAUUAUUUCUUAGUAUUUUGCGUUUGCCCUUUUGCUCGUCACUUAUGCAAAUACUAGAAUGAGUUUAUCCAAACCAAAUGUCCAACAGGUAAUUAUUCUUCUCUUUCAAAACAAGACCGAACCAACCUCCCAAUUUCUUUUACUUCUUCAGCUCCACCCCUGUUUUUACGUAAAACCAAACUCUUCUUCCAGUUUUCUGUCCUGAAUUCGUGAUCUUCCGCUUCGUUUAUUUGGUUACUGCAGUAAAAUCAUUUUGAAUCGGUUGUUGGUUAAACGCCACAAAGAUGACAGAGAAUUUUUUUAUUUUUAUUUUUUUGGAGGGGGGGUGGGGUUGGAGAGAGAAGCCCUGUUGUACUGUUCACGUUGCCAUGUUAGACGAAAAAAGUUCUGCAUUGGACUUCUUUUUUAUAAGAAAAGCCACGUAUUAAUAAAAAAUUCAUAUAAAAAACGUAGAAUAUGUUGGAAUUUACAACUAGAAGCACUUGAGUAAUGGUUUUUCUACCGAUAAAACACUUGAGAAAUUACUCGAAAAAUUUCGGCACUAAAAAGAUAUGACAUUUAGUGUUAUUUUCCUACCAAUGCUCUUUGAAAUAGAGAUUGAUAAAGAUUGGUAAAGUAUUUAAGCUAGAUCAUGGUAGAGUGUCCUAAUGGUUUAGAAAGCAUGCAUUUUGGAUGGUUCCAUUCUUUUGAGAAUUAUUUUCUGCACUCAAACCAAUUCCAAAAAUAAGAAUUCGCUUGAGAAGUUGCACGCGCAUAGAUAAAUGAGAAACUAGGGGAUUGGAAUAUUUUUAACAUUGACUUGGACUUAACUGUUCUAUUUUUUAUUUUGGGUCUAUGUCAUUAAAAAUUCGAAACCUGUAUUUAGGGUUCCAGCUUGGGCCAAAUAUGUUACGAGGAACUAGUUUUCGUAUCACAUAAAAACCUUCAACACAUUUUGACCCCAAACUAAUUUUUGUCUUGUGAAAAAUCCCAAAAUUGAUAACCUAACCAAAAGAUUACCCUCAAUGUUUGAUCCUAAACUAUUACUGGAUGAUCUAUUUGAGUUAGGUUUCUGGCUUGGGGCAAAUAUGUUACGAGGAACUAGUUCAAGAUUGUUUGCAAGAUGAAAAUAGAGUUUAGGAUAAAUAUAUUAUGAGGUAUCAAUUUGAGAUUUUGAUGGUAAUAAACCUAUUUCUGUUGCAUCUUGUAUUGCAUAACAAUAUAGAACAUAGAAGUAUUUGAAACAUGUUCUAAGCCUUAUAUAUGAAAUUUAACCAUGUUGAAUUUAAGGCUGAGGAUUAUGAAAUCAAGUUUGCCGAGCUUCCUCCUCAACAAUCUUAUGGUGCAGGAGUUGUAAAUCCAUGACAUGGUCCGCAAUUACAUUGUGUAGUGAUUUAUGAUUGUCAUUUGAUCAUGGAGCACCCAAGUUUGUAAAGUCAGUGAUAUAAUGAAAAUUGCAUUUACACGAGAAAAAUGGAUGUAACAUAACGGAUGAAAGAGCAUAUAAUGAUAUGGUGUCGUCAUUGUGGUGUAAUAUUGUCAUACCAUGCUUUUGCGACUUACUCAAUGCUACCAUUUGCAUCCUUUUUAACCUAUGAUCCAUUGGGAAAAAUAAUAUGAAUGAAUCUAACUGAUGCAUUUCCUACAAUCCAAGCUUUACAUGAAGGAUAGGAUUAGAUUGAAGAACUUGGGUGAAGCUGGGAAAGUCAAAUUCAUCGUCUCUUUGUUGACACCUCAUUUGAGUCGAUAGUUUAAGUAUUUAUUCUUGUAAAAGUACCCAAAAAAAAAAGCAAGGGAAUAGUAAAAAGAACUAAAAUGAUAAAUAGGCAAAUCAACAAAUAAAAAAGGGAUCUAAUAUGGUCUUGGUCUAUUUUCUAUAGCCCCGGUCAGCUGGCACGGCACAUGUCCAAAUUCGUUGAUCACGAGAGAAAAAAGAACAGGAGAAAAAUUGCCCUGGAAGAGAAGCUCCGUUGGAGAAGCUUCCGGAUUCUUCCCCCACCACCGUUGGACGUCGCCUACCUCCUCCGGCCGUCGGACGGUGCUCGCCUCCUCCAGCCGUCGUCGAUCUUCAGUCUCGGGAAGACACUGAUCGGAGAGAAAACCAAUUUUGAGGCACGCACGCUCACCUGAGAGAAAACACACCCGGGGCAAGGACGAUCGAGCAAAGGGGGAAAAGCUUGCACCCCCUCAACACGGGUCCAGAAGACACUCUCUUCCAGUGAUUUCUUCUGAAUCCUUUCCUGCCUCUUCGUUGUCGAUCGUGUUUUUGGCCGUGAAGACUUGAAGCCGUUUUUCUGAAAACUUCAUUACCGUUGCUCAUCCUCACCAACGACGUUUUCCGGAUCCUCCUCGACUAAAAAUCUUAAAUGACUUUUGGGGCCUGGAUCCCUAAAGUACAAGUUUGACCCAUAUGCGAACCGGAUUCAAAGGCCCAGCUCACACCCCUUUGGCGAGGGCUGGAUGAGGCCGCCCCUCAUUAGGGGCCCUUACCAGCGGCUAGCGAAGAAAAGAGAAAAAGGAAAGAAGCAAAAGAGAGGGAAAAGAAAAAGAAAAAAUUCAAAAAAAAUUCAAAAAAAUUAUUUAAAAUUUUGAAAAACAUUCAACUCAACGCUAAUCAUGUCAUAUAAGAUGGUUGACGUUUAUGCCAGCAAAUUUUUUACUAAAAUUGACCGGAUUGACUCAAUGAGUACCAUAGUGAAAAAGUUCAGGAUUAAAUUGGUUAAUCAAUAUGUUUAAGACUCAAUUGGCAUUAAUGCUAUAACCUUUUUUUUUUUAGUACUUUUCCCGUUCACAGUUUGUAUUGAUCAAUGUGAUGGAUUUAUGAGGUGGGCUUAAGGCACAUCCGCUCAAAUUGGGCCCAAAGGGCCCGGCCCACGGGAAUAGGGCCCGUGGAGGGGGAAGGUAUAAAAGGGAGGAGAGAGAGAGAGAAGAAAAAGUUGAGGAACAGAACGUACGUCUUUUCUCUUCUCACGCUCUCUCUCUCCCAAAAAGAAAAGGCAGUAAGCAAACGGCGCGCUUUCCUUCCCUUCAAGUCGUCAUUGGAUCAAACGGGGCCAGAAUUUCUUCCUCUUCUUCAGCAUUAGUGUUUAAUCUGUGGCUAAUGAGGUACGCUCGAAUCCGUGGUGUGCUUUACGAUCGGUGAUGCGUGUUUUUCCCGGGCUUCGUCUUCCGCAUUGAUUUAGGGGUUCGAUUUAGUGUCGAAUCUGGUUUUCGGGGAUCAGUCAUUCCCAACAUUGGUAUCAGAGCCCUGUUUCACAUUUUUCCCGAUCAAUUCUAAUGUUUUUGAUUGAUUUUUCGCGAAANNNNNNNNNNNNNNNNNNNNNNNNNNNNNNNNNNNNNNNNNNNNNNNNNNNNNNNNNNNNNNNNNNNNNNNNNNNNNNNNNNNNNNNNNNNNNNNNNNNNAUGGCCCAUAGCUGCUAUUGAGAUUUACCUUGAUUCGCAUAAUUCUGGCAAUAGUGUUUGGUAUGGAUCUUGAGUUACGUCAAAUGGAUGUAAAGACUGCUUUCCUCAAUGGAGACUUAGAGGAUGAAAUAUAUAUGGAACAACCUGUUGGUUUCAUAGUGAAAGGCCAAGAAGAAAAGGUAUGUCGACUUUGGGGGUCGAUAUAUGGCCUUAAGCAGUCGUCAAGACAAUGAUAUAUACGUUUUCAUAAUGCCAUAAUGGCAUAUGACUUUACAAUGAUAGAUGAGGAUCAUUGUGUAUAUAUCAAAAGAUCCAAGGAUCAAUUUGUGAUCAUAUCAUUAUAUGUUGAUGAUAUACUAAUUGCCGGAAGCAAUAUGGAGCUAGUCAAUACUGUCAAAAGUUGGUUGUCUUCCAAAAUUUUGAAUUGAAUGAUAUGGGAUUGUAAACCCAUUGACGCUCCUAUUGCAAAAGGUGAAUGAUUGAACCAUAGACUGUGUCCAAGGACUCCACAAGAGAAGGAACAAAUGAAACAUGUUCCUUAUGCUAGUGCUGUUAGAAGCUUGUUGUACGCUAUGAUGUGUACAAGACCUGACAUAUGUUUUGCAGUUGGAAUGGUGAGUAGAUACUAAUCCAAUCCAGGUCAAGCACGUUGGAAAGCCGUUAAGUGAAUACUGAGGUAUCUAAAAGGGACUGCUGAUUAUACGUUGAGUUAUUAAGGAAAUGAUCUGCAACUCAAAGGCUAUUCUGAUGCUGAUUGGAGAGGAGAUUUAAAUGAAAGGAAAUCUACCUCUGGUUUUGUUUUCUUACCGAAUGAUGGCACCAUAUGUUGGAGCAGUAAGAAACAAAAGUGUAUAGUCUUGUCAUGAUGGAAUUGAGCUUCGUGGCAUUAUCAGCAGCAGUAUAAGAAGAUGUUUGGCUUAAGAGAUUAUUGGAUCAUUUAGGUGUUAUUGAAAGUGCUGCAGAUUUGUUAUUAGUUAACUAUGAUAAUCAAGCAGCAAAAGUGCACACCAAAGAUCCAAAAUAUCAUGGCAAGACCAAACAUAUAGAUACCAAGUAUAACUUUGUCAAGGAUAUGGUUGCACGAAAGGAUGUGAACUUAGAGUACAUACUACGCAUAGAAUGGUAGCAGAUCCUAUAACAAAGCCAAUACCUAGAGAUGUGUUUUGUGGCCAUGUGAAAUCUCUAGGAUUGCGUAGAGGAUGAUGUACUGAAUAUUAUAAUUUCCCUAAGAGUUCACAUUUGAUGAAUUUGUGUUUUCAUCAUUAAUGCCUAUGAAUCUUUGUUUGAUCUUUAUGCAUCUUAAUGCUCAGUGCAUUACUUUAAGUUAGAAGAAGUAUGUCGGACAGAUGAGAUUAGCCCACUCACACGGGUAAUCGCCUCUAUUUACUGUGUGAUAAAUAGAGAUGAGACUGUUUUUAAGCUUAUUAUCUAGGUGAUAAUCGAGAGCUCAAGCUUAAAAUACGUAUGUUGCCUUAACUAAGUGUUAAGAUGAGGACAUAAUACUUCCUAUGUCCGAGAGUAAAAUACCCCACAUAUUUUACUUUAUCUGUCUAUGAUGCCAGAUGUGAGUUCUGAUGAAUUUAGUGAAUGAGUAGAUACGUGAACUCAAGUUAAACAUUGGGUAUGUCUGAACUAUCAUCUGUACGGUAUUGAAAAGUGUACACAUACGCUCCAUGGGAAAGGACUUAAUACCGUAAUACGUAUUUUAUACUACGUAUGCAUGAGACGACCAAUAAGAGUGGCAAAAGUUUGAUCUCAACUUUUAUGUCGUGUGAGACUCUUGAGGAAAAGAGUUCCUCAAUUUCUUAGUCCCCUCAUGACUCUUACUUAUUCUCAAGAUUUCUAUUUAGUGUUUGCUAUCUUAGGAUGUUGCCAAUGGUCAUGAGUUUGAUUCGAUCUAAUGGGGCAUUUCUAGAAAAGCAAGCUGGACUGAAAUUGAGAGUUUGAAGGAAAGAGGAAGAUCGAUUUUGGAGAAUCACAUUAUAGUUUUGUAUUCACCGGUUAACCAAUUAUGACUGUCUUUGUGAUAAUCAUAAUUGUGAAUAUAAUAUAUAUAUCAUUAUUUAAAAGAGAUCAAGAGAGAUAUAAAUGUGAUCAAUCGAUCUAGGGUACUGCAUACUAAAUCUACUCAGAGUGUGAUGCCCAUUAUGAGCUGCUAUAUAUUCCUAACAGAUGUAUGGCAACGGGCUCUCAAAGUAUGCUAGUCGCACGGAUUAUUCACCGGUAUGAAUGUUGAAGAGAGGAAAAGAGGAUUAUGUUCGGCCCACCAUGUUAAGUAAGAGUCUAUGAUGGAUUUUUCUCUGAUGGGGCUGAGUAGGGCCUGUCCGCCCAUGUUGGUUUUGGACCACCAUGUGCGAGUGGGAGAUGAUGGAUUUAUGAGGUGGGCUUAAGGCCCAUCCGCUCAAAUUGGGCCCAAAGGGCCCAACCCACGGGAAUAGGGCCCGUGGAGGGGGAAGGUAUAAAAGGGAGGAGAGAGAGAGAGAAGAAAAAGUUGAGGAACAGAACGUACGUCUUUUCUCUUCUCACGCUCUCUCUCUCCCAAAAAGAAAAGGCAGUAAGCAAACGGCGCGCUUUCCUUCCCUUCAAGUCGUCAUCGGAUCGAACGGGGCCAGAAUUUCUUCCUCUUCUUCAGCGUUGGUGUUUAAUCUGUGGCUAACAAGGUACGCUCGAAUCCGUGGUGUGCUUUACGAUCGGUGAUGCGUGUUUUUCCCGGGCUUCGUCUUCCGCAUUGAUUUAGGGGUUCGAUUUAGUGUCGAAUCCGGUUUUCGGGGAUCAGUCAUUCCCAACACAAUGGUUAGGCUGUUCAAGGGCCGCUACUCCUCUCAUUGCAUUAUAUUCCACACACAAACAGGAAAGACAAAGUGAAAUAAUUGUUUUCAGCGUGAGUGGAUGACUGAAUUUUUGUAGGUUGAUAUGGUGAUACGCCUUUGGCCUCGUGUGCCUAAUUAUUUGAUGAUGUUGCGUACUCACUGGAUUGGCAUUCAAAGUUCUAAGAUUACCUAGAAAGAUGACAUUCUCAUUUCUAUGAAUGCUUAUGAAGCUUUUCAAAUAAUCCAACAGGAAGGAUCUCACAUCACCUAUGACUCUUGCUCUUAACAGAUGCUGAAAAUGUUACAGCACUUUCUGUGGUUUUGCGGAACUAUGCCAAGAAAGAGAGAUGCAUAGAAGUUAGAAGGCAAAGUUCCAAUUCAGCGGUAACUUCAAGUAAACAACUAAACAUCACAUUCUUUGACAAAACUCCAGGGGUGUGCAAACCUUCAUCCGGAGUGUGGCAAUCGAGCAGGUGAUCAAUCCAACGAUGGACGUUGACAGGUUUUACAUCGGACAGAUGACAUGAAAGUGCUCGAAAUCUAUGGCUGACAAAGCAAAAAAGAAAAUUUCCCUGUGCACAAGGUCACGGGACCGUAAAACCGGCCCAACUCAUUAGCUUGUCUAGCGACCAAUCGAUGAGCCUCCAAAGGAAAUCAGCCCAUUGCAACGCACACUUAACCAAAAGCCUCUGGAAGCACCUCUUGGGAGAGCUACGUAGCGCCCACGAAUGAGCCUCGUGGUCGGGGAGUUCAUAGGCGAAGAAAAAAAGCCAAGAACCAUCCACACAACAUAUGAAAAAUCAUUCCUUCCCCGAUAGUCUCGGUGGGUUUGACCGAUAUAGUAGCCGCCCCGAGAGGAUAGGCUAGCGUGAUCCCGCAUGACGCAACAUAAAUUAAACAUCCCACGGACGGGAUGCGUCUCAGCUCUUGACGAUGGCUGUGCGUAGAACCUAAGACAAAUAAAGAGUAUUGCCAUCAUGGAUAAAGUGAACGCCACACCGUUACAUAGCAUAAAGCCUUUGAAAGAUCCCCUGCCAGCAUGAAUCGCAACUCCAUCAUUGUUAUAACCUCCGGGCACUGUGAGAAGGCCGGUGAAGCUUAAUAUAGUUAUAAGUCCUCCCACCAGUAGUUGAACAUCCAUAAUUCUUUUUUUUUUUCGACAAAUUAAAGUUAUCUCGGUUGGCAAUAUUACUUCCUGUGGUUAUAGAGACAGAUGGUUGUCCCUCAACAAAUUGCUUGUCUAACCUCUUGUUACCAUAUUCAAUAAACCAGCCUUGAAAGCCCGGGAUUCCAUGAGAUCCUUCCAACGGGGACCAAGCAUUCCAACAGUUGUCCCUCUAAUAAAGCACAUAAUAGAAUGUAUCAAUUAACGAGUGAAAGUUUUCCGAUAAAAUACUUCCAGACCCUCACACCCUCAAAAUCCAUUUAUAACACAGAACUUCUGGCAAGUGCUAAGAGGUCAUGGAGAAUUCAUUCAAGUAACAUAUUUUAGAUAAAGGUAAAUGGUAAAUAACACCCGUAAAUAGAGUUUCCUAAGUAAACAAUUACAGUUACGGGCAUGCUAUCCCAAUCCUAAUGUAUUCUCCAUUUCCUUCCUUUUAUUUUCUUUCUUUUUUCCCCAUUUUGGCAUUGCCUAAUUUUAGAGAAUCCCAACAAAAACUGUUUUGCAAUGUUUUCAAAUUAACUAAGAUUUAGACAAUUACUUUUGAACUAGUUGAAGACCCGCGCGUUGCCCAGAUUUGAACCUUAUACUUACUGAAAAAUUUUGUUUUGAUAUGAUGAUAUGAUGAUAAAACAUAAUAUUUACAAAGUACUUAUUUAUCGACCAGAUAACAAAAUUAACUAAUUUGAAACAUCGUAAAGUAAUAAACAGGAGCAUUGUAUAUUGACGCACAUAUUGGAACAACCAUAAUGACUCCUAUAAUGAGUUUAGAUUUAUUGACUAUUAUAUCCAAUAACAUCCAAGAGAUGUUGAUCGACCAAAAAAAAAGAUUUGAUAUUUUGUUGUAGGAAAGAUUAAUGAUAAAGACAGCCCUCUUGUUUUUGUCCAAUUAGUAAUGGUUAGUUUGAAGUAGCUACAAAAAGAAGUCAAUAAAAUAAAAUAUUCUCAUAAUGGAUAAUGCUUUCAAUUUUUUUUUUUUGUGAGUAGAUAUAUUAUUUGAUGAAAAUUGGGAAGUCAAUAGAAUUAUGAUGAAUUGAAUAUAUUCAUUGGAUAAUUUCAUCUCUCCCAAUACCACAUCAGAAUGCUUCCUUCUUUCACUAAAUCUAGAUCGGUAUCCUCCAUUUGAAAUAGUUAUAAUGCAAUCAAUGGAAAGAAUUCUUCUUAGGGACUAGAUUGAAAAAAAAAAUUAAGAAAGUCGAGACAAUUUUAGGAUUUCUUAUUCUCCGAAGGACCAAUUCAGAAAAGACAAUUUGAAGGACAAAACAAAAUUUUGAUGGAAUAAUCUUGACUUUAACUCCGUUAAUGGAUUGAUUUUUCGAUCAAAAGUAAUAUGUGAGUGAAAUCUUCCAUUUUUUCUUCUUUCUCUAUCCUUAUCCCUAUCCCUACCUCGUAGGUACAACCAUUGAAUCAAGAGGGAACCUUUUCUUAAUAGUCUAAUGGCCCUGGCUUAUGUGGGUCGAAUUGAGCUCAGCCAGUGAUGAGAGGGUCCACCAAAACUCUAUAAAUAACCUAAGGUCCCUCCUCUAAACCUCACUUUUGCCAUUCUAAAAUGUAUACAUCCGCUACCUCACAUAAGGAACGUUUGUGAGGGAUAGUCUCAUUGAGGGACAGCCUCAUUAAGUCAUCGAGAGUGAUAGAGGAGAAGAUCUUCAGCGUCGAAGCUUUGGAUUGCUGCCAUUCCGCUCCAAGAAUCGUGAAUUCCAAAUCAGGUAUGCAAACCUUCAUCUUCUCCUCCAAUACGUUCGAGUUUCUAACAAUGUCGAUCUUGGAAACUGUAUCAACGGCCAACACAUCAGUCUCAAGAAGACACUGAUCGGAGAGAAUACCAUUUUUGAGGCACGCAUGCGCACCUGAUAGAAAACAGACGGGCAAGGACAAUCGAAAAGAGGGAAAACUUGCACUCCCUUAGCGUGCUUCUUUUGAAUUUCUUUUUCUUUGUCAUCCUCAUCUGCCGGUAAUUGCCAUCGGUUUACCAUCACUGGGCACCGACUAAUGUACGUACUGGAAAGAGAACUAGAACAGAAGGCACCGGAUGAAAUCAUUCGUCUUUUGAGAUAUCAGAAGUUACUCUAUCAGAGAUUUCUUUUGAAUCCUUUCAUGCCUCUUCGUCUUCAAUAGUGUUUGAAGCCAUUCGCAUUUGUCUGAAACUUCACUAUCGGUGCUCAUUCACCCAAGCACGUUUUCCAGAUCUUCCUCGUGCAAAAUCGACCAGUAAUUGUGACCAAGAAUUCCUCGUCAACAAGGCUAUAUCUCUUCCCUACUAUACUCUGCUUUCGAUGAAUAAAAGUAACUGAAAUGGCACGUUCUAGAUUAGGAUAGAAUCGGCUUAACUGCAUAUUCAUACUGAUGAUUGCAUCCUUGGACUAAUUUUGUUUGAACCUGAUCUCUAAUCCGAAGUUAUUGCGCUUUGUUUUGCUUCUCUGCCGAAUACGCAUAACGUGUGCAUCAGUGAGUUUCUGCUAAAUCCGAAGACAAACCAGUUUAGUGUGCAUAUUAUUGAUUGAUUGGUUGGUCGGUAAGCAUGAUUUAGUAGAAUUUUACACAUUGACCCAGACUGACACACCUAUUCUUGUUCUAUUCCCGUGUAUGUUUGUCUCCGAGGUGAUGGAUGGGGGUCAAUGGUGAGUAAAUGGAUUCGAGUUAAGGACUGGAGUGUCGAUCCAUUGAAGCAUUCGUUUCGGUUUGUUUCUCCAUUCUUAUGUUCUGUCCAUUUCCUUUACUGUUGCGAUUGCGGAUAAUCGAGUUGAUGGUGACAGAGGACGGCCGUAGGCAGGGAGUCUCUGAAUGGUACUGUUUCACAGAUGUUCUUGAUUUUAGUGUUUCAGGUCUUGAACUUGACAAGAAACGAUUGGGCUGAAUCUGGUUCAAGUGAAUUCGGAUUAUUUGAUGAGUUCUUUUAGGGAAUUUGGGCUUAAUUCGACUAGUUAAGCCCAAUUCGAUUUUUUAGGGGAAGAAUCUAGAUAGAUAUAUAGCCCAAAGGACUUUUACGGCCUGAACCGGGAACCGACCGGACCGGACCGAACUGGUCGGUUUUGGGUGGUUCCCAUGGUCGGCGGUCCGGUCCCCGAUUCCUAAUCUUGGAACCGAUGGCCGGUUGGUCCGGUUCCCGGUUUCAAGGUGGGAACUGGACCGAAUUGGACCGACCGGACCGAACCAAAUCUUUUUAUAUAUAAUUUAUAUACAUAUAAUUAAUAAAACAUAUAAACAUGAUAACUUAUUGCAACCAAAGUUGCAAUUUGAGGUAGCAACCUCUUAUGUGGUCAAGAGACCAUUAAAACCCUUUUUGUUACUCUUUUAUUUAUAGAAAAAAUCUCCUUGUUAGUUUCGAUGUGAGAUUAAGACUUCAAGAGAUCCCGUGAAUCACACGAGUGAAGUUUGAAUAUUUUGCACGUAAAACACGUGUGAUUAGCUUUGUUGAAUUGCCCAAGAAUCGAAUUGGAUUGAUCGGUCAAGAGCGCGGUCACUCUUUAGUUCUUUAGUGCAAAAAAGUAGAGUUGAUUUUUUUGGACCGGACCGGACCGGACCGGAGCCGAUGGUCCGGUCCGGUUCCCGGUCCUAGGACCAAACGGUCCGGUCCACGGUUCGCAAUUUUGGGAACCGGUGCUCCCGGUCCGGUUCUUGGUUCCAAGGUGGAACCGGACCGAACUGGGAACCAAUCACCCUUAAGGAUUAGCCGCUACUCCUCUUUGUGCAUUGGCGAGCGAUGCAUGUGUUCUAUGUACGAACACGAAAGACAAAGCGAGAUGAUUGUUUUUGGCAUCACUGUGUGAUUGGAUUUUCAUAGGUUGAUAUGGUGGUACAUUCUUAACCUUGUAUACCUAAUUAUUUGAUGUUGUUACUUACUGGAUUGACUUGUAAGUUCUAAGGUUACACUAAAAGAUGACAUUCCCAUUUCUCUGAAAACUUAUGAAACUUUUGAAAUAAUUGGAAGGGAAGGAUCUUGCUUCAGCCAUGACUUUUGCUCUCGACAGAUGCUGAGAAUAUUAUGAUAUUUCCUGCAGUUUUGCACAACCAUGCCAUUAAAAAGCAGUGCAUAGAAGUCAAAGCCAAGUCCCAAUUUAACGGCAACUUAAAAAUAUAUGGUAGUAAAUAUCACAUUUUUCGGCAAGCCUUCAGCUGUAUACUAACUUUUAUCCGAGCCGACUUGUAGAACUUAAGAAGAAAUUUGGCGUUGGUAAAUGCAUUACAAUAGUGCUAUCUUACUAACUUUUAAUUGCGCCCACUUCUAAAAAUUAAAUGGGUUUGGUAACUUUAAUUCAUUUGACAUUGAUGUCUUCAUUACCAUGUCAGGAACUUAUUAACCUAUUACUCAAUCUGCUAAAAAAUUUAAAAGUUGUUAACUGCCUUACGAUGUUGAUAAUUUAUUAAUCUCUACCUUGUCCACCUGUAGAAUUUAGAAAGAAGUUUGUAACUUACAUAUCAACUUGGUGUUAGUAAAUUCAUUACACUAUACUGGUAAUUUGCUAACUAGUAACUUGAUUUGGCGGAUCUACCACCGUUGAAAAAUGUUCAAGGAAUUCCUAGAAAUUAUAGUAAUUGUAAUCGACGGUGAAGACAAAUAAAACUCAAUAUAUGACAUGAAAAUCAAUUUUUUUAAUUGAAAUUCUAUAAAACCCGAUACCCUCGCAACCAAACAUCUAUCGACAAACAUUAGUCAAUACCAAUAUGGCAGUUCAACCGCAAUCCCUCAGCAGCUGCUAACCCUCUUGGCUCUCAUUUGGUCAACUGAGAAGCCGUCGAGUUGUAUAUCCUUCACGUACACGGAAAGCCUCAACUUGUUGGCCUUUGCUGCUCUCCAGGCAUCUUUGAUAGGGUUUAAAUCAGACGGCUGACAUAAAAGUGCUCGAACUGACAUGGCAAGAAGAAAAUCUCCUGGGCACAAAGACAUGGGACUGUAGAGCCGGUUCAAUUUAUUAGCAGCUUCCCUAGAGUAUAUUAUAUUUAAACAUUAAGUUUCGGACAUAUCUUCCCCGAUACUGAGGUGGGCGAUUUAGUAUAGGGUCAAGUGAAAUACCGAUAAUGUACAUAAUCACGAUACAUCCGCCAAUGAUAAAAGGAGAGAUUCCAAGCCCGAUGGUUCCGGUCAAUACCGCAAACGUACCACAAGCAAAGGCUAGCACCAUUGCCCAUAUCGCAAUGAAAAUGCAAAGUCCCACGGGGUAGGUGUAUCUCACCUCGUAGCGAGGGCCCGGGACCCAAGGAUCAAAUUGUAUGAAUAAUGCCACGACUGAGAAACUGAACGCUGUAACGUUUAAUAGCACAAAGGCUUGGAAAGCUGCCCUGUCAGCAAGAAUCGCCAUCCCUCGGUUGGGUCCAUCGUUGUUAUAUCCUCCGGGCAUGGUGAAGGUUGCAGCAAAGGUCACCGUGGCUAUGAGCGUUGCCAUUAAUUGUUGAAGGUUGAUCAAGUUUCUUGUUGAUGAAUCGGAAUUUUCUCGGUUGGCGAUAUUACUUCCGGUGAUUAUAGAUGCACCUGGUUGACCCUCAACAAAUUGCUUGUCCAACAUCUUCUUUAUUUUUUCAAUAAUCCCACCUUGGAAAUCCGACAUUCCGCAAGAUUCUUUUAAUAGAUAAUUAACUUUGGCAGCACUGUAGCCGACCUAAAAAAUUUACAAUAUGUAUUAAUUAAAGGGUGAACUCUUCCGGCGAAAUACCUUUACGCACUCAAAUUUCAUUUAUAAACAACAGAACUCCCGGCGAGUCAUAAAAUAUUAUGAGGCAGAGUGUAGGUUAUCUCUUUUAUCUCAAGAAUUGUUUGAAUGGGGGCAGGGAAAAAAAAAAACAGAAGGAUUAUAGCUUGUAGCUAAUUAUUGUUAAAAUAUUCCGAUAUUUUCAUGUGAAUGUAACAGAAUAGUUGUUUCAAAGUCAGAAGUGCAAAUAAACUUUUUAAAUUGAGAUCCUCUAAAGCUACAUCUAAUCUAACAUUUAAAGUCACCGAUGUAUGGUUGACACCUAGCACAUAGGGGUCAUUAGACGGCACAUAUUUAUUCUCCAUUUUUCUUUGUUCUUUUUUUCCUCCCUCUAGCUUAUCCCUUAACUCUGGAGGGUCCCAACCCUAAUGUUUUGCAUUGUUUUCAAGAUAAAUAAGAUGACAACUAUUUGUGAACUCUUUGGUGACCCGAUUGUCGCACCCAUUUGAAAUUUAUGCUCAAUGAAAGUUUUUUAUUUGAUGAGAUAAUAUGAUUAUAAAAUCCAUAUUUACCAACUUCAUACAUUAUAUUGUACACAAAUAAUAUACAUUUAUCAACCAAACAACAUAAUUAAUUAAUAUUGAAUAUUACUUUAUUGAAUUCUUUGUUACUGAGGUCCACUCUUCCCACAUGGAAAGAGAGAGGUGAGGAGUUUGAUUCCCUACCUUCUCAUAUGGAUAAGAGGUAAGAACAUUUAGUUUUAAGUGUGGGGUUUGACUCUGACACUUUACAAAGAAAUAGGACAAAAGUCUGAAAAUGAUUCAAGAGUUAAACUAAGUCUGAAAAGGAGUAAAGAGUUAAACUAAGAUAGGCAAAUAUAUAUAUAUAUAUAUAUAUAUAUAUAAAAUAAAAAAAAUCAGACAUAUAUUUAUUUUAAACUAUUUAUUUUUAUAGUGUGCAGUUCAUUGUUGGCUAUUAAUUCAAUAUUUAGCUUUUUUUUAUGCAAUUAGAUAUUAAAUAGGGCUUUUACAUGUGCGAAUGAGUUAGAUGAUUUCCAGACUAUAAGUAUAAAUUAAAUUAUGAGGACUUCAAUUUUAAAUUUUACAGUAAUAACUACUGGCAAGAUAAUUAUCUUGUAAGACAUAAUUUCUAUAUGAUGAUGCAAAUUCAUCACCAUGUUAUAGAUCAAAACUAAAAAAAUGAAGACAACUUCUUUAGCUACUGCUUUUUGUUAAUUUUGCAAUACUCAUUAAUACAGUUUAACCAAUUUUUUUCAAUAGUCUAAAAUAUUUAUGCUUUACUUUGUCACUAAAUCGUUUGUAUGCUCAUAUCCAAUUUAUAGAUUAAAUGGUUGUUUGAAAGAAAGAAAUUAUAUCCCUCCACAUUUAGUUUAUAAUAAGUGGAUAUAUGAAAGAACCAUAAAUACUUUAAAUCACAAAUAUAGAUUUAUUGGCUAUUGGACCAAAUUACAUUCAAGUUGUAAGCUAUGGGAAUUGAUGUCGAUAUUUUGUUGUAUGAAUAUUAAUGAUAGAUUAGGUGGACAAAAAAGCCUUUUAAUUUUUGCCUAAUUGAUGUAAUAAUUAGUGUAUCGAUUAAUGUCAAGUGAAGUGGGAGGGAAUGAUUGUAAGUAGCUUAACCACAAAAUUCAAUGCUGCCCAAAUUUCUUAUUUAUGGUUCGAUAUGACAUCACUUCACUCCAAGUCCCUUUUCAAAUGCGUCACGCUUACUAGAGCUAUCUAUGCUACUAUCUGCUCAAACAAUCGACUAAGCAAAACAAAGUUGACACACUAAAACUCCAAUUGGGCUGUUUGUUUGCACCGACUAUCACCUGAGCCACCGUUUCUAAACAAUACUGAAGAAAUUACUCUACAAGUGAACAAAUCGAGCUCUAUAGGGUUCAAGCAAGAAAGCAUACCUCGUUAUGAGCCAAAAAAAUGUCAAGGCGGNNNNNNNNNNNNNNNNNNNNNNNNNNNNNNNNNNNNNNNNNNNNNNNNNNNNNNNNNNNNNNNNNNNNNNNNNNNNNNNNNNNNNNNNNNNNNNNNNNNNNNNNNNNNNNNNNNNNNNNNNNNNNNNNNNNNNNNNNNNNNNNNNNNNNNNNNNNNNNNNNNNNNNNNNNNNNNNNNNNNNNNNNNNNNNNNNNNNNNNNNNNNNNNNNNNNNNNNNNNNNNNNNNNNNNNNNNNNNNNNNNNNNNNNNNNNNNNNNNNNNNNNNNNNNNNNNNNNNNNNNNNNNNNNNNNNNNNNNNNNNNNNNNNNNNNNNNNNNNNNNNNNNNNNNNNNNNNNNNNNNNNNNNNNNNNNNNNNNNNNNNNNNNNNNNNNNNNNNNNNNNNNNNNNNNNNNNNNNNNNNNNNNNNNNNNNNNNNNNNNNNNNNNNNNNNNNNNNNNNNNNNNNNNNNNNNNNNNNNNNNNNNNNNNNNNNNNNNNNNNNNNNNNNNNNNNNNNNNNNNNNNNNNNNNNNNNNNNNNNNNNNNNNNNNNNNNNNNNNNNNNNNNNNNNNNNNNNNNNNNNNNNNNNNNNNNNNNNNNNNNNNNNNNNNNNNNNNNNNNNNNNNNNNNNNNNNNNNNNNNNNNNNNNNNNNNNNNNNNNNNNNNNNNNNNNNNNNNNNNNNNNNNNNNNNNNNNNNNNNNNNNNNNNNNNNNNNNNNNNNNNNNNNNNNNNNNNNNNNNNNNNNNNNNNNNNNNNNNNNNNNNNNNNNNNNNNNNNNNNNNNNNNNNNNNNNNNNNNNNNNNNNNNNNNNNNNNNNNNNNNNNNNNNNNNNNNNNNNNNNNNNNNNNNNNNNNNNNNNNNNNNNNNNNNNNNNNNNNNNNNNNNNNNNNNNNNNNNNNNNNNNNNNNNNNNNNNNNNNNNNNNNNNNNNNNNNNNNNNNNNNNNNNNNNNNNNNNNNNNNNNNNNNNNNNNNNNNNNNNNNNNNNNNNNNNNNNNNNNNNNNNNNNNNNNNNNNNNNNNNNNNNNNNNNNNNNNNNNNNNNNNNNNNNNNNNNNNNNNNNNNNNNNNNNNNNNNNNNNNNNNNNNNNNNNNNNNNNNNNNNNNNNNNNNNNNNNNNNNNNNNNNNNNNNNNNNNNNNNNNNNNNNNNNNNNNNNNNNNNNNNNNNNNNNNNNNNNNNNNNNNNNNNNNNNNNNNNNNNNNNNNNNNNNNNNNNNNNNNNNNNNNNNNNNNNNNNNNNNNNNNNNNNNNNNNNNNNNNNNNNNNNNNNNNNNNNNNNNNNNNNNNNNNNNNNNNNNNNNNNNNNNNNNNNNNNNNNNNNNNNNNNNNNNNNNNNNNNNNNNNNNNNNNNNNNNNNNNNNNNNNNNNNNNNNNNNNNNNNNNNNNNNNNNNNNNNNNNNNNNNNNNNNNNNNNNNNNNNNNNNNNNNNNNNNNNNNNNNNNNNNNNNNNNNNNNNNNNNNNNNNNNNNNNNNNNNNNNNNNNNNNNNNNNNNNNNNNNNNNNNNNNNNNNNNNNNNNNNNNNNNNNNNNNNNNNNNNNNNNNNNNNNNNNNNNNNNNNNNNNNNNNNNNNNNNNNNNNNNNNNNNNNNNNNNNNNNNNNNNNNNNNNNNNNNNNNNNNNNNNNNNNNNNNNNNNNNNNNNNNNNNNNNNNNNNNNNNNNNNNNNNNNNNNNNNNNNNNNNNNNNNNNNNNNNNNNNNNNNNNNNNNNNNNNNNNNNNNNNNNNNNNNNNNNNNNNNNNNNNNNNNNNNNNNNNNNNNNNNNNNNNNNNNNNNNNNNNNNNNNNNNNNNNNNNNNNNNNNNNNNNNNNNNNNNNNNNNNNNNNNNNNNNNNNNNNNNNNNNNNNNNNNNNNNNNNNNNNNNNNNNNNNNNNNNNNNNNNNNNNNNNNNNNNNNNNNNNNNNNNNNNNNNNNNNNNNNNNNNNNNNNNNNNNNNNNNNNNNNNNNNNNNNNNNNNNNNNNNNNNNNNNNNNNNNNNNNNNNNNNNNNNNNNNNNNNNNNNNNNNNNNNNNNNNNNNNNNNNNNNNNNNNNNNNNNNNNNNNNNNNNNNNNNNNNNNNNNNNNNNNNNNNNNNNNNNNNNNNNNNNNNNNNNNNNNNNNNNNNNNNNNNNNNNNNNNNNNNNNNNNNNNNNNNNNNNNNNNNNNNNNNNNNNNNNNNNNNNNNNNNNNNNNNNNNNNNNNNNNNNNNNNNNNNNNNNNNNNNNNNNNNNNNNNNNNNNNNNNNNNNNNNNNNNNNNNNNNNNNNNNNNNNNNNNNNNNNNNNNNNNNNNNNNNNNNNNNNNNNNNNNNNNNNNNNNNNNNNNNNNNNNNNNNNNNNNNNNNNNNNNNNNNNNNNNNNNNNNNNNNNNNNNNNNNNNNNNNNNNNNNNNNNNNNNNNNNNNNNNNNNNNNNNNNNNNNNNNNNNNNNNNNNNNNNNNNNNNNNNNNNNNNNNNNNNNNNNNNNNNNNNNNNNNNNNNNNNNNNNNNNNNNNNNNNNNNNNNNNNNNNNNNNNNNNNNNNNNNNNNNNNNNNNNNNNNNNNNNNNNNNNNNNNNNNNNNNNNNNNNNNNNNNNNNNNNNNNNNNNNNNNNNNNNNNNNNNNNNNNNNNNNNNNNNNNNNNNNNNNNNNNNNNNNNNNNNNNNNNNNNNNNNNNNNNNNNNNNNNNNNNNNNNNNNNNNNNNNNNNNNNNNNNNNNNNNNNNNNNNNNNNNNNNNNNNNNNNNNNNNNNNNNNNNNNNNNNNNNNNNNNNNNNNNNNNNNNNNNNNNNNNNNNNNNNNNNNNNNNNNNNNNNNNNNNNNNNNNNNNNNNNNNNNNNNNNNNNNNNNNNNNNNNNNNNNNNNNNNNNNNNNNNNNNNNNNNNNNNNNNNNNNNNNNNNNNNNNNNNNNNNNNNNNNNNNNNNNNNNNNNNNNNNNNNNNNNNNNNNNNNCUUUCUUUGAUCAAUUCCAGUAUGCUAUUCAGGAUUUUCUGCCAGCCUUUGCAAAUACAAUAUGAAUAUGUCAUGAUUCAGACUGUUUUUAGUAUCUUGACAUAGAUAUUAGAAUUGCAUUGUCUCCCAUGAAGUUUUCCCCUUUUUCUCCUUACUAGGAACGAAUAUGUCAUGGUUAUUACGAAGUUUCUCUAGUUAUCUCGUGUUAACGCGCGUAGAAUCUAACCACCUUCAAUUCAGUAUAAUACAGAAAUCUGUAAAGGUUUUCUUUUUGAUAAGUGAAAUUGUUAAUAGUUGGUCAAGUUGAUCGACAAGAAGCUUUUCCUGUUUUCAGGAGGGAAUCUGCUCCGUCAGGGCUAGGAUAAAAGACCAAUGUUUUUUUCUCUGAUGCCAAUCAUAUUGCAGACCAAUCGUGCCCAACUCAAUUUCAUAGAAAUUUCAAUAUCGAAUUAGGACUUAGCGCCUUGUGCAUUUUCAAUGAUCGUUGCACUCCCAUUUUUUCAAGUCAUCAUGAUUUGCCUUCAAGAAUUAAAAAAAUUUGCAUGCAUACCUUGAUCUUUCGGAAAUAUAAAGGGUUAACAUCACAAAAAAUCCAAACUGAUUCACAUAUAACAAAUUCACCAUAAAUUAAUUUUUUGACUUUAAAAAAUUCCAAAUUGAUAUACUUGUGACAAAUUUAUUUUAAAUUAAAUUUUUUACUACAAAAACCCCACAUUUUGAUAUAUCCGUAACCAUUUUAUCCCCCAUUAGUUUCUACUAAAUUGAUUUGAUAUCACAAAAGAAUAUCCAAAGUGGUACACCUAUCCACUAUCACAUGUCAUACAACUAAUUAAUUUGCAAUAAAUGUACUAGUUUGGAGUCAAAAAAUUAGUUUUGGAUAGAUUUUUCACAAAUGUAUCAAUUUCGAGUUUUUUGUAGUAUUAACCUAUAUUAUAUUUAUUGCAUGCCAUGCCAUUUAUUGUAAACUGAAAGACAAUUAAUCAUAAGCACAAAAUGUCGAAACAAAGAAGGACACAAGAAAAAAUAAUUUAAAAAAAGAAGAAGGUAAAACAACCGAACUGGAGAAGAGAGGAGAGGGAAGAGGCAGUGGUGCUAUGGUAGUGAUGGUGGCUGCUGCCGCUGCCACCGAAGGAGUCAAGCAAGAGUACAAGAUCCAGAAAAACACUUAGAAAGAAAUUAAGUGCGUGUACAAAGUACUUUCUUAAAAUACAAUGAUUUUCCUGAAUGGAUACGUAAUCCAGAAUGUAGUUGAAUCCUUUGAAAAACUCUACUCUUUUUUCCUUAGUCCGUAUGCUAAGAGAAGACAAACCAGUUUGAACUUAAUUAAUGGUCAAUGAAUAUCCGGCCACAAAAAACAAUUAAUGAAUAAAACAAUAAAGUCAAAUGCAACGAGAAUAACAAGUUAAAAUUUUAUUCAAAUUAUAACCCCCAUAUAUAAUUGCUCAAGAGCCAUGUCCUUGGGAAAAUGUAUGGCCUUUCACCACAAUAAAAGUAGCAAUCAAGAAAUAAAUAAAUAGCGUUGGCGGCCAUCACUGCUAACAUCAUCACGUCUCACCUAAAUGAAGCCUUGCACGAGAGAGAGAACUUUAGUUAAAAUUUGUUUCGGUGGAAAAAACCUGUGAUACUUACCAGCCAGUGGGCGAUGGAUGGCAACAUGCAAAGCUGUCAAUCCCUUAGGGCCCUUAUGAGAGGAUGGCAACACGGAAGCAUGUAAAAUCAGCUCCAUGAUAUACAAAUGCCCUCUAUCUGUUGCAAGAUAAAGCGGGGACUCAUCAGCAGCAUUAGUAACACCACCCAAUUGAGGAUCUUCUUCAAUCAGCAACUUCACCACUGAUUCAUGGCCUCCUCUUACUGCAUAGUGCAGUGCAGUAUCCUUAUGCAAAUUUGGCUUUCUAAGUAGUUCUCUACAUGCAUCAACUUGUCCGUUUUCAACAAUGCUAUGCAGUUUCACCAUUUUAAUAAGGACUCGAACAGAUUUCAAGCUUCCCAUGGUGGCAGCAAUAUGUAGUGGAGUAUCUUCUUUGAAGUUACCCUGCCAAAGAAGAGGCGUUUAGAGAUGAUGUCUCCCGCCCGCAGCGAAUAUAAAAUUGAAAUUUUCCCCCUGCCGUCUUGAGCUGCAACGUGAAGAAUGUUGUUCCCAUCUCUUCUUCGUUUGGUGAAAAAGAUCCUCUCCGUUUUCCGAAAUUGCUGUGAUCAGGGACUGAAACUCAGGAGACUGAAAGUCUCCUGACUUUGCAGCCCUAUACACAUUAGGAUGCAUACUUAGGCUCUCUUUCAUUCUCGGGAUAAGCGGUAGUUGCAAGUGAACUUAUCAAUAAAAGAAAUGAGUUCAAAUAUAAUGAACUUCUUUGAGCUUUCUAAGAGGAUUGAUGUAAAUGGAGGAUGUUGGAAAGGAAAUUUAGUUGAGCUUUCCAGGAGUAGUAGAAAGGAGAUAUUUAUAUGCAUAUGGUGGUUCUUCAAUUGUUCCUAUGAAAUUGAAAUAAAUUUAUUAGGUUUAGAGAAUAGUUUCCAGAAAGUCUAAUUAGUAUGCGUUUUGGACUUCAUACUUUACACAUAAGCAAAUAAUAAGGAAGUGGGGCAACUCUUGUUUAAAGGAAGGAGGACGAGUACAAAUAAAAAAUAAUAAUGAUAAAUAAAUUAUAUAAGCAUGAAAUUGAAUUAGCGGGCUGCUUUCCACUUUUCAUCAAAAUCAGGACCAUCGAAACAUGCAUGAUUCAAACAUUCUUACUGAAGAAUCGAAUCUGAUUGAACUUAUUUAUUAAAGCAAAGACAUUCGUGGGCCCACGUUUAGCUGUAGAUUUCCUUUUGCUCCUUUCCUAUUUUUUAACGACAAGUCCUUAACUCUUUUCAGUCUUUAUGGUCUUUAGUCCGUCGUGAGUCGUGCGUUCUCAUCAUGCUCCACAUGAUGGAAGAUUUACAUACGUAAACUUUCCCCACUCGAAGAUUUAUAUACGUAAAUUUUUAUGGGGAUCGAACUUAGGUAAAAAUUAGUUGACGCUCAAUUUGAGGAUCACCUUUACUGCUAUGAUCUAUUGGCAAAAGUCAAAGCUCAUAAUCAUAUGUUAUAUAUUGUAAUGUUUUCAUAAUAUACUAUAACGAAUAAAAAUCUAAAAAAAUUCAUGAUAGAUCAAGGACUAUCUAUUAUUUUUACUAUGUGGAAGAGAGAUGUAAAAGCUUAAUUUUUUUUUUAAAAAAAAAAGAGAAGGCAACACCGAAGCUGUUCUGCUUUGUCAGCAAGGGCCAGUGAUCCUUGUUGGUGUGUUGAUGAGGGCCAUCGACCCUUGUUGGAGUGUCCAUGAACGAGGGUUUGCAGGAUCUCGUUUGUGUCACAUAGUAAAGACAACUGUGAAUUUAUAUGUAGAACUGAAUUCGUAAGACAAUUCUUUUGAUGUUCUGAACUUGUAUCUCUAUGGAACAUUAGCUACAAUUAUGUUUGUUUAUGGAAUUGGCAAUUAGUAUCCUAUCUGAACCCCAGUGACAUUAUGUGUAUGUAGAACUGAAUACUCUGUUAGCGGCAAAACUGCAUUGGCAAUGGGUUAUUUUGUUUAACUUAACUUCUUCUUCUUUUUCCCAUUUAUGUUGGUCUAGACUUUGCUCCCAAAUUGGUGCCAUCAUUAAUCUUUUUUCAUUCAUUAGAAAAUGGAAUUAUUUUUGUUGAUUUACACUUUCCACUGUCUCUUGCUGUGUAGAGAAAUAGGAGACGGCUCAUGGGACUCGUGGACUGUGUCAUUUCUAGAGCGGGCAAGCUGUCGACUAUUGCCUGUUAUCCAUGAUGAUUUGUAUCUGAUGAAUCCGUGACAAUCUGUUAUGUUCCUUGCCUUUCAGACUGACACUGCUUGCGAGAAGGUGUAGACAGUUUCUGGUGAGAUACAUCGUCUUCUGGUAUCCUGUAUCUGAAGUUCACUUUCAGUGGAACAAUUUUGAUAUCACAGGUGAAGAACAUGAGCGGACUUAGCGAUGGCUUCGACAUAGUCGGGCUUUCUCAAGUAAUGACGUUG